rnacentral:lncRNA from 1 species
UAUGCAAACUAUCAAGUGUGCAAAUGGUGCUUGUAAAAAAAAUUAAUAUAAAAGGAUAAUAUUGUAAAAGUAAGUCAAAAGAAAUAAAAAGUAACAGUAGAGAUAUCAAUAAUUUAACGGCAGAGAUGUUUCAAGGUAUUUUUAAAAAUACAAGGACUAAACGAACACUAAUUUUAAAAUAUAGGAACUAAAUAAGCUUUUACAUGUAAUUAUAUUUUAACUUUACACUAUUAUAAAUACAUGCAUGAUUUUUUGUUAAUUCUUAUUAAUUUUUUUACUAUUCGACGAUGUUCGAGUCGUAGGAUAUGAUGGAUACCCUUCGGAUACGAAAAUCAGACCCUAUAAAGUAGCCCAACACAAUUUCAUCCACCUAAGAAUAUUUUGCUAAUGAAAUCCAACGGUGAAUUGAUGGGGUUGAUAAUGAUGAUAAGGGACUUGUCCAAUCUCCCAACCCUAUAGUAGUGUUUGACAAAUUUUUUCUUUCUCCUAUUAAGCAUGAAAAAUGGCCAUUUCUAUGCUCAGUAGGUGGACGGUCUUCAUCUUCAUUUCAUUCUUCCCUCUAACCACUCGUUUCCUAAAUAACAACAGCAGAGUUUGGCGGUCCUUUACAAUAAUAUUCCAGCAUAAUUAUUGCUUAAGUGCAACUUUUACAAUGUUUUUUUUUUAUAUUAUUAUUUUUCCACCAAGGUAUUCUGAUACAUCAUGUCAGUACCACGGUUUGGUAAAACCAUCAGUUUACUACCAAACAUUUAAACUGUUAGUAUUUUCCCACAAUUCCGUUAAAACUUAGUUAAUAAGUAACGAAAAAUUCAUAAAAGGUCAAUUUUACCCUUGGAGCGUAAAAGACCAUGUAAUUAACCUUUUAUGAAUUUUGUAAUUAAAUCAUCAUUUGUUGUUCUUCCUUCUUAAAGGGCAAAAAUUACCCUUUAUGAAUUUUGUAAAAUUGACCUUUUAAAAGACCAUGUAAUUAACCUUUUAUGAAUUUUGUAAUUAAAUCAUCAUUUGUUGUUCUUCCUUCUUAAAGGGGAAAAUCGUCUUUUACGCCUCAGGGGUAAAAUUGACUUUUUAUGAAUUUUCCGUUACAUAUUAACUGAGUUUUAACGGAAUGGUGGGAAAAUGCUAACAGUUUAAAUAUUUUGUAAUAAAUUGAUGGUUUUACCAAACCGUGGUACUGACAUGAUGUGUCAGAAUACCUUUGGUGGAAAAAUGAUAAUAUCUUUUUUUUUUAAAUUUGUUAUUGAUCCCUAUUAAUAGAUCUAAAUUGUGAAAUGUAGUAAUAUUGAUCAUACCAUCAUUUUCAUCUAAUUGUUAUAAUACGUGUCUCGAAAUGGCAUAAGUGAAUUAUAUAUAAUUUUUCAAGUAAUAGUCAAGCAUUAGGUUGUAACUAUACUGAAACUCUAUAGUCUGGGUUUGGUCGGAUGACUAAAUUUUAUUGAUUUUUAUUGACUUUUUAACCAUCCAACGAUAUUACUUAAGAUAUCGAAAUCAGACUUUACAAUAUAAGAACAAUGAUUAAAUAGACAAUACUGAUCAUGUCAAAUAAAGGAUACUAAAUUAAUUCAUAGUUUGGACACUAACCACUCAUUUCCUAAAUAACAACAGCAGAUUUCAGUGGUCCUUUACAAUAAAAUUCCAGCAUAAUUAUUGCUUAAGUGCAACUUGUACAAUGAUUUUUUUUGGUUCGAAAUCUAUCACUGUUAAUAGAUCUAAAUUGUGAAAUGUAGUAAUAUCGAUCAUACCAUUAUUUUCAUCCAAUUGUUAUAAUACAUGUCUCAAAAUGGCAUAAGUGAAUUAUAUAUAGUUUUCAAGUAAUAUUCAAAUAUUACCUUGUAACUAUACUAAAACUCUAUAAUCUAAAAUACUGUCAGAUGACUAAAUUUUAUUGAUUUUAAAAAUCAUAUAAUUAUAUCACUUAAGAUAUUACAAUCAGCCAUUAUAAGCUAAAAAAACCGAUUAAAUAGACAAUAUUAACCAUGUCAAAUCAAAUAAAGGAUACUAAAUUAGUUUGGGCACUAUCCACAAUGCCUUAAAAAACGGCGUAACGUGUAUUCCUCACCAUAGUAAAAGGAAAAUCAAAAUGAUAACAUACAAAAAUUAGGUAAAAUUAUUCAAAAGCAUGUUAAGAUUGAUGCAAAAAGAAGUGCCUUUAAACACAAUAGUCAAAGCAAAAGAAAAAAGAAUUUUAGGAAUCAUUCAGUGUAUUGAUGAUGAUUUGUCUUAGCUUUGGUCAUGUUAGGGGGGCAAAAAAAAAAGACAAUACAAUUGAAAGAAUUAAUAUUAAUUAAAAAGAGUUAGGUUAAGAGAUUUUCAGUGGAAAAAAGGGCAAUGGGACCCACCACAGAUACGGUCGUGGGGGUUUGGAGCGACCGAGCGAGGCCUGGGGCGGUCAAUGCGGAGCCAAAAGGACUUUUGAUUGACGCAAACCAUUUUGUUAUUUUCAUCCAAUGCGAAGAAACACUCUCCGAUACGCGUGACCCCACGCGCGCUCCUGUGGGGCCCUGUUUGCGACACUGCGGUGGGAGGAGGUUUUCGAUGGGACGGGCGGAGCGGGCGCGUGAUGUGGCUGAGGGUGGGGAUUGUCGCGGGUGGGGGACGCAGUGCCCCGCAAUUCGUGCGGUUAAGUACCUUUCUUUAAGAGAAACGAUGCACCGACUCGCUGUCAUGGCACGUGCGCACGUGACUCGCCCCUUAAUCUGAAAAUUAUAUUCUCUGUACUUAAUUUUAUUAUUAUCUAUUAAUUAAUUAAUGAAUAAUAAUAACAGUACAGUAAUAUAUAUUUUUUAAUUAAGAAGUGCCAGCUUUGAGGUGAAGUGAUUUGAGCGCUCCACCGUUCUUUUGAAAAGACAGCAAUACCCUUCGUUGCAUCUAAUUUUUUUGUCAUUUUAUAUUUUUAGUUUACUUGGGUUGAAAUGUAAUAUUAUUUUGUUGAACCAAUAAACUAAUAGCAAAUAGUCAAAUAAUCAAUUUUUUUUUCCAAUAACAAUUCCUUUAAUAGAGUUUUUUAGGAUGCUUGGUGUGUAUCCAAUUUUCUGCUUGUUUAAAUUUUUAAUUUAUUAUUCUUGUGUAACUUUUUUACGCUUAAUAAAGCUUCUUAAAAAAAAUAUUAUACCAACUUUCAGUCAAUUAAUAAUGAUUAUUAGAAUAGUAAUAUAAAAGGUUUUAGUUUGUAUUUUGUUUAUAUGCUAAUUUUUUUUUUCACUCCUAACCAACCAAUCACAUAAGAAUUGAUGAUAACUUGAUCGAUUUGUAGUUUUAUGUUUUUUACAUGAUAAUACUAUAGAAAAAAUAAGUAAAUAUUAAAAAUAAAUAAAUUGAUAAAAAAAAUGUCACCCACUUAAUACACACACACUCUCUCUUAAUUAGAAGAGAGCUAUAACAUGAAGAUUUCUUAAAACUUAUCUAUUUUAGUACUGCUCUUAUCCAAACAUGCUUUAAUUGUAGAAUCUAAUAAAAUCCAGUGUAUUAAUUUUAAUAAUGGUUGCACUUGCACCGUCUCUAUAUAAAUUAUGGGUAAUUCGUUAUUAUAUCUAGGAGAGAUUACCAAUCAAUAUAUAUUACUUAUCCCAUUACUAUUUUUAUACUAGUUGAUAACGCCUCUAAUGACAAGAUUUUACGGUAUUACCCUUAUUUUCAAGUACAUUUAUAUUCAUAAAAAUAAAAAAAGUGAAGUGCUAAAAAUAAGAAAUAUAUAAUUUCAAUGUGAAUAAGAAAUUAUUAAAUAAAAAAUAUUUUUUGUACUUUUUGUUAUUUGUAAAAUAUUUUUCUUAUAAUAAAUAUAUAUUUCUUGUUUCCAAGAUAAAUUAUUAACAAAUAAUUCAUUUAUCCCUCUGUCUUUUUUUAAUUUUUUGUGCCAAUGAAUUUUUUUUGAAAUUAUGAAAAUAUUAAAAACAUAAGUGGUAUAUAUUAAUUUUAGUAGAGGUAUCUACUUUUGAUUUAUCUAAAUUUUAUUUUCAUUUAACAAAUCAAAGGAAAAGGGUGUACAAAUCAGGGUCACGGCUAGGGAUGGCAAAAUCCUCCACGGGUUUAGGGCUCCAUGGAGUCCAACCCUAAAUGGGGAAAAUUUUGAAUAAUUUUUGAGGAAUGGGGUAAGGAAUGGAAAAAAAAUAAUCCCCAAAUUCUUAAUGGGAUGUGGUUUGGUUUUGUACUCCCCACCCUACCCCCACACCUAAUCCUCAUUAUAUAUAAAUAUGUUUUUAAUUCUUAUUUAAUAAUUUUUAUUUUAUCAACUAUAAUGUCAAUUAAUAUAUUUUUUUAAUUUUAUGUAAUAUAAACAUGAUAUGAAUAAAAGAAAAUCUUACAAUAUAAUUCUUUUUCAACUCUAAAAUAUUGUUAUGUUUUUUUUCUCUCUUUUAAGGUAUUGCUCUUUUCAAACAUUUUUCAGUUUUGAUAGCAUUUUAAGAUAUUGUUUUAAACUUUUAGAUAUUUUUAAAAAUAAUUAAAAUACUUUAUAAUAUGAUAAUAAUUUUAUUUUAAAUCUCUAAUUUUUAAUUUACUGAAAUCGUAUAUUUAUACUUAUUAUAAAAUAGACAAAUGGGGAAUGAGAUGGGGAUGGAGAAAUCAUUUACCACGUAGGGAUUCUCCAUCCCCACCUCACUAAAUUUAUUAAAGAAUGGGGUAGGAAAUGGAAGUAAAAAAAAUUAAUUCCCCACCCCCCCCACCUCACCCCAUUGUCAUCUCUAGUCACGGCUCACAACGAUCAAAAACCGAAGGGCAGUUUGGAAUUUUGGCAUUACCUUGACGAAGAAGGUAGGCCACGAAGGAAGGAAGGAAAGAAAGAAAGAAAGAAAAGUCCUUAAGGGGUGCGCCGAUUGUGGAAGCGCCUUAAAAAUAAUAGCCGUACGAAUUAAUAUGAUUACACAAAGUUUUUCCAGUCCUUACAACCCGACACAAAAGACAAUAUCAUUACUCAUGAUAUUAAUAAAUUAAUUAAACCCCUUUUAAAAUAUUGAAUCCAAAUCUAAUCCCCCACUCUCCUUCCCAAUACCCUUUUGACCGUUCAAGAUUCCGUCCCUCCCCAAUUCUCUUAUUUAACCUUCAAUCUGCUUUCUCUAUUUACCAUUUUCAAUGUACUUAUUAGUCAUUAGAAAAUAGAUUUUUCUCGAUCGGUCGCAUAAAAUAUUAAGUGUUACUAUUUGAAACAUUCACUUUUGGUACAAAUAGUAUAUCUUUUUCUGUUUUUUAUUUUUGUUCUGCUCCUUUACAUGUGUUUUCUUGUUUUCGAGUUUCUCUGUUUAGAUUCGAAUGAUAGUGUUAUGUUAUUUUAGCGACACUUGGGUGAUUAUUUAUUUAUUUUUGUUGAAAUGUGAUCUUCACAUGCAAGAGUAGAGGUGGGUAAAUCUAGAUUAGACUCAAAAAAAUUCGUUUGGUAUUUUAUUAGAUCUUUUUGCAGAGUCAUUUUUUUCCGAUUAUUAAACUUACUCCUGUUGGGAAAAUCUAAGCGUUGUAUUUAAAAUUGAUGUGCCAUAUGAUAUUAUUGACCAAUUUGAACCUUUUAAUGCAAUUUACUACUACUAACCUGCAAAUGCAGUAUGGGCAUUAGGUUCAGCAAUAAUAAUAUUCCCCAACAUACCAAAACUAGCUAUCACUUCAGCUGCGAUAAUAGAUGCAAGAAUUGAUACGCAUAAGAAUUUUUUAUUUGAUUGAUAAUUGUAUAAGGUAGAAGCUCAAAUUUCUUUCUUGCAUGCAUGUUCCCCCACAAGCACACACUGGAAGAAGAGAUGAAAAUAUACUGGCAACAUAUUUUAUCAAACGGGUGAUUUUGUCACCAACUGUGGAUCCUAUAAACUAAAAAUUCAUAACUCUAACCGCGAUGGGAUCCCGUUUAUAUGGCCUAUACCUAUUUGAAUAGCCUCCAUUGAUCCUUUCUUGCCUUGAUUGAUGGGAGUCAAUAAUAUUUUUACAAGGUUCAUCUUCUCAAUCAAAUUCAAUGGGAACUAUAGAGACCAUGACGUCAUCCAUCGAAUCCCAAGCACUUGGAUAAACUAAAAGGUCGAUUUUAUCUGAGCUAAUCAUUUUAAAUGUAUCAUAUUAGAUCUUUGCAUGUGGAGUCAUAUUUUCGAAUUUACAGUGAACAUAAUUCUUCUUCUUCUUUAUGUUGUUGCUAUAUUGUUAGGCUUUAUCAUAACUAAGGCUUGAAUCCUAGAUUAUCAUACAGAAAUACAUAGUAUUGUAUAUGAGGCUGACGUGGUCUAUCAUAUUAUUGGCCAAUUUGGCCUUUUAACGCAAUUUACUAAUUAUAAAAAUAACUUUGCACUUAGACACUGAAGCUAUCAUAUAUUACAAAAGUCAUUAUUUUAAAGAGUGGAUAAAACUAAAAAAACAAGGUGGAAAAAAAACAAUUACAGUGCCUUUUAUAUUUUUUGUGUAUUAAACCAUCUGGUAUCUGAAAAUUAUAUUAGGGUUCAAUUAAUCGAGAUUCAAGUCGGGUAGGACCAAUAGGGCGGUAAAACUCCUCCAAUAAGUAUUUUAACGCAACUGCAUUCACAAGAUUCGAAUCAAGGAACUUGGUUAAGGUAGAACAUGCUCAUACCAACUGAUCUACGCCCCAAGCUUGAAUGCGUUGUAAUUUAUUGUUUUAGCUUCAUUGACAUGAUUAAAAAAAAAGUAUUGGCAUUCGUGUUGGAUAAAAGAUUAUAUUAAUUUAUAUUUUUCAAAUGAUAUCAACGAAAUCAGAAAUAUCUAAUUAGAUAAAAGAAAAUGAUAUGUCCAGUCAGAAGAAAAAUUUUGUUAGCUGUAUAAUCCUUAUGGAUCUUUGUUUUGAUAAACAAAUUAGUGAAAUAAAUAAAUGAUGCAAUGAUGCAAUCUCUAAUCAAAGAGGUGAUCAAAUCAUUGUGAUUGUGGCAUAUAAUGAACCUGAAUCAUGAUGCAUAUUAUUGUGAAUCUCAUUCUAGAUUUGUUACCCAUACAAACUUUUGAUUAAUUGAGAUAUUCUUAGUAACCAUGAAAAAGAUGUUAGCAAAAUCCUCCCUAAAGUAACUUUAAGAAAUGUGGAACUAUCGAUUUCUUCAGUAAUGUUUUCUCUUGAAGAAUAGUUUAACUAAAAGAAAUUCUUUUCUUCAUCAUUGUGCUUUUAUCAUUGAACAUUUUUUUUCCUAUUCAUAGAUCAUAGCCUUAGUCAUUAGACCUUUAGGAAAAUCAAUGGUUUUUCUUUCUAAUUUUAUUUAAUAAUGUCUAUCUAGCUUUUAGAUGGUGAAAGUCUCUAGCUUUUAGAUGGUUUACUUUCACUUGGCCCCCUUUCUCAAUAAAUUGAAUAAUCCAUUUGCCCUAAUUUCCAUUUGAUGCUUGGGGACUGCCCAAUCAUAAAUUUAAGUCUAUCUUUAUUCCUUCUUGUCUUUUUUAUUUGAAUAAAAUUUUGAAACAUUUAAAGAGUUAAUUAUUUGAUGAAAAAAAGAAAAAGAAAAGGAAAAAAAAAGGGGGAAAUAAAAAGAAAGAGUUGUUGGAAUGAGGAGCUCAUGUGCUUGAACUCUUCAUCCAAUAAGGCUUUCACAAAAUCAGUACAUAACCAAAGCAAGGUCAGAGAAGGAAACCAAAUCAACCCAAAUGUGUGAAAUAAGAAAGCUUGCAAGAAAUUCCCAACAAAGAUACAAAAACAAAAUGGAUAACAAUGUAAAUUUGCCUUCUGCAAAAGACCACAGCCACUUUUUAUUUUUAUUUAAUUUUUUUUGCUGCUGCUUCCACCUCACCCUCAUUGUUGGGUUCUUCAGGGUGAGAAGGCAGCUGAUAAAAAGAUAAAAGCUGUCCCCACCAAUAUUUUUUUGCAUGGUUAAAACUUAGCAAAACACUUUAAGAAGCAAAUAAAAUAAAAUACAAACACAGGUUCAUUCUCUUUCUUGUCAAGACUAGCAAACCUCACCUCAUUACUUCGAGAUCAACAAAAAAAGAGAAUAGUAAUCAGGGAGAUCAAGAAAUAAAAAUGGCUUGUAGUUAUGUUAUAGCCACUUUAUAGAAAGAGAGAAAAUAAAAGUAAAAAGAAGCUAAUAAAUAAGCUUUCGCUUAUUUGCUCCUUUGCUUGCUAGUAGUAGCAGCAGUUGAAAGCAAGUGUUUGUGCAAAACAGAAAGUUUAAGAGAGAAAGCAAGAUCAUUAGAUCACAAAAGGGUCUAAUUCUCAAGUGUUUAGAGAACGAAAUAAAACAAAAAGUAAAAAUUGAUAUAAAUACAAAGAGAGAAAGAGAAAGAGAGAAAGAGAGAAAGAGAAAGAAAGAUGGUGGGCUCAGGAGCAGGAGAUAGGAGCAAAGAAGCAGUCGGGAUGAUGGCCCUUCAUGAAGCACUAAGAAGCGUCUGUUUAAACACAGACUGGACUUACUCUGUCUUUUGGACUAUUCGCCCUCGCCCGUACUUAUUUAUUUGCUUAACUCUCUCAUCUUUUUUUUUAUAAAAAAAAAAAAUUCUUUCCUCUUCAAGCUCUUGUACUUUGAGAUGUUUCCUCAACUGGGUUUGUUUUGUUUUUGAUGUUUUUGUUUCUGUUUGCAGGAGAGUUAGAGGUGGUAAUGGUUGCAAGGUUGGUGAUGAUAAUGGAAGCUUGUGAGUAUGGUCUUUUUUUGUUUCUUCUCGUUUACUUAAAUCCGUGUGUUAAAAAUACAAAAUUUCUUUUUGUUUUUGGCUCACUCGAGUCAGUUUAGUUGUAUUGUUUCUGGCCUUUCCUCUGCUUCAGAACAGAGCAUUGCUGUUUUUCUUGAAGAAAGUUAUAACUGAUAAACAUACAAUGUUGAUUAAAUUGGAUUAUUUUAAUGAUUAAAUGAGCUUAUAAUGGAUUAUGUCAAAUGGGUAUACGCUAAUUUCUGAUUUCGGUGUAAAGUUUUGAACUUUUUGCAAUAUUAUCUUGAGUCAAUACCAUGCGUGUUUAUUUAUUUAUUCAUAGUGAAUGCUUGUUCUUCUUAAUGUAAGAGUACUGAGAUUUAAUAAUGUUUUUUUCGUGAAGGAUGUUGAUGUGGGAAGAUGGGUUCUGUCGAGGAAGAGUUGCAGAUUGUUUGGAAGAGAUGGAUGGCGAAGAUCCUGUGAGAAAGGCUUUCAGCAAAAUGUCCAUUCAGUUAUAUAAUUAUGGAGAAGGGUGGGUACUGGGUAGGUGUUAUUAUUAAUUUUUUAUUUUUAUUCCUCUCUGUGUAUGUGUAAAUAUAACAAAGCAAAUAGAGUGAAAGAAUAGCUUGAAAUUAAAUUAAUUUAUGUAAUCUUUUUGAUUGGUGAAUCAUCUUUGUUUGCGCAGGUUAAUGGGAAAGGUUGCUUCAGAUAAGUGUCAUAAAUGGGUCUUCAAAGAGCCAACAGAAUGCGAACCAAACAUCUCCAACUACUGGCAGAGUUCUUUUGAUGCUGUAUGUAACUUUGCCCACUAUUUCUUUCUUUCCUUUUUUUGUUUUGUAUUUUAAUUUUAUUUCUUUUGUUCUCAAAUCAUUUUCAUGAAGAUUUUUGGGUGAAAAAAGGUAGGAUUUGGUAUUAUAUUGCUCCAUUAUUGAUGAGAUCGGGGCAUCAUUUUUUUUCUUUUUCUUUUUUAUUAUUAAUUGAUGCUAACCUUUCCUACUUGUUAAUAAUUGCAGCUACCUCCUGAAUGGACUGAUCAAUUUGAGUCUGGCAUUCAGGUCAGCACCAGCACCAGCACCGUCAAUUUCACUGUUGUCAGUCUUCGGUUAUUUUCAAUUUUCAAUUUUCCAUUUCUUGUACUUAGACUUUGUACUCCUCCAUUUCCAUUUACCAGACCAUUGCUGUAAUUCAAGCCGGUCAUGGCCUCCUACAGUUGGGAUCCUGCAAGAUUGUAAGUUUUAGUUUUCCAUUUUCCCUGUGCAUGCAUAAACUAGCAGCUUGGAUGAUUUUAUCUUAUUGAAAUACGAUGUCCCUCCUCAGAUACCUGAAGACCUCCAUUUUGUGUUAAGAAUGAGGCAUACAUUUGAAUCCCUAGGCUAUCAAUCUGGAUUCUAUCUCUCUCAGCUGUUUUCUUCGAACAGAAACAAUUCCUCAUCUUCGACAAUUCCUUCAAAGCAAUCUGCCAUUCCAACUCGGCCUCCUCCUCCGCUCUUCAACUGGGGCCAACGGCCAAUGCCAUCUACUACUUCAAUGCUUGCUUCACCCAAUUUUCAAAAUCCUGGUAGAGUUGGAUUCCCACAAACCAAAGAUGAGACUCAUAUGUUCCUUCUCCCUCAUUCAUUGGAAGCACCACGAAUGGACAAUAUGAUGGGAGAACAUGAAAAUGACAUCAAGUGGCCAAAUGGGUUGUCAUUUUUCAAUGCUCUUACUGCAAGACCUGAUGAUGCUAAGCUUUUGUUUAACCCCGAGAGCUUUGGAAACAAAUCCGAUCAAAGUCAUCACCCUCUCAUUCUGGAAGGGAAAGAUAUGAAUCCAAAUUCUGAUGUCGGUGCAAACCCAAAUGAGUUUUAAGCUUGGACAGUCAUCAGGAUAAAAACAAGUUUAAGAGAAGCUUUACUUUGCCAGCAAGAAUGACUUCAUCAUCUUCCUCUACUUCAGUCGAUCACCAUCAGCAUCAACCAGUGGAGUAUAGGAAUCCUGAGCCAGGGAUGUAUAACGACGUUAUGGAAACCUUCUUGGAAUGAAUUUAGAAAACUUGGUAUUAGAGGGUCAGAAAUUGUAUCUAGGCAAAGCUUUUAUGCUUCUUUCCUGCUGAAUUCCUGUGUUUGUUUCUAGUUCAGUUUUAAAUGUUCGUGUUUUUUUCCCUUUUAUCUUUGCUUUUUUUUUUCCCCUCUCAAAACUUCGUAAUUAUUUGUUGUAGCUUAUCCUAACGUAAGUUUUAGCAUAAAUUUUUAUCUCCCAUCUUUUUGCCCUUCCAGUUUUUGAUUUUGCUAUAUGAAAUAGAUGAAUUGAGUGAUAUCUAUGCUUCUUCUACAACACUGUUGCCGUGUUAGGUUAAAAGCCCUAGUCAAAUACGAAACCCAAGGGUUCAUGAAUAGAUUGCUUUUACUUCACUUCACCCAUCAGUCAAAAUCCUAGCUAGGGCGAUUUCAACAUCAGUGGUGUGGAGUGUGGACUGGCAUUUUCUAUGCCUAGAGCAAAGCUACAAACCAUUUUUUGACCACACCAAAAGUUUGCCUAAAACAUCACUUGUUGAGUAAGACAUGAAUAUGCUCGUAGGCAGCAGAAUAUAGUAUUUUGUUUAGUAUACGCGUGAAUUAUAAUAUAAAGAUUUUUUAACCGCAUGUAGAAUGAAGCAAUAUUAAAUUUGGAAACAUUAGUUAAUCAUUUUUUUAAGGACCGAACAGGCUAUUGUUUUUUUUCUUUAAAAGAAAAAAAUCUUUUGGCCUUGGCUAACAGAGGUUGAAACUGCGUAAGUUAUUUGCACAGUGCCGAUUGUUAUUAAAAAAAAAAUGCCAUGGGCAUGUUUUUACAAGCUUUUAUAUUGGGUUACAUAAAUGGUAUACGGCGCUGCCGCCUAAUUCUGUUGCUACUGAUAAUCGGUCUUUAAGUCAUGUUGCUCCUCUUACUUCCGCCCUGGAUGAGUUAGGGUACAAGAUUAGGAGGUCCAGGUUGAGUGUUGAGUAUUAUCUUGUUGUUGAGUCUAGAGAUCAGGAUGAUUCUCCUGUGGAGAGUCCAGUUGAUCAAACUGGUGAUGCUGAUGAUAUGAUUUCGGAUAAUUUGGGUGCUUAGAAGGUUUCCACGGGCUCUACUAUUUUUAGAUAUGUAGUCGAAGAUAUUCGGGGUAUGGUUAUAGGUUUCAGUUCCCACUAUACUGAUAUUCAGUCCAAUUUGAUGAGGAUUUUUGUUGUAAUAGAAAUCCUGCCGCUCACAAUCAUUUCUUGUUUGAACCUGAGGGUAUUGGGAGGCUUGGGGGCUUGAUCAAAGUCCCCAACCCGCGCGCCUCUGGCUCUAAAAAAAGAUUUUACUUUAGUCACCGGUUGCAACUUGCAAGCAUCACAAGAGGCAGUCCCUCCAUUAGCUAUUUCUUGCCUCUGUGCUAGUUGUUUUGCUAAGCUUUUUGGUAAUUUAGUAAAAUGCAAAACAUAAACACCUGGGAAGUUAACAACUCAGGACUGAGUAAACAUUGCCUCAUAAAUUGAUCCCAAUUUGAUAAAUCCUCCUUGCUUUAAGCUUUUGAAAGUAAUUCAAAACAAAACUUUUGAUUGCAGACCUUAAGUUUAUGAUUGCAAAACAAAGGGGAGAAAAAAAGAAAAGAAGAAGACCCAAACAUAAUCAAACUAACGAUCUAACCUCUUCAUCAGUUAUGACUAAGCUUUGAUCUUCAACUGCAAUGGGUGUGACCCAAAAGCUUGGGCCCAAAACUUGCUGCAGCUUAGCUGGGGGGUUUCGUGAGCCUCAUGAAGCUUAACUGCUUAAGCAUCUCACUCUAUUGUGGCUGACAUUUAUUCUAUGGCAGAAUUAAAGAAGUAUAGCCCCCUUCUAAUCUGAGAUUUCUCUCAGGCACAAUUAUUCUUGAAAUCAAAAAUAGAAAUUAAUCAGUACUUGUAAUUCAUAAGUAUCUUAUCUUUCCAUUAAUUGUUUUUGCUUUCUGUGGAAAAAAGAAAGAUAAACCUCAACCUUUGCUCCCAAGUAUCAGCUGCCUCAACACACCAAUUUUCACAACCUCCUACAAGUACUCAUAAUUCCGGCAAUGAUGUUCUCAAAACAAAUUAAUGAUCACAAAAUCAUUCACAAACUCAAUUGACUCAAUUAAUAUAUAUAUUUACUCGAAAUGCAUACAAAUGAUGUUCAAAAUCAGUGCAAAAAUCAGUUACAUGGGUGGCUAUGACUUAACGUUUGCUUGCAGGAUAUCAUCUUUGGUAGAUGGUUCCAUGGCAUGACACUCUCUGCAUGCGAACAAAAAUGACAUGAAAAAUCUUCUGCAAAUUCCUGCUGGCCGUUCAGAAUUCAGCUUCUUCAUCUCACCUUGUCUCUUUGAUCUCUGAUCAUUUUCUUUCACCGAACCCCGACCAUUUUUCCUCUGCGAAACGUCGCGUUUCAAUGCUGCAGGAACUGGUGUAAGAUACCGCCACCUUUGAGAAGAUCCAUACAGUUGUGUAGUAACCAUUUUACUUGCUGUUGUUGCAGUUGCUCUGUGUGCAAGCUUAUUAUAAUACAACAAUUUCCUCUCUGAAUUGUCACUCGAACUUGUUCUUGCACUGCUGCAACUACUGCUCCUGCUGUUUGUACUGUUGCUUCUUGAUGACAUGAGUGAAUCUUUGCUGCUAAUACUGCUUGUUCGACUCGUUGCACGAGAGGUGUUUUCUAUCACAAUGGCUGUAGCAGGUUGUUGUUGACACGGGAAAGAAUGAGGCAAGAGCCUGCCAUUGAAGAAAAGAUGAUCAGCUGGUGAGUUUCUCGAUGGAUCUUGAGAGGGAGAAUCAGGCGUCAAGCAACCAAAUUCAAAGUCGGAAUUUUGGUCUUGAUUUGGGGUGCUAGAAAAACAGAACAUCUCGCCAGAGCCAGACUUUUUCCGGCUGUCCUCCAUGGUGGUUAAUUUCUGUCGGGGAGCUAAUUGAGGUGCGUAUAUGAGUGAGGUUGCAUACUAGCAUCUGUGUAUAUAUAUGCAAUGCAACACAAUGCUUAUAAUGAAUGAUAUGAACAAGUUUUUUGGGGCCCUUUUGUUGGGUGAUUUUGAUAAUCUCGGUGGUAUAAAUCAUAUGUAGUCAUAUACUUGCCAACUCAACCUCCAAUUAGCACAUGGUAUUGUUUUUGGGUUGUAAUUAUAUUGUUAGUGUUGCUAAAUGAUGUAGCUUAGUGUGGCUUAGCAUCCUCAUGAAGAUGCCAUGUCAGCAAAAAUUCUUAGAAUAUGUAUAGUGUUAUUAAGUUCAAUAGUGGGAUACGAUCAAUUAAUCCUACCAUUAUCAUAUGGUAUUUGCUUAUUCUAUCCUUUUGUUGUGAGAAAAGAAACUUCAAGGAAAUGCUUUCUCUGGUACUUUGUUUGUUCUUAAUUCAAUAGAUUUUUUAGCCUUUAAUCUUUCGUCCACUUGCUUUUGUUUCUUUGAAGGACACAUCCUCCCAAAUAUACUCUUUUGAUAUGUAAAGCAAAAGAUACCUUGAAAUCUACCAAUGAAGAGAGAUAGAGACAGAGAGGAAGUGAGGGAGGUGGGCUAAUAAACUUAAUCAAUAAUAACAUGUUAAUUGGAUUGUUAUCCUUUUUGUUUAUAGGCUUUCACAAUUUCACAAGACCGAAUGCUUUGAUGGGAUCAACAAAGACUCAAAGAGAGCUGCUUUCUUGCGUUGUGGGAAGCAAAGGCUCCGUUAGGGACAAUCAACACGCUAAAGAAGAAUCAAAACUAUCAAUUACCAAAGAUUAAUUAAUUUCAUCAAACACUUUGAUAGCUCCUAGAAACGAGGACAAAUCAGAUAUUAGAAUAAUCCUUGUGUCUCCCGUUUGGGUUUCUGAGGAAGACACUCUUGGGCCCAUUUCAACAAUUCAUGUUCUAAGGGCCACCAGUCAGCCAAUUCAAGGCCUAACUUUUUGUCCCCACAAGCAAAGCAAGUCAUUUUGGAAGUAGGAUUAAUAAUAAUAAUAAUACUCUUCCUUUGUUGAUACUCUAAUUCUUAGAUGUGGUAGGUCUCUCUGGUUUCUCAAGAGUGGAUUUUGGUUGACUGGGAGACAACUUUUGACCAAGAAUUGUCCUAUGAUUUUUCAUUUUUUUGUCUGGGCUAUAUUUUGGUCCAAAUUAAGAGGUCAAACCCAUAAACUUAGCCCAAUAUGAGGAAACAGAUACAUAUUUCUUUUUCUUUGUUUUUUGGGGUGGGGGGAUAAAACAAAUACAUAUUUCCAGGAACCCAAAAGGGGAGUACAUGCUUGUGUUGCUACUAAAUGCCAAUGCAAUUGCCAACUGCUUCCUCAAUUGCUCCAUGCAUGAAAUCCAAGUGAACCUUGCAAGAGUAAUAUAUUUGAUUGCACGGCGGCUGCUAACUUACAUUAAUUAUAAUUUACAACUUAACCUAAAAUUAAUCUUUCACAAUCCUUAAAUUAUUUGAGUAAUAAUAACUUAAAGGUACCAGAUUAUUUUUAUUAGUGCUCUUAUAGAUAUGAGUAGAUAUUUAGGUUUCUCAGCACCAUAACAAAGUUAUUUAAGCAAGGCUUUUAGAUUUAUAAUAUUACCGAGAAUAGGGAUGGCAGAUUUACUCGGACCCGAUGAACCUGGAUAAUCCGGGCCGGGUUGAAUCUGUACCGGAGUGUAAAAUAAUCCGGAUCCAGAAUGAAUUUUUAUAACUCGGAUAUAUUCGGGUCCGAUUCCGGGUUUAGGCGAACCCGGAUAUUCGGAACCCGGACCUGGAUAUCUUAUUUUAAUAUUUUUUUAAUUAAUUUUAUUGAUUAAUAUAAAUACAAACAUUAAAAAAACCCCAAUUUUAUCUAGGUUGCAGCCUUCGCGAUUGCAGCCGACAGAACUCAGAAGCUUGGGUUACUUAGCUUCUUGCAGCCUUCGCGAUUCGCCACCGACAGAACUCAGAAGCUUGGGUUCGCCACCGUCGUCCGUCGCAGCUCGUACUCUCGGGUUCGCCAUUCAUGACCGUCGCAGCCUUGGCUACUUGCAGCUCCAAACAACGAUCCAAGUUUUUACCGUCGCAAGCUAGGGUUCGUGGUUCGCUACCGUCACAAGCUCGGAUUUGCGGUUUGCCACCGUCACAAGCUUGUGUUUGCCACCGUCGCCGUUGCAACUCAUACUCUCGGGUUCGCGACCGUCGCAGCCUCGGGUUCUUGCAACUCCAAACAACGAUCUAGGUUGCUAUCCUUUCGUUUUGAUUUCAUUGUACUUUGUUAUUUGAUUUUAUUUAUGCUUGAAAUAUUGUUGUUACAGUUAAAAGAUUCGAAAUGGUUUAUGCUUGAAUGAAUUGUUGUUACACUUAGAAAUGUAUUAAUUUUUUAUUUUUAGAAUUUUAAAAACUGAUUCAUUGAUUCGGGUUUAAAACCCAGAAUCUGGAAACCCGUUGUUUUUCGGGUUGAACCUGGAUCCGGGUGAAAAUACCGGAUUAAAAUCCAGAUUCGAGAGGAGAAAAUGGCAUCCGGAUUCGGAUCCAAAAUGACUAAACCCGGAUAUGAACCCGAAUUUUGCCAUCCCUAACCUGGAAUGUUAAUAAACUACAUAUUGUAUAUACCAUAAAAAAGGAUCUAAUUCUAAUUAUCAUCAAUAUUUUGUACACUCGAAAAAAAAAAUUAACAAUAAUUUGUUUUGCCUACGGAUUUCCAGCCGUUGACCACGUGUCGCUCACUUGCUCUUAUAUUGCACACACGUGUCAUUAACAAGCAGUUUUGUUUGCACAAUCCAUGCAAAAUGCCCAAUAUAUGAUAGGCUUACGCUGAGAAACGGGCUAAGUUUAAUUUAGAAUUUAGGGCAAUUUCACAUUUUUUGCAUUAGCAAAUAGAGUAAUGCUCAAUAUAUUAGUGUUAGGUAUUGUUUGACAUCAAAGUGUUGUAAUUUUUAAGUUAUAAGUAAAAAAAAAAUUAUAAUAGUAAAAUAAGAAUUAAUAGUUUAUGAUAAUUAAUGACUUUAAAAUAUAAAAUUUAAUAUAUAUAUUAUAAGUUUAUUUUUUAAAAUAUUUUGUUAUUUGUUAAAUAAUUUAUUGUUGUAUCUAUCCAACCAUAAUAACGAACCCAAUUUUAAUUAAUCCAACUUUUGUUUUAAAUAUUAAAAUAUAAUUUUAUAAGUUUUCCAGCGGUUGAGACUAGAAUUAAAGAUAUUUAAAAUCCUAAUAUUUUUUGUAUGUAUGUAAUAGAGUGGAUCGACUAUUUUUAAAUUAUCUUCUUUACUUUUGAAAAUCUAAAGAUUUCCAUUUUUUUUUUCAAAUGGCAAGAAAAAUAGACGGUGGGUUGGUGAAAUUUUUUCAGUCUUCUUAAUAAAAUAGGAAUAAAUUAAAAUUUUCAAAAAUAAAGAGUAUGAUUUGAAGAUAGUUAAUUCAUGAGGAGAUAAUUUGAAAUUAUCCUAAAUAGAAUUGAAAUGAGAUGCAAUUUUUAGGUAAAUAUUUAUUUAGUAUCUAUAUUUUGAUUUAAGUAACUGUUUAAUCUUUAUAUUUAAAAAUAAACCUCAAAACACCCUUGCAAAUAAAUAUGUUAUAUACUUACCCUUAUUUUUUCUUUACUUUUAUGAUAAUAUCCUUGUAACAAUUUACUUGACAUUAAUUAGUAUAUAUUUCAAAAAGUUAAUUCUAGCAAAUGAACCAAUAUUUAUUUAUUAGUAUAUCAACAAAUAAAUAUCAGUAUAAAAUAAUUAAUAUUUUUUGUACCAUGCAACUGUUAAAAUUUAUUUAUAAAAUAAUUUAAGUUAUCAAAUUAACCUUAAAAGUAGAAAUAAUAAUAAAAAAUUUACAUUAAUUUUAAUUUUAAUAUUACUUUAAUAAAUUAAUAUUUGUUCUCUUUUUAUUAAUGUCGUUAAAAAUAUUGUUACGAAAGUAUUAUUAUAAAAAUAAAGAAAAUAAAGAUGAAAAUAUCACAUAUUUAAUAAUAAGGAUACCUCAAAAUAUUUUUUAAAAUAUAAAAAUUAUAAGAAAUAUUUUAUUUAAAGUAGAGACUAAUCAAAUAUUUAACCGUAAUUUUUUCUUGGUAAUCAUUUCUUCGUUUACUGUGCUUUCUAUUUAUAGCCACGACCACGACUUCAACCGUUCAGCGUCGUGCGGCGUGCCAAACCCGUUUGUAGGAGAGAUGAGAUUACCCUUUCAUUUAAUUGAUUUCCAUUUGGAGUUAAAUGAUAAUAAAUAAAUAAAUAAAUAAAUAAAAUAAAUAAACGCUAACGCGUCAUUGUACAGCGAAGAACGCGGCAAAAGUCGUCGUGUCAACCGUUAAAGGAUCCUCAUCUUCUUCGCUCCCUCCUUCGCCACUGUGUCUGUGUUUAUCCCCAUUAUUUCAAUUACACACUCGUAUUAAGAAAUACAGAAGCAGCAAAAGCCAUGAUCGGUAAGAGAGAAAUCUUCAAUAAGAUGAAGGUAUCUUUUUAUCUUUCAUUACAAUUCUUAUUAUCAUAGGUACCCACUUGUCGCAUGAAGUUGAGAUUGACAUGGCACCAUUGUUUUUCAUGUUUUUGACUGUAUGGGUAGCAACUGGGUUCUUGUAAUUUAACCUUCUGGAUGCAAAAGAUUCAUUUUUUUUAAGAAUGCCCUUAAUGUUAAAAUUUGGUUCAGCUGAGAGCUGGAGAAGUCAGAGUUUCAGAAUUUGACCGCUAGUAUACAAAAUUGAAUUAAAUAUUAAGAUGGAUUCAGGUUCAUGCUUAGCAAUGAAGAGGAGGAUUGAGGAAAAUGGAAAAGUUCUGUCUGUGUAAGGUGGCGGUUAUCUUGAUUACUUAGUUUAUCCUUUCAGACAACUUAUUUUAGGCCACACUUUUAUCCUAGUCGAGGGGAUGCACUCGCAAUGCAUCAAGGCCAAUUCCAUUCGUGGCUUCCCACCCCAGUUUGUCCAAAUUAAGGAAUCCCCUCAGAAAUGUGUGUGAGAGGAGUAGAACCCUUGAUCUCUUGCUUCCAAUCCAAGGCUAAACCAAUGGGGCUGUGAUGUAGGGACUUUUUUUAAUUUAUAAGGUGGAUAGAUUAUGCGCUAACAUGGUUGUAUUGUUGAAUAAGUUUUUUAAUUUCAUCUUUAUUAUUGAUUUAAGAAGGAACAAGUUGUAUGUAUCAACCACCGUUACCUUGUCUUACUUCAAAAACAAAGUAGUGGAUGGUUAAUAUUUUAUAGUGUCAACACUUUUCCUCCCUUUGUCUUUUUCAACUAUGGAGCUCUUUGUGAUUGCAGGAGAAAGUAUUGGGCUCAUCUCCUGAUUCUGGAAAAGGAAAGAGUAAGAUGAAAAAGCAUGUAACUCAUGGCUACCACUUAGUAAAGGGAAAGGCGGGUCAUCCCAUGGAAGAUUAUGUCGUUGCGCAGUUUAAGCAAGUUGAUGAGAAUGAAUUGGGUUUAUUUGCCAUAUUUGAUGGUCACUUAAGCCAUGAAAUUCCUGAUUUUCUGCGGACACAUUUGUUCGAGAAUAUCUUAAAUGAGGUAACUGAUUCUUUCGAAAAUCUUAUUCCAAAUACUUUGGAGUAGCGAUUCGACUGAUGUAUCAUGCCUUAUAACCGGGUAUUAAACUGUAUUUAGCUCUCUUCCGAAGAUGAGAAAUGGGAUCAAAGCAGCCGUUGUUUAUAAUGAGUGUAGAAUUGCCACAUCAGUUCAUUUCAUAGUAGAACUUGCAUUAAAAAAUAUCCAUUACUCCAAUGUAGUGUCUUUUCAUGCUCGUUUAUUGGUAAUUUUCUAUAAUAAUGUCUCAUCAUGUAUUUCUGAUUCAUUUGAUUGGAUGACAUUUGCAUAUCUUAGUUCUAGUUUUAGUGUAUUGAUCUAGCUAAUUGUAAGCUCUGCUAGCUAAACAUUACAUACAUGAAUGUCUUUCUUUAAUUAUUGUCCCUCUUUUCCUGAAAUCAGCCUAACUUCUGGCAAGAUCCAGAAAGUGCAGUCAGGAGAGCUUACUGUAUUACUGAUACUACAAUUUUGGAGAAAGCAGUUGAUUUGGGUAAAGGUGGUUCAACUGCAGUCACUGCAAUAUUAAUCAACUGUGAGAAGCUGGUAGUAGCAAAUGUCGGUGAUUCUCGGGCAGUCAUAUGCAAGAAUGGUGUGGCAAAACAAUUGUCAGUUGAUCACGAGCCAAGCUCAGAAAGGGAGCAUAUUGAAGGCAGAGGAGGCUUUGUGUCAAACUUUCCAGGUACCAGUUUUACCUAGAGAUCAGCUAAUUUUGUUCUGUUUCCACCUGGGUAAUAACGAGUGUUCCCUCAAGGCUUUUCUAUAAUUUGAGAUGACUUACCAUUGCAUAACUGUGAAAUCAGUAUAUCAUGGCUGGUUCUGUUUACCGGGGGAACAUUUGCUUAAAUGGGGAUUUGUGGUUCUUUUACUUGUAGACAUGGUGUUUGAUCAUUAGCAUGACAAAUUUUCUUUUACGAAUUCAGGGGAUGUUCCACGUGUUGAUGGACAAUUGGCGGUGGCAAGGGCAUUUGGUGACAAGAGCUUGAAAAUGCAUCUGAGUUCAGAACCACAUGUGGUGAUGGAGACGAUCGAUGAUGAUACAGAGUUUAUUAUCUUGGCAAGUGAUGGAUUAUGGAAAGUUAUGUCGAACCAAGAUGCAGCAGAUGCCAUCAAGAAUAUAAAAGAUGCUCGGUCUGCUGCAAGGCACCUUACUGAAGAAGCACUUGCUAGAAAUAGCUCAGAUGACAUUUCCUGUGUUGUCGUAAAGUUUAACUGAUAGUAGUAGAUGAGAUCCCUCUCCUGUUUCACAGAGGACUGUCUUUAGUUAUUUGUUAUGCACCUUGGUAUAUUGGUGAACGUUCAUCGGUAUACUGAUCUGCUGUGCCAUAUAAGAAAACCUGUUUGUGUUCUUAUUAGGAGUUUAUUAGAUGCAAGAAGCAUGCUACGGACUUGUUUCUUGUUGUUUAUACAGUUCCUGAAGCAUAAAUGUAGCUAAUACUUUAAAGAUGUUAACUGUAAACAAUGUCAUUUGUUUGCAUUCGCUCAAUUAUCUGUUCUGAUAUGAUAUGUUCUGCUCAGAUAAUGAUGCAAGUAGCUAUGAUCCUUGUUAACUUUAUAGUUUAUAGGAACUAAGAAACCUUGAACCCUAGUUCCGCAUCAAACAGUAUGUCUAGAAUUAAAAUGAAGCUGAGAUUGAAGUUUGCAGUGGACAAUUUAUUUGCGUAACGAUUGAUUCCUCAGGAAUCAACAAGUUCGGAUGGUAGCAUUUAACAUCAUAUCUAGAAUAGCAGUACAAAAACUCUUAAGGCCAGUCACCAAAAGUAUAAAGUAUUUAUUGUUACCACAAUUUAUUCGAAGGGUGCAUCACACCGGGAGAAUCAAAGAUAAUUCUACUUCAUGCAUAGCCUAGAUACUGCUGUUAGGAACCACCGUAUGCCGGCGCUAAAGGAACCUUAGAAUGACAGAAGAGAGGAGGAGCCUAAGGAUGACAGAAGAGAGGGAGCAUCCUGCAAUGCAGAAAGUUCCGGUCUUAUUUGAUCUAGGAAUGCUUGUAAGGUCUAUUCACUUGGACAGGUGUCUACAGUCUAUUAUUUUCGUCAGCUUGUCUGAACUGAUCGUCCUACUGAGGACCUACCCCUCUGCAGCUUGAUCCUUCACCAGUUGUUUCAGCUGUGCUCUUCCGACGCCUCUCAUUGUGUCCAGCCAAACGCCUACGGCAACUCCUUUUCGUUUCAUCAAAUUCAUAUAGCUCGUGGAACCUGCAAUACAAAGCAAGAGACAUUACAACCUAGAAACUGAAACAUUUUUAGAAUCUGGAACUAGACAAGAAAGCCUUGGGAGAUUUUAAAAACAUUAUUCUUGGCAAGGGUGGCUGUUUGAUAAAGGAUCAAGAAGCACUGAAGCAUGUACCGCUAUGUUAGCACUUAAGACUUAUUCAUUUAGCACUAGUUUGUUCAGUUAAUGGUGAAGAUGUAGCUUCUCGAAGUGGUCAAAGCACAUUUAAGAUUUCUAACCAACACAUCCAAGCAGAAGCUGAUCACAAUAGCAAAGAAUCCGUAAAAAUGGUACCUGCUGCAUUGCUGACAAAACCUUUGCCUGAGACCAGCAACAAUCACAACAGGAGCCUUGGAAUGAGUUUCACAGACCUUGUGGCGCCUGUGGUAUCGUCUUGCAUCGGUUAAAUCAGUUCCGCACUUCUCCACCAUGCAACAAGGUGAUGAAGUCCCGGCAGGCGCUGCUCUUCUUCCGGUCGCUUUCUUCUUUCUUUCAUCGUCUGCAUAACAAUCAACACCACCCUCUUCUUCUUCCAUAUCGUUGUCCAUAUCGUCCUCAAGAAAGCAAUCCUUGACAGUCUUUUCCUUUAGCUAGCGAUGUGCUUCAAGGCUUGCCGCAUCCAUUGAUAUAGCAGGUGUGUUUUUACGAUGGGAGUGAAUUUGAUGAUGAAAAAUGUUGAAGCAAAAGUGGGGAACUAGAAGCAAUGAAGUGAGUUAAUGGAAAAGGUGAAAAGACUGGAGGAGGACCACACCCUGCUUUUGUUGUUUUUUGUAAAUGAUUAGAAGCUUCAAAAGAAAAAUUUAUUAAUUGGGUUUGUUAUNNNNNNNNNNNNNNNNNNNNNNNNNNNNNNNNNNNNNNNNNNNNNNNNNNNNNNNNNNNNNNNNNNNNNNNNNNNNNNNNNNNNNNNNNNNNNNNNNNNNGAUAUUAGUGCCAGUUAGGCACAUCAAUAAUUAACACCCUAGGUGGUCCACUUUCCUGAAAAUGAUAAAUAAAUCAAGAAGUUCAGAAAUUUUAUUGAUUGAUUAUUUUUGUUUAAUUUCAGGACAUAAAAUUUUGUCUUAGACAUCUGGUAAAUGGAUGAUACAAGGAACCUAAGCAAACUCUGGAAUUUUGUACAAGUUAGAUAUUUAUACUAUUUUGAGUGCACUUAACCAAUGUAUAGAACAUUAGCCAGCUGCAGAGAGAGACUUGUAAAGAAACUGUAAAUUUCUCUUAUCAACAUUUUAUGAAACUGUCCUUUUACGGUUGGUAGUAGGACAGAUACAGCAAAUGGUUAGGUACAACAUUACCUGAAGAAAGAAACAAAAAUCAUAAAGAUAGAUGCAUUAUCUUUAACACUUUCUCAUAGAAUUUAUUGACCUGUACUCCAUUUUUUUGCACAUCAACAAUCAUAUAAACACUAAACUGGGGUAAAUGAGAAUGAUAAAUAAACUUUCUCGAGAAGUUAAAUGCUUGGAAAAGUGUUUUUUCAUUGCCAGUAGAGCUUUGAGAGAGACAUCGAAUUCCUCAGUGGCCUGUACAGCACUAAUGGUUCGCAAAAUUCUGCUUCUACUAGAGCUGGACAAGUAAUGCUACAGAAGAGUGCUCUAUGCUUUUCUAUAGAUCAAGAGUCUUUACUUCAUGCUUUAUGCCCACUUUAUCUUCUUCUGUCGUUGCUAGAUGUGAACUUAGCAGCUACUUUGAUGAAAAUGAACUUUAUGUUUUCAUGCCUGUGUGUAUUGAUUCCUUCAAUUGUAUCCAUCAAAUGUCAUUUCAUUUGGAUAAAUUUUAAGAUUGCCCUUUUAUCUUAACAAGAAGCCUUUCCUUUAAGGAGAUUUCGAUGAAUUUUUGGAUCAAACUCAAUCACCAAUGUUUAUUUAUCAAACCAAAAGCAGAUUAAAGAACUAUGCUCAAGUUAUUUUUUACAGUGUCAAGGAACAAAAGAUACUCAGGAAAGAAUGAAUUACUGACAUUGACACAACACAAUGUUUCACGUGGCUAUUGUAAUGAAAAAUUGUACCAAAGUUUAGAGUAGAUAACUACAACUCAAAAUCUUGGAAGGAGAGAGAGACAAGAGCAAAAGAGGUUAGAUACUCUACUUAAAGAGGGUUUCCGUGGGUCACUUGUAGUUGUAGAAAUUGAAUGAAAGCUUCCAGAACUAAUGCUGAAUCAGCCACCACAUUUUCCUGGCUUAUUUUCUUUCUUAUGGGUCCAUAUAUUUUCUUGGAAGUACUUAAGAUGGCUUCGUAUUUUUUAAGAUAAUAGUAACUACAACUGUCUUGCGGUUCAAACACAGGAUUUCCUGACAACUCGCUUAUUCAAAUUCCAUUGAGGCAAUAAAACACUCCAUUGAUUUUUCAUGCAACAGCAUUAGUGUUGAAGUCCGCAUUUUAAUAGCUAGGUUUGAAUUUAAUUAUAUUUAUCUAUUUAAUUUUUUAUCUUUGUUUGUGUGAAUUUAUUUUAAUUAGAUUAUUUGAGAUAAGGUAUAAUUCUUUUUAUUUUUAUUUUAAAUAAAUUAUAAGGAAUUAUCUAUCUUUAUGAUAUAAUAUAUAUUAUAAAAGCAUGUGUUUUUAUAAAACUUAAACCCUUCUUAUUUCCCUAUGAUUUAAAACUCUUUAAUUAAACAAACGUAUAAAAGCAAAAAAAUUCUAGGGUUUUCUUUUAUGCACGUUUGAAAGAAAUUUUGAGGUAUUAAUCCUUCUUUAAUACGUGCUCUCUAAUAUGAUCUUAUGUGUUUGAUAAUGAAUGCAUGCAUUGUUCUCUUUAUUAUGAGUUACGAGCAGUGUGUUUUGAUUAUUGUUUUUUUCCAUUAUUUUUAUUUGAUUUUUGUACAAAAGUUUCCAUAAAAUUAAAGUGGACAUUCUAAGGUUUUCAAUGAUAUAUUUUGUACAAAGAGAUUCCAAAUAACCAAUUUGUUGUUAAUUUUCAAAUUUGGAACAGUGGUGCUGGAAAAUUUCGAUUUUCAGCAGUGUGUUUGAAUUUGCCGAUUUUUCUGACUAUCCAAAUAAUCUUUGAAAAUUAUGUUGAUUUUUUUUUAUCCUCAUUAUGUCACUUUAUUUUUAAUUUCAUAAUUUUUGGUUUAUGUUGAGCUGCUGCAAUCCUGGAGAUUGCUUUCCAUAAUUGCAAUAGUUGAUGGUAAAAUUAUUUUAGGCUGUUAAAAGGCUUUAGAAUGACUUAUAAAAAUUAUAUUCGUAUAAUAUUAUGAGUCCUCUAUGAUUUCAAGUUUAUUAGACUAAUUUUCAUUCAGUUAACAUUAAGUUAUGAAUUUUUAAGUUGCAAAACACAAACCUGAAAGUUUCUAGACAAGUUUGCUAGUCUCUCAAUAUAAAUUCGUUUAAAAUGGUUUUACAUCUUCAAAACUUCUAGAAAUUUGAUACAUUAUUUCUUGACGUUUUUAUUGUUGUAAAAUCAAGUGGUCUAAUUUAUGAGUUUUAUUAAAUAUUUUAUGAAUUUUCUAAUACAACUACCUUUGUUUUUAUCACUGCUGGAUAGUGUGAAUAUUUGCAUGUAAAAUUCUUUUUGCAAUAUAUUUAUGAUUAUUCAUUUUUUAAAUCUUUAUAAAUUCGACACAUGUGAAUGAGGAAUCACCGAAUUCAGUCAUAACAAGCUCACCAACUUCAGAUUUUAUGUUUUUUUUUUUAAUUUUUUACAAUUUUCUGACAUAUAAUUAGCUUGGUAAAAAUUAACUUGUAUAUGAUGGUCAGGUUGAGACAGUGGCCACCCAGAAACUUAAAUUGGGGGGGUUUAGUUCAAAAAAUUAUAUUUAAUUUAGGGUUUUUUUUUUAUGUUCACUUGAAUAUAUUUUAAGUCUCAUAAACUCAAAUUCCAUUACUUUCUUUUAAAUUCUAAAUUAUAAUAGUAAUAAAUUAUUUAUUUUAAAUGCGUGAAAGUAUCAUUUUUCUAAGUAGUUUCCACAAAAUAUUUUAAAAAAAUAAUGUGGUUAUUGGGAUUUGAACCAAGACUUUAAAACCAUCAAAUAACACUUUUAACAUUAAACUACAAGUCUUUUGUUAUAUGAAAAAUGUGUCUAAAUUUUUUUUAUUUAACUCUUUUAGAAGGGAUUUGAGGUACAUUUAAAAGAAAAAUUAAUGGCCAUAAAGCCCCUCUUGGGUCUUAGUUGGGUUCGCCCAUGGGUUGAGACUAGCUUUGAUAGUUUAGUACUUAUUACUAGACUUGAUUAUGUUGGAUUUAUAUUAAGGUUAUAAUGAGUAAUAAUAUUGAUAACAAUGUGUCUUGAUGUUUUAGGAUGACAGUGAGCUCAUGGUUGAAGUUACCAUCUUUUUAUUGUUAAAGAUCGAGGUAAGUAAAUUCAUGCAUGAUAUAUGCAUUUCAGUAUUAAAUUACUUUUAAUUCGAGUUAUGUAUUAUGUUGAAUGAAAAGUACAUAAAAUUGAUUUGUUUUAGUCUAUUACAAUAUUUUGUUAAGUAAAAUCAUUCUUUGAAAUUAUUUAUAACAAAACUUAAUUUAUUAAAAACUUGUUUUAUAAGUUGUCUUAAAAACAAAAACUUUAAUUAAAUUGUUUUAAGUCAAUUACUUUGAAAUAAUUAUUAAUUAUUUAAAUGUGAUUUACGGAAGCUUAUAAAUAAUUAAAAGUUGAAGAAUGAUUUUAAAUAAAUUGACUCAUUGUUUGUAGUGAUAUUAUGUUGUGUUAUGUUAUGGAAGACUAUCCUGAUUUUGUGCUCGUAUGAUUUUAAUGUUAAUGAUUCUUGUAUGUGGGAUACGGUGCCGCCCUGAAUGAUGUUAUUGGCUUUGUUGAUCAGCUACGAUGGUAGUAAAACUUCCCCAAAAAGCACUUCCUUCUAGCAACAAAACAGUCACUAUGAUUCUGCAAAAUAUAGGACCACCAUCAGUCUAUCUUUCUUUUCUUUCACCUCCCACUCUUCCGCGUCGCUCUUUUGAUAUACAUGCAGAAACAAACAUAAUGGAUGUCACACCAAUUUAUGGAAUGAUUCAAGUGCCCAUCACUCUCACUAUUGAGUUGGAUUUUGGUCCAAAAUUCCUUCUUCGUUCUUCAGUUUCUAAAGCACCAUGUGUUAGAAACCUCAUUGAUACCUUCAUUUGUUAACUCCAAAUUUUUCUCCUUUCCCUUUAUAUCAUGAUAAACCCUUGUGUGACCACUAUUGGUUACUUCAAUUGGUAAAAUUUAUCGAUCUACUUGUAAAUUUUUUUUGAAAUAAUAAAACGUCUCGGAAUCCCGCAUUCGAUACUUUAAUAGAUCAAUUUUACAAUGCAUUUAAAUCACGUAAGAAUUGGCAAUGCCGCCAAUUGGCCUUUCUUCAUUUUCUUAAAAUAUUUUCCUUGGCUUUAUUCUGCAUUGCGAUUUUUUUUUCUUGGUGCAUUUUUCAAUCUUACUGUUUUCAAUCCGACAAACCUAGCUAUUAAAAUCUCAUUUCAAUUAGAAUAUUACUAGUUAUCAAAAUCUCAUUAAAUUGUUUCAAUUAGAAUACAACCUAAUUAUCAAAAUCUCAUUAAAUUAUUUCGAUUAGAACAUAUCCUAAUUGCAUUGGUUUAACCCACUAAUAAAACGAUAUCUAUCAUUUAUUACCCGCUUCCACUACCCCAUCUAGUAUUUAUCUAUCCGCUUCCACUACCUUGCUACGUCAAAACUACAAGUGAAGAAGAACUUCAUAAUCUCAUGCAUUCAGCUGGUAUCAGUUAUUAAUAAAAAAACCAAAUAGAGAUAAGAUCUUUAAAAUUAUAAUUAUUCCAAAAUUUUAAGCUCUAAUUUGUUGUUGUUGUUAUUAUUAUUAUUUAGUUAUUUUUCUAAGUUUAAUGGUUUUGUUGAAGUUGAAUAUUAUAUGAGAUGAGUGUUCGGAGAAUUUAUUUAUUAAUUUUCUUCGUAAGUGUAAGAAGAAUUUAUUUAUUUAUUAUGAGUGUAAGAAUUUGUUAGCAAGCAUUCAACUGUAUUUGUUUGUUCACUCUACGGAAGCAGUGUCUCGUGUUCAAUUAAUCGAAUUAUUUAAAAAUAAUAAUAUUCAUACCUAAAAGAGGCCAUGCAUGUCACAUUAUUCAUGCAUAGCCCAAAAGACAAAAGCAUUUCGGAGCCACUAAUUAAAAGCGCUUUCAAAUUGCUUGUCAUCAAUCAGAUGCCUUAUCAUACCCAUAUGCUCGUUGAAAAAAUAGCAUAUUAGUAUGUUAUUUUGAGGGCACAUUUUGAGUGGGAUUCACUUAACAAAAGUGAAAAUAUUGAGAGGUUCAGAUUUUACUCUGUGAAAACUUCAAAAUGAUAUAUCUUUAUUUACUUAAAAUGAUGUUUGGUAGAAUGAGAAAUUGACUCUCAAAGUGCACCCCUGAAGUUGAAAAAUUGAAAGGAAAUGAAACUUAUCGCAGAAGGGAAAAAUAAGUUAAGGGAUCUGUGUUUAUAUAUAGAUAUUUAUCCAUACAUGAGCAAGAAUUGUAGGGAUAGAGGCUCUCUCCACACGCGCGUGCACGAGGCGCAAAUCCGAGAUCGAUUUGGUUGAACCCGCUCAUCCUACUUACACGAAUGUCGGCCCCAAAUCACCUAGACCCGCAUGGCCACAUUUUUUAUUUCCUUUUAAAUUUUCUAAGAGUUUUCACAAUUAAAAUCAAAAGUAAUUUUUGAUUUAUGAAUAAAUAUUAAACUGUUACACAAUUGAAAUUUUUGAAUUCAACAGGCUGUUACAGAUUUGAAAUUUUCAAUUCAAUGAAAUGUUACAGAAACUAAAAUUAAAUCAUAUAUUGAAUUCGAAAAAUUAAUUUUAUACAAUAGUUAUGUACCCUCAUGUAUAUAAAAAUACAAUCUUUCUCUUCUAUUUUAGAUGCAACAAAACACACAUAGCACUUAAAAUUUCUUUUUCUUUCUCAAACGUUCUGUUUUGAUCGAGAAUCUACACUGUUGUUGUUAACCGAAAUUAUUUGUAUGUGCUUGACAAAUAAUUUAUUUCCGUUGUAUCCUAAAAAACAAAUACCAACAAACCUAAAAACACCGUUAUAAGUGAUAAAUCUGUUUUAAGACCUCGGAUUUUCCCGUUUAAUUUUUUUUCUUCCGUUUAUUUGUUGUUGUUUCCACGAUUUCCAGCAGCUGUUUUAUUAAUUUUUGCUGUUGUUUCAAUUCUGUUGGUAUAGAAUUCCCGUUCUUUGAUAACUUGAUUAUUUUUAAUUGUUCACUCACUGCAAUUUUUUUUUUUUUUUCAAUACUGCUUUGUUCCUCUGAUCUUCAAUACUUCUAUACUCUUGUGUAUCAAUAGGAUCAGAAGUCUUUUUAGCAUCAAAUACUGAAGGAUCUCUGUGAAUGUGAUCAUGAUCACGAUCACCAUCAUCACCACAAAUCACAUUGUCCUUGAUCUUCUCAGUAGUCUCCUUAGCUGCUUUCCAGGCACCAUCCAUUAUCUGCUUCGCCGUGUCCCCAACAUUCUCCGCUGUAUCCACUGCCUUUCUUGCUCCAUCUUUCACCUUAUCAGCUACAAAUCCUGUCACCCCACUCGGUCUGCCCUCGUCCUCGUCUAAUGCUUCUUGCUUUGCCUCGUAUAGGCCAUCCCUCGAGGCCUCGGUCCCGGCUUUAUGGUCCGUCGAUUCUGCCACUGCAUUGCUACCCUGCAUUUUAAGAUCAUUGAUGAACACUAAUACCUCAACUGAGUAUACAUACAUACUUAUUGAAUGUUAAGUACCAACAAAACGAAAUUAAAUUCGAACUGUUGAUAUAGGCACAAGAGAUUUUACGAAUUGAACCAAUUAAGAACAAGCAACAGAUCAACAAUUAAUAAUUUUUUUAUCACUUCCGAGACUAAUUGAUCUCUUAUAAACUCAACUUGCAAAAAUUAUAAUAUGCCUAAUAGAAAUUAAGCUAAAUUUAGCAAUCAAGAAACUAGCGUAUAAGUGUAACAAAACUCAAUUCGACCUCUAGAUUAUUAAAAACAAAAAAUAAAUAAAUAAAGAAAAAGAAGGCAUGCACAUCUAAAUCUAUUAAGAAUUUUUUUUUUUUUCCCUUACUUCACUUUAAGAAUCUAAUAAAUAAAUGGAGAAAAUAUCAAUGUAGAUGCCCUCUAAAAGUAGUAAAAGCAAGAAAUAGUAAAAGCAAUAAAGAUAAGGGCAUAUGAAUAAUAUACAUGAGCAUGCUCAUAAGCAGAGGAAAGCCACCGAGAUCUAGAGAUUCUGCUCGCGGAGUGGAAGUAGUGAUUAGGAAAGUCUUUUGAUGAGGUCUUAGAGAUGUUAAUGGUAAUCCUUUUUCCCCAAAAUAGUGCUGCCAUUUUCUUAACCUCUGUGUGCUUGCUUUUGCUCGUUGGUUCUUCCCUGUCUCCAUUUAUUCUAUGCUUGUCCUCGAAUACGAUGGGAAUGUCGUGUUUAUUGACGGACACGUGGAUCGAAUUUUGACAUGUGUCACAGCUCUAAUUUCACUAACUAUUGUAGUUUCUCAACACAUGUUGUUUAAUAAUUUUUUUAUUUUAUUUUUUAUUUUUAUGCUUAGAUGAUUAAUUUUAUUUGCACGGUCCACUGGGCUCUAAUUUUAUGUCCCACUUGUUUUUUUUCGGAUCAUCGAUGGUGGUGGGCUUGUUAUUGAAACGUAUACCGAAAAGUUUAAUUUUUUUUCGGUUGUCACAACUUUUACCGGAGCACGUUCGUCCCUUUACUGAAUCUACCUGCGUUUUUAAAGUGCGUAUGGUAUAUUAUAUUUUAUUAUAUUAUAUUACAUUAAUAAUGUAUUAUAAUAAUAUUAUAUAAUAUUUGGUGCUAUAUUAUACUGUAAAUUUAUAUUAUGUUUGGUGUUGCACUGUACUAUAUUAAUUUUUUGUGAUUAGUUUAAUAUUUGUUAGUACUUAAAAAAAUACUAAAUAUAAAAGUUUUAAAUUUUAGGAAUUUAACAAUUUUGUUAGUGUAAAUGUUAAAAAAAUAUUAACUUUUCAUAAAGAUCGAAGCUUAUAUCUUUUAAUUUUCGGAAGCAUAGCAUUUAUUUUUAGUAUUUUCUAAAUAUAUAACUUGUUAAAUAUCGAAGCAAAUAAUUUAAUCAAAUAAUUUCUAAAUAAUAUAACAACAAAAAUAAAUAGUUAAAACCUAUACGAUUAGUUUAAAAGUCAUCUUAGGAUGAUAGAAUGAAAAUCUAUGCACACCACAAAAUAAUCACGAAAUAAUAAAGUGACAUAGUUGUUAUAACUUAUUUACUAACAAAAUAAAUUGUGCUAAAUAAUCCAAGUAAGAGUUUUGUAGCAUAUGUAAUAAUAUUUUAUAUUAUUAUUAAUUUUAAAUUAAUAUAUUGAAAUUUAUUCGUAUUUAAAUAUUUAUUAUUUGUUAUAUUAAAUUAUUUAAAAAUAAUUAAUUUUUAUAUGUUAACUAUCAUAAUAUAAUUAAAUAAUGUAAUAUUAUGUUAUAUUUUAUGUACAAUUCAAGUAUUUAUUAUUAGUCAUAUUAAUUAUAAAUUUAUUAAUAAAUUAUAAUGUAAAAACAAAAAAAUAAUAUAAUAUUAUAAAUUAAAUUAAAAUAUAAUAUAAUAUUAUUGAAUAAUAAAUCAUAAAUUUAUUAAUAUAAUGUAAAAUAAAAAUUAAUAUUAUUAUUUUAUUACUAUUAUUAUUAUUAUAAAGUAAAAGUAAAAAAAAAAAGUGGAAAAAAAAAAAAGACAAGCUAAUGCGGCAACCGCCACAUUAGCACGGUCCCUUAAUGCAUUGCGAUUUCUCAGUUCUCACCAAACAAAGGAUAGCAUUAGUUUAGUGAAGAACAGUUUUAUAAUGCCGUGUAAUGCUGUCUUCCAAACACACCCUUUAAGGAAAUCUUUAUCUGAUUCAUGAGUUCCUUCAAACUAUCACGUUCUCCAAUGCUGUGGGUGCGAGGGUUAUAACUUCUUUGUAAUUGGAAACUAUUGUCAAAAUCCCAAUCAAACUCCCCAGAAGGUCACCUUUAGCAGGAUAUGAUCGAGCUGAAUUGAACUUCGGGCUUAGUCUAUGAUCCAUCUGAUCCGGCGAUUAAGAUCCAAGAGCGUAUUCAAGUAUUGGUGUGGCUCAAAUUUACUCCUGUUGUAAAUUUGACUCUUUAACAUUGGCUUGGCUUGAGCAGCUGUUGAUAAUUAAUCUUCCAGUGUUAAGAUAAUAGAAUUAGUUAAGAUGGUUUAGUUAGUUAAGCUCAGUUGAUUUGUUUAAUCAAGUUUGUUAUUAAUGCUGACUUGGCAGCUGAGCUGGAGGAAGGUUGUUAUGCUGUUAGCUAAAGCUUAAACAGCAUGUAGAAGAUUCGAAAUGCUUGUAUAUAUACAUCCUUGUAAAACCAUUCAGAUUAAUGAAAUGAUUCACAUUCGUUCUCUCUUGUUAUUUUCUCUCUGUAACUUUCUUAGAAACCAAACAAAUACUUUACAAUUUAACAUGGUAUCAGAGCCAAACUAAAAGCAAAAAUGGCGUUCUCAAGCUCAAAUCCAAACACAGCAAUCUCUGUUUCUUCAUUCACUUUCACUUCUCCUAUUAAGCUUGAUCGAUCGAACUACACAAUCUGGAAAUCUCAGAUUCUCUCUUCAGUACGUGCAAAUGGUCUUGAAGAUCAUUUCGAUAGCUCCAAGUCAUGUCCAGAUCAAUUUCUUCAAAGUGAAUCUGAGAACUCUGAAAUUGAAACUCGAACAAGUCCUGAGUUCACUGCUUGGAAAAGGAAGGAUCAAAUGCUGCUGAGCUGGAUGCUGUCUUCUAUAAAUCUCGAGAUCCUCAGCCUUGUGGUAAACUCUGAAACUUCACUUGAACUUUGGACUAGUCUUGAGCAACAAUUCGGAUCUGAAACCUUUGCUAAAAAGGUUCAUCUUAAGAUGAUGCUUAACAAUCUUAGAAAAGGUUCAAUGUCUAUGACUGAAUUUUUUGGAAAACUGAAAACAAUAACUGAUGAUUUAGCUAUAGCUGGAAGCCCUGUUAGCUCUCUAGAUUUUAUUACACAUCUUAUCUCUGGGCUAGGUCAACCAUACUACCCUGUGGUUGUGUAUAUCGAGGCAAAUCUAGCAAAAAUGACUGUUAAUGAAGCUUACUCAAUGCUUUUAACUCAUGAAGCUAGACUAGAAGCACAUCAGUCAAAUGCUAGCAAGGAAGCUAAAUUGACUUAUGCUGCAAAUGUUGCUCAAACUGGAACUAAUACUAAGUUUGGAGGACAGAAUAAUGCUAACUGGAUUAGGAAUGUCAAUAAUAAUAAUGGUGGCAGAGGAGCCUUUGGUAGAGGUUUUUCUCAAGGCCGAGGUAGAGGAAAUUGGAAUGGAGGCUGGAAUAAUAAUGCUCAGUCUGGAAAUUAUCAAGGCAGAGGAGGAUUUGGUGUUAACAAUGCCAAUAAUUUUGGUGCUAAUAAUGGAAAUUUUGGUGGAAACUUUGGUGGCUUCACUAAUGGAAAAGGUGCUUCAGAUCCAAAUGGAGCUGCUGUAAUCUGUCAAAUAUGCUUUAAGCCAAAGCAUACUGCAGCUGAAUGCAGGAACAGGUUCAAUAAAGAAUUUGUGCCUUAUUACAAUCCAUAUUCAGGCUAUAAUUCAUAUCAGAAUCCUGGACCAAGAGCUUUCUAUCCAAAUUCAGCACCAAGAGCUGCUUUCCUGGCAACCUCAGAAGGUGACAUGGCUGAUCAAGGUUGGUAUGUUGACAGUGGGGCAACACAUCAUCUCACCAACAACCUGCAGAACUUGAACCUUGGAAGAGAAUAUUCAGGUAAUCAGCUACUACAUGUUGGUAAUGGCCAAGGUCUGAAAAUUACACACAUUGGAUAUACUUGUCUCCCCACUUCCUGUGAUUCUUUUCUGCAUUUACAAGAUAUCUUGUGUGUACCUCAUCUUACUAAAAAUCUCAUAAGCAUUUCCAAAUUGCUUGAAAAUACCAAUUUAACCAUUGAGUUUGUUGCCAAUAUGUGCUUUAUUAAGGACAAGAGGAAGGGAGUGCAUCUGGCUCAAGGGAUUGCUAGAGGAGGACUGUAUAAGUUGCUGUCUAAGGAUGACUGUCUCUCCAGUUCAUGUGUCACCAGUCAUAAUCCUAGUUCUAUGCUUUCUGUUUUUAACCAAUCAGCUUGUAACUUUUCUGGUUUGUCUUUGAAUAAAGUUUGUACUCAAACAAGUAAUUCUCAGAGUCAUUUGAGCACUGUUAACCCAGCUAUGUUUGCUAAUGUGUUACACCAAAGAUUUGGUCAUCCUAAUAAACAUGCAUUGAAAAACAUAUUAUCCUCUCUUGCACUUCCUGCAUCUAUUCCUGAUUUUUGUGAUGCUUGUCAAUAUGGUAAAAUGCAUCAACUUUCCUUCUACUCUACAGGCAUAAAAACAAAAACUCCUUUAGAACUUGUAUAUACCGAUCUUUGGGGUCCAGCAUCUAUACCAUCUCUACAUGGAUAUAGAUAUUACAUUAGUUUUGUGGAUGAUUACAGCAGAUACUGCUGGAUUUUUCCAUUAACCCUUAAGUCAGAAGCUUUAGAUACAUUCAAGUAUUUCAAAACCUUAGUUGAAAAACAACUUGGUUUCUCUCUAAAGUCUUUACAAUCUGAUUGGGGAGGGGAGUACAGAAGCUUUGAAAAAUUUCUUGAGGCAGAAGGGAUACAUUUUAGGCAUAGUUGUCCUCACACACAUCAUCAAAAUGGUGUAGUUGAGAGAAAGCAUAGGCAUGUUAUAGAAACUGGGUUAACACUUCUUGCACAAGCUAAAAUGCCUUUAUCUUUUUGGUGGGAGUCAUUUCAUACAGCUUCCUUUCUUAUUAACAGAAUGCCAACCCCAGUGUUGAAUAAUGUUUCUCCUUUUGCCAAACUUCAUGGUAGACCACCAGAUUACAAGUUCCUUAGAACUUUUGGUUGCUCUUGCUUUCCUCUUCUCAGACCCUACAAUAACCAUAAACUCAAUUUUCAUACACAAAAAUGCCUAAUGAUUGGCUAUAGUCCUAUACACAAGGGAUAUAAAUGCCUGGAUUCCACUGGUAAAACAUACAUUGCUAGACAUGUUCAGUUUAAUGAAUCAGAAUUUCCUUAUUUUGAACUCUUUCCUACAAAGUCUGAUUCACAACUCUCAUCCAUCCAACCAAGUCAAGUCUCUUUUUCAAAUAUUCCAAUUACAGAAGUCAUUCAAGACAGCAACAAUGCACAAUCCUAUGCUAUUCCCUCAAAUCCAGAUGCAGGACCUGAUUCAAGUCACUCCCAUACAUCUUCAGCACAUUCAUCUCCAAGCCAUUCAUCUCAAAAUUUAUCACCACACAUCCAAGUUCAUCAGCCAGUACAGACAUCUUCAGUUCAGAACAUUCAUUCCAUGACUACCAGAUCAAAAGCUGGUGUGUUUAAGCCCAAGACAUACUUAACAGUAGCUCAAGAGCUUGAACCUUCAUCUGUUAAAGCAGCUCUAGCAGACUCCAAAUGGCAACAAGCUAUGCAAGAAGAAUUUGAUGCACUACAAAAGAAUCAAACCUGGGUUCUUAUUCCUCCAGAAACAGCUGGGAAGAUUGUUGGAAACAAAUGGGUAUUCAGAAUUAAAUAUAACCCUGAUGGCAGCAUAUCAAAGUACAAAGCCAGAUUGGUUGCCAAGGGGUUUCAUCAGACACAAGGGGUGGAUUUUUUUGAAACUUUCAGUCCAGUUGUAAAGCCCUGCACCAUCAGAAUAAUUCUGAGUCUUGCUGUCAUGAAUCAUUGGACAAUUAGGCAGCUAGAUGUUAAUAAUGCCUUCCUUAAUGGCAUUCUUAUAGAGGAUGUUUUUAUGCAUCAACCUGAGGGUUUUGUUCAUCCUCAAUUUCCAGCUCAUAUCUGCAAACUCACUAAGGCACUUUAUGGACUCAAACAGGCUCCAAGAGCCUGGUAUGACAGGUUGAAAGCUUCUUUAAUUCAGUGGGGUUUUGUGACAUCCAAAUCAGAUACUUCCUUGUUUGUUCAUCAUGUGGCAGGAGAAAUUAUUGUGGCACUAAUCUAUGUAGAUGAUAUUUUGAUCACAGGCUCAAAUUCUCUUUUGGUAGAAAAGGUGAUACAUCAGUUGGGUGCCGAGUUUGCCUUGAAAGAUCUUGGGGAGUUUAAUUACUUUCUCGGUCUUGAGGUAACUCCAAAUGUGGAUGGUUUGCACUUAUCACAAACUAAGUACAUUGGUGAUUUGCUCAAGAAAGCUCAAAUGGUGAACUGCAAGGGCUGUUCAACACCAAUGAGCUCAACAGAGAAAUUAGUCAAAGACAAGGGUGAAGUGUUUGAGAAUCCUUCUUUAUACAGAAGUUUGGUUGGCUCAUUGCAAUAUGUUACACUAACAAGGCCUGAAAUUGCUUUUACAGUGAAUAAACUCAGCCAAUAUCUUUCUAAUCCAUCAGUACUUCAUUGGCAAGCUUGCAAAAGGGUGCUGAGGUAUCUGCAGUAUACAGCAGAUCAUGGUUUACAAUUUUACUCAUCUGGAUCACUUAGUCUUACAGCUUUUUCAGAUGCUGAUUGGGGAUCUGAUCUGGAUGAUAGGAAGUCAGUGGGGGGAUAUUGUGUUUACUUAGGCAACAACUUGGUUUCAUGGUCCUCUAAGAAACAGCAUAUAGUAUCUAGAAGUACAGCUGAAUCAGAAUACAGAGCUUUGGCUUUGACAACAGCUGAGGUAUUGUGGAUCACAUAUCUUUUCAAAGAACUAAAAGUGUCUUUGCUGCAGUCUCCAGUUCUCUACUGUGACAACAAAAGUGCAGAAGCCCUUGCUAGCAAUCCUAAGUAUCAUUCUAAAACUAAACACAUUGAACUUGAUCUACACUUCAUUAGAGAGCAUGUAUCUAGAAAGGAGCUGCAAAUUAAUCAUGUUCCAAGUUGUGAUCAGGUAGCAGAUAUUCUAACUAAACCAUUAGCAUUUGAUCAAUUUCAUUAUCUACGGUCCAAGCUCAAUGUUCUUCCCAGACCUUGAGCUUGAGAGGGGCUGUUAAGAUAAUAGAAUUAGUUAAGAUGGUUUAGUUAGUUAAGCUCAGUUGAUUUGUUUAAUCAAGUUUGUUAUUAAUGCUGACUUGGCAGCUGAGCUGGAGGAAGGUUGUUAUGCUGUUAGCUAAAGCUUAAACAGCAUGUAGAAGAUUCGAAAUGCUUGUAUAUAUACAUCCUUGUAAAACCAUUCAGAUUAAUGAAAUGAUUCACAUUCGUUCUCUCUUGUUAUUUUCUCUCUGUAACUUUCUUAGAAACCAAACAAAUACUUUACAAUUUAACAUCCAGAAAAAAGAGCAUCCAUUAUAAGUGGUGGUGCGAUAUUGUUUUGUAGAAUGUUGUGAGAUGAGACAGGGAUGUGAGGCUUUUAUUUUAAGAUUAGUACUCUAAUCCCUCAUGAGAACUGGGCAUCAGUUGUGAUAAUUUUAGGACACAUUCUGGGGAUUAUUUUUAUCUGCAACUGUAGUUAUGAAACAAAUUUAAGAUUCUAUACUGGGAUUGCAUGGAUUGCAGCCAUGCUAACAUCUUAUAUGAGGUGCAGUUAUGGCCUUGCCUGCUUAUUAGGACGAUUCUUCGCAUAUAUAGUAUUUUGUGAGCAAGUUUGCUCUGACUAGGUUUUCCUUUCUUGCGUGAACUGGAUGGUUAGGUUGUAUUCUGUGGGUUUAUAGUUUAUGAGGAAAGUGUACCUUAGAUUUUCAUUCCUCUUCCAUUAAUCACAUCUGGACUGAAUAUGUACAAAAAAUUUCUUCUACCCACUAGACCCCCAGAAAUUUGAGAUAUAGAAUUUUAUCGAUCAGAAAAUUUGGGUUUCAGUUGAUCAUAGACAGUUGUUAGUUAAAAAUUAUGGAUAGAAGAACAAACAUUUUCAUGUUUUAUUUUCUUUUUUCUUUGUGAAUAAAUGAAGAAAACAAAAUUGAAUGCUGUAUUUGUUAAAUAUGUCAGUAAGAAUUCCUAAUCCCCUCUAAUAAGAAUUCCUAAUCCCCUGUAAUUUUAUUUUUGUCCAGGAUUGCGUGCAUGAAUCCUACAGAAACUCUUUGCCACUUCACAGUGUUGAAGUGGAUGAAGAUCGCUCUCCCCUCGAGAGUAGUGGUCCUUCAAGGGGCAGCUAUGAUAUUCUGACAAUUGAGGGUACUUUUUCCAUUUUUCAUUUUUUAUUGUCUUAAAUAGAAAUCAUAAGUAUUAGCAUAUAAUUGCAUAGAUCUAUUUAUGAUCUGUAGGCUUCUUUCUUCAUAAAUUUACUGAUCGCUUUUUCCAUUUUUUUUAAAAUUUAAGCAUCUCUGUUUCUCAGGAAACAGAAAAAAAAAGAAAUGAGAUCAUAAUUAAUAUAUGAAUGGUUUGUGUCUUAAGCGGGCUUUACUAAUUUGAAUGAAGUUUGAACCAGAUGUUUCCCCUAUUGAAUCAGCAAGGGCAAGAUUUCUACAAAUUAUUGUGGAUCAUUUUAUUAAUGACCAUGUGAUUGAAGUGACUGAUUCUGGGGCUGAAUAUUCUCAGCAGCCAGGUCAAGACAAAUUGAGUAAGAGGAAAAACAGAGAUGUCCAGUACGAAGGUGAUCCAAGGUUUGCUUUGCCCUUGAUGUAUGUUGCUAAUAUGUACGAAACCUUAGUUAAUGAUGUAAACUUGAGGCUUGCUUCCUUCAAUGGUAUUCGUGAGAAGACCAUUGGGGUAGCGCUUGAAGCAGCUGGUGGUUUAUACAGGAGUUUGGCCAAGAAAUUUCCUAAGAAAGGUAUUACCUUUUUUUUUUUUGGGGUCUAUUGGUGAAAACAAUAAGUAAUUUUCUGGAUUCUUUUGAACACCGAAAGAAAUUGGUUUCUGUUCAUUCUUUCUACUCAGCACUUUGGCCAUGCCAGUUUGUGUGUAAUAUCAAUUCCCUGAAGAGAUCAGUUUCUUCGAAUGUAGCAUUUAAAAGAAAUAUCAAACUUUGAAACUGACUGAAUUCUUUUAUUUUAAUUGGGCUCAUUUUGCUGUUUACUUGUCAUAUCUUUUACCUAUAGGUUCCUGUACAUACAAACGAAGAGAAUUGGCAACUUCUCUUGAAACAAGGACAAGAUUUCCAGAAUUAGUAAUACAAGAAGAGAAACGAGUUCGUUUUGUAGUGGUCAAUGGAUUGGAUAUUGUUGAGAAACCAAAUAAUAUGCCUAUCGAAGAUGCUGAGUGGUAAGUGAUUUCUUGCUCUUAUUUUUCCAUAGCAUGCCUCUUUCAGAGUUCAGUUGUCCUAUUUAUCAAAUUUUCAGUAGAAAUGAAUUUUCUUUAUUGAAACAUUUAGGGCACUGAUUCUUCAUGGGCAGUGCUAUUCAAAGACUGUUUAAGCUGCUUGCAUUCUAUAGAACAUGUGCAAAGAGAACAUGGAUGUGUGGGCAGUUUAUUGUUACAAGCUUUGUUGGGCUCCUGGUGGAAAAUGUGUUAUUUUACCCUAUAUUGGGUUUAGCAUAUUUGUGUUAGUGGGUUACUUUUGGGUUGUGCCGAGGUAAAAAACUAAAGGCUAAUUUGGGAUUGUUGUUGGGAUGGUCAAAAGCGAUUUUUGAUAAGUUAAAAGUUGAUUUUGGUGUUUGAUAAAAUAAUUUUACCAUUCUAAAACUGAAAAACAAGGAACGGAUGGCUUUUCAGAAUAAGAUAUUGAGCAGUAGGUUUUAUUAUUGAAUAUAAUUCCAAAUACAUUCUCGUCUAAAUUAUACAAAUCCAAAAUUGUCCUUACAUAAAUUAUUCAAUUCCAACUUUAAAUACAUUGAAAAAAAGAAAGUAAAAAAGUCAUUAAGAUAUAAUACCAUUUUUUUAGUAAAAAAUAAAUAAUGUAAGUCAACUUUCUUUGUUUAGAUAUUUGAAUCUUUGUAUCUUUGUUCCUCUUACUUUAAUCUUUUUAAUAUGGCUGUGUUUUUUAAUUUGUUACUGUAAGUUCUAUUUUAGAUUUCGUGCUUUACAAUUUAGAUUCUAUCUUAAGCUUAUCACAUUCAACACCACAAUCUUUUUAUUUGAUGAUUUGAUUUGAAAUUUGCUGCAUUUUUAUUUUUCCCUAAUUGAUACAUUGUUGAAGGUUUAAGAGAUUGACUGGCAGAAAUGAAGUAGCUAUCUCUGCUCAAGACUAUAAAUUUUAUUCUCCAAGACAUAAGUACAGGCGUGUUGCCUCAAAUUCUGUAUCUAACAUCCCAGUUUUGCCUGUAAGAUUGACUCCCUUUUUCCCCUGCAAGCAUGAUGUACUUCAUUGUAUCAUAAUAUUGUCCAAACUGUGAUGUAUCCUAUAGAUAGGAUAUCUGAAAACUUGAAGCAUUGUCUUUAGGUUUCCAUAAUGCUAUUAUUUCAUAUUUAUCACUAUUGUUUUAUUCAUGAUUUUUAAGGUUUAAAACCAUCCUUGGACUCUUACCUAUUUCCCUGAGCUUGUACGUUGCCUCUUGGAUCCAAUCAGAAGUAUGGUUCAGAGUAAAAAAGGACGAGUUACGAAAGUUAGUUGGUCAUUAAAAUAACAUAAAAGAUGAUUAUUUAUAUANNNNNNNNNNNNNNNNNNNNNNNNNNNNNNNNNNNNNNNNNNNNNNNNNNNNNNNNNNNNNNNNNNNNNNNNNNNNNNNNNNNNNNNNNNNNNNNNNNNNUUUCUUAUUUUUAGUAUUAAAUUUUUUUUAUUCUAAUUUCCAUUGAUAUGAUUGAUUUAAUUUAUAACUAAUUUAAACAAAAGUAGAUUUAAAAACAAAGAUAAUACUGUAAACAUUUUUUGUAAGGAAAUUAUUGACUAUUAUGGAAACCGUAAGAAGAUAAGUGGCAUAUAUUAUUGGGAAAAUGACAACAAGCCCCUAAUGUUUGUAAAAAGGGACAUAAAGCUCCUUAACAUUUCAAAAAAGACACAUAACCCUAUUUUUUUUUAGUAAAUUCUAUUUAUUUUAUAGUAAAUUUAUUUUAAUUUAUAAUUACUAUUAUGUCUCAUAAUAAAUAAAUAAAUAUAUUGAAUUAAGGCAAUGAGCCCCCAAUUCUUACUUCGUGUUUGCCCAAUCUACCUUUCAUCCAUAUAUAAGUUUAUUUAAUAUCGCAUUUUGCCUAAUUUAUUCAAGAAGAAAAUAAGUUUAAUUUUAAUUUUAUUUAUUAUUCAUCAUUUUUUUAUCAUCUUAUUUUUGGAAAAAAAUAUAUUAAUAAUCUAGAGUGAAUAACUUGGGUAAAAAUUAAUUACAUCUUAAUUUUUAAUUUUAAAUAAAAAAUUAUUGAUUUCAUUAUAUGCAUCAUUAAUGACAUGUCAUAGGUUAAUAUACUGAUUUAUUUAUUAUAAGGACAUAAUUGCAAUUAUAAAUUAAAAAUAAAUUUACUUUUAAAAAAAUUUUAUUAAUAAAAAAUAGGAUUAUAUGACUUUUUUAAAAUGUUAAGAGAUUUUAUGUCAUUUUUCACAAACGGUAAGAGCCCAAUAUUCUUUUCUCUAUAUUAUUUUCAAUAGAGUACUGGCAAUCUCUCAAAUUUAACACAUAAAUCCAUACAGUGAAAAAAUUCAUUCUAAUUGCAGGACGAGCUAAGAUGGGAAAAUAAAAAAUUCUAGACUUUCAAAUUGCUUGUUAUAAAUAGCAUAAAUAACAAAAACAGCCUGUGUAUACAACAUUUAUCUGUCAGUACAGAGCAGUGACGAAUUGUUUUAUGAGAAACCAGGUCACUUGCUCAAGCUUUCACCCCAACCUUUGAACAACUGUUGCUUUACAGGUAUACCACUAUAACUCCCCAAACAAGAAAAGAGACUUACAAGUUACAAAAGAAAACACAGUAUCGAAUUUCUUUCCUAAGCAGCAUCAAUUCCGAUACCAUCUAGCCAUGUAACAACUUCUUCGAUGAAGGGUCUCCGUCUUGGAUCCUGGUCUAUGCAUUUACAGGCAAUCUCAAGCAUUUCUAAGAGCUGCUUCUCACGAUCCUUGUGCCAUAUUGAUGCAUCUAUAAUUUCAACCUCCCUUUUUUCGGACUUCAUCUGGAAUACCCAUGAUACUAAAUCCCUACAAUUUUUUCCUUUGCAUACUUCAACAGGCCUUCUACCAGUAAGAAGCUCAAGAAGAACGACGCCAAAACUGUAAACGUCACCCCUGCAUGUUGCUGUUAGUGUCUGACUGUAUUCAGGAGGAAUGUAGCCUAAGGUGCCGACCAAAUCUGUUGUGACAUGAGUAUCAUAAGGACGAAGCAGCCUGGAGAGACCAAAAUCAGCCAAAUGAGCUUCAAAUUUUUCAUCCAGAAGUAUGUUGCUGGAUUUUACAUCUCUAUGAACUAUAUGUGGCUCGCAAACCUUAUGCAAGUAAGCUAAUCCACGAGCAGCGCCUUGAGCUAUCUUAAGUCUCACAUCCCAUUUAAGUACCGAAUCCUUAUCAACACUCUCAUGAAGCCAAUAGUCCAAGCUUCCAUUCUCCAUGUAAGAGUAAAUUAAUAAUCUGUCAUUACCAUGCCGACAAUAACCUUGAAGAGAAACAAGGUUUUUAUGCUGAGCUCUUGAGAGGGCUUCCACUUCUGCUUGGAAUUCACGCUCCAUCUGACCGCAAUCCCCAGAAAGCCUUUUCACUGCAGCUUUUGUGCCAUUGGUAAGAGUCGCUUUGUACACCAGGCCAAAUCCACCACAACCAAUUAUGUUUGCUUGGUUGAAAUUGUUUGUAGAUUUUAACAAGUCUGAAACAGUGAGAUCCUUGCAGUCAGAGUUCUGGAAAAGCACCAAUUUCGAUGAAGCAAGUGCUUCAGAUAAUCUCUGCGGCCGGCCCAUAUCCUCAUCAAGAUCAUCAAUUGGGCACCCACUAUCUCUCCUUGACAUCUUAAGCAGCGUAACUGCUAAUAGUAAUGCAAUUCCAACACCGAUACUGAAUGUUAUGGCAAUGAUGCUGCCUGGACCAAACUUACUGUUUGAACCAGAUGGAAUAACAGGCUUCAGCUUAGCAUGCAUAGAAUCACAAGGCGAAUCUAUUUCCCCACAAAGACCAGGGUUACCCUCAAAGCUUGAAUUAGGAAAGCUAUAAAACUGUCCUCCGGUUGGAAUUGUUCCCUGCAAGUGAUUAUUUGCCACGCUAAACUUUGACAGGAAUGUGAGUUUCUCAAAUGAUCCUGGGAUUGACCCAUGUAGAUCAUUGGACGACAAGUCUAAAACUUCCAAGUUCCUUAUCUCCGAAAUGGAACUAGGGAUGGUUCCAGUAAUGUUGUUCCUGCUCAAAUCUAACACAUGGAGAUGCUUCAGUUGUCCAAUUUCAGGUGGGAUUGUUCCAUUUAUCCUAUUAUUGCUCAAAAAUACUGAUGGGGGGAAACUUGAAGCCUGGUUGUAUGGCAGACCAUUAGUGCUCCGGUUGUGCUUUACAUAUAAUGGAAUGCCAGCAGAAGCGGUGGGGUUGGACGAAGUGCAAUUUGAAGAAAUAAGGCUCUUCAGUUCCGUUAAGCUUUUUGGAAUUUCUCCCGUAAGAGUGUUAUUUGAGAAGUCCAAAUAGAACAAAUUCUCCAUCUGACCAAUCCAAGGAGGAAUAUUACCAUCAAAGUGAUUCCAUGACAAAUCGAGAACUUGUAAUUUCUUGCACCUCAACAACCAAACUGGGAUGUGGCCCUUAAGACCACAAUUUCCAAGUGCUAAAACCAUCAAGCUCUCAAAACCACCCACAUUUUCUGGAAUUUCCUCACCAACAAAAUUCUUUGUAAGGAUAAGAGUGGUGAGAUUUUUGCACUGCUGCAGAACAGAUAGUGUGCCGGAUAGGUGGUUAAAGCUAUUGUUUGACAGUGAGAGAAACAAAAGAGAUGUUAGCUUUCCAAAGCUCUCAGGAACUUGGCCACUUAAUUCAUUCUUAGCCAGACUCAAAAUUUUCAAAUCACGGCAAUCGGAUAGGGAAUUUGGAAGAGGCCCAGAAAAAUGGUUGGUAGCAAGAUCAAGGGUACAGAGACUAGACAAUCCAGAGAAAUUGAGAUCAAUAGGGCCAGUUAAAGAAUUGUUUCGAAGAUCAAGUACAUGGAGCUUUGAGCAUAGAGACAAACUCAAAGGCAGUGGUCCAGAAAACGAAUUUGAGUGUGCAACAAAGAACUCUAGUUGUGUCAGGUUCCCCAAUACGUUAGGAAGUUUACCUGAAAACUGAUUUCCAAAAAUAAUCAAUUGUCUGAGACUGGUAAGAUUACUGAUUUUCUCACUUAACUGGCCCGAGAAGUUGUUCACAGAAAGUGAGACAUGCUGCAAUGAUGACAUUGAAUACAAAGAAUCCGGAAGGUCACCUCCAAGCAAAUUGUUAUCCACAUGUAACUGUUUGAGAGAGGGGCUGAGAUCCAAGCCUUGAAGACUGCCCAUGAAAUGAUUCAUUGACAGAUCAAGAAUCUGAAUCUCUUUUGAGGCACUCCAGAUUCGAGAAUUAAGCUUGCCAGUGAAUGAAUUAUUGCUUAUGUUGAAAACAGCAAGAUUUGAAAACUCCCCAAGUUCGAAUAAGCUUCCAUUGAAGGAAUUGCUAGACACAUUCAAUGACUGGAUCAGGUUCAAACCAGCAAGCAUUCCCGAAACUGGUCCUGAUAGCAUGUUAUGGCUCAAAUCAAGAACUUCCAGCUGCUUCAAAUUUGAGAGCUCAACAGGCACUACCCCUUCUAGAUGAUUGCAAGAAAGGUCAAGCAAUUUCAGCUGAUUCAAAUGGCCUAAAGAACGUGGAAUAAUCCCUUUCAGACCUUUUCGGGGCAGAAUCAACAUGGUCACUCUCCCAGCAUUUGAUCCAGUGCUCCCAUGUCCACAGACAACACCAUCCCAUUGACAGCACAUGGAUUCAUUAGACCAUGAUGUGAUGAUAGACCCAUUUGUGAGGUUUCCAGCAAAUUCUUUUAGAGCCAACAAAUCACUUGGAUCACAAGACUGAAAAGGGGUUUGGAGACCCAAACAUGAACAAACAAAGAAAGCUAAGAACAGCCAUUUGAGGCAAGUCAUUGGAACAAAUCCCAGCACCACCAUUGCUGAAACCAAAGAACCCCAAUUUAAAACAAGGCUAAUAGUAAUACAACCAUAGAGUUAUUUCACUCUGAUACUGUUGAGAGCACACAACUUUUAACAUACGAGAAGAAGUCCAAAUAAAGAACCUUUAACUUACAUUCCCACAUCCCAAUAGAACGAACAGCGCUCAACUUGCAACUUGAAGAUGAAGCAUCAAUAUAAAGACUUCAAAUUGAGAUCAGCAAUUCCCACCUGAAACCAAAUCCCCAAAAUAAAGAACUAGUUUAAUCUUAAUAUGUUGAUAAAAGCACCCGAUAUAGAAAGAAAACUUGCAAAUGAAGAAAAUUGAAUGCCAAAAGUAGUAAAGAACCAACUAGCAACAACUUGCAAGUACAGCAAUAACACUUACCAUAAAAGAAGAGAGAAUGUCAAUCGCCACAACCGGUAAAGCCGCCAAAGGAUAUCUCAAGUCCCCACUAGGCAUUAAAACCCUUGACCAAAACCAAGAGACCUAAAAUAAAACCAAUCCAUGUACCACACAUCCCAAAACAACCUCAAGAAAAGGGGGGCAAAAAAGAAUCAUUUUAUUUUUUUCCCAAAUGAAUCAACAAUUAGCAAGAUCCCAAAUCCAAAAAACUAAACACUAGAGAUUUGAAUGUGGUGGGUGCACACAUGCAAGGUGAAGCCGUGAAGAAGAAGCAGAAGAAGAAAAAGAUAGCUAAUAAAGGAAGAAACUUUAGUGGUCUAAACCCAAAAACCAAAAUGCCCCAUCACUUGUACAUGAAGUAAGAGUCUCCGGUGAAGCCAACAUGAGCGGUAAACACUUUUUUUUUUUUUUUCCACAAAUGGGUUCUUUCUCAAAUUUCAAAACUGGACGUCUCUCUUUCUUAUUUUCAAACCCAAAGCCGAAAAGAAAUACAUGAGAUAGAGAAUCUAGAGCAAAGGGAAAGGAAGAAGAUACAGUUCAAAUCGAAAAUAGUCAGGAGGGACAACUCAAAUAAAGAAAAAUAGUGAGGGAAGCAAAGUGCCAAGUGCAGUACAGAAAAAGGAAAGUUCUUUCUCUUUCUCAGUCUCGAUAGAAUCUAUAUUUUAUUUGUUUAUUUAUUGGACAAAGACACUGAGCUCUGAGCAGUGACUUAAGGCUUGAGCUCAGUGUUUGAACCUUGAGCUGACUUUUUUGGACAAAUUUUAACAGUUAAUAAGCAAGUGUGAGUGUGUGACCAUUAAUAAGCUAUCUCUGAACGUCAAUACCUACAUUUGUCUGUUUCUUUGAAAAACUAUUACAUUGUUUAUUUCAUUAUGUUGGAAUAAAUUUGGAUUCUUGUCCCGCGUUUUCAAGAUGCGCGAGUUCACACAGAGAAGCUUUUCAGGAUAUAUUAUUGUAAAUUAAUUACUCUUUUGUUUAAUAUAAUUUUUGAAUACUAAAUAAUUUAAUACAUAAAAAAAAACUGUUGUAUUUAGCUCAAUAUUAUGUUUAUUUCUUUUUUCUCUUUAAGGCUUUAAGCUAUCCAAAGUACUUUUUUUGUGGCUAAAGUACUAUUUAAUUUUUUAAAUUUUUCUUUCAUGGAUGUUUUUAUUUUUUUAUUUAUUACUUCGUAAACAAAAAUAAAUAUUUAAACUCACAUAUUAGCAUAUUGCUUUGCAGAGUGUGUUAGAUUCUUCUUUGAAGGGAUUGAUUUCAUUUCAUAUUAAUUUUUGAAAGAGAAAUUAUUUAAUUUUCAUUUGUGAACGGGGUGGGAGUAGAUUAAGUAUAUGUGAAAUCCUAAAAAAAAAAGACUAAAAAUUGUAUAAAUGUCUCAUGCUAUUAAAUCUCUCAAUUCAAUUUAUGAAAAACCAUUAACAAAAUGUGUGUAACCUUCAUGCUUACAUGGAGACACCAAAUGCAAGGAGCAGCAGAAAAUAUAGUAGUAUAUCGUGGCUGGCGGUGGAAGCACGCGCUUGGAUAGCAAGUGAAAUUGCGAAAAACGAUGAACAUGAAAGGGCCAAGGGAUGACCGGCUAUAACCGGUGGGAGUGAGCGGCGGUAGGCGGACGUCACGGGCAAAUGCCAAAUGGCGUAGAUUAAGAGAAUGUAUUAUUAGUUCAUGUGAACUCACCAAACCCACCUUUUUUUAUUCUUCAUCUUUUUUGAAAAAAAAAAAUAAUAAACAGUUUUAUAACGUUUUCUUUUAAAUAAAUUAUUAAAUAUAUAUAAAAUUUAUCUUAUUCGGAAUGAAAAUAAGGUUGAACGUUCCUUGUUAAUUAGAAAAAAAAGGGAGAAAUAUCUUUUUUUGUUUAUAAAAAAAUGUCACUAUGGAGAUUGGAGUCUCCUUUCCUUUAAUUUAAUUGAAAAUAAAUAAACAAUUUUAAAAAAUUUGAUUUUAAGAACAGAAAGUUCGGAACUAAAAAUCAUUGAAAUUAAUCUGACUCCAAAACCUAUGAAGCUCUCAAUAAUUGACAGAAACGAACAAAUUAAUAAAACGAUUGUGUUUGGUGUAGGGAUUUGAAAUAUUAAUACCAACCCCCACCAAACUUGGACUUUUAAUGAGGAAUGUACACAAAUAGUAUAUGGUGGCCAGCAAAAUUCUUCGGAGAAAAAUGCACAUUUUUUUAUUCGAGAUUGAAUUUCUUUCAUUGGAAUUCUUGAAAAGAUUAUUUGUCUCUAGAAAAAGAUGGAGAACGAUGGGAGGUGGUGAAGCAGACAUUAAAAAUUUCCUUGCUAGCAUGUGUGAACUAUGAUGCAAUAUGAUAUUAAUUUUUAAGCUUUAUUGGGUAUUGUGGUAGUUCGCGGUUUUUAAUUCGUAACUCAUGCGGAAUGGAGUCUUCAGGUGUCAAUAUAUGUAUAAUUUCGUAGAAAUAAUCAAUUUUCUUGCUUUAGUCAAGUUAUAAGUCUUUACCAAAUAUUUUGAUGGUCUAAUUUUAGUAGCAAAACCGCGAAAAAGUUAUACGAAAAAAGUGAUAAAUCUUAAUAGUUCUCUUUUAUUGAAUUACUUAAUUGAAAAAUUAAAGUGUUUAGGUAAGAAUCAUAUCUUAAAAAAAAAAAAGAUACGCUUUAACACAGUAAACAUGAAAAGUGAAUGAUUUGAUUUUCAAGUCAUAAGGAUUGGGAGAGAUGAAAACACAUUUGAAAAUUGAAAUGUCCUAAGAAAUUGGUUGAUUUGAUUUAAGGUCAUAAUGAGGAUACUAAGAGACCAAUUGGAAGUUGAAAACAGGUCAAAAAAUUGGUUUCCAGACAAGUCCUUUGUAAGAAUUGGUCGAAUAAAAUAAAUUUUGGCAUUACAACCGAAGUCUUGUCCACCAUAUUAGUUAAAUUACUAGUGAUUUUACUUUAGUUGAAUUAUUAGUAACAUUAUGGGUGUGAUUUUUUUUCAACCUAAGUAUCGUUAAAUGAUGUGAUUUAUUGAUUUCUAUUAUUAUUUUUUUAAUAAUUUGAUAUGACCUAAUUCUACAUGAUACUAUACUAAUUAAAUAUCUGUCCAAAAAAAAAUUUUACUUACUAGGUGAUAGUUUAGAAGACAAUAGUAAAUUAUCUAAAAGUUAAUAAUGCCGGCAGUGCAUUAUGCAAUUUUAGCAGUUCAUGAUGGCACUUUUCUUUAUUUGAGACUUUUUAGUAAAAUGUGAGCACUCAUGAUUAGUCUUGUUAAGCAAGACUUACAAAAAGCCAAGAAAUUUCGUCCCAUCGAUUGAUGACAUUACCCACGCAAUUAAGCACAGCAAUGAUGGCCAUGUCUAAUUUCAUGGGCUUUUCUACUUUUUCAAUCGUUGACAUUGCUCAAAAGCUGGAAAAGGGCAUCAAAAUAUAGUCCACUUUAGCAUGUUUGUGAUCAUGGUCAUUGGUAAUGGAUGACAAAAUUUAUAUCGAUUUCACUGAUAUUUUGUGAAACUACCAAGGUUUCGGUUAGAUAUUAGGGUCCGACUGUGGCAUUCAAGAAUACUGUACUCCGAAUCUUGGGCAUUAUUAGAUAGUCAGAAAAAAAAAAGGUCAAUAAAAUUUAAUCAUUUAAUGUGCACAAGUUAUGAGGCAUGGUACCUAUAAAAUACUGUAUUCGUAGCCUAAAUAUUAGUAUCGUACAAACAAAUAACUCUUUAAACUAGAACUUGCAUUUGUGGUAUUGAGAAAUUAAAUAAAUCACAGGUGAAUUAUUUUAUAUUUUGAGAAGCAAUCCAAACAGGAAAAAUGGGCAAGUGUUAUAAGAAAAUUUAUUAAAUUUGGGAAAGUAAGUAGAGAGAAAGAGAGAGAGAGAGAGAGAGAGAGAGAGAGCAAGGCAAAGCUAGAGUUGAGAAACUAAGGGUCUACAAUAAAAGUUGGGGAUGCCUAAGCAUAAAUAAGAUAACACUAAAGCUGGACUAUAAUGAAAAGAAAUAAAAUAUGUAGGGGCCAAUGUUGCGAACCUAUUUAUAAAGUCUCAACGCCACCUUCGUAAAAGGCCAUAUCCAACAUGGAUCUGCAGUCAUUAGGCCUUCAGAAAACACGCCGAUACUUAAAUAAAUGUCCAAAAUGAACUUUAUCGUGGGCUUAUCCGUGGCACAACAAGGUCCAAUAAUAUUUAUAAAAUGCAAAUUUCACAACACUUAUAGUAGGGGUUGACAAACUCAAUCCAAUCUAGUGGACCCGAUUCAAUCAAAUCAAAUUUAAUUUAAUUCUAAUGGAUUGAAUAAAUUAUUGUGGGUUAAUUGGAUUAAUUUUUUUAACCCAAUAAUAAUUGGGUUGGGUUGGUUUAAUUAUGAUGAACUCAACCCAACCUAUACAAUUACAACAAUAAUGAUGACAACGAUAUAUUAAUGUUAGUGGACAUUAUGCUAGCUAAUUAUCUAAAAGGUUUGAAUUUGGAAUUCGAGAAAGAGAUGUAGGAAGUCAAAAAUAAAGUUUAGAAGCUCAUUAUUGAAAUUUUCUUAAUUUUAAGGAAGUUGGUUUUUGACCUUUCUUUAUCGAACUCUAGACAAUGAAUAUAAUUUUCAUGUUAUAGCAAAUUUAUAUUUGAUUUCAAUAAUCUUCAUUUCAAGUUUCAUAUUUUUUAUUUAAUUUUUUUAUUUUGAUUUGACAUUUAACCCAACCUCAUGCUUUAAGUUUUGGGUGGAAUUAGGUUAAACAUGUUUAUUUAAUUAGAUUAGGCUGAUUUUAUCUCAACUUAUUCAAUAAUAGGUUGGGCUGGAUUUUCACAAACUCUUUCCAACCCAACCUAGGGAUGACAAUCAAACUCGGGCCCAAACUGAACCCAGAAAAUCUAAUUUGGUUUCAACCUGCACCAAAUCAAUUUUCAUCUUAAAUUCGAAUGAAAUUUUGAGAACCCGAAUACUUCUUAGUCUGGAUUCAGGUUCAAGUGAACCUACAAAUCUGGAACUUAGAUCUGGAUAUUUUUUAUUUUAAUAUUUAUUUUUUAGAAAUUAUUCAAUAUAAAUAAAAAAAAAUAAAAAGGAGCCCUAGCAUAACACUAGUGGCAACAAUCUACUGUUUCCUCUUUUAGUCUCUCACUCUUUCUUCAAAUUCUCUUUUAAUUCUCUUCUUCAAAUCAGAUUAGUCACUGUCGUCAUCACCUCGACUAUCACCACCUUUCCGCUGCAGUUGUGUUAAUCUCGUUAGCAUCACCAGCCUUCUUUGUCGCGACCAGCAAAACAGGUUGAAAUCUGCCUCGAUUGUGGUUGUGUUUUGUGUUCAUCAUCAUAUUCAUAAGCUGGGGUUGUGAAUACUUGUGAGUCACCUUUUCUCUUUGCAAUUUAUGCUUUUUUAUGCUUUGAUUUUAUUAUUUAUACUCCUUUUGUAAUUUAUGUGCUGUUAUGCUCUCUUUACAAUUUUAAUAUCUAUACUAUGUGAUUUUAAUAUGUAUACUCUGUGAUUUUUAAUAUCCAUACUCUGUUAUGCUUCAAUUUUAUUAUUUAUAGUUUAUUUAAUUUUGAAUUAUUUUGGAUUGUUGUUGUUAAUAGAACAUAAAUGGUAUCUUCAAAAUAUGUAUAAUUUUUACGGUUAAGAAUAACAUAUAAAUUGGAAGAAGUUGCUGGAUUAGUUGUUAAUUAUAGAACUAAUUAUGUCUUGACAUAAUUUUUGUAGGGCGACAAAAUCAUGAUGGAAAAUGAACAAAGAAUUGAUCUGGAUGUCUAUAAAAAGAGUGAUGAAAGUGUGUGUGUGUGUGUGUGAGGGUUAGGAGAGAAGAAGAAAAUAAUGAUGAUACAAUUGUUAAAUUAGAACCAAAUUCAAUAGCAACAGUUCGAAGGAGAAGCUGUGGCCGUGGCCGUAGGGGUAAUACUACUCCUAUCACUUCACAAAAACGAAGUGGCGGCGACAGAGUAAUCUCUUAUGCUUGGAAUCAUUUCAAAAAAGUUAAGUUAGGUGAGGAAGUUUAGGUGAUUUCCAAUUACUGUGGGUUAGUAAUGCAAGAACAAUAUUUGAAAGGUACUAAUCACUUGAUGAAUCAUGCGAAACGUUGUCCUAGAAGGUCAUUAAAAAAUGUGCAGCAAAUGCACCUAUAUUUUUCUUCUAAAGUUGAUGAAACCACUACUCUUAGUAAUUGCAGUUCUAAAUCAAAGUGGGAUAUGGCAACAAUAAAGCUUGUUGUAAUGAUUAUACUACAUGAGCUUCCUUUAUCAUUGUUGAAUAUGUUGGGUUUUAUGACUUGUUGAAACUACUCCAACCUUCUAUUGAGACUAUUAAUAGAAAUACCAUAAAAGCUGAAAUUUUGAAGCUUUAUGAUGUUGAAAAAAAGAAGGCAAUGAGUAUUUUAGAAGUUUGUGAGAGUAGAAUUGUAGUUAUUACAGAUAUGUGGAUUGUCAAUAACCAAACAAGGGUACAUGACUAUUACAGCACAUUACAUUGAUAGCUCAUGAGUGUUGUGAAGUCGUAUUAUGAGGUAAUAUUCAUUAAAACUUUUUUUAAGCAUAAAUUAAUGUACUGUUUAAUAUUUUAAUUAUUUUUUCACAUGUUAGGUUUAUAUAUGUGCUAGCUCCACAUAGUGGUGAGGUAAUGUACAAUGAGUUGUUUGAUUGUUUGAUAAUUGGAAUGUAGAUAGAAAGUUGUCCACUAUAAUUGUUGAUAAUUGUGCUCCAAAUGAUUCCAUGAUUGACUUGUUGUUAGGGAAAUUUUCUACUAGUUCAAUGAUUAUGGGUGGCAAAUUCUUUCAUAUGCGUUGUUGUGCUCAUAUAUUGAAUUUGAUAGUAAGGUAUGCUUUAUCUGUGACAUAAAAGGGAGUUUAAAAAAAUUAGAGAUAGUGUUCAUUACUGGGCAGCAACACCUGCUAGAGUUGAAAAUUUUGAGAAUGCAAAAAAAGAAAAAGAAAAAAGAAUUAGGUAUUAAGGAAACCAAAAACUUGGUACUUGAUUGUUAAACUAGAUGGACCUCUACUUACUUGAUGCUUAGUACUGCAUUGUUAUAUAAAGAUGUAUUUGAUAGUUAGAGUGAAAUUUGUCAAAGUUUAUGUGUGAGUAUCUAAAAGUUUUUAUAAGUUGACAAAACUUUUUUCAGGGACGCGAUAUCUGACAUCUAGUUUAUUUUUUUGCCAAGAUCUGUGAAAUUAGAUUGUCAAUGAAUGUAUGGUUGCAAUUACCUAUUGAUGGAAUAAAAAAUAUGGCCACUAGGAUGAUUGCAAAGUAUGAUGAGUAUUGAGAUGUUAUUCACAGAGUUCUUGUAGUGGAGACUACGUUAGAUCUCAGGCGUAAAAUGCUACUGAUUUAACUUUUUAUUCUUAAAAUACAUGGGGAAAAAACUGAAUCCGAAAUUGAAAGGGUGCGUAAGUUAUUUGUUGAUUUAGUGCAUGAGUAUGAAGUAAAGCAUUCAUCAAAUUCAGGUGGGGGGGGGGGUUAAUGGUUCUGCCAAUUCUCAAGCUGCUACAAUAGGGGAUUCUAUUAUGUUGGACUUAGACUUGGAUGAAAUGGUUGAUGAGUAGGGCAUCAUUCAAAAAUGAAAACACAUAAAAUACUCAUUCCAAAUCAGAAUUGGAGCUUUAUCUCGAGGAAAGUGUUUUGCCUUUAACUAGUCAAUUUGAUAUUUUAUCAUGGUGGAAGAAUAAUCAAGGCAAAUAUCCUAUACUUGCAAAGAUUGCAAGAGACUUUUUGGCUAUUCAUGUAUCAACAAUUGCUUAUGAAUCCACUUUUAGCACUGGAGAUAGACAUCUGAUCCCUCAUCGCAGUAGACUUCAUCCAUCUAUAGUGGAGGCAUUGGUGUGCACUCAAAAUUGGUUUUGGCUUGAACAAAACUUAAAAGAUAUAGACAAUUUAUUUAUUAGAAUCAAAUGAAUUUGUUGUAUUAUUUUUGUUAUCAAUUUAUCAUUAAUUGGUUCUCUUGUUUAUUAUGUUUAUGAUUUGUACAUUUUAAAAAAAAUAGAAUUCCAGAGAAAGCAAUACUUUCUGUGGAGCAUUUGAUUGAUGAAAGUUUGAUAAAUGAGCAACAGUCAAAUGAAGUAGAUGAUUGAGAGUUUAGUUUUUAGACUAGUGGUUUGAAGUUUGAACUUUGAAUUGUAUAUUUAUGUUAUGGAUUUGUAUUUGUGGAUGUUUAUUGCUUUGAAACCUUGAGUUUUAGAUUUUUAUAUUUGUAUUGCAUUUGUUUUAGAAUUUGGAUAUGUCAUAUGAUUUAUAUUUUAUUUUUUUGCAGAAUAAAUUUAUUUUUUUUCUCAUAACAAGUUGAGUUUAAGUUAUCCGAGUUCAAAACCUAGAAUCUGAAAACUUAAAUUUUUUUGGGUUGAACUUGGCUCGAGCCCGUAUUGAAAAAAGCAGGAUUCAAAUUCAGGUUUGGUACAAAGAAUUGUGUGUCUGAGUCCAAAUCUAAAAAGGCCAAAUCCGGAACUGAAAAUUGCCAUCCCUAACCCCACCCGUGCCUACCCCUAACUUAUAUUAUCCAAAACAUUUCCAAAAAGGAAAUGCAUAGAAACCAUUAAUUGUUUUAAAAGAAUUGAAAGUGUACGAAGGUUGGUAAACUUAUCCGAAUCCCAAUUUGAUCUUGUUCUAAUGGUAGAAUAGCAAGCUCACAUCAUCCGGAACAUUAAAUAAAUCAGCUGACACUGAUAGUUUAAUUUUUAAUUAACUAAAUUAAAAAAAUAAUUUCUCUUAAAAAAAACAAAAAUGAUGGACCCAAGCCCAAACCCACCAAGACCACUACUUUGCAUUCACUUUUAUUUUUAGUUCCCCNNNNNNNNNNNNNNNNNNNNNNNNNNNNNNNNNNNNNNNNNNNNNNNNNNNNNNNNNNNNNNNNNNNNNNNNNNNNNNNNNNNNNNNNNNNNNNNNNNNNAAAAGGGGGGCCCCAGCCCCAACCCCCCCAGGCCCCUUUUUUUGCUUUCUUUUUUUUUUUUUUUUUCCCCCCCCCCCCCCCACCCCCAACCCCCCCCCCCCCCGCCCCCACAAAAAGGAUUGGCCAAUCCCAAUACCAUUUUUCAAAGAGAAAUUUACAUAUUAAAUUUAGAUAAUCAAUGGAUAAAAUCGUGAUAUUCAGGAUUCUAAUUAGGAUUCAAAAUUUUAAUCGAUUGAGGAUUGGAAUGUAUUUUUUUGUCCUAUUUUACUAUUUAUGAUCAGAUUGGAAAUGAUUAUUCCUCCCAGUUCAUGAUGGAAUGGGAUCAAGAUUGGCUACUCCCAAUCGGAAGGUCCCGAUUGCUAACUCUAAUGUGUAUGUUAAAAAUCAAAACGAUGUACAAUUGGAGAAUCAAUCUACUUUGAAUUCCCUAGAGUGUUUUUAUUUGUAUAUUCAAUAAAAUCUUAAAAAAUUAUUAUUUUUGAAAAGAAAAAAAUAACUAAUUGAAUUAUAAUCUAAUAAAUAGUUCUUGAAUUGGGUUAAUAAAAAAAAUAAUUUAAUCGAAUAUUAAUUUAUUAAUAUUUUACUGUUCAACUUUUUCUAAUAGUCUAUCAUUGUGCAAAGUUCCCAUAAAAUUCUUUCAAUUUUGCUCCAACAGUGAGAAUUCAUAAUUUUUAUCCUUUCACAGUAAUUUAAUGCACUCUAUGACAAUGAAUAUGAUCAACUAAGGUCAUAACAUCAUUCCCCCCAAAAAAAAAUAAAAAAAAAUUCAAGAGUGAACAUCUGAAUUCGAAUCUACACCAACAAAAGGUGUCCAGAUAAUAAAUAAUAUCCAAACUAAAUUGAUGUAGCAGCAUUAAAAUAAAAUUAAAUAAAUUGCAUAAAAGUUUAGAAUUCGAAGAAGAAAAGUACGAGUGCAUGACGUGUUAUUAAUCGGAUAAAAUGGAGGGUCUGCUUACGUUACACUUGCUGGAAGUAACAGCUAACGACAUAACCAGUUGACUCAUGUAAGAACAGCACGUGGCGUUCAGAAGUCAUGUUAAAAUACUGUACAAAUCAGUCCCAAAAAGCGUCAAUUGUAAGAUUCCGUACAAUAGCCGGUUGAAGUUAUUUGCGACAUAUCGAUGAAAUUUUCAAAUUUCAAUUAUUUAUUUAUUUAUUUUUCCGUCAAGGCACGAUCCAGGUCUAGCUUUCAAACUUUUCUCAAACAACUUAUUCAUUCAUAAUUAAUAGUCCAACCGCAUCAGUCACCAUUUGAAUUGUAUGUUAUACAAACUUCUUUGAAUCAAUUAGCUAAUGCUCUGUUUAUCGAAGGACGCAACUUCUCCCCCCUCUACCAUAAUCAUCGAAAUAACUCAAACUAUCCAAAAAUAAUAUAACGUUUCCCACGUGAUAUGUUGCAAUGUAUUUAAUUAUUAUAAAUUAAAAAUUUAUAAUCUCCAAAAACAUGACAAAAAUCCUACCCAAAUAAAAUAUUCAUGUUCAUUUUUCUUUCGAAAUCUUGUUCAUCUUCAUCUAAACUCAUCUCCAUUUUAUGUUGUUCCCAAAUCACAGCCCGUUUCUCAUGUUCUUCCAAGGAUAACAACAAUUUCCCUAAAAACCUGCAUACUACAGAUAAUUUUACGGGUUUGAGUUUGGUAUUUCAAAUUUAUAUUCAUUAUGAGUUUCAAGUGAGUUUGGUAUUGAGAAAAAAAAAAAUCUCUGUAUUUUUUUUUAAUUAUUUAUAUUUUAAAUUUUAAUCAUAAAGAUCACAUUAAAAAAAGUUAAUUAUAAAUAUAUUUAAGCUAAAGUUAUUACUCGUGACCUAGUUAAUUAUAAAUAAUGAUCUUCACUAACUCUAUUAAGUCCCAUGGCUUAAUAGCGCAUCCAACAUGAAAAAAAUAAGAACCCCCCACUAGAAACAAACUACAUAUAUAUAAGAUAGAUACAAUGAGCUUUUAUAAUUUUUAAGUUAAAUAUUACUAAUUUUAAUAUUACUAACAUUUUAUUUUAUUUUAUUUGUUAAUAUUGUCGACAAUGCUUAUAUAUUGAUUAAAAGACGGGGUAAGGCAUUUAUCUUAUUGAUGAUAAUUUGCUUACAACAUAAACAUGUUCUUUUAGAUUGAUAUAUAUUGUGCAUUUAUUUUAGUGUAGAAACUUUAAUUUCUCAUUUACAUUGAUAAAAUCUAAAAUUGAAUAUUUUAUGUGUAUUUUUAAACUAAGGUAACUUCGUAGUUUGAAUUAUAUAAUUUAAAUUUUUAUGUAUUAUUGAAAUUACUUUUUUUAAUAUUUGUAAGUUUAAAUCUAAGAACCCACAAGGUGAUGCGAAUUCCAUAAUGAAACUUUGAAACCCACUGUUAAUUUGAAGUUUCAACUUCCCAAGAAAGUUUUAAACAGAUUUAAGACCAACAAAACCUUGAUCCAAUGCUUAAGAAAACAUGAACCAAAGGUAUAUAGAAUGAUAUUGACGCCACACUCAAGAAAUAGAUGAGAAGAUGAGUGAUAAUUCUAAAUUUAGAACGCCACAAGAAUGCAAAUUCUUGAUAAGUUCACUAGUUCUCAAAAGAUCCAAAGAAAGAAUAAUCUUUCAAAUUCAAAUAACAUUAAUCUCUAAUUUUUUUAUAUAGUAAGGUUACUGAGUUUAAAUAGACCAAUAGAAACGCAAGAUCCUAAAAAUACAAAUGAAAAUAUUGAAACAACCUUCUAAGUAUAAGUUUGUCAAAGGAUGCUUCAAAAGUCUUCACCAAUCCACCAUAAUUAAUGUUAUAUUUGACAAACUUAAUGCUAACUUACUAUAAUUAAUACUAUUAUUGACAAACUUAAUUUUAGUCCACCAUCAUUGAUGGUAGACUUACCUUACACAUUGGCAAACUUAAAACAAAACAAACAAAUGAAGUUGAAAAACAAAGUAGUCGUUGAAAAUCUCAAGUCUGAACAAGCUGUAAUGAAUUGGUCAUAACUCCUUUUAGAGAACUCCAAAUCUAGCUCUGUAAAAUGCAUUGGAAAGCUAACUUAAUUAUAUUUCCAACGGUAUAUAGCUUGCACAUUACUUAUGGCUCAAUCAAUGACAGUUUUAUUCCAAAUUUGACAUUUCUGCAUUUGAUCCAAAUUGUGUAUUUGGUUGCCCAAUAGCUUGAAUAAUGCCCACAAUGCCUUGUCUUCUCUUUAAGCCCAAUUCAUGAUGUCUUGCAUCUUGAAUUGCAUUUUCAAUCCAUAUUUUCUCAAUUAAUCCAUUUAAAGCAGCUUGUAUCUUUUUAGUUUUAGCUCUUGUAAUUGGGCCUCAAUGAAUGUGCAAAGGAUCACUUGAAUCUUUAAUGAUAUUCCCUUAAUGGUUCUCAUAACAAGAAUUGAGGGUAGGUUUAGUAAUUGUUAACAUUCACUAAACAAAUAUUUUUAGAAAAAUAAAAAAACUUGAUGUGGGUUGUGGGUGAACUUAGUAAUUUUUUUUUUUUUUCGGAUACGGGGUGGUGCCCAUUACCAUCCUUAUUUAGCGUUCCCUAAUCUAAGUGAAUUUACAAAAUGGAACAAUAGAAAAUUGAUUAAUAAUGUAUGGAAAAGUAUUUGGUGAAUUCGAUUCUCCGGUACAUUCCUCUAAUUUUCAAACCCUUAUACGCGUCGUGAUUUUCUUUUUUUCCCUCUAUAAAAUUUACUUGUUAACCCGUUAACAAGUAAUUUUUCAUAACUCUUUCAUCAGGUUGCCCACCUUUUGUUUAAUACAUUCAUUUGACAGUUGCACCUGUACUGCAUUUCAACUUAACUUCGUUCCCAUCCGUUGGAUUUGAAAAUCACGUAUCUAACGAUCCAUAAUGGCAGGCUGUUUGUUACAGAAAAUUUAAUAUAGGCGCUGCCUAAAAAUGAGUAAUUUUUAAAAACCUCCCCUGAGGUUUGGGCUUGUUGCAAUUAGAUGGCGAGAAUUGAUUUAUUUGUAAAAAACCCCCUACCGUCAGUUAAGUUUAACAUUGACCGUUAGUUAACCGUGCAAAGACAAUAUUACCCUUAACAAUAGUUUAUAAACGAAAAUAACUAAAAAAAAUCAAAAUUAUUAGCUAUUUUACACUUUUUAAAUUAUUGAUAUUUUCUUAAAGUUCUUAUAAAAAAUUAAAAUUAAAAAAUUAAAAAAUCCUCUUUAAAUUAUUGAUAUUUCCUUAAAAUUCCUACAAGAAAGAUAAAAUUAAAAAUUUAAAAAUGAAAUAGUCAUAAUCUUUACCUAUGAUAUUGUAAAUUUUUAGAAUUGACAAGGAUAAAAUUGUCAAAAAAUAGGGUUUGUGCUUUUUGCACCAAUAAUUUUAGUUUUUUUUUAGUUAUUUUCGUUUAUAAACUAUUGUUAAGGGUAAUAUUAUUUUUGCACGGUCAACUAACGGUCAAUGUUAAACUUAACUGACGGUAGAAAAUUUUUUACAAAUAAAUCAAUUCUCACAAUCUACUUGCAACAAGCCCAAACCUCAGGGGAGGUUUUUAAAAAUUACUCGCCUAAAAAUGGAAACAAGUCAUAUGUCAUAAACAAACUGCACAUCAAAAAAAAAAAAAAAACUGCUGAUCCAGAAAACACACCACGAGCAGAAUCAGCGCGUGAAAUACACCUCACGCCCCGUCUACGUAUUAUUAAGCAAAAACCCACGUCAACACUCGCGGAGAGGGACCUAGUAACUGUUGAAAAUGGAGGAGAAGAUGAAGGUGAUGGGUGUGGUGGGCAGCGGCCAAAUGGGCUCCGGAAUCGCCCAGCUCGGCGUCAUGCACGGCUUGGACGUGUGGCUCGUCGAUACGGACCCAGACGCGUUGGUUAGAGCCACCAAAUCAAUCUCAAGCUCCAUCCAAAAGUUUGUCUCCAAAGGCCAACUCUCCCAGGCAAGCUCUCUCUGUUUUGUUCUUGUUACUUUCAAUUUUGAUGAGUUUUAUUUAAUGAUGUUUGCAAAAAUAUUACAAAACUCAUGCUUUCUAGGAGCUUACCGAUGUUUUGAUUGAUCAAUAUAGUGUUAUGAUUUUUGUCCAACUCAUAAUUUCAAUCACUAACAAAUAAGUGAGGUUAGCUGCUUAGGCUUGAGUCGUAUAUUUGGACUUCUCAGGAGUAUAAUUAUCUUAUCUAAUUGUUCCUUAUGAUUGGUUGUAACUGGAAAGUUCAUUUGGAAAUUUAUUGUUUCAUUGCUUCUGUUGUCGAAUUAAUGCGAAAUUACUUCGUGCUUUUCAUAUACAAGAACAAGAUGGGCUUGCUAUGUUUUUUCUUUCUUUUGUGUUUAAUUUUGGGGGAGAAAAUCCUUGGCCCUUGUAAAUGUUAAAUGCUACAUAGAUACGAAUGAUACCUACAUAGUUAGAAAUUCCUUUAAUCUUCUUGUGAUUUUAACAACGAUGGCUUUGCCCAUAGGACAUGCUUAAUUUGAUGUUUUUUUUUUAACUUUUUGUCAGGGACCGCGGAAUUUAUUGUUUGUUAGUAUAAUGUCAUUCGGUUGGUUGCGGCUGUCGCCAAAUUUAUUAGUUGAAAUCUUGCUUUCUGAGAGUCUGAUUUGCAUUCCUCAAAUGGUAAAAACAGUUUCAGGGAUUGCUUGGAAAUUUUUGCAAGGAUUUGGUUGGACCAUUUGUUUAUAUUUUUAUGAGUAUGCUUAACCGUUAUCAUCCUCUGAAUGUUGGGUAAUUAAGAAUUUAGCUGGUGCUCCUAGCCUGCACCACUGGCGACCUUGUUGAUUUAUUAGAUUGAAAAAGUUUGUCAUCUUUAAUUAGCCAGGCAGUGGGUACUGAUGCUCCGAGACGUCUAAGGUGUACAUCAAAUUUGAAAGACCUUCAUUCAGCAGAUAUUAUAGUUGAAGCUAUUGUGGAGUCUGAAGAUGUAAAGAAGAAGUUGUUUUCUGAGCUUGAUAAGAUUACAAAAGCUUCUGCUAUUUUGGCUUCGAAUACAAGCUCCAUAUCUAUAACUCGGUUAGCAUCUGCGACCAGUAGACCAUGCCAGGUGAUGCUCAGAAUAUCUGAUAACAACACCUAGUUACACUAGCCACGCUGUUAGAUUUAUUUAUUUGUAUUAAUGUUGAAAUAUCUUAUUUAGUAACAUUGGAGUAGAGUAUGUUAGUAUUAGUGUUGGAAUUGCAUUAGCAUCUUUUUUUGUUAUCUAUUGUAAAAUAUGAUUAAAUGGGUGCAUUUUCUUCAUUUUCUUUUUCUAAUUGGUACUUCCUGUCAGCUGUGGCAGACGGAACUUCACUGAACUAUUCUUUUACACUUAACUUUUGAUCUUCCAGUCUACCACUUGACCUUAAACUCAAGUGUAUAAGAGUUUUUGACAAAAAUAUUUCUCAUGUAACCCAAAAGAGUUGAAUGAUGGAUAGCUGGUUUAUACAAAUAGUUUUGUGUCGGAGAUGGAUCAUCUGCUAAUUUAAUCUUAAAUUAGAAGUCUAAUUUUCUAAAGCUGUCUCCCCAUUCUCUCUUGUUGCCUGCCUUUCCCUUUACUUGGAACAUAAAACCUCAAUUCAUUAUUGCUUGUUUCUGAUUUUGUGUAUGUAUUCUCGUCAUCUGUUUAUUGCAUUAUAAAUUUGAAUUCUUGUUUGUGCAUUGCAUUUCACUACAAUUAAAUUAACAUUUUUACCAAUUCUGAGAUGUUAGAUUUAGAAGUCUCAGUAAGUGGAAGCGAGAUGCUAUUGUUGCAGGUGAUUGGCAUGCAUUUUAUGAAUCCUCCUCCCCUAAUGAAACUAGUUGAAGUCAUACGAGGGGCAGACACAUCAGAUGAGACAUUCCGUGCAACAAAAGCCUUGGCAGAGAGGUAAUUGGAUCAGAUAAUAUUCUCCAUGGAACUUGACUUUACUUUUCUACUUGCUCUACCCAUCUCUUGAAAACAAUCAUCUUCCCACCAUCCAGUUCAUGUGCACAUGAAGAAUACCCUGGAAAGAGGGCCAUUGAUGGGCAUGCCUCUGUUUAUCUCAUAUUUGUCCGCUAAUUACACCACUUUGACUGCUGGAUUUGCAGGUUUGGCAAGACAGUGGUAUGCUCUCAGGAUUAUGCAGGCUUCAUUGUAAAUCGAAUCUUAAUGCCCAUGAUAAAUGAAGCAUUUUUCACUCUUUAUACUGGAGUGGCAACAAAGGAAGACAUUGAUGCAGGGAUGAAGCUGGGAACAAACCAACCGAUGGGUCCAUUACAACUUGCAGAUUUCAUUGGGCUAGAUGUCUGCUUGUCAAUAAUGAAAGUCCUUCAUACUGGUCUGGGGGACAGUAAAUAUGCUCCCUGUCCUCUUCUCGUGCAGUAUGUUGACGCAGGUCGGCUUGGAAAAAAACGAGGUAUUGGAGUUUUUGACUACCGUAGAGUGCCUGAAUCAGUAAAACCAAAUGCUCGUCUUUGAAAUAUGUUGUAUUGUUAGAACAAUAAGGUUGGUGGAGUGCCGUAGUAAAUAUUGUAAUGUUCAUCUUUUCGUUCAAGAUGAUUGUGCAACACAUUAGCCUAAGCUAGCCAUCCCACAGGGAGUUAUUUCCUUUUUCAUCUUACUUUUUAUUGUUGUCAUCUAUGUAAUAAAGUUAAAAGGGGGUCUCAUAUUGGGAGAAAUUUCUUACAGUAAUAGCAAAGUGGAAAAGUAAACUGAAACAUUUUAUUCAUAAAUUCCAGUGUCCCGUGCUUUCUCUUGUAUUUAUUAUUUCCUUCUCAUGGUUUCCUAUUUUUGCCCCAAAUCUAAUGCUGAAAUUGUCAAAUAGCUUUUUAGCAAUUUACCAAUGGCUAUUUAUUUCAGUUUAGAAAACCUUUGGCAAUGGAUUACUUACGGGUCAGCUAAACAUCAGAUCAAUUACUAUGAAGCUUUGUUAAAUGUUUUUCUGAAUUUGUGAAUGACUCGUGCUGCUUCCAUUGUUUUUGCACAACUUAAACAUUUAUCCCUCUUAGUAAUUUGAUAGAACUUGGUUGUAAAAUCUGCAUUGAAGGUGAUAUGCAUAUGGCCCAAUAUCUAAUUUGGUGUUACUGAGAUCCUGAAUCUGCAGUUAUAAUUGUUGUUGCGUUUACUUAAUCAAGUAGAUUGGAAUUGCAGCCAUAAAAGUUUUGCAAGCUUUGGCAGAAAGUGAAGGAGCUUUGGGAUCCAAUAAAGCAAACCAGAAUCUGAGACAAAAUUCAUUCUAAUGGUACUAUGGUAGAAUAAACCUUUGCAUGUUCAAGGAUGAAAAGUAGAUAAGAAAGUGAUAACAUUAUUAUACUCAUGCUUAUCUUCAAGCUGCUUAUUCAUUCCAUCUUUGAAAUGCAUCAGCCUCCUUCUAACAGCAUAAUUUUUUGACCUUUAACCACAUGGUAAUGUCAAAUUUAUUGCUUGCCAGCUUGGAGAAUCUUUCUGUGUGAGACAAAGAAAUCUAAUUGAGCCCCUAAAUUUCAAUGCAAGUGACCCACAAAAGAGAGCCUAUUGAGAGUUAUUACCUCCAUCUUGACCAUUGAUUAUCUAAUGGCCGGGCCCACAACACUACCCCUUGCCUAAAGUUGUCAUUAUCGAUUAGCAUUAUCUUUCUGUAAAGAGAUUGAAUUGGAAUCCAAUGAACAACUAAAUUAUUGAAAAGAGAGAAACAAAACUGGACGACAUCAUUAGAUAAGAAAGCACAUAGAACGAAAUUGAAGAGCCUAGACAAAUUUUGAGACCAAGGCUUGCCAGUAGCAAACUAGCAAUGAAGUUCUUGUUCCAGUGUCCAUGUUGCUCAUGUUUCUGUUUUAUGAAGCCGAAGGCUGGCAAGCCAAAGAUCAAAGAUGCCAAGGACAAGGAAGUGAAGGAAGCAAAACCACCAAAGGAAAGUGAAGCCAAGACAGAAUAAAAACUGAAGCUCCAUUACGCUAAAAAUUAUGCAUGGAUUUACUAUGUAUGUCUCUCUUUCUUCUCAUCAUGUGGAAGUAAUUAAUUGUCUGAAGCUGCAUUUUCAUCCAAAGUUCAUGUGAAUACUGGCUUCAGAUCCUUUUAUAAUUGUAUGUUGCCUCUGCUUUAUAUCAAUUGCAAUGUAUAAAAGAAUAAUAAUAUUUGGUAAAGCCCCUUUGCCUAUGUUACUAUAAUAUGUAUUAAGAUUAUGUUAACUUCUCAUCUUAAAUGGAUUCAAUUUUCAGAUUCUGGAGGUCUAGUUUGACUGUUAAAAUGCAGAAUUUUGUUUAACGUCUUUUGGUUAAGAUUUAGAUUGUUCAUUUCCAUUGCGUUAUUGAGCCUUGGUUUAUGAUUAAGCUAGGAAGUAAGAAGCUUAGAAAAUGUUACACUAAAUUUUUGGAGCAAUUCUGAAGUGAUUACUGUUUGGCACGUGUUUGUUAAACAGUCACUGUAUUAGUUUGAGGGACAACUUAGGCAAUUUGUCAACAUCAAUUAAUUUUAUUUUUUUUAUUUAAUGCCUUUAGAUUUUUAUAGUUUGUAAUUGGCAAGUCAAUCUAAAAUAAACUGGGGCCUUAGGCAAAAAAAAAAAAAAAAAAAAAUAAUAAUAAUAGAAUAAUAUUAUAGGAAAAUAUGAAAAGAUAUUAAUAGAACAUUAGGUUGUAAUAUUACUUGUUAAUAUAGCAAUGUGCGAAUAAAAUCUUAACAGCAACACCACCUUCAUUUUUUUUUUUUCUUUAAUCACAAGAAGAGAUAAUGUUGAUAGAAUAUAAUUAAUAUAUGAAAGAAUUUCACAGGAAAAAUGAUUAAGUUUUCAAUUUGAAUUUUGAUUAGACAAGUAUGGUAAGAAAAUAAAGAAAUAUUGAUGACCAGGUAGUAUCACGCUUGCCCAAUUAGUUAUCCAAUCUAUUUCCAUUUAUGCAAUUCAAACGCUGAUCCUGGCAUCCUGCCUACGAGUAUCGAAACUAAAAUCGAUCAUGCUUGCAAGAAGUUUAUUUGGAGCGGCAAGAAUUCUCAGCGGAACAUGAGUCUUGUUAAUUGGGAUAAGGUUUGCCAACCUAAAAGUUGUGGUGGUUUGCGCUUUAAAAACCUUGGCUUGAUGAACAUAGCGUUGUUGAUGAAGGUGGGAUGGAAUCUUGUUGCGUCGCCAAGUAGUCUGUGGUCGCAACUGAUGCUUACUAAGUACGGUUUGGAUCAUGCAAACCUUCCCCGUGUCUUGCCAAGUUGGGGAAGUCUAUUGGGAAAGUUUGCAAUGAUACGAUGAUGGGGAUUCUUUGGAACAUAGGGAAUGGGAGGAAAGUUCGGUUUUGGUGGGAUUGCUGGGUUACUAAAACUCAACCUCUGAUUUUCUAUGCUGGUGCUUCAGUUCCUAACAAUAUUAUAAAUAAGAUUGCUGCUGCGUUUGUGGAUGGCAAUGGUAAUUGGCAGUGGGGGAGUUUUGACUAUUUACCUCCAAAUAAUAUCCUCGUUUGAGAGAGGAGAAGAUCAAGUAUAUUGGGCUAGUUCAAAUAAAGGGAUAUUCAUGGUGAAUCGACCUACCAUGCUAUUUCUAAGGCCAAGUACAGUGAGAAAGAUCAGAUUUGGGGUAUUGCGUGGAGUUGGAAGGGUCCCCAAAGCGUUCGUAUUUUCCGGUGGCUCGUCCUCAUCUUCGUCUUCAUCUUCGUCUUCAGAGGUGUCAGCCACUGAUGACUUUGAACGUGAGGCGAGGAGUUGUUCCAUAGCUUUGAAGUACUCAUCUUCAGUUUUGGCACCUGCCAAAAGAGACUGGGCUUUGGAUUUUUGGGUUAAGAAUGUUUGUUGGGCUUUAGAGGUGGUUAAGGAUGGUUGGAGGAGGUUUUUAGAGGAAAGCCAAUCUUUGAUCAUGUUAACAGUCAGUUUGGACUGUUCAUCAAAUUUUGACCACCAUUUGACUUUAAAGGUUCUUUGGAGGAUGACUUGGGAAUCCUGGGUGUGGAAACGAAGGUUCCAUGAACAGACCCAAGGUAAGAAGAAAUUUGCACAAAAGUUUAGAAAGGGGGGAAAUCUUUUCUCUGAGUCAGAGGAUAAAUAAUGGGCUUUGAAGAGGUUUAGACAAUUUGUGGCAUUUGGUGUUAGGAUUUGUGGAGUUGAGCCAAAAAGAUUCCACCAAUGAUGAAACCAAUUUGGGAGGCUUUGAACGGUUAUUUUCGUGUUGAAGAAGAAUAACCAUGAAUGAGAUUUUUUAGGGUUUUGGAUAAAAAAGGUGUUAUACCAUGCUUGUUGGUAAUCCCAAUAGGAAAAAGUCCGACAAUGUGGUAAACGGGUCUCAAAAUUUAAAGGGAAGGUUUUAAAAUUGUGGAGUAGGUCACCCCACUGAUUUGGGCUUAAUACUUUUAGGAUUGUGGCCGUGGAAUAAGCCGGUUCUGGAUGGGCUUUGUCAAGGAAAAAGUGUUUGAAUUUAACUGAUUCAGUUAUCUCCAAAAUGCUUUGAUAAUAAGACUGGGGUUUUGUUAAAUCCCAUGGUUUGAAAAACCAGCCUUUGGGAAAAAACUUUGAAAUGCUUUGAAAAGGAUCAGUAUGGUAAAAUCCAUCUUCCAUUGAAAGGAUAUUUUGAAAAUGGGUUUUAUCAAACCAAUCGGAGGUUUUCUUUGAAGGUGUUGGCUGAGAAAGCACAAUUUGGGAGGAUGAGCUUUCAGCAGAGACAACAACAUUUUGGGAAGAGGGUUUUGUAAUUUCAAUUUCUUUUUGGGGAGAAAUUUGGCUUUGAGAAAGGUUUUGGAGGGCGAGCAUGAGCUCGGGUGAUUUUGUAAUGGAACUCAUCUAUUGUUUUACUUGGUCAUCAGAAAAAAUAGAUUUGUAUUGGGCUCCAUGUUCUUCAACCAUUUCAAUCCAAGAUUUAAUGGGCAUGGCAGAAGAAAGUAAUUUUUCUUUAGAAGGGGUUGACUGGGGUUCUUUGGAAGGUUCUUGGGAACCAGUGUCUUUGAGAACUGCUUUACCUUUAUUCUUCUUUGGCGGCAUUAUCUGUUUUGAAGAAAUUUCCGAGUUAGAAAAUCAGGAACAGAAUUUUUGUCACCUUUAAUAAAUUCAAUAUCAAAAUCAAAAACACUUAAAAUAGCUUGCCAUCGUGCAAAAAUUUGUUUUGAUGCAAUGUUUUGAACAUCUUUUUCUAAAACAUGUUUUGCAGCUUUGCAGUCAAUUCUAAGUAAAAAUUUUUGAUUUAAUAAAUCACUUUGAAAUUUUGUAAUGCAUAAAACAAUGGAAAGGAUUUCUUUUUUGAUAGUAGAAUAGUUUUUCUGGCAAUCAUUCCAAUGAGCAGAAACAUAUUGAACUCUAUGUUCUUUAUCAUUAUCCCUUUGUUUCAAUAUACCUCCAUAACCUAUAUCAGAUGCAUCAGUUUCAACAAUUUUAGGUAAUGCAGGAUUAGCAAGAUAUAAACAUGGGAUGCUUUUCACAGAAUUCUUUAUAAGCUUUACAACCUUGGUAUGUUCAUCUGUCCAAGGAACAGGUUUUUUCUUUAAUCUAUCAUGCAAGGGUUUAGACAUCCUGUUAAUGUUAGGACAGAAAUCAAGAACAUAAUUUAAACUACCAAGGAAUCUUUGUAAUUGGGUUUUGUCCAAAAUCUUGUCCGGGAAUUUAUCCGCAAACAAAAGUGACCUUUCUAUAGGAGUGAUGGUUCCUUUAGAAAUAUGAUGUCCUAAAAAUCGGACUUUUGUUUGAAAUAAAGAAAUUUUUGAACUAGAAAGGGCUAACCCAGCCUUUCUUGUAACAAGAUGAAAAGUCUUUAAAUGUUUGAAGUGUUGAUCAAUUGAAUUUGAAAAUAUUAAUACGUCAUCAAUAUAAACAAUACAAAAAUCAGAAUAAGGAUUAUAAAUAUCAUUCAUAAUUCUUUGAAAUUCUGAGGGUGCAUUCUUUAAACCAAAGGGCAUAACAGUCCAUUCGUACUGUCCAAAUGGAACAGUAAAAGCAGUUUUAUAACGGUCUUUUGGAUGAAUUUGAAUUUGCCAAAAUCCAGACUUCAUGUCAAAUUUUGAAAAAAUAAGAGCAGAACACAAUUUUUGGAACAANNNNNNNNNNNNNNNNNNNNNNNNNNNNNNNNNNNNNNNNNNNNNNNNNNNNNNNNNNNNNNNNNNNNNNNNNNNNNNNNNNNNNNNNNNNNNNNNNNNNCUUAAGCUCCCACUUAAGUCGUUUCUGUAAUUUCAAAUCUUGACAAAUCUUUAAACCUUCUUUGUUGACAAAACUGACAAGUUCACCAUAGGUGAGCUCAUCAUACGGAAUACGGUUGUCAUAAAGGGCUUUGAUAGAAUUUCUUACCUUUUCACCCAAAAGGGUAGGUAAUCCAGCAAGAAAUUUUUCUUUCCAAGUAGUAUGAUUUGCAUCAUCUCUUAGAAAUAAUCUGGUGAAAAAGGAGGUUUUGUAGCUUUGGAAUUCACUAAGUUUCCUACAUCUCAAGUUAUGUAGUAGCUCAGCGUUUUUAUCACGGAGGUGAGAAGGGUCACCAAUGAAAUGGAGGGAAACGGUCAAAAUGAGAGUUGCAACAGCAUCCUGGAUUGGAUUGUUGAACUCAUCAAGAAUAGGAGCUCCAUUCUCAUCGGUUUGGAUAGAAUUUAGGAUUUCUAGUUGUUGCCGAUUAGUGAGAAGAUGAUCCCACCAACCUUUCAAUUGACCAGUAAAACCGGCAAUGAGGAUUUCCGAUAUGGCACGAUCAGAAGUUCCUGCUUGGGUUUUAUAGGCAUUGGCUGCCAUUGUCAUUUGUUGCAACAAUCCUAGGAUAUUAUACUCAGACAUGCCAUCGAUAUUCCACUCAUAGACUGAAGAUGCAUUAUAUCGGGAUUGAUUUAAUGCACUUGGCCUAUUAUCUAUUGCUAGAUCAGGUGGAGUCUUGACAGUGGGAAGGGCUAAUUCCCAAUGGAUUUUGUUUGCUUUAGGAGUGGAUUCCUCUUGGAAGGCUUCAACAUCCGAAGAGGCUAUAGAAGUUUGGUCAUCUUUUUCUAAUACUCCAAUUUUGCUAGAUUGAGGAGUAUCAGGAGCUAUCUGGGCUUUGCUAGAUGAGGAAGAAGCAGCUUCUAUCCUAUCUAGUUGUUCUCUAAUGGCUUUAGCAAAAUCUGAUUUUGAUUCUUGAACAAGCCUUUGGCUAGUUUUCGAAACCUGAAAAGGUUUGAAAAUAGGUUCCUUAAGCUUUUUAUCAGAAUCUGAUUUUGGAGGAAUGGGCUUUUGACUAGGAGAAACAGAUAUGGUUGACUGUUGGAAUUGGUUUUCUAUUCUAGUCAACUGUUUUCCUAUAGUAUUUAAGUUAGUAUUACAGAAAUUAUUCUGUUGGAUAAUACUGCUUAAAUUACUAUCAGUAUCAUUGGGUUUAGGGAUUUUAUAAGGUGAAGCUCUAAUGUCAAUGGGAGGUUCGCCGUGGUCAACGGUUAUACUCCGGAGAGGUGGAUGCUCAGAAUCGACUNNNNNNNNNNNNNNNNNNNNNNNNNNNNNNNNNNNNNNNNNNNNNNNNNNNNNNNNNNNNNNNNNNNNNNNNNNNNNNNNNNNNNNNNNNNNNNNNNNNNNNNNNNNNNNNNNNNNNNNNNNNNNNNNNNNNNNNNNNNNNNNNNNNNNNNNNNNNNNNNNNNNNNNNNNNNNNNNNNNNNNNNNNNNNNNNNNNNNNNNNNNNNNNNNNNNNNNNNNNNNNNNNNNNNNNNNNNNNNNNNNNNNNNNNNNNNNNNNNNNNNNNNNNNNNNNNNNNNNNNNNNNNNNNNNNNNNNNNNNNNNNNNNNNNNNNAAGUAAUAGAACAGUCGAUUCCGAGCAUCCACCUCUCCGGAGUAUAACCGUUGACCACGGCGAACCUCCCAUUGACAUUAGAGCUUCACCUUAUAAAAUCCCUAAACCCAAUGAUACUGAUAGUAAUUUAAGCAGUAUUAUCCAACAGAAUAAUUUCUGUAAUACUAACUUAAAUACUAUAGGAAAACAGUUGACUAGAAUAGAAAACCAAUUCCAACAGUCAACCAUAUCUGUUUCUCCUAGUCAAAAGCCCAUUCCUCCAAAAUCAGAUUCUGAUAAAAAGCUUAAGGAACCUAUUUUCAAACCUUUUCAGGUUUCGAAAACUAGCCAAAGGCUUGUUCAAGAAUCAAAAUCAGAUUUUGCUAAAGCCAUUAGAGAACAACUAGAUAGGAUAGAAGCUGCUUCUUCCUCAUCUAGCAAAGCCCAGAUAGCUCCUGAUACUCCUCAAUCUAGCAAAAUUGGAGUAUUAGAAAAAGAUGACCAAACUUCUAUAGCCUCUUCGGAUGUUGAAGCAUUCCAAGAGGAAUCCACUCCUAAAGCAAACAAAAUCCAUUGGGAAUUAGCCCUUCCCACUGUCAAGACUCCACCUGAUCUAGCAAUAGAUAAUAGGCCAAGUGCAUUAAAUCAAUCCCGAUAUAAUGCAUCUUCAGUCUAUGAGUGGAAUAUCGAUGGCAUGUCUGAGUAUAAUAUCCUAGGAUUGUUGCAACAAAUGACAAUGGCAGCCAAUGCCUAUAAAACCCAAGCAGGAACUUCUGAUCGUGCCAUAUCGGAAAUCCUCAUUGCCGGUUUUACUGGUCAAUUGAAAGGUUGGUGGGAUCAUCUUCUCACUAAUCGGCAACAACUAGACAUCCUAAAUUCUAUCGAAACCGAUGAGAAUGGAGCUCCUAUUCUUGAUGAGUUCAACAAUCCAAUCCAGGAUGCUGUUGCAACUCUCAUUUUGACCGUUUCCCUCCAUUUCAUUGGUGACCCUUCUCACCUCCGUGAUAAAAACGCUGAGCUACUACAUAACUUGAGAUGUAGGAAACUUAGUGAAUUCCAAAGCUACAAAACCUCCUUUUUCACCAGAUUAUUUCUAAGAGAUGAUGCAAAUCAUACUACUUGGAAAGAAAAAUUUCUUGCUGGAUUACCUACCCUUUUGGGUGAAAAGGUAAGAAAUUCUAUCAAAGCCCUUUAUGACAACCGUAUUCCGUAUGAUGAGCUCACCUAUGGUGAACUUGUCAGUUUUGUCAACAAAGAAGGUUUAAAGAUUUGUCAAGAUUUGAAAUUACAGAAACGACUUAAGUGGGAGCUUAAGAAGUCUAAACAAGAAUUAGGCAGUUUCUGUAAACAAUUCAAUUAUGACCCCUUUAAAACUUCUAUUUCCAAAGAUUGUAAUGGUGAGUGUUCUUCUAAACCUCGCAGGAAACAUUACAAAUCCAAACACUUUAGAAAACCUUUUCGUGAUUUUAGGAAACUUCCUUAUAAGAAACCUUCGAGGCCUUAUAAGAGACAAAGUUUCUCUAAAAAGAAAGAACUUAAAGCCAAACCUGUGACCCCAUUCAAUUUCAAAGAUGCUACAUGUUUCAAAUGUGGCAUGAAAGGUCAUACUGCAAAAUUUUGCAGAAUGAACAAGAGACUUCAUGAGCUUGACCUCGAUGAAGACAUUCUUUCCCAAUUAGCUUCCCCUCCUUGUUGAAUCUUCUGAUUCUNNNNNNNNNNNNNNNNNNNNNNNNNNNNNNNNNNNNNNNNNNNNNNNNNNNNNNNNNNNNNNNNNNNNNNNNNNNNNNNNNNNNNNNNNNNNNNNNNNNNNNNNNNNNNNNNNNNNNNNNNNNNNNNNNNNNNNNNNNNNNNNNNNNNNNNNNNNNNNNNNNNNNNNNNNNNNNNNNNNNNNNNNNNNNNNNNNNNNNNNNNNNNNNNNNNNNNNNNNNNNNNNNNNNNNNNNNNNNNNNNNNNNNNNNNNNNNNNNNNNNNNNNNNNNNNNNNNNNNNNNNNNNNNNNNNNNNNNNNNNNNNNNNNNNNNNNNNNNNNNNNNNNNNNNNNNNNNNNNNNNNNNNNNNNNNNNNNNNNNNNNNNNNNNNNNNNNNNNNNNNNNNNNNNNNAGUGAUUCUGAUACUAUUCAACUCCUUUUACAAAAACAAUUACACGGAUAAUUCAGACAAUGAAUCUAAUCCUGACGAUGAUGGUGAUGAUAUUAAAGUAGAAAAUAUUGAGUCUGUACCCAAUGAUUUUCUGUUUGUUUUAAAACAAAUCACCACAAGAAAGUAUUUGAUUAAAGUCACUCUCAUCUUUUCUGAUGAUUUUGCUAUGGACGCCAUUGCCCUUUUUGAUACUGGCGCCGAUUUAAAUUGCAUUAGAGAAGAUAUUGUCCCCAAAAGAUUUCAUGAAAAGACAAAAGAAAAACUUUCUGCCGCUAAUAAUUCGAAAUUGAAUGUUAGCUCCAAAGUUGAAGCCUCGAUUUAUAAUAAUCAAAUUGAAUUUAAAACUUCUUUUGUCCUUACAAAUGAUAUUCAUCAUGCUAUCAUUUUAGGCACUCCUUUUAUAAAUCUCAUAACUCCUUAUGCUGUCAACUAUGAUGGUAUAUAUUUCAAAGCAAAAUCUAAAGAACUGGUUUUCCCAUUUAUUGAAAAACCAAAAACUAGGAAUCUAAACAUUGUUAAAGCUUGUUCUGUUUAUCAGCACAAAAUCAAUGCCAUUCUUAAAUCCAAACAAGAUGAUUUGUUUUGUUUACAAAAGGAUUUAAACUUCCAAAGAAUUGAGAGUCAAUUGCAAAAUAAUUUUAUUCAAAGAAAAAUUUCCGAUUUUAAAAGCCUUAUUGAAAAAGAAAUAUGUGCCGAUUUACCUUCUGCUUUUUGGAAUCGAAAACAGCAUUUAGUAGAUUUGCCUUAUGAAAGUUCUUUUGAUGAAAAACAAAUACCCACCAAAGCACGUCCAAUCCAAAUGAACAUGGAAUUGGAGCAACAUUGCAAAAAAGAAAUCAAUGAUUUGGAGUCAAAGGGACUCAUUGUCAAGUCAAGGUCCCCAUGGUCUUGCGCCGCUUUUUAUGUAAAUAAAAAUUCUGAAAUUGAAAGAGGUGUACCUAGACUUGUGAUAAAUUAUAAGCCCUUAAAUAAAGCCUUAAAGUGGAUUAGGUACCCCAUACCUAAUAAAAAGGAUUUGCUCCAAAAAUUGUGUUCUGCUCUUAUUUUUUCAAAAUUUGACAUGAAGUCUGGAUUUUGGCAAAUUCAAAUUCAUCCAAAAGACCGUUAUAAAACUGCUUUUACUGUUCCAUUUGGACAGUACGAAUGGACUGUUAUGCCCUUUGGUUUAAAGAAUGCACCCUCAGAAUUUCAAAGAAUUAUGAAUGAUAUUUAUAAUCCUUAUUCUGAUUUUUGUAUUGUUUAUAUUGAUGACGUAUUAAUAUUUUCAAAUUCAAUUGAUCAACACUUCAAACAUUUAAAGACUUUUCAUCUUGUUACAAGAAAGGCUGGGUUAGCCCUUUCUAGUUCAAAAAUUUCUUUAUUUCAAACAAAAGUCCGAUUUUUAGGACAUCAUAUUUCUAAAGGAACCAUCACUCCUAUAGAAAGGUCACUUUUGUUUGCGGAUAAAUUCCCGGACAAGAUUUUGGACAAAACCCAAUUACAAAGAUUCCUUGGUAGUUUAAAUUAUGUUCUUGAUUUCUGUCCUAACAUUAACAGGAUGUCUAAACCCUUGCAUGAUAGAUUAAAGAAAAAACCUGUUCCUUGGACAGAUGAACAUACCAAGGUUGUAAAGCUUAUAAAGAAUUCUGUGAAAAGCAUCCCAUGUUUAUAUCUUGCUAAUCCUGCAUUACCUAAAAUUGUUGAAACUGAUGCAUCUGAUAUAGGUUAUGGAGGUAUAUUGAAACAAAGGGAUAAUGAUAAAGAACAGAUAGUUCAAUAUGUUUCUGCUCAUUGGAAUGAUUGCCAGAAAAACUAUUCUACUAUCAAAAAAGAAAUCCUUUCCAUUGUUUUAUGCAUUACAAAAUUUCAAAGUGAUUUAUUAAAUCAAAAAUUUUUACUUAGAAUUGACUGCAAAGCUGCAAAACAUGUUUUAGAAAAAGAUGUUCAAAACAUUGCAUCAAAACAAAUUUUUGCACGAUGGCAAGCUAUUUUAAGUGUUUUUGAUUUUGAUAUUGAAUUUAUUAAAGGUGACAAAAAUUCUGUUCCUGAUUUUCUAACUCGGGAAUUUCUUUAAAACAGAUAAUGCCGCCAAAGAAGAAUAAAGGUAAAGCAGUUCUCAAAGACACUGGUUCCCAAGAACCUUCCAAAGAACCCCAGUCAACCCCUUCUAAAGAAAAAUUACUUUCUUCUGCCAUGCCCAUUAAAUCUUGGAUUGAAAUGGUUGAAGAACAUGGAGCCCAAUACAAAUCUAUUUUUUCUGAUGACCAAGUAAAACAAUGGAUGAGUUCCAUUACAAAAUCACCUGAGCUCAUGCUCGCCCUCCAAAACCUUUCUCAAAGCCAAAUUUCUCCCCAAAAAGAAAUUGAAAUUACAAAACCCUCUUCCCAAAAUGUUGUUGUCUCUGCUGAAAGCUCAUCCUCCCAAAUUGUGCUUUCUCAGCCAACACCUUCAAAGAAAACCUCCGAUUGGUUUGAUAAAACCCAUUUUCAAAAUAUCCUUUCAAUGGAAGAUGGAUUUUACCAUACUGAUCCUUUUCAAAGCAUUUCAAAGUUUUUUCCCAAAGGCUGGUUUUUCAAACCAUGGGAUUUAACAAAACCCCAGUCUUAUUAUCAAAGCAUUUUGGAGAUAACUGAAUCAGUUAAAUUCAAACACUUUUUCCUUGACAAAGCCCAUCCAGAACCGGCUUAUUCCACGGCCACAAUCCUAAAAGUAUUAAGCCCAAAUCAGUGGGGUGACCUACUCCACAAUUUUAAAACCUUCCCUUUAAAUUUUGAGACCCGUUUACCACAUUGUCGGACUUUUUCCUAUUGGGAUUACCAACAAGCAUGGUAUAACACCUUUUUUAUCCAAAACCCUAAAAAAUCUCAUUCAUGGUUAUUCUUCUUCAACACGAAAAUAACCGUUCAAAGCCUCCCAAAUUGGUUUCAUCAUUGGUGGAAUCUUUUUGGCUCAACUCCACAAAUCCUAACACCAAAUGCCACAAAUUGUCUAAACCUCUUCAAAGCCCAUUAUUUAUCCUCUGACUCAGAGAAAAGAUUUCCCCCCUUUCUAAACUUUUGUGCAAAUUUCUUCUUACCUUGGGUCUGUUCAUGGAACCUUCGUUUCCACACCCAGGAUUCCCAAGUCAUCCUCCAAAGAACCUUUAAAGUCAAAUGGUGGUCAAAAUUUGAUGAACAGUCCAAACUGACUGUUAACAUGAUCAAAGAUUGGCUUUCCUCUAAAAACCUCCUCCAACCAUCCUUAACCACCUCUAAAGCCCAACAAACAUUCUUAACCCAAAAAUCUAAAGCCCAGUCUCUUUUGGCAGGUGCCAAAACUGAAGAUGAGUACUUCAAAGCUAUGGAACAACUCCUCGCCUCACGUUCAAAGUCAUCAGUGGCUGACACCUCUGAAGACGAAAGACGAAGAUGAGGACGAAGAGCCCUUUAUUUCUCUCGGAGACGAUAAUGAAGAUGACUGUUUUGGCAUUUUCUCUCCAAUAAAGCAUUGUAAAUAAUUAUUUGAUUAUUUACUUAAAAAAAAAAAAUUUUUUUUAUUUCUGUAUUUUCGGGUGGUCCCCUGGACACAAGUGAGAGCGCACAUGUCUCUUCACCCGUAUUGUAUUUUUCUACAAAGAGUCUACUAUUCAAAGCUACGAUCCAUUUGUUACUGUGCACUUAAAAUCCCGCUACAGUGAACAGUGCAACUUUCCAGAGUUUACUGUGCACUUAAAAUCCCGCUACAGUGAACAAUUUAAAGAUUUUGUAUAUAAACCGAGAGGAAGACUUAGACUCCUCAGGUUUUUCAUUUCUCUCUUCAAAGCUUCUCUCUCUUCUUCUCUUCCUUCUCUCUAAAACCUCUCUCUCUCUCCCCGAAGGGUUCCAAAGAAGUUUUCUGCUUACACAAUAGUUCUAUCACAAGAGCUUUGGGUGAUCAGACUAGUUCUUUACCUUCAAUCUUCCCGUCUUUCAAUCUUCCCUUCUGGAAAGAUUUGAAAAUUUGUAAAAGCCAACCAAAGCAAAGAUGUAUGUUUAAAUUUCAGUUCUUUAAAUUUUUAAAGUUCAAUGUAAUUUAAAUUUUCGCAAUUUACUUUAAAGCAUUUACUUUUCUGCAAUUUAAUUUUAUGCACAUUUAAAUUCCAGCAAUUUUUUUUUCAAAGCACUUUUCUUUUCAAAGCAUGCUUGCAGACUGAUCUGUAUCAGAUCUGCCAUAUAAAUUCUACAUUCCUCUGAGGCAAAGAGACCGGAUCUCGAUCCUCAGUUGUAAAUCUUCUCUUCUCCCUCAAUUCCUUCAGAGCACCAUUUCCGGGAUCCGGAUCUGGUACUGUGUAUGUACCCAAACCUUUAAAAGAACCUAAUCUAAAUCUGAUAAUAGCCCAAUAAAAAGAAUCAACCACGUUUAAAGCAACUUAACUUUAUUUGGUAAACUAAAACUGAUUUGGUAUAUCGGCUGGAAACCCGAACGUGCGGGCUAUUGAUCUGUUCUAAGUCAGAUCUGGGUCCAAAGGCUUCACUCUGUGUAGCAUCGAUCUGGUUUAACAACGCCACGUAUCAAUUAGUUAUUAAAAUUGACUAACCGCGUUCAAAUUUGUUUGAACAUUGUAUGAUCCAAAGAACUCCAUAAUCAAAGCUGGUAAUUUAUUAUUUUAUAAAAUUUGGAAAAGCCGAUCCAUUAAUUGGUUUAUCUAAAGUUUUUAAAUAUUGAGAUCUAACGAAAGCACAUCCAUGCACAAUCGAUUAAAGAUGAAAGCUGAAUUAACGAGGAGGCAUAUCCAGAUUGGGUGCGGUUGUGAUUGUUGUGGCUAUUCUUUGGAGGAUAUGUUGCAUGUCCUUCGCGACUGCAUGGUAGCUAAAAGGGUUUGGAACCGUAUCAUCCUUGUUAAUUCUUGACAUCAGUUUUAUUCUUUGAAUCUAAGGGAUUGGCUGUGUCAAAAUUUGAAGAGCAAACGGCUGUUUGGUUCAGAGUUGAAUUGAAGUACUCUCUUUGGUAUGGCUAUUUGGCAGCUUUGGUUUUGGCGCAAUCAGUUUCAAUUCAACCAUUUGUCUUUAGAUAGCACGUAUGAUCAGUAGUGAUAAUAGACCUGGGAUUGUGGGCUUCUGUGCGGUUCGUAUCAGGAUCGAGGCCUCAGGCAAACACUCAAAGCCUAAUUAGGCCGCGUUCGGUGGAUUCAGGGAUACUGGUCCCGGUUCCAACCCGCCAUUAUUAUUGGUCGAAUAAUCUUCCUUGAAGUUCAUUAAGAAUUUCCAACUACCACAAAAAAUUUGUACCUGUAUCCCUCUUGCACAUUAAAUAAUGUCACGUUGUAUUCAUGUCUCACUCACAUGUUAUUCAGUAUUUAUUUUCUUUUCGUCAACUGUUUAUUUACGUUAUAUUAUUGCUUCCCUGUUAACAGAUAAAUAAUGGGGACCUAUGAAGUUGAUAGUGACGGAUUCCACAACCUUAGUAUUUUAUCUUUUUUUUUUAAUUUUUGUUUUAUUUUUAUUUACUUUCUUAUUAAGUUUAAAAUCAUUCCAAUCCUUAAAACAAUAUUUGUUAACUAGGUUAGAAUUAAAUUUAUAGAGGUUUGAUUUAGUUUUUCCUAUUCUAAUAUAUUCAUGUGCUUGUGAUUAAAUUUUAAAAUUAAGUUUUUAAGCACGAUAGCCGCUAGAAGCCUUAUUAGGUCCAGUUAUUUAUGCAUAUUGAAAUAAGAAGAAUUCAGAAGCUCAAAUUAAAUUUGAGAAUGAGAAAAGUGUUGAUUAGUAAUAACGUCUUGAAUUAGGAGAUAAAAGUUAUUGCAAGAAAUUUUUAACUAAAAUUCUGUUAUUCAAAUUGCAUUAUAAAUAAAGUAUUUUUUACACACAAAAGGACAGGUGCUAGUAAAUAUUCCAAGAAAAAAGAAACUCGAUUGUAAUCAUUAUUUUAAUAGUGAAAAUUAUUUUCUCUGCGUAUGGAAGUAGGCCAAGUGCUGAACUACGUGAAACUAUUGUGUCUCAUUCACUAUUUUACUCAUACCUCUUUAAUUUUUUAAUUGACAAAAAAUCUGCGUCAACAAAUUCAUAUUAUUUUAAUCAAAUUUUUCACUCUACUAAAAAAUAGCAUUUAUAGUACUUCUCUCUCUUUAAUAAUAAAAAUUUUUUAAAAAUUAUAAUAUUAAUUAAAGAAGGACAAGUUAUUCUUUAAUAUUGAAAAGAGAGAAGAAUAAUCUUAUUUAAAGAAUUUUGUUUAAAUUUUUUUUUGGAAAAGCUCUUAUGCACUUGCACAAUAAAUUAGGCCGCUAUAUAUUAUACAGCAAUGAAAAAGGUCUAAAUCAAUUUUUUAUUUCAAAAUUCAAAUUUUGAUUAAUUAAAUAAAGCUGUUGGAAAACAUCCGACCAUACCAUGGAGCCCAUAUGAUUUGAUUAAGCACAUGCAAAAUUUUACUAUUUAGUUAAUAUAGAGAUCAAAAGGAGAUAGAUAGCCAUCUAUAAAACAAAGAGUUGUGUUUGUGUUUCCAUAGCCAUCACCCAAAAUAAAAAUACACUUAGCAAUAACGCACCAAAAUCCUUUUCUUGUUUUUCAUUUAUGCAAAGAAAACUGAGUGUACGUGGAAAGGAUUUUCUUUUGAAUCAUUCAGUGUCUUUCUCACCAACUUGAAAGUAGCCCUGCCAUCUUCUGCAGCAAUGGUAUGGUAAGUUUCAUUAUUUUUUUUGGAUCCUAAGUUUAGCUUCAUUGUACUAAAAACAAAUAUAAUCAUUGAUGGCCUACGAUGUCUGUAUAAAAGAAUGUGAUAUGAAUGCAACUUAUUGUGAUGAAAUUAGGAAUUGACAGAGAAUUUAAAACUCUGUACUUCGAAGAAAAAAUUCUUUGUUAGUUCUGAAUUGAAGAUUCUAGAGUUAGAAAGAUUCCAUUCGACAUAUAUAAAAGCGAUUCAAAGUAAAACAGUUGCCUGAGAAAAUAGCUAGUGGCACCAUGGCAUGUGAUAUUUCCUUUUUUGGUUUCAUGAUCUUCAGUGUGAAUACAGAAGCCAUUAGCUUCAACUUCAGUUAUGGUCUCAGUGCCGCUGUAAGGUUAGAAUAGCUUCAUACAUAAUUCCUAGUCCACGUUAUGUGGUUUCUACGGAUUUUGUGUUCAAAAAUUGAAAAACUCAUGCUUUGUGUGACAGUUCAAGGGUGUCUAAUGAAAUUGGGAACAUCCUAUAUAAGAGUGCCAUGGCUGUGACUUUCAAGCUUGAUUUGUCCUCCUUUGCUUUUAUAAUUGAUAUUGCUCUGGCUUUUUGGUCACAACUAUUGAAACCAAAUUAAUAAACAAGAUCAAUUUGGAAUCCCCAAGAAUCACUCUAAAGAACUUGAUCUUUGAUAAAUCUCUAAACAUAACUUAAAGUGAGUUGGCCUGGUAAUUGAAAUCAAGAACAUGAUAAAAACAGAAACAAAUCAAACACAUAUUGCACAAAAGUUUAUAGUGGUUCGACCAUUUUCUUGCCUACAUCCACUGUGAAAAGAGAAGCAAGCUUUCACUAAUUUCUGAGUUUACAAGAUACAAUAAUGAAGAGUAUGUGUAACUGAAUGAAUCUUCUUUCGGUAACAGAUCAUAACAUUUAUUAUAUAGAAGCCUAACCAUCUAGAAAGACCCCCAAGAGACCAGCCCACAUUUUUGGGUUUCCCAGCUAAGCUAAGUCAGCUGCAUCCGCGCGAAUAAUGAAUUUAAUGAUCUCUUGAACUGCUUAAGGACACUUGUCAAGUGUUUAUAUAAUCUGUUACUCAAAACGCAAAUGUGGUUGUCAUUUGAAUUAGUAAAACACGUGAUGUUUCAUGUGUAUAACUAAUUCAUCCAGCCGACAAAGCAUCCUUGUCACCAGCUUCUCUGAACUGCUAUGGCUGACAUGUCGUCACUCUCUCACACAAGCAUAUGACAUGCCAGAUACACUCCCAUAUCCAGAUUUGAGCUUCACAUCUUCAACAUUCUCUACCUUGAACUCAAAUUAGUUACUCACGAGCUUCAACUUUUCACCUCACAUUUGCUUGUUUAGAGCUUGCAGAUUCCAGCUAAGUUCAUACAAAACUCAAGCUUAGCAAUUGGUACAACCUUUGUCAGCAUAUCUGCAAUAUUGUCAUCAGUGUGGACUUUCAACAGCUUCACCACCCCUCUUGACACUUCUAACAUGACACAGUGAAGCUUAAUGUCAAUAUGCUUUGACUUUUCAUGAUGCACCUAGAUUUUGCUUAGGCAAAUUGCACUUUGACUUUCACAAUGAACACCUAUAUGCUUUUGUUGAUACUUCAACUUUGUAACCAUUCUGUAAGCCAAAUUACCUAUUUAAUGGCUUCUCUUGCUAUAGUAUAUUCUGCUUCAAUUGUUGACAAAGCAUUAACACUUUGUAGUGAGGCUUUCCAAUUUAUGGUACAGUAGCUGAGUGUGAACAAAUAUCCUGUCAGAGACCUCUUUUUAUCAAGGUCCCUUGCAUAAUCAGCAUCCAUAUAACCUUCAACAUUCACUUCAAUAGCCAUUUUGACUCCAUAUAUAAGACCAUAACCAGCAGUACCAUUUAGAUACCUCAGAAUCCAUAUAACUGCCUUCCAAUGUUCCUUACUUAGAUUUGGCAUAUAUCUACUCACAACACUUACAACAUAAGAGAUACAUGUCAUAUCUGGCCUAGUUAGAACCAUUGCAUAUAUCAAACACCUUACAACACUUGAAUAUGAGAUUGAACUCAUUUAAGCCUUUUCAUCUUCAGUUUUUGAACACUGUUGGCAAGAUAGUCUGGAAUGGCCUGACAAUGGUGUCUGAACUGGUUUUGAGGUCUCCAUUCCAAACCUUUCAAGUACUUUCUUGAUGUAGUUAUGCUGUGACAGCCUUAAGGAUCUUCUUGGCAGCUCCAAGAUCCUUCAUCUCAAAUGUACUAUUCAACUGCUGCUUUAACUAAUUUAUUUGAUCCAUAUGUUUGCAGGCAAUGAGCAUGUCAUCAAUAUAAAGCAACAUAUAAAAUUUACCACCAUCUCCUAGAUCUUUAUGAUAUACACAACAAUAAAAAGAACACCUUUGAAAACUGUUCUCAAUUAUGAACUUGUCAAACCUCAAAUACCAUUAUCUUGGGGACUGUUUUAGUCCAUACAAAGACUUCUUUAGAUGAAAAACAUGAUCUGCCUUUUCUGGAAUCACAGAACCUUAUGGUUGUGCCAUUACAAUCAUUUCAUCUAAUUCACCAUGAAGAAAAGUAGUCUUGAUAUCCAUCUGUUCUAGAUGCAUGUCAUCUACUGCAACAAGUGCUAAUAGGAUCCUCAAUGAGGAGUAUCUCACCACUGGGGAAAAAACUUUAUUAAAAUCUAUGCUUUCAUUCUGUGUGAAGCCUUUGGCAAACAACCUGACCUUAAAUCUUUGUGAUUCCACCCCUGGUAUUCCCUCUUUAAUCUUGUAAAUCCAUUUGCAGCCGACUACCUUCUUCUCUGCUGGUCUUAGUAUUAGAUCCCAAGCAUGGUUCUUAAUCAAUUAUUGCAUUUCCUCAUCCAUGGCUGCCAUCCAUUUCUCUAAGUCCUUACUACUGAUAGCUUCAGAGUAAGUUUUUGGUUUAUCAGUUUCAAUGCCUUGUGCUGCUGUCAAUACAAAUGCAAUUAAAUCUGCAUAUGCAUAUCUCUUAGGUAGCUUUAUGUCCCUCAUCUUUUUGUCUUUGGCAUAAUUGAUAAUCUCUAACAUCAUUAUCACCUUCUGAUUCUUCUUCUGGUUCAAGAACAUCCCUGUCAGGUACAUGCUCAGGCCCUGCUCUUGAAUCACAUUUUAUGUCUGAGCUUGGCAACCUCACCUCAAAAGAGAUUUUCUGAUCAUUUCUCCCAGGUUUUGCAACAGUUUAUUUUGUUGAGACUGGAUUUUGUCACAUUUCAGACUCAUUAAACACAACAUCCCUACUGAUUAUAACUCUUGGUGGCUUCAAAUCAGUGCACCAGAGCUUAUAACCCUUCACCCCAGUAGGAUAACUGAGAAACACACUUUUUAAAGCUUUAGGCUCUGACUUCCCUUGCUUGACAUGUGCAUAUGCAGGACACCCAAAAACUCUCAUAUGAGAAUAGUCUGCUGGUUUACCAGACCAAAGCUUAUAAGGAGUCUUGAAAUUAAUUGCAAAAGAUUGACUAUUAUUUACUAUGUAACAAGCGGUAGAUAGAGCUUCAGCCCACAGGUUCAUAGGUAACUCUGAAUGAAUGAGCACGCACCUAACUUUAUCAAUUAGAGUCUUAUUCAUAAUUUUAACUAGCCCAUUUUGUUAUGGGGUGUGUCUUACUGUCUUGUGUCUAACAAUACCAUGUUCAGUACAGAAAUAAUCAAAUUUCUGGUUGCAGAAUUCCAAACCAUUGUCAGUUCUCAGCCUUCUAACCUUCAUGCUUGUCUGUGUUUCAACUAGUGUUUUCCAGGCUUCAAACUAUUCAAACACAUUUUCUUUACUCUUCGACACAAACACCCAAACCAUCCUAGAAAAAUCAUCAAUGAGAGAUAGGAAAUAACUAGCUCCACUUAAAGAAACAGUCUGUGUUGGCCCUCACAGAUCAACAUGGAUAUAAUCUAGAGUUUCCUUUGAUACAUGAGUACCGGUAUUGAAUUUGACUCUUGAAGACUUGCCUAGGACACAUUCUUCACAGAAACUUAAAGACUCUAUCUUAUCUUGACCUAAAACCCCAUGUUUUGACAGUUCUCUCAAGCCCCUUUCACACAUACGGCCCAACCUUAGAUGCUACAACAUUGUCUUAUCUACAUUUUGGUUUGAAACCCUAACUUCUCCUACAACAGUUGGCCCUUGAAGGACAUACAGGCCAUCGUUCAUAUUUCCUUUCAUUAACAUCAUUGCCUCUCUCAUUACUUUUAAGGUACUUGAUUCAAGCCUAACUAAACACCCUAUUUUAUCAAGCAUGCCUAGAGAAAUAAGAUUCGUUUUUAAUUCGGGCACAUGUUUCAUAUCUUUUAACUCUCUAACCAUGCCAUUAAACAUUUUCAGUCUAAUUGUGCCUUUGCCAACUACCUUACAAUAAGCAUCAUUUCUCAUUACAACUAUUCCACUAUCACAAGCUUUAUAGUUUAUGAAAAGAAUUUUGUUUGGGUACAUAUGAAAGGAACAACCAGAAUCUAACACCCAAUUACCUUUGGUCUGGCCAUUAGUGGCAAUAAGAACUCCAACAGAGUCAAAACUAUCAGAAUCUUGUAUUUCUAAUGCAAUAACAACAUUUCCAUUCUUCUAAUUUGUAUCUUUAUGCUUGUUUUUCCUCUCAGGACACUCCUUCUUGAAAUGGCCUUCCUUGUGGCAUUGAAAGCAUUUUAAGUUCUUUGGCUUGGAUUUGAAUCUUUUCUUUUUUCCCUUGCCAUUUUCUCUCUUUUCUAUUCUACCCAUUACCGUUAAACUUUCUCCCUCCCUAGCUUCUCUUUUUAUUGCAGCCUUGAAACUCAUGGUUUCCUUAACAUCCACCAUAAAGAGGAUUUGUCUCCUAUACAUCAGUGUGUUUACAAGAUUUUCAUAGAAACUUGGCAAAGAGCAGAGUAAGAUCAUGGCUUUAUCCUCCCUCAUCAAUUUUCACAUUGAUGUCUUUAAGAUCCAAGAUGAUCUUGUUGAAAGCAUCAAUGUGAUCAGUGAUUGAUGAUCAUUCUUCCAUUUGCAAGGUAUACAUCUUUUUUUUUGUGGCCAACUUUUAGCCAUUGAUUUUUUUCGUAUAUAAAUCUUCAAGCUUCUUCCACAACCCUAUAAUUGUCUUUUCACUAUCAACCUCUUUAAGUACACCAUCUCCAAGGCUUAGAAUUAUAGCAUUGUGUGCUCUGUCCAGCAAAUUAGAUAAUUCUUCAUCAUUCACAUUUCUUAGCUUCUUGGAUGAUGAUGCUUCAUCAAGUGUAACAUCAAGUCCUUGAUGCACUAGUAGGGCCCUCAUUUUGAGCCUCCACAAAUGAAAAUCAUUUCCCCCCUGUAAAUUUCUCCACUUUAAGCUAUGUUGAUGCCAUUAUAUAAAUAAAAAACCUAGAGACAGGCUCUGAUACCAAUUUGUUGAAACCAAAUCAAUAAACAAGAUCAAUUUGGAAUCCCCAAGAAUCACUCUAAAGAACUUGAUCUUUGAUAAAUCUCUAAACAUAACUUAAAGUGAGUUGGCAUGGUAAUUGAAAUCAAGAGCAGGAUGAAAACAUAAACAAAUCAAACACAUGCUACACAAAUGUUUAUAAUGGUUUGACUAUUUUCUUGCCUACAUCCACUGUGAAAAGAGAAGCAAGCUUUCACUAAUUUCUGAGUUUACAAAAAUACAAUAAUGAAGAGUAUGUGUAACUGAAUGAAUCUUCUUUCGGUAAUAGAUCAUAACACUUAUUAUAUAGAAGCAUAACCAUCUAGAAAGACCCCUAAGAGACCUGCCCACGUUUUUGGGUUUCCCAGCUAAGCUAACUCAGUUGCAUCCCGCGCGAAUAAUGAAUUUAACGAUCUCUUGAACUACUUGAGGACACUUGUCAAGUGUUCAUAUAAUCUGCUACUCAAAAUGCAAAUGUGGUUGUCAUUUGAAUUAGUAAAACACGUGAUGUUUCAUGUGUAUAACUAAUUCAUCCAGCUGACAAAGCAUCCUUGUCACACAGCUUCUCUGAAAUGCUAUGACUGGCAUGUCGUCGCUCUCUCACACAAGCAUCUGACAUGCCAAAUACACUCUCAUAUCUAGAUUUGAGCUUCAACAUUAACAUUUGGGCUAGUUUCUUCACUGACAGCCAAGAAAUACUUCAAGAAUUUGCCUCAAUGACACCCUUUCUUGUAAUCUCAAUAAUAUUUGAUGCUAUGUAGGCCAUCUUAUCAGUUUGUCACAUACAAUUCUUAUAAUUGUAAAGAGUAUUCUUAUAAUUGUAAAGAGUCUCCUAUAUAUAUAUAUAUAAAUUUUGAUUUUUUGCACAAAUAGGCUAAUGUUGUAGGAGUGGCAAGAGGAUGUGGUUGGCAAAACUUGGCCAUGAGGGUUACUUUUGGCAACAUUAUGUUUCAUUGGAAUGCCACUUGCAUCACUUUUUAGAUUUAAGUUGAAUCUUUUUGUUAAGGUGAGACAAAAUGGAUUGUAGUAGCUUGUUGAAUUUUUUUUUUACCCCCCUCAAUUAAACGUAUUGGGAGGCUAACAACAUUAAGCAAAUAAAAACCACAUAUUUUGGGCCCAGAGUAGCUGCCUGCAAUAAAGAGCUCUCACAAAUAAUUCACGUAAAUGACACUUCUGAAUUAGGAGAAUGAUAAGAAAAUAGAGUCUUCACAUAGGACUAACAAUCAUAGCUAAACUAAUAAUGAGUUUAUUAAAUGGAAACAAGGGUGUUAAAAAUACUUGCCUAGUCUAGAUCUGGAUCGAUGUAUCCGGAUUGGGAAUGAAGCCAUUGACACCGGACAUAAUAGAUGGGAAAACACAAUGUCACACACCCAAGAAAUCACAAGCUCACCACCAUAGCAAACAACAAAAGGAUACAGAAAAAUUCACCACCUAAAGUUGUUAAGCUAAGGAUACAGGGCUUAAAAAUACUCACCACUCAUUGGAAUCCACCAAAGAGAUACAGAGUUUGAUAAUAACUCAAAGUUCAUUCAAUUCCAAAAUUAAUCUUUUUCCUUUGUUUACAACUACAUAAGCUUAAAUAGCUUUCUUGGAACAAUCCUCCAAGCAUAGAUUUACUACAAAGAAACCCUUCAAAUAACUUGACUUUAAAGACCAACAUUAAAGCUAGACAUUAAUAAAACAUUGGUAUGCUUAAAACACAACAAAGAACAUUAAAAAAAAUCCAAGUCCCGAAAUAUUCUUCUUGACUCAAAACUGAACAGUCUGCACUUAACUAAUCAUAACUUACUGUAGAAAACUCCAAAUUUAGAUUAGUAAAAUUCAUUGGAAAGCUAACAGAAAUAUCUUUCCAAUGAUGUAUGGCUCGAAAAUUAAUUCGAUCUCAUGCAGUACAGUUUAAUUCCCAAAGAUGCCCCUUCUGCACAGACAUUCUGCUAACUUGAUUAAUGUAAGAACUUGAGCUGCACUUGGUAUAACUUGAUUACCAAAUAUUUCAAACACUCCUGUGUUAGCCAUACUGGUCUCGGGCAUCACUUGAUAAGUCCGAGAUUCGGCCCGAAACUCGGAUUUUAUUGAAAAAAAUAUUAUAAAAUAUAUAUAAUUUUAAAUAAUUAUAUUUAUUUGACCGAUCUAUUACAUAUAUGUAAAGCUUUAAACAGUUAUAGUUGAUAUUUUACGUCCAAUUUCAUUAAAAUAAAUUUAAAAAUUAUAAAAUUAUAAAAAUUAUAAAAAAAGUAUUCUUAUCUAAUAUUAUAGAAUAUAAAAUCCGGGUAUAAAAACACGGAUUACAAAACCUGGCAUGGUUCUAAAAAACACAUCCAAGCAAGGUCCAAGCAUUAUCAUACGUGGACUUGAACUCGGAUUUUACCAACCCUAAAUGAGAAUCGGAAUGAGCUAGAAUAGUAAUGAGCUAGAAUCAAAAGAGCUGUAGAAAUAAGAAUAAGAAUGAAUUAUAUUAUAAUUGAUGUGUUUACUUUGUUUAAAAAUCGGAAUCGAAAUGAGUUACAUUAUUUUAAAUUACUAAAAAGUCCUUAAUUAACUAUUAUCAUAAUUAUUUUUUAUUUUUUAUUAUUAUGAUUAUUAUUAUUAAUAAUUAUUAUUGUUAAUAAUAAUCUUAUAAUUAUUAAUGUUAACAAUGAAUUAAUUGUAAACUUUUAUAAUGAUGAUGAUGAUGAUUUAUUUAAUAGAAGUAUUAAUGAUAAAGAAUAUUAAAGUUUUGUUAAGAUAUUUUGUCAUUAAAUUAAAAGUUAAAUUAUUUAAUUUUUUUCAUUUGGAUCUACACAUCUUAUAAUCAAAUAUAAAUUAUAAAAAACAAACAAAUUGAAAAGUCUAAAAACUAGGAAAUAAUUAAAAUUUAGACCUUAGACCAAAAACAAAUAAAUUGUCAUACUUUUCAUUUUUAACAACUCGAUAUCAAAUGAGUCUAAAUAGAGGGGGAAAAAAAUACUAUUUAUUAAAAAAAUUAGGAUAAGUGCUUGCUCCAAUGCAAUCCUUACAUUUUGUUGAUUAUUUCUCAUAAAAUGUUGUAUCUUAUAUCAAUAAUCUUAAUAUAGUAUUUUGAUUCAACAUAAAAUAAUCAAGCGUGCACGGUCGCACGCGUCCCAUGCUUAAUUUGAGUCAAUAGCUAAUUUCUUGAGCUAAGAAUUUAAGAUAGUCAAAUUUUUUAAAAUAAAAUACAUUUGAUCUGAAUAGUAGGGGUCCGCUUAUAAUACAGCCGCUGCAUGCUAUAUAGCCGUUUUUAUUUUUUAUUUUAAAAUUUAUUGCCCGAUUGAUUUCUUCUAUAAGCAAUCCAACAGCUUCUAUAUUUUACGCAUGAAGCGGGCUAGGAAGUGGGAACUGGCAAAUAUUAGGAGCAAUUAUUAGAUAGCUACCCCAAUUUUAUCUAAAUAUCAAAGUUAUCAAUUUAAAUUAGGAAAAUGUCAGAGACCCCUCCUCAACAUGAAAAAUUUGCAUUUUCUUAUGGCUGAAAAAAUUACUCUAAAAUAUGUAAUGUAUGUAUUAAUGAGAAUAAUAUUAAUAAUAAUAUUAAUAUUAGUGUAAAUCAUAUAUAUAUAUUUCUUAUUUUCCAUCUAACUAUUGGAUAGUUUGCAAAUAAUUAUAAUUAUUCAUAGUACCAAAUAUCAUAAUUAAUCAUCAAAUAUUGUUAUCUUCAAUAUUAGUUGUACUAGUGACUAAUAUUAAUCGUAUAAAUAUGUUGUUGGGGAAAAAUCAGUUUUUUAUAAAAAAAAAAAACUUUUUAUGAUCAAUCUCAUACAAUAUAUAAGAAUUCGUAAUUUAGAGAUCGCACCUUGAAAAUCUAAGAAGAUGAACAAUCUUUGCUUUUUCUGCUGCAGUGAAACUAGGCUCCCAGAUCACGAUCUGUCACCACCACGCCUAUUAGAUCAUGAUUUGUUACUAUCAUGCUUGUUAGAUCACGAACUAUCACCAAUGAUCUUCCAGGUUAUGACUCAGGUUUGAUCUACACUUGACGUAUGGGCGCUUUUAUCACCAUUAAAGCAACUAGCACGAGAAAAUUUUUCUCUCAAAAUUAGAGAGAAAAAUCUUUUUCUCUGAUCUGUAUAAAGUGGCCGCUCUCUUUCUUUUGGGAGAAAAUGAGCCAUUUUAUAUCUCUAUCUAGUGGAAACCCUAGGCUCAAUUUUUUAUAUUAUUUAAUUCUAUUAAAUCAAGUUUGAUUUAAAUUAAAAAUAAUAAACAAAAAGAAACGUUACUUCUUUCUUGUCAUAGGGGCCCACCUUGUAAAAUAAUACAAGACCCUUUAAAUACAAGUACAUUAUAUGGAGCCUCCCACUAAAUAAUAUAUUUAGGUUUUUAACCAAAAUAACUAGUUAUCUUGCUUAUUAAUCUAGUAGUAACGCAGUCAAUUAAAUGAGCUAACUCGGGGAUCAUUUGGGAACAUACAAUAGUGACUAUAAUAAUUAGGCCUGUAAUUAAACUAGCCCAAUUAUUUAAUUCCAAAUCUAUUCCACUAAAAGAUUGGAACUAACCUCCAUAAUUGCAUGCUUGAAUAAUAAUUAGUCCCAAAUCACAUUGAUUCUUUACUGCAUAAUCCUUUGGACCACAUCGUUAAUUAAAUCGAUAUCUUAACUGUCCAAUCGAUUUAAUUACAUCUUAUUCCUUGAUAUUUACUGAUUUUCUCUAAUGAUCAUUUUCAACAUACUAAAUAUGUUGACACACUCUGACCAGAGAAUUCUAUGAUCAAGUGCCGAAAACCCAUCAAGAGAUGUGUUGUACAAAUUUUAUAUUGUUAAUCUAUAACUCCAAUACUCAUAAUUGCUCCCACCAAGAUACCGAGUAAUCUUGAUCACAAUUGUGUGUCGUGCCCAUUGGUAACUCAAAUGGAAUAACAAUUACAAUCAUGAAAUCAUAACUAACUCAAGAUUAAGAUUACAGUAAAAUCAAUGCCUAUGAGAUUUAAUAAGUCUGACAGUCAUUUCAAGGUUAAUUAAAUCUCAUAUGUGAUCCUGUUCAAUGUAAUCGUACUACAUUAAUAAAUUCAUACAUGAUUAAGACAAAUCAUUCAAUGAAUUCAUUACAGUCUAUACCUAAAUAAAAUGUCCAACUUUAUUUAUCAACUGUGAACUAAAUUUAUUUAAUCAUAAGAUAACUUGUAUUUAUGUCUUCUGUGAAUCCACAUGGUGAUCACGUAAAUACAUAUAAUAUGAUUAAAUGGACUUUAAUCAAAAUAUUAAUGCAAUUAAGAUAUUUGAAUAAAAUACCACAUUUAUUUUAUUAAUCAAAAAAAUUAUUUAUUAUAAUUAAAUAAACACAUAUGCUUUUAAAGAGCAUAUUUUCCCAACAUCUGAACUGUAUGCAAGGCAUAUAUAAUGUACCAUAUAUUUGAUAGUUGGACUAUACUCACAAAGAUUCUCUUACACAAAUUACUUUAUGCAAAUUUAUCAUAAAUUAAUUAAAUUAUUGCAUACUUUGUAAUAUUCUUUUGCUACAUUUUAAAAUUUUUGCAUGUAACAUAUUUAAUCUUGUGUUAUUACUGGUGCUACAGUUAAUGGUAGUUAAAUGAAAAUAAGAAUUACCUUCUACUGCCCCCCUUAUAUUUUAAGGCAUGUCUAAACCCCCCUAAAGUUAUAACAAUGUUAGUUUUAUAUAUCAUUUUACUAUUCUACCCUAGUCUUAAUGUGAACUACAAAAUUUAAAUAUUUUGAAAAUAAAAAUCAAGAAAAAUAACUUAUAUACCUUAAUGAUCAAAUUUUAUUUUAUAAUGAAUUGUAAAUUAUAGAGAAAAAUUAUACAUAGGGAAAUAUCAUAAAUAUCCCUAAUAGUUGUAAAUUAUCCAUUUAAAUUGGAAUAACAUUUGGUUAUAUAUGAUCACUAGAGCACCCACAUAAAUUUGUUUUUUUUUCUUUGUGUGUGUGUGUCAAGUAAUUUUCUCCAUAAUUUAUAAUUUAUUAUUAAAUUUAUUUAAUCAUUAGGGCUAUAUAAGUAUUUAUAUUCUAAAAAAAUUUAAAUUUUAUGACUAACAUUAAUACUAUGUGUAGAAUAGUACAAUAAAUGAUACAUAAAUUGCAGGGGAGUUUGAACCUAUUUUAAAACAUGAGAGGUUUUUAUUUUCUCUAAAAAUAAGGGAUAAUCUUCAUUUUUUCAUAUUGUUAAUAACUAUCAUUAUAAUCAUUAUUACUAGGAUUAAAUUAUAUUCAGCUUAUGAUAUUUUUUUAUGAUAUUAUACAUUUUUAUGAGAUGUGUGUAUAGUCUAUAUGAUACUAAAAGUUUUAAUAAUGUUUAUAUAUAUAGUCUAAUUGAAUGUGUUUUGUUAAAGUGUGUAUAAUCUGAUUUUAUUUUUUAACCCCGCUUGAAAACCACUUAGCCAAGUCAACAAGGGAAAAUUUUAUAAAAAUUAAAUUUUAAUAAUAUAAAGUGUAAUUUUGUUGGGUAUUAUCACAAUAAUUGUUGUUGAGUUGACAUUGUAUUGUACCCUUAACUAAAUUAGCAAUGUAACUAGACAACUAUAAUUUUAGUGUAACACCUAGAAUAANNNNNNNNNNNNNNNNNNNNNNNNNNNNNNNNNNNNNNNNNNNNNNNNNNNNNNNNNNNNNNNNNNNNNNNNNNNNNNNNNNNNNNNNNNNNNNNNNNNNNNNNNNNNNNNNNNNNNNNNNNNNNNNNNNNNNNNNNNNNNNNNNNNNNNNNNNNNNNNNNNNNNNNNNNNNNNNNNNNNNNNNNNNNNNNNNNNNNNNNNNNNNNNNNNNNNNNNNNNNNNNNNNNNNNNNNNNNNNNNNNNNNNNNNNNNNNNNNNNNNNNNNNNNNNNNNNNNNNNNNNNNNNNNNNNNNNNNNNNNNNNNNNNNNNNNNNNNNNNNNNNNNNNNNNNNNNNNNNNNNNNNNNNNNNNNNNNNNNNNNNNNNNNNNNNNNNNNNNNNNNNNNNNNNNNNNNNNNNNNNNNNNNNNNNNNNNNNNNNNNNNNNNNNNNNNNNNNNNNNNNNNNNNNNNNNNNNNNNNNNNNNNNNNNNNNNNNNNNNNNNNNNNNNNNNNNNNNNNNNNNNNNNNNNNNNNNNNNNNNNNNNNNNNNNNNNNNNNNNNNNNNNNNNNNNNNNNNNNNNNNNNNNNNNNNNNNNNNNNNNNNNNNNNNNNNNNNNNNNNNNNNNNNNNNNNNNNNNNNNNNNNNNNNNNNNNNNNNNNNNNNNNNNNNNNNNNNNNNNNNNNNNNNNNNNNNNNNNNNNNNNNNNNNNNNNNNNNNNNNNNNNNNNNNNNNNNNNNNNNNNNNNNNNNNNNNNNNNNNNNNNNNNNNNNNNNNNNNNNNNNNNNNNNNNNNNNNNNNNNNNNNNNNNNNNNNNNNNNNNNNNNNNNNNNNNNNNNNNNNNNNNNNNNNNNNNNNNNNNNNNNNNNNNNNNNNNNNNNNNNNNNNNNNNNNNNNNNNNNNNNNNNNNNNNNNNNNNNNNNNNNNNNNNNNNNNNNNNNNNNNNNNNNNNNNNNNNNNNNNNNNNNNNNNNNNNNNNNNNNNNNNNNNNNNNAUUUUUAAAAUGUAAAUAAUGAUAUUUAUUUUUAAUAAUAUAUUGUAUUAUUUUAAAAUUUUAAAUAAAUCUUUAGGUUAAAUAGAUUUUAUAAUUAAUAAAAUAUAUGUCAUGUAUUUAUAAUAUUAAAAAUACUUUACAAUAUUGAAAAUAAUUUUAAUUUUUAAUUUUUAAUUUUUAAUUUUAAUAUUAUGUUUCUAUUUAUUAAAAAAAUUAGUUUAAUAUAAUAUAAGAUUGUAAAGUAUUAAAAUAUUUUUAAAUAUUGAAAUUAUUUUAAAAUUUAUAUAUUGUUAUAUUUAUUUUAAUAUUAUGUUUCUAUUUAUUAUAAAACAUUAGAGUUGAUUUUUUAAAUUAAUAAAGUCAAAAUGUAUUAUAGUCAAAAGCGGUCUUAGGUGGCGUUUUUUUUUUUACCUGAAAUCUGAAUAGACCCGAAUUAAUCUGAAUUCUGAAUAGAUCUGAAUGUCUGAAUUUGAAUAACAUGUUUGUUUUUUUGUCUGAAUUUCGAAAAAUAAUUAUUAAGUUGUUUUUUUCAACUUAAAAAACUGAAAAUAUGUAUUUUUACAUUUGUAUCCUUAUUAAAUUUGAAUGUCAAAUAAACAAUAUAUUAAAUACCACGAUAUUUUAACAUUUAUAAGUAAAACUAUAUUCAAGUGAAUAUAUAAUGAUUUUAGAAUUUUAAUAUAUAAAAUAUUAUAAAUUUUAAAUUUUAUCGUAUAUAAUAUAAGAAAGAAAAAACUAAUAAGAUGCCUAAAACAGUUGAUUUGCUAUUUCAUUUUGAAGUUGUCGCAUGUAAUUUUGAUCUUCAAUACUUGAGGAGUUGAUAACAAAGUGAGGAGGGAUUCCAUGACGGCUAAAAAAAUAAUGAUGAGAUUAUUAUGUGGGGUAAAUGUCUAUGGGUGAGUUUUGGGAUAUAUAUGAAAAAUAAAUUAUAAAGCAGGGAUAUUUUUGACAUUAGAAAGUAAUUGACUUAAUUCAGAUGUCUCCAUUAAGUAAAAAGCAAAAAAAAUUGGCUUAUUUUAUUAAGUCAAAAUUAUCUAAAAAGUCUCAUUAAGUUAUAAAAAUAAACACCUCUAAUUAACUUAAUUAAUUAAGUUAAGUCACUUUAAGUAAUUAAGUUAAAAAACAAACGCCACCUUAGUGUCUCUUAGUGAAAACUUGGGGAUUUACAUGACCAUUUUUCCAAACCUUGGGAAGUGACCUUUUCAUAAUUUACACUUAAUUGCAUAUAUUAUUAUAUGAUUUAAGCAUGAUAAUUAAAAUUUUAAAGCAUACUAUAUUAAUUUGAGUAAUACUCACUUAUAAAUAGAUAUUAUAUAAUUCGGGUAGUAAUCGCUGUAAAAUAUGAUAUACAAUCAAUUAUUACAAAUUUAUUAUACUAUUAGCAUACAAGAAGAUAAACUAUCACUAAAAUAUAACAAUUAAAAAUAAGGCAAGAUCAAUUAAGCUAUAAAUUACGUAUCCAACUAUAUAAGUAUAUUGUUAAAUAAAUUUAAUUUUUAUGACUUAUAAAAAUGAUUGCAAUUUUGAGCAAUAAAUAAAUAGUUUUAAAAUAGCAGUCAACAUUAUUUUUAAAUUAUAAUGUAGAAUUUACCCAUAAGAGAAAAAAUUCCUUUCAAUACUUAAUUUACGAAGCAAAAUUAAUGUUUUAAUAUAUUUUCUUUUUUUUCUUGAUUGCAUUGAUUUUCUAAUGAGUUUUUUUUAACAAAAUAUUGUUUAAUUUGAAUUGCAUUUACUGUGCUUCAAGAAUUAAUUAAAAAUAAAUAAAUGGCGAGUUAGCUUAAUUGGAUUCAAAGUAAAUACUAAUUUUCAAAUCUUAAAAUUUCAAUAUAAAAUUAAAUUUCACUAUUCCUAGGAUAAUCACAUAAUAAAUAAAUAAUUUAUAUUAACAAAAACAUUUGAAAAAUAAAAAUUUGAGCAGUACAAAUUGCAUAUGCAAUUGUUAAAAAUGAAAAUUUGGUUGAAGUGAUGAGAAAUCAAAGAAUUUAUGUUGGAAAGAAAAUGAGUACAAUUAAUUUGAAAUAAGAAAAUAGGCAUAUCUAUAAUGAUCAAAAGCUCAAGUAUACAUAAGUUGAGUUUAAGAUAUUUCGUGAAAUCAAGAAGAUCAAAAAGAGAAAAAAAAAAUGUUCCAACAGAAAUAGGGUUACAAUAAUGAAUUUUUAAUAAAUUGUAGUAAGUUGAUAUUUAUUGAAACAAGAGGAGUAAAAUGAAGUUCACCUUAAUAAUAUUAUUUGUUUUUUUUUUGUAAUAAAGGUUUACUUUGAAUUUUAUAAUAUCAACUUGGAAAUUAACUUAUAAUUUUAAAACUUAACGUAAGUACUGGGGAACUUAAAACAUAAAAGUAGUGAACUAAUUAAUUGAAAUAUUUGAACCAAUAAGUGAGAAAGUUUAACCAAAAUAUACGACUAAUCUAAACAAAUAUAAAAUCUAAAAAGUACAAUUGGUAUUUAACCUCAUUUAUUAAAAUCUCACAUAAAUAAUAAGAAUAUUCAAGACAAAACUAGUGAAAUUAUUAGUUGAAACUCAUGUAAUAAUAAGGGAGAAAGUUUAACCCAAAGUAGGGACUCGAGAAAUGAAAUUUACUUGUAAUUUAACCUAAAAUAUUGGUACUUAAUGAAUUUAGUAGGGAUAUUAAAUAUAAAACUCAUGGAUUGAAAAUUUGAAACAUAUAAACCCAUAAUUGAGAAAGACUAACCAAAAUUAGAGACUAAUCCAACCAAAAAUAAAAUCUUAUAAGCAAAUUUAGUUGAAAUGCAUGAACCUGUAUGAGAGAAAAUUUAACUAAAAUCAGGAAAAUUAUCCAACGAGAAAUAAAAUAUAUUUGGGAAUUUAACCCAAAAUAUUAGUAUUUAAAGAUUUUAGUAGGAACACGGAACACUAAACACAAAACAUGAAUUGAAAAGUUGAAACAUAUAAACCUAUACUUGCGAAAGAUUAACCAAAAUUAGGAACCAAUCCAAUCAAAAAUUGAAUUUUACAAAGUAAAAUUGGUAUCCAACCCAAAUUAUUGGAAUCUUAUCUAGAUAGUGGGAAUAUUUAAUACAAAAUCACUGAAACUAUUAGUUGAAAUACAUGAACUUAUAAUGUAGAAAACCAAAAUCAGGAACUAAUUUGAUGAGAAAUGAAAUUUACUUGGAAUUUAACUCAAAAUAUUGAUUUUUAAUGAUUUAAGUUGGAACAAUAAGCACAAAACUAAUGGACUGAAAAGUUGACAUAUAUUAGCCUAUAAUUUAGAAAGUUUAACCAAAAUUUGAUACAAAUCCAACAAAAACUUAAAUGCUACAAAGUAAUUUGUUAUUUAACCUAUAUAGUUAAAAUCUUACCUAGAUAAUGGGAACAAUCAACACAAAACUAGUGAAAUUAUUAGUUGAAACUUGUGUACCAAUAAAAAAGUUUAACCACAAUUAGGAACUCGUCCUACGAGAAUUGAAAUUUACUUGUAAUUUAACCCAAAAUAUUAGUAUGUAACAAAUUUAGUAGGAAUAUUAAGCACAAAAUUAGUGGAUUGAAAAGUUGAAAUAAAUGAACCAAUAAAUGAGAAAGACUAACCAAAAUUAGGGACAUGUGAUAAGUGCAUAUUUUUCAUAUAUUUUGCUAUUAAUUUCUCUAUCUUUUUCUUGUUUUGGUCUUAAAUAUUCUAGUUAUUUUAGUUAAUUUUUAAUUUAGUAAAUUAUAUUUUAUUAUGUUAAUUUUAUGUUAAUUUUUAUAAUUUGUUAUUUUAGGUGCAUUUUGGGAAUAAUUUGUGCUUAAAGGGAUCAAAGCUAGAGAGAGUUGAAGAUUGUUAAUGCUCGCUGCCGUGGUGAUAAAGUCGAAAGGAGAAGAAGAAACAAUUAAAUUGAUUGGCUGAAUUAUUAGCUAAAGGACAUGAGAAAUAUUAGCCAAAUUAAAGAGUGCACGUGAGGGAAGCCAAAGCAAAUUAAAAGGCUUAACCUUUGGCUUAAGAGUUGGAAAAGUCGGUGGGGCCCAUUUGAAGACUAAAUAUAAAAGCCAAACUUUGGUUUUAGAAAGUGGCGGCUUUACUUUUGUUUUUAAUCCUUUUCGUGAGAGGAUUUAGAGCAUUAUAAAAGGAGAGCUGCCAGAGAGCAAAAGAGGAGAAUCGGGAGAAGAGAAGAGCAGCAGUUGCAGGUUUGGAGCAAAACUGAUCCAAUUCAGCAAGAAGAAGAAUUCGGGUAGCAAGAGAAAAAUCAACAGCUGGAAUUAAAUUGAAGAAAAAGGCAGCCGCUUAAAUUAAUCUCCAUGAUUGGUUUUGUCAAUUCUCUUAUUCCUAAUUUAAUUAUGUUAGGCUAAAUUUUUAUUUGGUUGAGGGUGAAUUCAAAACCCUAAACAUGCUAUGCAAUUAAAUUUAAAUUCUAUCAUUUAAUUUAUUUAAUUGAGAUUGUUUAUGUUCUUCUAUAAUUAAUGUUCAUGGUUUAUUCUUGUUUUAUUUGAGUGGCCAAUUAGAUAGGACUUGAAUAAAUAUUAUUGCUAGAUUAAAAUUCUUGAUCCGUAAUUGUCUUGAUAUUUUAAUCAUUAGUAGCAGGUUGGAAUUAAUGAUUUCAAUUGGAGAACAUAACCUAGGUUAAAUAAUCCGAGCUUGUGUGUUUAUUGCCUAGAUCAACCUAAUAUCUUUCUUUGUUUAAUGCUUCCAUUAUCUUAAAUUUAAAGAGCUUAUUUUAAAUUAUUUAAUGGUUAGAGAUUAGGUGAAAAGCUUGUUUUACCUAACGACACACUAAGGAAAGAUUGAGACUAACAGAGCUUAUUGUUGUCUACGGUUGAUAGUUUCAAUAUAAAUUGAUGAUAGAAUUAAUAUAUUAUGUGCAUGUUUGGUGGUGGCGAAUGAUCCUUUAACCAAAGUUUUCAUCAUUAUUAUUUCUUUCUCCUUUAAUUAGAGUUUUUAUUAAAUUCUUGUUCGUAAUUUUAAUUUCUUUAUUUCUUACUAUUUAGUUAAAAAUUCAUAAAUCCCCCUUUUAUUUUUAAUUGGCAUUUUCUUUAGUUAGAUUAAUUUAUAUUAUUAUUACUAUUACUAUUAUUACUAUUAUUACUAUUAUUUUAUUUUAAAUCUUGCUUUGGAGUUAAUAAUAAAUAUAACUAGCAUAGUCUCUGUGGGAUCGAUCCUUACUCGCUCUGUACUAAUUAUUUAUAUUAGUGGUAAGGUUUUAAAUUUGGUGCACCUUAACGACACUACCAACAUGCAAAAUAAACUUGAAACAUCUACCUAUUAAAUUGAUAUUUUAGCCAAAAGAAUUGGAAUAUAAUUAUUUUAUAAUUUUUUAACAUUUAUUNNNNNNNNNNNNNNNNNNNNNNNNNNNNNNNNNNNNNNNNNNNNNNNNNNNNNNNNNNNNNNNNNNNNNNNNNNNNNNNNNNNNNNNNNNNNNNNNNNNNAAAAGGGUGGUUCCUAAAUUUAAUGAAAUCCAUUAAAAAUUCAAUAUCAAUAAUAAAAGUUUAGUUGGUGUGUAUUAUUGUGUUUUAAUAUGGUCGGUGAGAUUGAAAUAACUCCCCAUCUUCCAUCAUGUCCAUAACUAAAACCUGAGCCGCUGCCCAUUUCUCUCCACUCUAACAAGUGGGUACUUUAAUUAUUAUUAUUGAGUAGUCUUGCAAAAUUGAGUGAUAAAAUUUGUUUAUCAUGAUUAAAAUAAACUCAUUAUUUAGAUAGAAAAUAAAACUUAAAACAUUUUUUUAGUAAGAUAAAACAACACAACCUCAAUCAAAUACAAAUUUUAUAAUUAACACUCACCUCUAUAUAAAAUUAUGGUAGAAUUUACUUUUUGAAUUGGAAUGGAAAUCUUGAAGUGUGAGAAUUCUGAGAUUGAGAAUGUAGAGUGAGUGUAGGAGUAAAUUAUUUACUUACACUAAAAUGAGAGUAUGAAAUAAGAAUCAUAAUUAUAUUUAUAUGUUUAUUUUAUCUUAAAUUAGGAGUGAAUUGCCAAUGGACUUUUGGCCCAGCGAUGAAUCUCUACUCUCACAGUUAAGAAGGAUUGUGAGGGUAAGGGUUCGAGUUAUGUAUAUCUGAUUGUAAAUAUCAGUGUAAUAUCUGCUAUACUAGCAGUUGUAAAUAUCUGUAUAAUACAGUAAUAUGAUUUGUAAUCAGUAUUAAAAAAAAUUAGGAGUGAAUUGUUUUAAAUUAUAGUUUUACUUUUAUUUAAAGAAUUGUGGUUUUUAGUUACAAAGUAAAUAAAAAUAUAUAUUUGUAAAGGUAAACUAUUCAUUUUAUUAUUAAUUUUAAUAAUAUAAAUUGAUAAUAGUUAUUACUAUUCUUAAUUAUGUAAAUCAUAUUUUUUUAAUAAUUUUAAUUUUAAUUAUGUAAAUUAAAAAUUAUUAAUAAGGAAAACACAAAUAAAACAUUAUUACUAAUAGUAUAGUACAAAAUUAAUAUUUUUCUUAGAAUAAAUUAUUUAUUAUUAAUAAAUAAAUAAAUAUAAUACUAUUAAAAUCAAAUAAAUAUAAUAAUAUUACAUUUAAAUAAGUUUAAUAUUAUUUUUUUAUAAACGUAAUAUUAUUUAUAAUAAUAUUAUUUAAAUAUAAUAUUUUAUUUUAAAAUAAAUUUAAUAUUAUUUUAUUUUAAUAAAUAUAAUUAUAUUAUAUUCAAUAAGAGAUGGGUAAAGAAAAGAGGUGAGCGCGGAGUGGGCGGAAAUCCUGCUCUCUUUAAAAAUGAGUGGCUAGGAGAGUCAGACUUUCACUUCUCUCGUUAAAUGACUGAAGACUGGAACGGGUCCACACUUCCACUCGAAUAACUAAUCACCACCAAUGUCAAUUUGUAUUCAUGUCUCUGACGGAGUUGUUAACUAAUAUAAUAAUAUUAUAUAUCUUCAUUAUCUGAUGACUGGUUUGUAUUGUUUCACGUGUUAACCAUGACCAUAAAGGUCAAAGUAAAGAAAAAUACAGCUGGCAAGAUUUGUCGAGAAGGGAGACCAUACCAAUACGCAGUAAAAAAUAUCUCCCGUGAGAUCUGUGGAGAAGAGAAGAAGGCUAGUUAAAACUACCAAGAGAAAAAUGCUAGGGAAUACAAGAAGUUCAGAUAAUCCCAAACUGCCUUUGUUAGGAAGCAGUGAUGAUGAUAUUAGUAACAGUCAUGGAGAAGAAGAAGAAAGGAGGUGGUGGCGGAAAUGGAGGAAGGUUUUGGACGUGGAAGAGGCCAAGGAUCAAGUCUUGUUUUCGCUACCAAUGAUUCUGACAAAUGUUUCUUACUAUGCGAUCCCUUUGGUCUCUGUCAUGUUUGCUGGUCACCUUGGUGAGCUUCAGCUCGCCGGUGCAACUCUUGCCAACUCUUGGGCCUAUGUCACUGGAUUUGCUUUCACUGUAAGCACUACCCAAAUCACUUUUCUUCAUCUUUUAAGUUUCCAAGUUUUGAGAAAGCUAUAGCUUAUAGUAUAUUAUUGUGAUUAGUAUAUUGGAUAAGAAAUAAUAAGCAUAUAACAUAUUAUUGUGAUUAAUUAUUCUCCUUUGUUGAUUCAUGUUUUUCAUUCUCUGUUGUCCUAACAGCAAGGACUAAGUGGAGCACUUGAAACACUCUGUGGUCAAGGAUUUGGUGCAAAGCAGUACAGGAUGUUGGGCAUAUAUAUGCAAACAUCUUGUAUCAUAUCUUGCUUCUUCUCAAUUAUCAUAUCUUUCCUGUGGUUCUACACAGAACCUAUACUUAUUUUACUUCAUCAAGAUCCGAAUAUUUCAGAACAAGCAGGUCUCUAUAUGAAGUAUCUCAUUCCGGGACUAUUUGCAUUCGGGUUUUUACAAAACUUUCUGAGGUUUCUUCAGACACAAUCCAUUGUCAUGCCAUUGGUCUUCUGCUCAGCUCUCCCCUUUGCAAUCCAUUUUGGCAUUGCAUAUUCUUUAGUUCAUUGGACAUCCCUUGGUUUCGGUGGAGCUCCUCUAGCAUGUUCAAUUUCGUUGUGGAUCUCGACACUUUCGCUUGCAAUUUAUAUCCUUUGUUCAAAGAAAACUGAGCGUACAUGGGAAGGAUUUUCUUUUGAAUCAUUCAGUGUCUUACUCACCAACUUGAAAGUAGCCAUGCCAUCUGCUGCAAUGGUAUGGUGAGUGUCAUUAUUUUUCUUGAUCCAAAGUACAGCUUCAUUAUGCUAAAAAGAAAAAAAAUAUAAUCAUUGAUGUCCUACAAUGUUUGUAUCAAAGAAUGUGAUAUGAAUGCAGCUUAUUUUGAUGUAAUUAGGAAUUGACAGGAAAUUUAAAACUUUGUACUUCGAAAAAUGUUCUUUGUGAUAGUCCUGCAAUGAAUAUUCUGGACUUAGAAAGCUUCCAUUCUCUAUUAUAUAUACAAGCGAUAUAGGAUAAAACAGUUGCCUGAGAAAUAGCUAUUACAUUAAUUUGCAGGGUUAAAAUCUGGCGGACUGAUUAUUUGAAGCAAUGGGGGUAUGAAUUAAUGGAAUUCAUUAUAAUACCAUGAUCUUGUUAACAUAUAUCAUUUGAACAUUUUUCAGCUUGGAGUUCUGGUCUUUUGAGAUCCUUGUGUUCUUAGCUGGAUUGAUGCCAAACUCAGAACUCUCUACGUCAUUGAUCGCAAUGUGGUAAGCUUAACACUUUAACCAUUAUUAGUUUUUUCUGUAUUAAUUUCUUUUGAUGCUAUUUAUCCUAAGAGUACUGAUGAUAUCUUGACUUGAUGUCUUUAAUGGUAUAUUUCUCUACUUGGUUUUGUGAUCUUCAGUGUGAAUACACAAGCCAUUUGCUACAACUUUAGUUAUGGUCUCAGUGCUGCUGCAAGGUUAGCAGCCUAUACAACUCCUAGUCCAAGUUCCGUAGUUUCUACAUUUUUUGUGUUCAAAAAUUGAAAAACUCAUGCUUUGUGACAGCACUAGGGUGUCAAAUGAAUUGGGGGCAGGAACGAUCGAUCGAGCUAAGAAUGCCAUGGCGGUGACUCUCAAGCUUGUUGUCCUCCUUGCUCUUAUCAUUGAUUUGGCUCUAGCUUUUGGCCAUAACAUUUGGGCUAGCUUCUUCACCGACAGCCGAGAAAUAGUUCAGGAAUUUGCUUCAAUGACACCCUUUAUGGUGAUCUCAAUAAUAUUUGAUGCUAUGCAGGCCAUCUUAUCAGGUUUGUCGCGUAAUUUUUCCAAAGAGACUCUUAUAUAUAUGUAUGAGCUUUGAUUUGUGACACAAGUAGGCUAAUAUUGCAGGAGUGGCAAGAGGAUGCGGUUGGGCAACAUUUGGCUGUGUGGGUUAAUUUGCACAUUCUAUUUCAUGAUGCCACUUGCGUUACUUUUGNNNNNNNNNNNNNNNNNNNNNNNNNNNNNNNNNNNNNNNNNNNNNNNNNNNNNNNNNNNNNNNNNNNNNNNNNNNNNNNNNNNNNNNNNNNNNNNNNNNNNNNNNNNNNNNNNNNNNNNNNNNNNNNNNNNNNNNNNNNNNNNNNNNNNNNNNNNNNNNNNNNNNNNNNNNNNNNNNNNNNNNNNNNNNNNNNNNNNNNNNNNNNNNNNNNNNNNNNNNNNNNNNNNNNNNNNNNNNNNNNNNNNNNNNNNNNNNNNNNNNNNNNNNNNNNNNNNNNNNNNNNNNNNNNNNNNNNNNNNNNNNNNNNNNNNNNNNNNNNNNNNNNNNNNNNNNNNNNNNNNNNNNNNNNNNNNNNNNNNNNNNNNNNNNNNNNNNNNNNNNNNNNNNNNNNNNNNNNNNNNNNNNNNNNNNNNNNNNNNNNNNNNNNNNNNNNNNNNNNNNNNNNNNNNNNNNNNNNNNNNNNNNNNNNNNNNNNNNNNNNNNNNNNNNNNNNNNNNNNNNNNNNNNNNNNNNNNNNNNNNNNNNNNNNNNNNNNNNNNNNNNNNNNNCUGUGGCCUCGCAUCCCAAGCCUGCUCCCUCUUUCUGAUUACGUUGCGAAGAAAGUGGACUAAAAUGGACGUAGCAAUGAGCAGUGAAAUAGACGGGCCAUGUCCAAUUUAAGCUUAUUGUUGUAUUUUGGGAUUAGGAAGGUUGUGCAUUUUGUUCAAUCCAUGAACUUUUUUUUUUGAACUUCAUGCUGGAAAGGAUUGGAAUACCACGCCACUAUAAUAAAUAAUAGAGGAAAAACUGCACUCUAUGUGUUCCCUAUAAAUUCACACUUUUUGUUCCCUCUUCCAUAAUCCUAAAUUCUCAACAACAUUUUUAUUUCUCAACUGCUCAUUACUGUUUGCUCAUACACUGGGAUUCAAACUCUUACUUAGGAGAGAGUCAUAACUAUUGGUAAAUCUUACUUUCUCCCCGCUUUAUUAGAUUUUUAUCUUUAUGUUCUAUUAAGAAUUUUAUUUUGCAUGAUUUUAUAAAAUUAUAAACCUUUAUGCAUGAUUUAGGAUGUGUUCUAUUAAGAGUUUUCAUUCCCACCUCACUGAACUUAUUAGAGAAUGGGGGUUAAAUUCUAAUGGGGUGUGUAUUUUAGGUGGUGUCCCUACCCCCGCAAUCUCAUCUUAGCCCAUUGUCUUCUCUAAUUCCGUAAAAAACCACAAUUCUACAAUCUCACCUUGUCAUCCUUAGUUCUGUGUAGAACCACAAGAAAGAUAUGACAAUUGAGAGAAUGAGCAUAAUAAGAUGCAAAAUAUUUGCAGAUUUAUUCCCAACAUCCUGUAUGGAUUUGCACCAAAUCCUUCACCACGUAGUGUUUCAAAGUGCUCCACUUAAUACGUGAUGGGAUAAGAACAGAGAAUGGAAGAAACUAUAAACUUCUCAAAACCAGUAAUCUUAACCAAAAUCAAGAAAUUAAUACGAUUUGAGUGCUGACAGUGACCAGUUGCAUUGAUAUUUCACAUUUUACAAAACAAUUUCAAAUACCAACUUCAAUUUUUUGAGAUUUCAUCCUCACGCCCGCAGCCUCAUCUCCUCAAUGCCCAUCUCGAUUGACUAUGCAUCAAUUAAAAUUUAGUUUUCGUUAGGAAAGGCUUAUAGCCCCCCUAUUUAACAUCUUCAUCACGUGCUAAGUCUGUUGGUUCUGCUAAUAUAUAUAAGUUGAGCCAGUAAUUACUCAGAGUCAAAAUUAAUAUAAAAAAAGAUAUAUCCCUAAUAAAUUUUGCCUAUUAUCCUUUAAGCUCCUUAUUCUUCCUGCCAAAAACCGAGAAGGCUAUUCAAAGUUCAAUAUUUAAUUAAUUAGACUUUUUGACAAUUAAAAAAUUUGACACAGAUUGCAAAACAAAACUGAACAAUCUCAUUGAUAAGUACGAUGACCCAAAGAAAGAAAAACAAGUCGUAGUCACAGUUACUAAAAACACUAUAUAUAGAAUUUAUAAACUCCCAUCACAACAAAAAAACAAUUAAUAUAAAAGAUCUCAAGUAAAUUAUAUAUUCAUCUAUCAAUAGAAAGCCGCCUUCUCACCUCUUUAUUUAAUAGGGGCUAGACCGGAAUAUUAAACAUAAUUUAAACUAUAUUUUAAAAAAUAUUAAUAACUCUCGUUAUCUUAUUCAAACCAUAAAAUCAAUGUAAUCACCAAAUAAUUUUAAUUUAGUAUUAUGGGUGAUUGGGUGUUGAUUUUCUUGUACGAGACAUCUUGUUUUCACAUAAGAGAUUUUAUCAUUUCAACUAAAUGCCAUCCACAAAUUAAUUUGUAAGGUUCAAAUCACACAAAUAGAUAAUUUUCUGAAUUAGUUCAUAUAUUUUUAAAAAUAUAAUAAAUACCAUUUUUAUUUCACAGUUGAUGAAUUUAACUUUUCAACUAUAAAAUAAUAUUUCUCCAUUUUUGUUUUGUAAGCAUUCAUUUUCAUUUUUCAAUUCUCAAACAGCAAAUAAACCCUAAUUUGAAUUAACUUUAAUCCCUAAGAUCAUUGAAUAUCAUAAUUUUCACAUCAUCAUAAUUUAGAGAAAACAUAUCUCUAUCCAUAGCAAUUUUUCUUGAUCAAAUCUCACUGCCAAGAGUUAAAGAUUGGCAAAAUUGAUUUCUCUCUCUUGACCUCUUUAGAGUGACUUACUUUUUGAUGGAGAAAAAAUUAACGUGAUAUCCUUUUUAUAUAUUGGGUGGAGAGAUGACCAAUUUUAAUAAAACUCCAAUUUCUACUUUCCAUCAAAGCGGGCAGUUAGUUUUUCCCAAUUGACCAAUAGGAUUUCAGCCCAUAGUUUAUUUUAUUAUUACUAAUUUAAUAAUGUGGCAUGUGGGUGACUAUAAAAUAUUCCAACAAUGUUUGUUUUUCUUUUUUCAAUAUGAAUAUAAUUGUUAUGUUGUUUUUUUCCCCUCAAAACAAAACAUGUUAAAUAUGAUAUUUUGAGUUUUGAGAUAUGUACCUUAUAAAUAUUACAAGUACUUAUAUUUAUUUGUUAAACACUUAACAAGUUACAGAUAAAUCAUUUUAUUAAUAAAAAAAUUUGAUAAUAUGUACCUUAGCAAAACAUGAAAAAAAAAUGCAUCUAACCAAGUAUUUUUUAACACUAAUAUACAAUACUCAUAAUGUUAUUGUGAGGUUUGCUGGUGAAUCAAACUCAUCAGCACUAAAACGGUGGCGUUUUGGCAAAUAUAAGAGCACUUAUAACUCACGGGAAAAGCAUGUGUGUGGUCACUUAUGUUUAGAGCGUGAAACGGCAGUUCAAUUGUGUUGUUUAAAGAGAAGGCUUUUAAGUGAUGCACGUGACAGCCGUGUGAAGUAACUUGAUUCAGUUCAUUAAGUUUGUUAUGCUACGUGUAAUCAGGUUGUUCGAUAUGGGUUUAGCUAGGUGGUUGCUCUGUUAGCUUUAAGAACAGACAGAUGUAACAGUUGAGCGUUUAGCGUGUGUAACCAUGUUAAGAGAGAGAGAGAUCAAGAUCAAGGGAUGUGUGAUAAGAGUUCUCUGAUAUCUUGUAAACAAUCUCUGUAAAUUGGGAUCCUCCAUUGUUGAGUAAUAAGAACUCUGCAUAAAGCUUCUCCCGUGGAUGUAGGUUGUGCCAUUUGAUGCAACCGAACCACGUAAUUGAUUCUUGUUUUGUCCAUGUUUGUUUCUUUUCUUUUUUGCUCUCUUAGUUCUUGUGUUACGUUGGUUCUUUUCUGGAUUCAUUCUUCAAUUCGCGUAUCUUGGGUAGUUCUUUAUCAAAGGUCCUGGGAAGUGAUUUUCUCUUGCAUAUUAAAAGAGCAAAUUCAGUCACUAAAAUUGGUAUCAGAGCUUGGUAUCUUUUGAUCAAGACCAAGAAUGGCCACACCGAAGAUAGAUCUAGAAAAGUUUAAUGGCAAGAAUGACUUUAACAUGUGGAAAAUUAAGAUAGAAGCCUUGCUUAUCACUUAAGGUUUGGGAGAUGCAAUCGAACCUAUUUCCAAGAAGGAUGGAAAAGAAGUCUCAUCUUCGAAGACUCUAGAGGAAGCAGCAGAAAUAGACAAGAAGGCCAAGAGUAUUAUAAUCCUCAGUCUUGGAGAUGCUGUUAUCAGAGAGGUGGCUAAAGAGAAGACAAUUGCUGGAUUAUGGGCUAAAUUAGAAAGUAUUUACAUGACCAAGUCACUGGAAAAUCGUCUCUACAUCAAAAAGUUCACUCUAAAAAUGAUGGAAGGGUCAUCAUUGGAUCAUCAUAUAGAUGAAUUUAAUAAGGUUUGUGAUACUUUAGAAUCUAUUUGAUGAGGGUUUGAAUAAUGAAAGUAAAGCACUUCUUUUAAUAAGCUCCUUACCAAAAUCAUAUAAGCAUUUUUUAGAUGCGUUGAUGUAUGGAAGGCAAACUUUGACUCUUGAUGAAGUUAAGGCUGCCUUUAACACUAGAGAGUUACAAGGAAACAAGAUGCUGUAGAGAUUGGUGUUGGUGAAGGUUUGGCAGCAAGGGACAAAUUUGAUAAAAAAAGAUGAAAAGAAAAAGAAACAAGGGAAGUAGAAGAACAAACAUAAAGGCUGGAAAUGUUUUCAGUUUUACAAAGAAGGGCAUCUUAAAAAAGAUUGCCUUGAAAGGAAGUUUAAGCAAGAAGACUUGAAGAAUUAUAGUGGAAAUGCAACCAUAGUGGAAGAGGAAGGAUAUGAGUUAGCAGCUGUGCGUGUAGCAACUGAUUGCAGCUAAAAAGGUAGAUGGAUCUUGGACUCUGGAUACACUUUUCAUAUGAGCCAUUUUAAGGAUUACUUUACUGAAUACCAUGAAUUUGAUGGAGGUAGGGUAAUGAUGGGGAAUAAUGCCAUGUGUGGAGUCAUUGGUAUCGGUUCUGUUAAGCUUAGGUUACAAGAUAGAACUCUGUUGAUGAUUAAACAGGUAAGGCAUGUGCCUGACCUUAAAAGGAACCUUAUCUCCUUGGGAAAGUUUGAUCAAAUGGGGUAUAACAUAAGGCUUCAAUAUGGUGAUCUAAGGGUAAUAAAUGGCUCUAAAACUGUCUUAAAAAGAAUAGGAAGAAUGAAGUGUAUGUCCUAGAUAGUAAGGUUAUAGCUGGUGAAUCAGGUUCUCUCUGGAAGUAUCAAAACUGAUAACACCAGGUCUAUGGCACCUUCAGGCUCGGUUUAUAUCUAGUGAGAAGAGGUCUAAAAGGAGUCAGAGAAGCAAGGUCGUAUCAAGUCAAAGAAAAAAUCAGAAAUCUAGGUCUCUUCAGUCGAAGACUAGUGUCGUCUCGACAAAUCUUCAAGAGCAGCUUUAAGAGAUCAAACAAGAAGUCAAAAAAUUUCCUAGACUAUAUACACUCAGACCUUUGGGGAUAAGCUUAGGAGUUAUCUCUGGGGGGGAACAAAUACUUUGUAUAUUUCAUUGAUGAUUUUUCAAAAAAGGUCUGGACUUAUGCUCUGAAACAUAAGUAUCAGGUGUUUGAAAAUUUUAAAGAAUGGAAGAGCCUGGUUGAGAAUCAAACUAGUAAGAAAGUUAAGAAACUGAGGACAGAUAAUGGGUUGGAAUUUUACAAUCAACAGUUUGAGAGUUAUUGUGCAAAUGAGGGCAUAAUAAGGCACAUGAGAGUAAAGUUUAUGCCCCAACAAAAUGAGUUAGCAGAGAGGAUGAAUAGGACACUUAUGGAGAAAGUAUGAUGCAUGCUUAUUCAGUCCAAGCUUCCUAAGUCCUUGUGGGCAAAUGUACUGAUGACAGUCAGUUAUUUAGUAAAUCUCAGUCCCUCUUCAGUACUGGACUUUAAGACACUUUUUGAAAUGUGGCAUGGUAAACCAGCAAGCUAUGAAGGCAUAAGAGCAAUUGGUUGUUCAGCCUAUGCUCAUGUAAGACAGGGAAAGCUUGCACCAAGGGCAUUGAAAGGAGUUUUUGUGGGGUAUCUAGAAGGGGUGAAGGGUUACAAGAUCCAGUGCACUGAUUUGAAUCCCCCAAAGUGUAUAAUCAGCAGGGAUGUAAUCUUCAAUGAAUAUGAGUUGGUAAACAAAACUCAACUAGUUGAAGUUACUAACCCAAACCCAAAGCCUCUUGAGAUGUUGGAAUUUGAGGUGGAGCAACUUGAUCAGAGGAACACAGAAGAAGCAACAAGUUUUGAAGAUGUUGAAGGUGAUUCAGGUAAAGCACAAGCACCUCAGCAACAUGUGGAGACAGAAUUAAAUCCUCAGGAAUCAGAUUAUCAACUUACCAGAGACAAAAAGAAAAGGCAAAUCAAACUAACAAAAAGGUUUGGUUAUGCAGACCUAAUUGCCUUUGCUCCAGUUGCAGCAGAUGAAGAACCAAAGACCUUUAAAGAGGCAUUACAGAGCUCAAAUAAAAAGGAAUGGUUGGCAGCAAUGGAUGAUGAAAUUGCUUUUUUAAACAAAAAUAAAACUUGGGAAUUUGUUAAGAAGCCAGUGAACAGAAGAGUGGUUGGAUGCAAAUGGAUCUACAAGGUUAAGGAAUGUUUAACUCAGGUAGAACCAAGGAGGUUUAAAGUAAGACUUGUAGCAAAUGGGUAUACUUAGAGGGAAGAAGUUGACUUUAAGGAGGUAUUCUCUCCAGUGGUUAGACAUGCUUCAAUAAGGGUGAUCUUAGCCUUAACAGCAGUUGAAGACAUAGAGCUUGAUCAACUCGAUGUCAAGACUAUAUUCUUGCAUGGGAGGCUACAAGAAAAGAUAUUCAUGAGUCAACCUGAAGAAGACCUUAAGAAAAUGGAUUGUGUUUGCUUGUUAAAGAAAUCACUCUAUAGGCUGAAGCAAUCCCUUAGGCAAUGGUACCUCAGGUUUUAUGAGUUCAUGGUAUUUAAUGGGUUUAUAAGGUGCAACUAUGAUUGUUGUGUUUAUUUCAAAAUGAUAAAUGGAAGUGUAUAUGUGUAUCUACUGUUAUAUAUAGAUGACAUAUUACUGGCAAGCAAGGAUAGACGAGUAAUUGAAGAAUUAAAAUUGCUACUUAACUCAGAAUUUGAAAUGAAUGAUCUGAGGCAGGCUAAGAAAAUUCUAGGAGUAGAAAUCAGAAAGAACAUGAAGAGUGGAUUGCUAUAUCUAUCACAAGAAAGUUACUUGAAGAAGGUGCUGACAACUUAUGGAAUGACUGAUUCAAAACCUGUUCAGACACCUUUGGCUUCCCAUUUCAAACUCAGCAGCUCUCAGUGUCCAUCUACUGAAGAAGAAAAAUAAGAGAUGGUGUCAAUCCCCUAUGCAAAUGCAGUAGGGUGCUUGAUGUAUACCAUAGUCUUAACUAGACUUGACAUAGCACAUGCUGUCAGUACGGUAAAUACGUAUAUGGCCUCACCUGGAAGGGAACAUUGGAAGGUUGUGAAGUGGGUGAUGAGGUACCUUAAUAGAACCUUGAAGAAUGAAAUGGUGUAUGGAAGAGACAGGGGAAAGGAAGAUGGCUUGUUGGGUUAUGUGGAUUCAGAUUAUGCUGGAGAUCUAGACAGAAGAAGGUCACUGACUGGAUAUGUGUUUAUGCUGAAUAGAUGUGUGGUUAACUGGAAAUCUACAUUACAACAUGUGGUGGCACUCUCUACUACAGAAGCUGAAUAUACAGCUGCAAUAGAAGAUGUUAAAGAAACCUUAUGGAUUAUAGGGUUAAUAUAUGAGUUGGGAAAAAUGCAGAGAACAAUUUCAAUUUUCUGUGACAGUUCCAGUGCUAUUCAUCUUUGCAAAAAUCCAGCACAUCAUGAAAAAACAAAACAUAUAGACAUCAAGCUACAUUUCAUAAGGCAUGAAAUCUCAAAGGGUGAUGUCAAAAUGGUCAAAAGCCAUACUAAUGAAAACCCUGCAGAUAUACUUACAAAGACUGUUCCUGUAGCUAAGUUUGAGCUAAGCUUGGACUUAGUUGAAUUAGGUGUUGUCUAACAAUACUUAAUGUUGGAGAAGGAGCAUGCAAAUGAGUAUUGAUUCAAGGUGGAGAAUUGUGAGGUUUGUUGGUGAAUCAAACUCAUCAGCUCUAAAACGGUGGCGUUUUGGCAAAUAUAAGAGCACUUAAAACUCACGGGAAAAGCACGUGUGUGGUCACUUAUGUUUAGAGCGUGAAAUGACAGUUCAAUUGUAUUGUUUAAAGAAAAGGCUUUUAAGUGAUGCACGUGACAGCCGUGUGAAGCAACUUGAUUCAGUUCGUUAAGUUUGCUAUGCUACGUGUAAUCAGGCUGUUCGUUUUGGGUUUAGCUGGGUGGUUGCUCUGUUAGCUUUAAGAACAGACUGGUGUAACAAUUGAGCGUUUAGCGUGUGUAACCGUAUUAAGAGAGAGAGAGAGAGAGAGAUCAGGGGAUGUGUGAUAAGAGUUCUCUGAUAUCUUAUAAACAAUCUCUGUAAAUUGGGGUCCUCCAUUGUUAAGUAAUUAAAACUUUGCAGAAAGCUUCUCCCAUGGAUGUAGGUUGUGCCAUUUGGUGCAACUGAACCACAUAAUUAAUUCUUGUGUUGUCUGUGUUUGUUUUUUUUCUUUGUUGUUCUCUUAGUUCUUGUGUUACGUUGGUUCUUUUCUGGAUUCAUUCUUCAAUUCGUGUAUGUUGGGUAGUUCUUUAUCAAAAGUCCUGGGAAGUGAUUUUGUCUUGCAUAUUAAAAGAGCAAAUUCAAUCACUACAGUUAUUUUAGUAUAUUAUAUGUGUUUUCUUACUAAUUACAUAUGCCAAAUAAGAAUUGUUUAAUAUUUUAAUUAAUAUAUUCAGAAUCUAUUCUAAAACUAGUAAUUAUAAAUACAGAGAGUUGGAUUUAUUAUAAAAUACACUCACCUAAAGUAAUAUUAUAUUUAAAACUCUUGUUCACGUUUAAAAAAAAAUUGAUAGUUGAAUAUGCACUAAGCAAAGAAAAAGAAAGCUGAUAAAUAAAAGAAAAUAAUACAAGGAUUAUUUAUAUAAUAGAAAAUUAAUUUAUUUAAUAGAGGUAUUAAUAAAAAAAUUAAAUUCUAUUUAGAUGUUUUACCAUUGAAUUAAAAAUAGGAUUAUUUAACUUUUUUCAUCAGAACAUUUUAUAAUCAUACAUAAGUUAUAAAAAAAAAACAAACUAAAAUCUCUAAAAACUAAAAAAUAAUUAAAAUUUAGACCUCAAACAAAAGACAAACAAAUUGUUAUACUUUUUAUUUUAUAACAAUUCAAUAUCAAAUGAGUCCAAGUGGAGAAUUAAAAAAAUACAUACUAUUUAUUAAAAAAAAAAAGGAUGCGCGCGGUCUCCAAAUUAAGCAAACCUUGCACUUCUUGCUUACUUCUCAUAAAAUGUUGUAUCUUAUGACAAUAGUCUUAAUAUAAAAUUUUGGGUUAACAUAAUCAAGUGUGCGCAAUCGCACUCAUCUCAUGCUUAAUUUGAGUCAAUGAAUGUAGCUAAUUUCUUGAGUUGAAAAACUUAAGAUAGUAAAAUAUAUUAAAAUAAUACAUAUUUAAAUUUUUAUCUCAAAAGGAUAGAUUAAAUUAUUAUUGAAAAGGACAGGAGAAGGAGAGGAAAGGGCCAUUAUGAAACUAUGGUGUGUUUAUUAAUUAGUAAGCUGGGCUGGAAUCAGAACUUGUAAGUUACUAAACUGAUUUUAGUUGAUUAUUGUCAUUAUUUAUUGUAUAUUGUGAUUAUUAUUAUUAUUAUUAUUAAAAAUAAUUAUUUAUUAUUAUUUUUAAUCAUUAUAAUUAAUACUUAUUAUUAUUGCUACUAAUAAGGAUGAUGAUGAUGAUGACAAUGAUAAUAAUAAAUAGUAAUAAUUAUUAAUAAAUUUUUCACAUAUGAGAUUUUAUCAUUUCAACUAGAUGGCAUCUACAAAUUAAUUUGCAAGAUUCAAAUCAUCCAAAUGGAGAAUUUAUCGAACUAGUUCAUGUAUUUCUAAAAAAUAUAAUAAAUGCUAUUUUUGUCUCAUAGUUGAUGAAUUUAACUCUUCAAUAGUAAAAUAAUAUUUCUUAUUUUCAUUUUAUGAGCAUUCAUUCAAAAAAAAAAAACUCAAACUUCAAACAAAUUUGACAUGCAACAAUUGCAAAAUAGAUGAUAAUCAAGUAGAAACAUAAAGUGAUUUACAAAUUACAACAAAAUAAGACCUUUUGGGUUUUAAGACACAAGGAAUAAUUGAGCAAUUUGUUCAAACCACAUGGAUUUAAAAGGUAUUUUCCUUAUUUGUCUAAUUUUUUUUUCAUAAACUUUAAAAUUAUACUCUUUAAAUAUCAUUAACUUUUAUUUCAUAAUUAUGUGCUUUUUUUUGUUUGAAAUUUAAAUGGGUCUAAAUUUGGCAUAAAUAAUAGAUUUGAAUGCAUAUAUCUAAAUGAUAUGUUUGUUUUUCUUUUUCCAAUAUUAAUAUAAUUGUUAAAUUUUUUUCCAAAAGAAAAAAUUUUUUAAUAUGAUAUUUUGAGUUUUGACAUAUUUACACUUAUAAAUACUAUAAAUACUUAUAUUUAUUCAUUAAACACUUGAAAAUUUAUAAUAAAUUAUUUUAUUAAUAAAAAAAGUUUAAUAAUGUGUACCUUAACAAUGUAUGAAAAAACUAUGUAUUUUUCAUCAUUAAUACAUUGAAUUAUUGAAUAUUUUAACAUGAUUGAAGUUGGUUACUGUCCAAAUCAAUAGUUUUUGAAGCGUAAGUCUUAAUAUCAAUGUGCAAUGGAAGCAAAUAGAUAAUUAAAAAAUUUUAGCAUAAAAUUAUAUUCAAACAUGCAUUUAGUUAAAAUAAAACUAUUAUUUGAUUAUUUUACUUUGUAUUUAUACAAGAUUUUACUGUAUUAAAUUAUGAUGGUCCUUAAAAGAAAAAAAAUCAGAAUUUAUUUAUUUACAUUUGGGACUAUUCAGGAUAAUGGGAUGAAACAGAUAUUUAACGAGACAAGAUUAGGACAAAUUUUUGUCCCAAAAGAAAUAAAGGGACAAGAGUGAAUUUUUUUUUUUAUCUCAUUUGCAUAUACGUCCCAUCUCGUCCCAUUGCGAACGCUACUCCCACCUCUCUCAUGACAAUAAGAACUCUAGUAAUUAUUCUCAGUUUUAGAUAAGGACCACCAUUAUGAUUUACAUUACACCUCUUAUUUAAGCAAAUAAACACAUCAUUCAUUUUCAUUCCUUGAUUCCCAUUCUUAUUCCUCAUAAGUAAACACACCAUAAAUAAAUUCUAUUAAAAACCUAAAAUAAUCUUAAAAGUUUGGUUGGUGUGUUAGUGUGUUUGAUAUGGUAGACGAGGUCGAAAUAACUCCCCAUGUUCCGACAUUUCCAUAACCAAAACUUGAGCUACUACCUAUUUCUCUCCACUCUAACAAGUUGAUAUUGUAAUUAUUAUUAUUAUUGAGUAGUCUUGCAAAAUCGAGUGAUAAAAUUGCAUAUCAUCAUUAAAAUAAACUCACCAUUUGGAUGGAAAAUAAAAUUGAACAUUUUUUUUAUAAGAUAAAACAAUAUCAAUCAUUUUCAUUUCGAUUUUGAUUCUCUAAUUUAGAGAGUAAACGCACAAUUAGUACAAUAUUUUAAGUGAACAUAAUCAAGUGUGUUGCAGGCAUACUAUGCUUAAUUUGAAUCAAUGGCUAAUCACAUAUAUUAUCUCAAAAGGAGAGAUUGAAUUAUUAUUGAAAAGGAUGGGAGACGAAAGGGACGGGAGAAGAAGAGAAAAGGGCAAAUCCCAUAAUUAAUGGGAUCUAUUAAAAAUUCAAAAUAAUCUUAAAAGUUUCGUUGGUAUUUUAAUUGUGUUUAAUAUGGUUGGAGAGAUUGAAAUAACUCCCCCAUGUUUGGACAACAAAUCCAUAGCCAAAACCUGAGCUGCUGCCCAUUUUUCUCCACUCUAACAAGUUGAUAUUGUAAUUAUUAUUAUUGGUAGUUGUUGGUUAUUUUUAUAAGCAAUUACUACUAAUACCAAUGUGCAAGUAUACAUAACAAGUAAUAAAGUAAUGAGUAUUUAAGAUCGUCUCCACAGGGAUUGAUGUUACUCGAAAUACUAUAGCAAUUAUAAUAGUGCAAAUCAACUUAAGGCCGAAAUCAACAAUCAUAAAUUAAGUUCUAUCGUAAUUGAUGUUUGUGAGAGAAUUAAAUAAAAUAAUACCGUAAUGAAAUACUAGAUAAAAUGUGUCUAAGAUUCAAUUGAGAUUAUGGCAGUUGAAUGGUCAAACUCUCUUUAUGGGUUGAAUGUUUUUCAUCAAGUUAGUACCAGUUGUUACGGCAAGUGCUGUAGCACUGGGCAGAAUUAAUCUGCAUCCUCAGCUAUCGUAUAUUGGAAGUCUCAUACCCUUAAAUCUAUUAACAAUUACCAGUUGCUAAUCUACUUAUGGUAUGUCAUUAUGAUCUUUAGUCUCUCCACCUUACAAGGUGAACACAUAUGUCUAGUGUGUCACAAAUCUUAACUUCAAGUAUUGCCCUUAUGAGAUUCAAGAUAAUUUAAUUCAGGAAACUUAACUUAAGAUCAAGUAAUACUAUAAUAAUAUCCACUAAGACAUGCCCUUUUGCUGCUCUAUCUUAACUGAAACUAUUAAAUAGGUGGUCAACCGAAAUAACAGUUAUAUUCAGAAAAGCUAAUAGAGUAAAAUGCUACAGCAACGACAUAACAACACAUAAGAACAGUCAAGAACCCAUUGAAUUGUUUAUCAUUCAACUACAAACAAGUCUAGUUCAUAUUCUGAAUGAGAAAAAUAAACAUAAAUAUAUGGAUCACGAGAUACAUCAAAACAAUUAAAGGAAUAAGAUAAUUAUAAGUUGAGCACGGUGAAAGACAAAUCCAAAUAAUUCUGUACGAUUCUUCAAUGUUGCCGAAACAACACUCUCCAAUUCUGAUCUUCUUCUUUUUUUCUUUGUAAUUAUUCUAAUGAUAAUUUCAUUGCUGCCUUUCUAUGUCGUGCACGCCUCCCUUUUAUAUUGCAAAUUAGGGUAAACAAAAGCCCAUGAACGUGCAUCCGUUAAAUUAAGAAACAUGCAGAUUGCGAUUCUGUGGCUGACCCGCACCUAAGUUUUCUCCCGCAUUGCUCCCAGAUUGCUACAGUACAGGUUGCUCUAAAAUUCGCAACCACACUGCACUAUUCCUGAUUGUGCUUUACUUCUUUUGUGGCCAUCUUCUUUCCUCUUCUUGCUCAUCUAAUGUCUCAACAUCCCCUCGUGAAUGAAGACUUUCUGAAAACCUACAAUUAUGCACUUGUUUUUAACACAAAUUACUUUGAUUUAAGCAAAACUUAUUAAGACCCAACUAAAAUGAAUGUUUAUACAAAAUAUAACCAAAAUGUAAUAAAACACCUUAUUUGCUCUUUUAGUGACCUUGAUUUAAGUCUAGAAACGAUGUAAUAACUCUCAUUUCCUAGAGUUAUUACACCCCCAAACUUAAACCAUUACUUGCCCUCAAGUAAUGACACAUACUAACACUUCACGCAAACAAUCAUGCACACAACUUUAGCUCUUUUAUCAAAUUUGCAAGGAUUAUUGCACCUUCAGAUCACAAUCCCAAUCAUGCAAAAUGACCAUAGUAAAUCAGUUCUAGACUUAAGCUUCUUUUUGUCCAUAGUGUGUGUGUGCUCUUUUGAUUGAAUUCCAGAGAUGCUAUAACAUCACCAAGGGACUGCAUGAAUUUCAGCAGUGAUAACACUUCAUUCAUAAAUGAGGUCGCAUAAAUUUCACAUACUCAAACUGUGAUGAUUUUAAGAUUGAUAAAUUGAAGAGUAUUUAACCUCUUCACUGUAACAUUUAUCUUUCAUGUGAAUGUCAAUCAAUUGUAAUGAUGACACCCAAUUACUCAAACCAUGCCCAGAUCAGAGUUGCUGCAGCAAUAUCUAUAAUAUAAUCUUAUCUAGAGAUAUCUUUUACUCAAGGCUGAACAUGGGGCUCAUGAACAGACCUGUCUACUCAACGCCUUAGAUAGAGGACUUCUUUUUCUUUUCUUUAUAUAUAUAUAUGCUACAACAUUGCUCAUAACUCUCGAUAUCUUUGAACACAAUUCUGCAUAUGGGGUACAUACUCAGAUCUGGUUACUCAGCAACUUGAGCCAUUGGAACAUAGUUUAUUUCAUAGAUAUCAUAGACAAUCAAACUUGCUUCUCCCCCCAAACUUAAGAUCUUUUCUAUUCUUUUGGCUCUGCUCAAGUAGUCUCAUACAAUUCAACUAAAGUGUAAGUGUCGGGACAGAAUUUCACUUCCAUCUAUAAUUAUCUCUACUUGGCAUUCUCAUAAAUACUGAAUAACACUCAAUUUAUCUUCAUUAGAUUUUCAAAUCCAUACACUAAUAUUAGAUAAUAGAGCUUCAUGUUAGCCUAAAGGGCUACACAUAAUGUAAUUUUGAUGAUAACAAACAUGUGUCUUAAGUAACAAUAAUAAAUAUUGUAUUUCACAUUUACACUUUUUUUUUUAAGGAUAAUAUUUAUGCAAGUAAAUCAAGUGAAAUCAAGAUUGAAGACACUCAACGGACAACGGCGAAAUCAAGAAUAAAGCUUAGAGCUCAACGGACGAAUUAUUGCGACAAAUUCUUGUAAAGCCGGUAUGAUUUAAUUGAUGCAUGAUUUAGCAUUUGAGAAGCUCAAGAGAUUAAUUUAAUUAAAUACUUUUCAUAAACUAAAAUAUUUUAUUUUUAUAAAGUAAAGUAUUUUGUGGAUUUGAGUAAAAUUGGACUUAAAUGUUAAGAUUUGAAAUCUUUGAUUUUAAUAAGUAUCAAAUUUCGGAGUUGGAUGUUUUUACAAAUAUUUUAAAUGUUUUGGGCCAUACUAUAAUUUAUGAAUAUUUUGAACUAAAGUGAAAGGUUUUGAGAACUUUGAAAAAUAUGGGUAUUAUGUUGAAAAGGACCUUUGUGCGAAACAAUAAAAUCUUUGGGGCCAUAUCAUAAUUUUAGGAAGUUUGGGAAAGAAAAUUAUUUUUGGGAAGUUCUGAAAUUGGACCUAUUUGUAAAGUUUUCUGACGUUUUGGGCCAUAGUAUAAUUAUAGAAAGUUUUGGGCUAAAGUGUAAUUUCAAUGAACAGUGUUACUGUAGCAAAUUCAAAAAUAACGGUGAUAUUACUGUUCCUGAGCGGCUAGCCGGAUAAAUCAAGCGGCUAACCGCUUGAGCGCUGGAAUUUGCCUAUAACGGCUAGUUUUUGGGCUUCCACUAUAAAAACUCAACUCAAACUUCAUUUUAAGCAUCAAUACAUGCAAAUAUAAGAUCAUACAACAUAUAUUGAGCUUCCAAAACGCAAAUCAUUAUUGAUUGAAUCAUUGUUGAGCUAUUAGUUGCAUAUCAACUCUUAAAGAGAGUUUUUGUUGUAAUUUUCAUUCCUUACCAAAUUGUGAGUGUUUAAGUGUGGGAAACACUUGGGGUGAAGAGAUUGGGGAGAUAAUCUCUUGGUUGUAAAGGUUCAUUGACACCUUGGAAGUCAAUUGUAAAAACUUGAAGCCUUGGGAGGCUUAGAUAGUGAAAUCCUCGAGCUCGGUUGGCUUGGAGGCGUGGACGUAGGCGGGGAUUGCCGAACCACGUAAAAAUCCGCGUGUUUGUUUUUCUCUUCCCUUGCUCUUUUUAUUUUUACGCUUGCUUGAAUUUAUUGUUCUCUAUUUCAUUAAGGCGUUAGAUUGAUUUAUUGUGCGAAUCGUAUUGCAUUAUUUUUAAAAACCCAAUUCACCCCCCUCUUGGGUUGCGUUACUUGCAUUUCACUUCACACAACACAAACAUAAACACAUGCAUUCGGAAAUAUAACCCCCCCAAACUUGAGAUUUGCUAUGUCCUUACAAGCAUACAUAACGAAGGUACAUGAAUUGACAAGGAUAUGAAAGACCUUAGAAAAUACCACACGAAUUGAUAAAAAGAAGGAAAGAAUUUUUUUUUAUGAUGAAUUAAAUGAACUAGCAAGGAAAGAAUACUCCCUGUGGUGGGGACAUCAGCACAUGAGGGGAUGUUAUCAGUGCUUCUUGGAUGCACUGUGCAGCUUAUCCUUUGGUGAAGUUUGUGGGGAAGUAGCUGGCAAUGUCUUUGUCUUUUUCUGCACGGGGUUGGUGAGAGGAGUUGUGGCUGGGGUAGCUAGUGUGCUUGUCACUGAUUCGGUCCGUUUUGGUUGUGGUGAGGUUUUUGUAGCAGUGCCUUUAGACGUACUAUCUUUUCUUUUACUGGAUUGUCACGGACUGGUACGAACAGGCUGGCUAGGAGUUUGCUGUGGAGGAAUUGGAGUUGAUGCAUUAGCUGUCUGGCCUUCAGCUGUGAUGGUAGCAAUGAUAUCAAGUAGCUGCUUGGCUGCUGCAGGUGUAAGCGUAACUCUGGUUGCUGCAGCAGCUAGUUCGGCAUCAACUUACUCCAUUUCAUCUUCAGAGGCUGGAGGUGUUUCCAUUUUUGCUUUACCCUUGUCCACAAGGACUGGAAUGGACGGUUCCUCUUCUGGGUCUUCCUCAUCCUCUUCUUGAAUAAUGUGCCUUUUCUUGGUUUUGGACUGAGUUGGGAUGGAAGGUUCCUCACGUUCUUUCUCAGAGUUGUCAUCUGCCUCUGUGGGUGAGCUAUCAGUCUUAGACUUGUCACAUUCUUAUUCAGAUUGAUCAGAUAGUUCAGCAUCUUUUGAUUCUACCUUUGCUUGUGGUUCGGCUGCAGCCGCUUCUUCUGGUUCAUUUGUGGCAGUGGCUUCUUCACUGGCUUCUGCUGGAGCACCUGUGGUGUUGGUGUCAAAAUUGUACUGCUCGAACAAUGAAUUAGGGAAGUUUCGGUGAGUGCGUUUCAUGUACAGAGCAAAUUAGUGCAGUUGGUUGUCCAGGUGCUGUAGAUAACUCCAAAACCGAUCGUUUUCCCUCUAUUGAGCUUCAACACAUUGAGUUAUACUAGUGUUGAGUGCCUGGAUUGUCUGUUCUAAACCAAUAACUCGUCUUACUCCUGUUACAACAACUGGUUCAGUUGUUGUUCCAGCACUCUCACCAACAACUCUCUCAAUGGUCCGUGCCGUAAAGGCACCAUCAUUCCUGAUAUGGUCAUCUCUUGCGUCAAGAUGAACACCGAAAACUACACAAAUGCUGGUGAUGAGUGAAGGAAAUAGCAAGACAGCAGUUCAGUGAGUCUUAACUGCACAAUCCCAGAUUUAUUUUGCGAUGAUGCUACCCACAUCUUAGGAAGUCCUCGAACAAUGACAUAUAACAAGACCAACCUCUCUUGUGAAACCGUAGUAGUGUGACUGGUUGGCAUAAGCCUAGAUUUCAGAAAUUUCACCCACACCUUAGCAAUAGGUUUUAAAUCUAUUCUAUUAACUACACGCCCUUCCUCGUUAGCCCAUGAUGCCCCUUCGAUUGUAAGAGUUGUGAAAAUGGUGUUACAUUUUUUUGGGGUCAAUUUAUCAAGCAACUUGGCAUACUCACAAUUAAUUUCAGCAUGUAAAUUAUAAAAAAUAUUUAUAACACGGGAGUCUAAUAGAACAAGUAUAUUUCUUACCCAAAUAUUAUGCUGAUCAGAGCUUACCAAAUUGGCGUAAAAUUCUUUGACUACUGGUAGCACAGGAUCUCGAGGGUGGUUGCAAAGCUCUAACCAUCCUUGCUUUGCGGCAGUAUUGUGUAUUGUUUGCACAAUUCUGGUGAGUCGUUCUGGAAAUUGAAACCCUUUUUCUUCCAGAAUUUUAAGCGGCUCUAUGAAAUUUUCAUAUUUUUUUUCGGCGUGGUAACUCUGGAAGCGUGACGGAUCUUUGAGGCGGCUGGCUUUUUUCUUAUACCUCGGCAUUACUGUAGCAGUAGCAAAUUGAGGCUAAUGUCCCUGAGAGUAAAAUGAGAAGAAGAGGUUAGGAAUUAUGAGAGUUGUACUUUGCAAAGGAGAUGAGGAAUAGUACCGUAGAUCACUAAGCACAGUGACUCCAUUUUAUAGUGGACUUUAAGUGAAGAUAAAUCCGGUAACUAAAGAUAAAUGAGGGAAGAAAAUAUUUUUAAUUUAAUGUGUAUAUCCCGAAAGCAUAGGCCAGUGAAAUUAAGGCAUUAGUUUCGAAGAUUUUUUCGCAAUUUCUAUCCAAAUCCAUGCCUCCAUCUGUUAUGAUUUAUCUCCAACGGUUAGUGAGAGGCUCCAUCUUUUAAUUUACUGUAACGGUAAAAUUGGUUGCUGCUGCAGCACCCAUGCGCUUACUCUAGCAACGGUUACAUACUCCACACUAAAGCCCUCUGACACGUGGCUCACCUCUGCACUUUGCCACCAUACAACCUCACUUGUCAAUAUGGAAUUCAAUUGUCACACAUACUUCCCAUAAACUAAAAUUAAUUCUAAAAUUAAUUAAGAAUAAAGAGAUCAAAUGAUAGCAAAAGUAAAGAAUGCAAUAAUGUGAAAGGAUAAAACUAAAUAGCUAGAAUGGAAGAACAAAAUUAAAUAAAAUGGUAAAGAGGGAGAGCUGUCAACAAAACCAAAGGAGAUCAAAUUUGGUUUGAGGUGGCUGUCUCCACAAUGGGCUGCCUCCCAUGGAGCGCUUGAUUUAAGGUCCUUCAGCCUGACCUUCUUUUAUUGUUCAAUAGCUAGGUUCUUUAAGGAGUAACACCUCCUUUGAACAAUCUGCCGCUGGAUGUAUGUAAUGCUUAACCCUGUGUCCAUUAAUUUUGAAUUCUUGACCUGUUUGUUCAUCUAGAAGAUCAACAACUCCAUGAAGAUAAAAUUUUAACAGCUUAAACGAGCCAAACCAUCGUAACUUGAGCUUUCCCGGAAAUAAUCUUAGUUUUGUAUUGUGGAGCAACACUAAUUGACUAGGGUUGAAUUGCCUAUAUUCAAUAUGCUUGUCGUGCCAGUGUUUUUUCCUCUCUUUAUAGAUUCUUGCAUUUUCAUAUGAAAAUAGUUGUAAUUCAUCUAGCUCACAAAGUUGAAGCUUUCUUUGUUCUGCUACAGCAUGAAUAUCUCAAUUUAAUUUCUUCAGUGCCCAGUGUGCUUUAUGCUCUAGCUAUAGUGGCAAAUGACAAGCCUUUCCAUAAACAAUUCGGUAAGGAGACAUGCCGAGUGGAGUUUUGUAUGCUGUUCUGUAGGCCCAUAGAGAGUCAUGUAACUGUAAAAACCAAUCCUUCCUCGUUAGGUUCACCACUUUUUCUAAGAUAUUUUAAUUUCUCUGUUGGACAUUUCAGCCUGACCAUUAGAUUGUGGGUGAUAUGUUGUUACUACCUUGUGUCUGACUCCAUAUUUCACCAUAGGUGCAGCAAAGACUUUAUUGUAAAAAUGUGUACCCUCAUCACUAAUAAUUGCUCUAGGAGUGUCAAACCUGGAAAAAAUAUUUUUCUGAAGAAAAGCCACUACUGUUUUAGCAUCAUUGGUAGGUAAUACUGCAGCUUCUACCCACUUGGAGACAUAAUCCACAGUAACAAAGAUAUAUAAGUUCCCAAAGGAUGAUGGAAAAGGUCCUAUGAAAUCUAUUCCCCAGACAUAAAAAACUUCCACUUCUAGAAUGUUGGUCAAUGACAUUUCAUGUCUUUUAGUUAUGUUUCCUGUUCUUUGACACAUGUCACAACAUUUAACAAAUUCAUAAGCAUCUUUAAAAAUAGUAGGCUAGUAAUAACCUGAUUGCAGAACUUUAGCAGCUGUUCUGUGACCACCAAAGUGUUCUCCAUAUGCUGCAACAUGGCAUGACUUUAGUAUUUGUUGUAUUUCUCCUUCGGAAGCACAUCUUCGUAUUACUUGAUCUGAGUAUAACUUAUAUAAAUGUGGAUCAUCCUACUGAUAGCUUCUAACAUCAUGAAGAAAUUUCUUUUUCUCUUGAAACUUCAGCUCACGUGGUAGCAUCCCACUUACUAAGUAGUUAGCAAAAUCUGCAUACCAUGGGGAUACUGACUGCCGCAAUAUCUAUGCUUGCUGUAUUGCCAACAACUGUUCAUCAGGAAACGUUUCAGUGAUGUCUCUUCUUCUCAAUGUACUAGUGUCUGCUUCCAGCUGUGACAAGUGGUCUGCUACUUGAUUCUCAGUCCCCUUUCUAUCUUUAAUUUCUAGAUCAAAUUCUUGAAGCAAUAAGAUCCAUCUGAUUAAUUUUGGUUUGACAUCCUUCUUUGAGAUUAAGUAUUUGAUGGCUGCAUGGUCUGUGUAAACAAUCACUUUAGUACCCACCAAGUAAGUACUGAAUUUGUCAAAAGCAAAUACUAUUGCUAGCAACUCUUUUUCUGUAGUGGUGUAAUUGAUCUGAGUUUGAGUAAGAGUUUUGCUUACAUAGUAUAUAGAGUGAAAAAUCUUAUCAUUUCUUUACCCUAAUACUGCUCCCACAGAGUGAUCACUAGCAUCACACAUCAGUUCAAAUGGUAAAGUCCAAUCUGGAGAUAUAACUACUGAAGCAGUUAUCAAUGCUUUCUUUAAUUCUCCAAAUGCUUGAAGGCAAUCUUUGUCAAAGUGAAAAGGUUUGUCAUAUUCCAGCAAUGAGUAUAGUGGUUUAGCUACCUUGGAGAAAUCUUUAAUAAAUCUUCUAUAAAAUCCAGCAUGACCCAAAAAACUUUUAAUACCCUUUACUGGAGCUGGAGGUGGCAGUUUAUCUAUUACUUCUAUCUUGGCUUUGUCUACCUCAAUGCCAUUCUUGAAUACCUUAUGUCCUAACACUAUUCCUCCUUGCACCAUGAAAUGACACUUUUCCCAAUUGAGUACUAAGUUGGUCAUCUCACAUCUUUUAAGAAUUUCUUCCAAGUUGUGUAAACAAUCAUUGUAUGUUUCUCCAAAAACUAAGAAGUCAUCCAUGAAAGCUUCUAAAGUCUACUAUACCAUAUUAGAAAAAAUAGACAUCAUGCAUCUUUGAAAAGUUGCUGAAGCAUUGCAUAACCUAAAGGGCAUUCUUUUGAAGGCAAAUGUUCCAUAAGGACAAGUAAAUGUAGUCUGUUCCUGAUCCUCUAGAACUAUAGUAAUCUGGUUGUAGCCUGAAUACCCAUCUAGGAAAUAAUAUUGUUAUUUUCCAGCAAGUCUGUCCAAUAUCUGAUCUAUGAAUGGGAGGGGAAAGUGAUCUUUCCUUGUAGCUUUGUUGAGCUUUCUGUAAUCCAUACAGACUCUCCAUCCAGUCACUGUCCAUGUAGGAAUAAGUUCAUCCCUCUCAUUAGCUAUCACUGUUAUCCCUCUCUUCUUUGGAACACAUUGAACUAGGCUCACCCAUGAACUGUUUGAUAUUGGAUAUAUAAUUCCAGCAUCCAAUCAUUUGAUGAUUUCUUUCUUCACCACUUCUUUCAUAAUAUGGUUCAACCUUCUCUGGUGCUCCACCAAAUUGCUGUAGAAAUCUUCUAACAGGAUUUUAUGCAUGCAUAUUGAUGGGCUUAUCCCCUUGAUGUUUGCCAUAGUUCAUCCAAUUGCUCUUCUGUAUUUUCCAAGCAACUCUACUAGACUCUGUUCGUAACCUGCAUCCAAAGUAUAAGAAAUGAUUACAGGGAGUGUGUUGUUUUGACCAAGAUAAACAUACUUCAAAUGUGAAGGUAACAAUUUUAAUUCAAGACUAGGAGGUGAUUCAAUAGAUGGUAAAGUUGUUUUUACUUCCUUGUCUAAAAGAUUCAGGUGUUCAAUAAAUCUGUUGUACUUAUCAGAUAGCUUUUCUUCCAUCCAAUCUAUCUGAUUUGCUGCAAUAUCUUCCUCUUCUACAUCCUCAAAGGUAGUGACUUUGUUGAGUUCAUUACUGCAGCAUCUGUCCAUUCUGUCUGCUACAAUAAAAUCCACUACACUUAGGAACUUGCAAUCUUCUACUUCAUCAUGGUUCAUCAUAGCCUCUAGUACAUUAAAUGUGACUUGCUGAUCAUUUACUCUCAUGGUGAGCUCUCUUUUCUACACAUCUAUCAGAGUCUUUCCAGUUGCUAGAAAAGGUCUUCCAAGUAUAAUGGGUACCUCUUUAUCAGCUUCAAAGUCCAGUACAAUGAAAUCUACUGGGAAGAUGAAUUUGUCAACCUUCACCAGUUAAUCCUCUAUUUUUCCUUCAGGGUAUGCAUGAGAUCUGUCAGCUAAUUGCAGAUUGACUGUUGUUGGUCUGCAUUCCCCUACUCCCAGCUGCUUAAAUAUAGAUAAUGGCAUCAAAUUAAUACUAGCUCCCAAGUCACAAAGUGCUCUGCUAGCAUACCUAGUUCCUAUAGAGUAGGGUAUUGUAAAACUUCCUGGAUCUUUAACUUUUGUAAGAAUCUUACUUUGGAGCAUUUGAUUGCUCUCCAGUGUUAAAGCAACAGUUUUAAACUCUCCCAGCCUUCUCGUUUUUGCCAAGAUGUCUUUUAGAAAUUUCACAUAAUUUGGCAUUUGCUCCAAUGCUUCCACAAAAGGUAUAUUUAUUUGUAAUUGUUUUAUCACUUCUAGAAAUUUACUGAACUAUUUGUCUUGUUUUUGGUUCUAGAACCUUUGUGGGAAAGGUGGUGGAUGUCUAAACUGCUGUGUAGCUUCAGGAGGUAUCAAACUCUGUUUGUUUAGUUUGGUGUAGGUUGUGGUUACUGGUGUUGCAACUUCCUUUUCAGCAUGUUCUGGUUGAAUUUCUUCUACAGUUGUUGUAGCUUGGCCCAUGUAACUAGUGUCUUGAUGGGAGGCUUGUUGUAACAUGCCUCCAUUUUGAGGUGGUUUUUGUGCUGAAUUGAAUUCCAUCCCAUUUUUGGUCACAUCAAUUGGGAUAUCAACAUUAUUUCCAGAUCUCAAAUUAAUUACUUUGCAAUGUUCUUUGCCCUCUCUCUUAAGGCCUUCUGUGUUGCUAGGUAAACUUUCUUGAGUUCUGCUGCUCAUUGCUGUGGUAAGUUGUCCGUUUUGGUUUUCCAAGUUUCUCAAGGAUACAGCUUGACUCUGCACAAUUGCUUCAUUCUUUGUAAUGUAUUCCUUAAUCAGUGCUUCCAAUGAAGUGAUUGAAUCCUGACUGAUAUGCUUUUGCCCUUGACUCUGCUGAUGAAAACUAGGUGGCUGUGUAUUUAUAUUUUGUCCAUUUAUUGCUGGAGCAUUUCGAUUCUGACUACUCCAUGAGAAAUUUGGAUGUUGUUUCCAGCCAGGGUUGUAAGUAUUUGAAUAUGGGUUGUUCUGAGGCUGUCGAUUGAAAUUACUCACAUAGUUUACUGAAGCUGGAUUUCCAAGACAAUUAUCAAAGUCAUGUUCUUCGCCAUAGUAUACACAACAAGUAAUAAAGUGAUGAAUAUUCAAGAUCGUUGUUGAGUGUUAGAAAAUGCGUAUUUAUAAAGGAGAAAACCGUCAUUUUACAUUUCAAGUCUUACUAACACCUUUACUUUUAUGAAUUUAACCUUCUUUUGAUUUAAUUCUAUUUGUUUUAUUUUAAUUAAGUAUUUUAUGUAUUUUAGGAGCAUCAUAGUCAUUUCAUAAUAAAUGAGAGAUCAGAUGGCAAAAUGGACAUCACUUUUGAACUCAGGACGGUCAAAAACCUUAGGAGGAGCAUAAAAGGAAAAAUAGCACUGUUCACAUGUACGGUACUAUUCACGUGUACGAUACUGUAUACGUUACUGUUCACGACACUGUUCACAUAGACGGAUGAUGACGUGGCAUUGACUAAUGAUGUGGCAUUGACUGAUGAGGUGUCACGAUCCUGUUGGGCUAAAAUUCUUAUGUACUGUUGAUGGUGACGUGGCAGCAUAUCAGUGGACGAAAAAUCUCGCAUACGGUACAUGCAUCACACAGGAUUAUUUUCAACCAAACCGCGUUACUCUUCAUCCAGGUCAAACCGCGUUACUAUUCAUCCGGGUCAAACCGUGUUACUGUUCAUCCGCGUGGUCAAACCGCGUACUGUUGACUGAUGACGUGGCGCAAUCCUGAGUGUCCAAAUUGUUUUUAAUCCGAUGGCCAUGAUUUACUCCAUGUAUCUAUAAAAAGGGGGCCUCUCCCCCCUAAUUUGAUACCUCUGAAUCCAUUUUUGGACUCUGUUUUCUGUAAUUCCCUCUCCAUCUUGUAUUUUCUUCGUAUUUUAAUAAAUUUCCAUUUUGCCCCUAGUUCAAUUAUGAGUGGCUAAUUUUCUUUCAAGCUUGGGUUGAAGGUGAAGUCUCAACAUGUGUCAUGGGCUUAAUUUGGUAAAUUUAUUUCUCCUCCCCUCUAGUUUUUGUGGAUGUUUUGACCUCUCGUCGACAAAUAAUACUAAUCUUGUCUAGUAACGCCUUAGUUUUAUCGGCCCUCUAGUACAAUGUUAUUAUUAUUUGGCACGAUAAGCCCUUAGCACCAUAUUGAUUAGAGCGUGGUUCAUGAGGUGUGGAUUCCCCCCUCAUGAUUUAAUUGGCAUUAAUACGGAUUAUUUAGCCCAUGAUGCAUGUUGAUACGGAUCCAGAUACCCAAGUACGUCAUCUCAAUAUAUUUCUCUUCAAUUUAUUUUCGCCAUUUCAAUUCCAAUUUUAGAAUUUAUUCUUGUCAUUUCAAUUCCAAUUUUAGUAUAAUCCAAAUCAUUUUCACCACAAAUCCAACCACCCAUUUACAAAAUUAAUUCUACAUAUAAUUAAAAUCCACCUCCUCGUGGGAUCGACACUCGUCACCAUUGAUCUACACUACAAUAGAUUCGUGCGCUUGCGAGUACAUUAAAAUUUGAACAACAAUCGUCUCCACGAGGAUUGAGGUUACUCGAAAUGUUAUAGCAAUCACAAUAGUGCAAAUCAACUUAAAGCCAAAGCCAACAAUCGUAAAUUAAGUUCUAUCGUAAUUAAUGUUUGUGAGAGAAUUAAAUAAAACAAUACCGUAAUGAAAUACUAGAUAAAAUGUGUCUAAGAUUCAAUUGAGAUUAUGGUAGUUGAAUGAUCAAACUCUCCUUAUGGGCUGACUGUUUUUCAUCAAGUUAGCACCAGUUGUUACAGCAAGUGUUGCAGCACUGGGCAGAAUUAAUCUGCAUCCUCAACUAUCGCAUAUUGGAAGUCUCAUACCCUUAAAUUUAUUGACAAUGACCAGUUGCUAAUCUACUUAUGGUAUGGCAUUAUGAUCUUUAGUCUCUUCACCCUACAAGGUGAACACCUAUGUCUAGUGUGUCACAAAUCUUAACUUCAAGUAUUGCCCUUAUGGGAUUCAAGAUAACUUAAUCCAGGAAACUUAACUUAAGAUCAAGUACUACUCUAAUAAUAUUCGUUAAGACAUGCCUUUUUGCUGCUCUAUCUUAACCAAGACUAUUAAAUAGGUGGUCAACUGAAAUAACAGUUAUAUUCAUAAAAGCUAAUAGAGUAAAAUGCUACAGCAACGACAUAACAACACAUAAGAACAGUCAAGAACCCAUUGGAUUGUUUGUCACUCAACUACAAACAAGUCUAGUUCAUAUUCUGAAUGAGAAAAAUAAACACAAAUAUAUGGAUCACGGGAUACAUCAAAACAAUUAAAGGAAGAAGAUAAUUAUAAGGUGAGCACGGUGAAAGACAAAUCCAAAUAAUUUUGCACGAUUCUUCAAUGUUGCCGAAACAACACUCUCUAAUGUGUUGUUAUGUCAUUGCUGUAGCAUUUUACUCUAUUAGCUUUUAUGAAUAUAACUAUUAUUUCGGUUGACCACCCAUUUAAUAGUUUCAGUUAAGAUAGAGCAGUAAAAGGACAUGUCUUAGCGGAUAUUAUUAGAGUAUUACUUGAUCUUAAGUUAAGUUUCCUGGAUUAAGUUAUCUUGAAUCCCAUAUGGGUAAUACUUGAAGUUAAGAUUUGUGACACACUAGACAUAGGUGUUCACCUUAUAGGGUGGAGAGACUAAAGAUCAUAAUGUCAUACCAUAAGUAGAUUAGCAACUGGUCAUUGUUAAUAGAUUUAAGGGUAUGAGACUUUCAAUAUGCGAUAGCUGAGGAUGCAGAUUAAUUCUGCCCAGUGCUGCAACACUUGUCGUAACAACUGGUGCUAACUUGAUAAAAACAGUCGGCCCAUAAAGAGAGUUUGAUCAUUCAACUACCAUAAUCUCAAUUGAAUUUUAAACACAUUUUAUCUAGUAUUUCAUUACGGUAUUGUUUUAUUUAAUUCUCUCACAAACAUCAAUUACGAUAGAACUUAAUUUAUGAUUGUUGACUUCGGCCUUAAGUUGAUUUGCACUAUUAUGAUUGCUACAGCAUUUCGAGUAACAUCAAUCCCUGUGGAGACGAUCUUGAAUAUUCAUCACUUUAUUACUUGUUGUGUAUACUUGCACAUUGGCAUUGGUAGUAAUUGCUUAUAAAAAUAACCAACAAUGAUACACUUGGUCAAUGUGUGAGCCGGUACGUUGAUUCUGAUUAUGCUGGUGAUUUGGAUAAACGAAGAUCAUCCACCAGAUAUAUAUUUACUUUUGCUAGAGGACCAAUUAGUUGGAAGUCUAUACUACAGUCUACAGUUGCAUUGUCGACCACAAUGGCUGAGUACAUGACAAUUACAUAGGCUGUUAAAGAGACUAUUUGGUUACAAGGUUUGCUUGAAAAUUUGGGAUUGAUACAAGAUCACGUUAAUGUAUAUUGCGAUAGUCAAAAUGCUAUUCACUUUAUAAAGAACCAUGUUUAUCAUGCACAUAUGAAGCAUAUUGAUGUACAAUUUCACUUUGUGCGGGAAAUUGUUAAUGAGGGGAGGAUUCUUCUUCACAAAAGUAAGACUGCAGAGAAUCCCGCAGAUAUAUUGACCAAGGUGGUGACAGCGAUCAAAUUUGAGCAUUGUCUAAACUUGAUCAAUAUCCUACAAGUUUGAAAGCAAUCGGAGAAGACAGAAACUAAAUGAUAGUUUGUUGAUAGUUGGCUCAGAUUUAUAAAAUUUUCACCGAGAUGGAGAAUUGUUUAAAAAUCAAACAACAAAAAUCAAACUUUGCUUUGUGGGCACCAAAUUCAAUGGCCAUCAAAGUUGAUUUUUUUGUUUCAAAAUUCAAUUUGCCAAUUUGACAAAUUGGCCAAAUUGAAUGCAAUGGUAGGUGAGCAAUGCCUAUAAAUAGAUUGGGGAGGUUAGAGCUUGAUCAUCCCAUUUUGUGUUGAGAGCAAUUACAAGUGAAGCGAUGUGCAAAAUUUGAGAGAGUUUUUACUUGUGUGUUCUAGUGAGGAUCCAAUUGGGUGUAUUAGGUUAUUGGGUUUUGAUAAUUUUUCCCACUUUUGUAAAUUCUCAUUUGUUAGUAAAAUUAUCUUCCAGUUUUUUUUCUCGUGGACGUAGGAUUUACGUCAAACCACAUAAAUUAUUGUGUCUUAUUUUCUUUGCAUUUGUUUAUCACAUUUAUAUUUCUCCAGAAGUCGCAGUCACCAGAAUCUUAGUAAUUGCUCAACCACACGCAGUGAUAAUGAAGAAGAAGAAGAAGAAGAAGAAGAAGAAGAAGAAGAAAGGAGGUGGUGGUAGAAGUGGAAGAAAGUUUUGGACGUGGAAGAGGCCAAGGAUCAAGCUCGUUUUCGUUACUAAUGAUUCUGACAAAUGUUUCUUGGGUUACAACCGUCUAUGCCAGCCCUGUCCACUCUAUUAGAAAACUUCUUUUGCAUGACCUUAAUGAUGUUGCAAGAUGAUCGUCGGAGAAGAAAGAAUGAGGAGGAACAAAACUGAUAUGAUUAAGUGCAUAUUUGAUAUGACUUAUUUAAUGGCCAUAAAUGCUCGUUUAAUUCAAUAAACUCUUAUAAUAAUUUUUGUUAUUUUUCUAAUAGAGCUUUUGAAAAUUAAAUAAACUAUUUUUCCUCUACUAGCAAAACCUUAAAUUUUGGAUUUUUUAGAGUAAAUGUUGAAAAGUUUUUUUUAAAUGUUAAAAUAUCUUAAAUAUCUUUGACUUAUUUGAUAAUCUUAUUUUAUUCUUUUCACAAUAUAACUUUAAAAAACUUGUCUAUUAAAGUAAUUUCAUAAAUUUUUAAUAAAAACUCUUAUUGACAACCAAACAACAAAAAAUUUCUUUUUUUGGUAAAAGUUCUAUUUAUAAAAAUUCUACUAAUAAAAAAAUCUACUUAAAUAAACUCUAUUUGAAAAAUUAUACCAAAUGGAGCUUAAAGAUGACAACAGGAAUUGGAUUUAUGACGAACCUCAAAUUAGAACCUAUGCAAUGUCCUCCUUCAAGAGGCUGUAUACCAAGGAUAAAGAUCUUCAUAAAAGUUAUCCGAUUGUGGGGGAUUUUCCAACCGUUGAUGCUUAAAAAUGGAGAGAUUAAAUGCAAUUCUUGUUGAUUGGGAGAUAAAAGAAGCCAUUUUAUCAUGCAGCCUUUUAAAGCUCUUAGAAUUGAUGGUCUUCACGCAUUUUUUUAUCGCUCCCAGUGGCAUAUAGUUGGCGCAUCAGUUUGUAAUUUGGUGAAAAAUGUUUUCAACGACACUGGAGUUCCUCAUGCAAUAAACAAGACCUUGAUUGUCUUAAUUCCCAAAAAUGAUCAGCCAAGCAGCCUCAGAAUGUAUAGACCGAUUAGCCUAUGCUCUAUGAUCUAUAAAACAAUUACUAAAAUAGCUUCAAAUAGGCUGAAAACCAUCACUGAAAAUAUUAUUAUUGCUCAGGAAAUCAUUCACAAUAUGCUGCGAAAGAAAGGUGAGCGUGGCCAAAUACUUAUUAAGGUUGACCUUGAGAAAGCUUAUGAUCGCCUCAGUUGGAGUUUCAUCCGUGAGACCCUUUGUGAAGUUAGGUUACCUGCUGGCUGAAUUUGUUUUAUUAUGUAUUGUAUCUCAUUAGUUACAAUGCAAAUUUUAUGGACUGGUCGAUCUACUUCCAGAGGAAUUAGGCAGGAUGACCUUUUUUCGCCUUAUAUUUUUGUUCUCUGUAUUGAAAGGCAAUUACCGGGAUUAACCGUACGGUCCAAAGCAGUAGUUGGAAGCCCAUUCACCUUUCUCGCUGAGGUAUUCCCAUCACCCAUCUCUUCUUUUUUGGAUGAUCUCCUUCUUUUUGCUGAAGCCUCUUGUGACCAAGCAACGGUGAUCCAUGAAGUCCUUUACAGUUUUUGUGAUAUUUCGGAUGAGAAUGUCAACAAUAAAAAAACUCAGUUUUUUUUUUCUUAUAAUGUGAAGCCUGCUGAUGUGAACAGAAUUGGUCCGACACUUCUCGAUCACAAAAGACUUAGGAAAAUACUUGGGGAUGCCAAUCCUCCACUCUUGUGUUAAUAAAGCUACAUAUCAGGGCAUUUUGGAAAGAGUUGAAAAUUGCCUUAGUGGUUGGAGUGCCAAGUUGUUGUUUCUUGCUGGUAGAAUUACUCUCACUCAGUCUAUGAUUCAAGCCUUACCCAUCUAUUCCAUGCAACCUACAAGAUUGCCGACUAAUAUUAACAACAAGAUUGAAAACGUUUGUCGGAAGUUUAUUUGGUGCGGCGCAUCUGAGUCUAAGAAGCUUCACCUUGUCAAUGGGGCCAAUUUAUGUCAGCCGAAAGAAUGUGCGAAUCUGGGCUUUAAAGACUUGCAGCUAAUGAAUGAUGCACAGUUAAUGAAGCUGGUUGGGUAUUUUGACUUCUCCAAACAAUUUUUGGGUUCGAGUGGUCUGUUCUAAAUAUGGUUUCGAUCCUCAUUCCCUAACUUUGACUCUUCCCACGAGAUAUGGCUCUUAUGUCUGGAAGGCUCUUGGGAAGAUUUGGCAUUACGUUGUUUGUGGCAUGCGGUGGAAUGUGGGGAAUGGUUUGAAAGUUAGCUUUUGAUGGAAUAUCUGGGCUCUUGAUGUGCCACUCUAUGGCCUCUCAAUUACUCAGAUUCUUGAGGACUAAGUUAGCAGUUCCGUUGUUGAUUUUAUCAUGCCUAGUGGAUCGUGGAAUUGAAACUUAUUUUGCCAUCUUCUUCCGAAUCAUGUGUUGUUGAUGUUAGGAAAUUGAGCUUCCUCCCAAGAUCUCUUUAUCAAGUAACAAAUUAAUAAGAAAAAUUAAAUGGAGGAUAUACCAAUCACACAACACAAGAUUGACGUGAAAAACUUUAAAUUCGGAGAAAAAACCACGGCCGUUGUCAAAAAGACAACUAGAGAAAAAAUAUUCACUAUGUGAAAAAUUAUUACAACCACACUUUCAGAAAUAAUUUUCUCUCACCCACAAGAACUUUAUAAUUUUAAUUCCUUAAAAUUACUCAAGCUCUAAACUUUGUUUCUUCACAAAACUAGAUGCACGAACCAAAUGAGCAGCACCCCUUUUUAUAUCCAAAAUUGGCUAUUAAAAUACUAUUAUAUUUUCCACCGCCAUUAUCUUCUUCAACUCUUCCUUUUUCUUCAUCCUUGUCAAAGUUGUUUGCUUCUUUUCUUCAUUCAAAGAUUUGAAUGUCAACAUUCAAAUCUUUGAAAGUUGACAAUGGCUGGCACCCCAUCUAGAAGGGCGGUGCCAGCUUACCUCUUUUCACAUUCUCCCACUUGGAGAUUUGAUUGAGAACCAAUCAAUCUUCACACCGAGUUUACUAUUUUCACCUUAGUCAUAAUCCUCACCAUAGAGAAUUAUCAUACUCCACCAUAAAGAGUAUACCACUUAGAAUUAAUUACCAAUUCUAAGAAUUUUACAUCGGCACAUGUCGAAAUAUCCUGCUGAAAUUUAUGGUGCAACUUCCAUGUUGGCCUUCUUGGAAGCUUGUCAGCCAUCAACAUAAAUUCCACCACACACCCUACAUCAAUACCAACCAUACCUUGUGUGUAAAUCUUGUGGACCCGCUAGUAGUAACAUAUCCCCUUUCAUGGUACCAGCAGUAUACCAUGAGGAUGUCAUCAUCAUCCAUUUUACAAGGGACCAUCGUCUCCCACGAUGAUGAGAGACUUACCACUAGCAAUACUAUCAGUAUCUGAUUUGGAGCCACUAGCCGAUCCUGCUCCAUUUCUACCAUGACAAUCUCUUUUUAAGUGCCCUGAUUGUCCACACCCCCAGCAGACUUCUUUCUUCUUAGAUUUAUCUUUCUUCAAAUUCCUUACAACUACCAAAGCCGAGACAUCUGUAGUUUCAGUACUUUCACCACUCAGUCUUCUUUCUUCUGAGAGUAAAGUACUAGUAACUUCUUCAAGAUAUAUUGUCUCCUUCCCGUACAUCAAAGUAGGUAACAGGUGUUUGUAGGAAGUUGGAAGUGACCAUAGAUUACUAAGCGCCUUGUCCUCAUCUUCAAUUUUAACUCCAAUGGCUUCUAGUUCUGACAUAAUACCAUUGAGAACACUAAGGUGAUCAAAAAUUUUUGUACCUUCAGUCAUUCGCAAUGUGUGAAAUCGCUCCUUCAGGUACAAUCAAUUUGAGAUGCUCUUUGUCUGAUACAACUUUUCUAGCUUCUCCCAAAGUUCUUUCGCCUACAUUUGCAAGAACAUUCUUUGCUAGACACAGUCGUAUGGCACUUGCAGCUCUAUCAUCUAAUUCUUCUCAAUCUUCAUCACUUAUACUAGCUUUUCCAGAGCCACUACUAGAAGCAGGGGAUGGCUUCUCCUUCAAUGCCUUAUGUAACCCAGAUUGAAUCAACACAUCUUUGACUUGAACUUGCCACAAGCCAAAGUUAAUUCUCCCAUCGAAUUUUUCUAUUUCAAAUUUCACCGGACUUGAAAAUUUCAAUCCUGACAUAUUUGCUUUGCAGAUCAGCUUUUACUCUUCACCACAGCUUGUUUGGCUUGGCUCUCACUGCUUCACGUGAAUAGUACCGUAUACAUGAACAGUGCCCCGACACCAAAACUUCAAUCAAUGGCUCUGAUACCACUAUUAGGAAAUUGAGCUUCCUCCCAAGAUCUCUCCAAGCAAUUUAUCAAGCAACAAAUUAAUAAGAAAAAUUAAAUAGAGAAUAUACCAAUCACACAACACAAGAUUUACGUGAAAAACUCCAAAUCUGAAGAAAAAACCAUGGUCGUUGUCAAAAAGACAACUAGAGACAAAAUAUUCACUAUGUGAAAAAUUAUUACAACCACACUCUCAGAAAUAAUUUUCUCUCACCCACAAGAACUUUAUAAUUUUAAUUCCUUAAAAUUACUCAAGCUCUAAACUUUGUUUCUUCACAAAACUGGAUGCACGAACCAAAUGAGCGGCACCCCUUUUUAUAGCCAAAAUUGGCUAUUAAAAUACUAUUAUAUUUCCCACCGCCAUUAUCUUCUUCAACUCUUUCUUUUCCUUUUUCAUUGUCAAAGUUGUUUGCUUCUUUUCUUCAUUCAAAGAUUUGAAUGUCAACAUUCAAAUCUUUGAAUGUUGACAAUGACUAGCACCCCAUCUAGAAGGGCGGUGCCAGCUUACCUCUUUUCAUAGUUGAAGAUUGUGGCGAUUAAGCCUCCUAAUCCUUGCUGCACGUGUGAUCAAUUCUAUUGGGCCUUCUCAAACUCGGGUACUUUCAUGGUUAAAUCAGCUUAUAAACAUCUUCACCGAAACUUCCUUAAUGGCCAGGACUCUAACUGGAACCUCAUCUGGAAAUGGAGGGGACCCCAGAGAAUUAGAACUUUUCUUUGGCUUGCUGUUCAGUGGAGAUUAAAAUGCAAAGCUGAGGUUUUCCGACGUCAUAUAAUUUCAGAUGUUGCCUGUCCUCACUGUAAUGGUUAUGUCGAAGAUGCAGUUAAUGUGUUACGUGAUUGUAUUGUGGCAAGGAGAAUUUGGAGGUUGCUUGGGCCUUGUAAUGCUCACGAUAACUUCUUUAAUCUACCUUUUCGUGAUUGGAUUAUGUUGAAUUUGAAGAAUAAUAGCCAUUGGGAUGGUAACUAUGCAUGGUCGUGCAUUUUUGGGGUGGCCAUUUAGAGAAUUUGGUUUUGGUUAAAAAAAACUGAUGUAUGAAAGAGCCUCCGUCAGCAUUGAUUCCAUGCGUAUGGACAUCAUGUCUAGAGCAGAAGUGAUCCAUAGACGGACUAUUACCUUUGAGGUCAAGCACAAUAGUAGAAUGGAGAAAUAUUUUGGUUGGGUGCCUCCAACUUGGCCUUUCUUUAAGUUGAACACGGAUGGAGUGAGGAAGUAUUCAGGGGUAGCAUCUGCCGGUGGUUUAAUCAGGAACACUGUUGGUGAAUGGAUAGAAGGCUUUAGCAUAAACAUUGGGAUAUGUUCUAAAUCACAAUUGCUGAACUUUGGGUCUUUAUCAGGGCCUUACUUUAGCUUGGAAUAAGGGUACUUGGGUGCUUCAAGCUGAAGUUGACAGCAUGUGUGUUAUUCAAUUAUUGCAGACCAAAGAUGUUGUCAUAAUGCUUCUUCUCCUCUUAUUAGCGGCAUCCUAAAGCUUUUAUCUCGUAACUGGCAUGUCUUGCUGCGUCACGGUAAUCGUGAGGCGAAUUUUGAGCUGAUUUCCUUGUGAAUUACGCUUUGUCACUGCCUAUUGGUCUCCACAUUCUUAGCAUUUCUCCUGACUGUGUUGAAGCUUGGCUUCUAGUGUUUGUAUAGGGAAUAGGCUCUAUUUCCUUGUGAAUUACACUCUGUCACUACCUAUUGGCCUUCGCAUUCUUAGUAGUCCUCCUAAUUGUAUUGAAGCUUGGCUUCAUAGUGUUUGCAUAGGGAAUAGGUUCCCUCCUUUUGUUAAGCCUUUUGAUAGGCUCGUUUCUUUUACCCAAAAAAAAAAAAUUACAAAGGCCUUUUUUGCCCCUUCGUUUAUGUGAAGUUCCAAUUUCAAAUUCAUCUUAAGUUGGAGACUUCCUCAAAAUGGACAAGGGAUACUCUCUUUGUCCUUCCCCCACCCUGGCGGAUUUAAAAAAAUAAUUUACCGGGGGUUAAAUUAAAUAACAGCAAAAUGUAAAAAUUGAAACUUAAAUAUAUAAAAUUUUUGGUAACCCACUUACUAUUGUUCUCUACGCGAUUUCAUAUUCUGAAAAUAUUGUGCAAUAGACUCAAUAUCAAUACUAUUAAAUCCAUCUUUUUUCUACACAAACAAUCAAAUUAUCAUUCAUCUAUUCAUCUCCUAUCCGAUUCCGAAGUUCAUUCUUCACAAAUUUCAUUGCUCAAAAUUAUAUAUAUGAGUACUUAUGUAAAAAUAAAUUAAUUACAAUUGAAAAAAUUAAUUUACUAAUAGUUGUAAACAAAAUCACUAAAAAAAGAAAUUGUAAAGAUUAGAAUUAGUCACUUGAACAAUUACAAUUUAUAUAGAGAUGUGUUGACAUGUGAACAAAAAAUAAAAUACGAAAUUCUUAACUUAAUUUGAAAAAAAAAUCGAAAAGAACAUGUUUAUUCUCACUGCGAUUAUGAGAAUAAAGAACAGAACUGAUGCCUGCAACUUCCUCUUUUCUUCAAGACAAUCCCUAAUUACAAGUUUGGCAAUCACGGUUCAGUUUUGGGAUUAUUAAUAUUUUGGGUUGUGGGUUUUAUUUUUUUAAGUAAAAUUAUUACUUUAUAAUUAUUAAAAUAAUAGUUUAAAUUUUAAAGAAUGAGAUUAUCUAAUAAUUUUUACAGGGAUUAUUUUAAAUUUUAAAUUUUAAAUUUUCUUUUAAACAAAAAAAAAAUUUCAGUGGGGGCUUGAGCCCCCAGUGGUCCUGCACUGCAUCCGCCCCAGCCCCCACCUCAUAUUAUUAUUUUAUUAGUGAUUGAAAUUAAGUUUUGUAUUUAUUUUUCACUUUAUUUAUAAUUAAGUUUAUUUUUCACUAGCUUAUGAAGGUAAUGAAAGAAAAAAAAAUAAGAAGAAAAUCCUAAUCCCUUCAAAACAGAAGAAAUUAUUUAAAAUUUUCUAACCAACUUUCGAGAAAAUUUCUCUUUUCUGGCCUUAUAUUUUCUACGAUAGAGUUCUCACCAGUAAGUUCAUGUUGCAUGGAGGCUGGAGCUAGGAGAAAAGGCCAUAAACUCUUCUUCAUCACUAGAAUUAUCUUGGGCGGCAUUUGUGAGAUAUAGGCAGAUUGGGGGUAGUUAAUCCUAUCUUUGACCAGUGGAUUCCACGUGGAGUUAAAGCCAUGUUUCCUUCCCUUAUAGUGCUUUUGAGAGGUGAUAUGCAAUCCUUGUCGAUAUGUCAGCCAGCACCAAAGCUUUUGUAACUCUGCUUUUUGCAUUUAUCGGGUGGUCCAGCUGCAGCAAGAACGUGCUCCCCCACAAUUAUGGAUUCACGUGACAGAAAUUUUGUUUAAUAUUGUCGUGACCAAUAAGGGUUAUUUUUACAUACCUCUCCUGAUACUUCACUUAAUUUCAGUUUAAUAGAAAAUAUCUCUGUAUUUUUACAUCCCUCCUCUGCUGUUAGUAUUUCUGUCAGUAUAAUAUCAGUAUAUAAGGUUACAUUUGUAAAAGCGCAUUUAAAUUUUAAAAAACUUAAAAAGUUAGCUGUAGUGGCAUUGGUAAGUGAGAAAUACCAUUGCAUCUGUCCAUUUCAUUACCCAAAAGAAAAAUCGCUUCACGAAAAUGUAAAUCUUACGAAAAUCUCAUCAUUCACACAAACAUUCACCCCUCAGCAGCUUAAGUGUGAAAACAAGCGAGUGUUAUUGAGUUUGAGGAUCAAGAAUCAUCACCAUUUUGAACUUACCCAUGAAGAAGACAAGCUUCAAUGCUAAUAGAAGACUGCUGAGGGGCGAGUUUCCGCGGCUUUUCACAGCUCCAAUACCAGUCGAGGCUGCGUUUUUCCUCUCUCCUCGUGAGCCGAGAAGAUGCUAAUAGAAGACUCCCGACAAGCGCAGUCCGUGGCCAAUCGAGGAGGCGUUUCCGCGGCUUCGAUCGGUGGCUUUCUGGACACUUUCCGACGGCAAAGACGGCAUGGAGAUGACCAGCGACUCAAGGGCUUCCGAUCGGUACCAAGCUCGACUGAAACGGUGGCCCGAAAUGGGAGAUCCGACCGGAUCACGGUCGCAGGUCGGGUUGGAUCCGAUUCUUUUUCCUCUCUCUCCUUGUGAGCUUCUCUCUUUUCUUUUUCUUUUUUUCUCUCUAUAUAAAUGGCUGGGCAAAAGUCAAAGAAAAUAUGGUGUGGGUGUUUGUACUCAAAAUUCACUUGUAAUCAUGUCCGAAUGAUUAGAAAAAUUGGUGUUGUCAUGUUGUGGAUGUUUGUAGUAAAAGAUUAAUGGGUUUUAAUGUAUGUUGAAUUUGUAGAAAAAUUAAUUUUUAUAUUAAUUGAUUUAAUUUUAUUCCAUGGCUUCUGCACUCCUAUUCUCCUGUGCAAUGGAGAAGAAAGAAAAUUUUUUUGACCCCAAAUCUCCAACUUCUAAGCACCGAGAAAUUUAUGUUUGAUUUCAAUAUUUUCGGCUUUUGAAUAGCUUUUGAAUAUGCUUGCACUGUCAACUUUGCUGGGAAAUUGUACCUGUCAGCUUUUAAAGGGUAUUUUCAUCCUCUUGUUAGUCCACUAACAGUCAACUGACGGAAAUACUAAUUGCAGGGGAGGGGAGUAAAAAUACAGAGAUACUUUCUAUUAAACUGAAAUUAGGUGAAACCUCAGGGGAGGUAUGUAAAAAUAACCCUGACCAAUAAUAAUUUUAAGCUAAAAAUGUUUAGUAUGUAAUAAAUUCACAUGACUGAACCAGGCAACGACAUUAGCGUCAUCGUCAUCUUGUGGUGCAUAGGAAGACUUGGGCGCACCGAGAAAAGCAGCAUCAUCACACGUCGAGAGCUGCAGCAGUGUUGUCUUUGUCAAGAACAGCAGCAGCGAUGCCAAUUUUUUUCAUAUAAUGCCUAAACUCCGAAUUUGGUAGAAGUUAAAAGACUUUUUGAAAAAAUAACUUGAAAACUGAGUAAAAAAGGUACAUAUACAAAAUUUGGCUUGAUUUUAGUGUUGCAAGUAUCUAUGUAAAUUUUUAAGAAUUUUGUUUGGGUAUAUUGAAUAGUUUUCUAAGUAUGUAGCAUGAAUAUAGAUUAUUAAUUUAAACAGUUGAACAAAGGGAAUUUUUAGUAUUUUAACGAGUGCACGGAAUAAAAAUUUAAUAGACGAGUGUUAAAAGUAGUAUUUAAAGUAAUAGAGUAUUCAAAGUAAUAUAAUAUUAAAAAAAUAAUUUUAGAUACAAAUAACCACUAAAACAAAAAAGACUUUCAACUGCGUUGCAAAUGUGCCGUUAAAAGUUAAGACGGCGUAAAUUUAUAUGUUAUUGAUUCAUAAGGCGUGGAAAGUAAGUAACUUUUCACGGCAUACAUUACAUGCUGUCAAAUUUACUGUUAAAAGUAAAUGACGGCAUAAAUUAUAGGUCGUUAAUUAUCAUUUAGACGGCAAUAACUAUUUCACUAAUGUAACCAAAAUUAUACUUUUAGUUAAAAAUUUUAACUGCGUUUACCAAUAUGCUGUAGGUAUUAAAGACCAUAUUUGUUUAUUGCCAUUGAAAGUUGGAGAUAAUUACGUAAUAAUAUUAGUUCAUGGUAGAGCAAAAUUGCCACUAAUUAUUUUAUUUAAUUUUUAAUAAGAAAUCUUAAUUCUUUUUAUACAUCACAAAUUUAAUAAUGUUAAAAUAAAAAAUAAAAAUGAUUACAUCAAACUAAAAAUUAUACAUUAGCAAAUUGUCAAUAGACAACUAACAUGUGAAUUCAAUGGAGUUGACAUAACGUAAAGUAUAAAAGUGGGACAGAAAUAUUAAAACAAAUUAAGAAAAAAAAAACAGUUCUUUUCCCUCCUUGAAUAAAAAUUUCUUUGCCACCAAUAAUGAUCCUUUUAUACAGUUCUAAAAUCCCUGAAAACGAAAGCAAAAUCAUCAUUGAAGCAAAAUUCAGGAGGAUUUGUCUAAUAUAAACAUCGAAUUAAGAGAGAAGGUAUAUGGAAACAAAAAAAGAAAAAAAAAACAAUUUUAAACAUGUUACUCAGUGAAGAAAGUAUUUCAUUGGCACUAUGAGUCUAUGCUUCUUGAGAGUUACCAUACCAAAAUUUUCUAGCCUAAUUAAGAUUCUGAAGAAAAAAUAAAAUUAUCGUAAACUUGUUGAUAAGAAAAUUAUAAAUGCUUGAUCAUAUAUAAACAUCCAAUAGCUACGUUAAAUAGUUAAGUAAAAGUAUUACCACUCAGUUUAAUGGAACAGGGCAAUCAAAGUGUCAUUUUGAAGCUACACUUACAAUGAGACCAACUUUCUUACUUUAUUCGCUCAGCAUCUAAUGAAUCCAAUUGUAGAAGACAAGUUUGCAUAUUAUUAAAAACAUAUAAAAUAAAAAUAAAAAGUUUCUACUACGUGGAGAUAUUUUAAGCAACUUGUAAUCACACUGUUAAAAUUAGAUACUCACCAUUGGGGAGAGUUGUCUAUUGCCUGCAAAAAUAUCAUUCACUUUAUUGCAACUUGAAAAAUUUUUAAACUCAAAAGUCGAUUAAUAUCUAACAUCAUUCACCUUGUUGUUUAACAACAUACAAAAAGAGAGAGGUUAAUUAUUUUGAUAUAAAUUGACAACAUAUACCAAGUAGCCAAAAGGAGCAAUUAAAGAUUAAAAAUACCAAGUAGCCACUAUCAAAUUCAAGAGCUAGCUCUUACAAAAUAAAACAAAGUGAAACCAAUACAAGAUUAUUUUUUUAAUAUGAAAACUUAUGUAAGAUUAACAAUAUAAAAUAAUUUUUAACAAACAGGUCAAACAAAAUAAAUUGAUUAAGGAUCAAAAGAUUCAAACUGAAGUAAUACCCACAUUGAUUUCAUCUAAUGUAAUUGAUAGAACCAAAUUUUAUACCUUUCUUGAAUAUCUAAACCAAAAAAAAAAAAAAAAUAACAAAUCUAAAUCUACUAGUUUCAACAAAACAAACCCUAAGUAGAUUGAAACUAACAUGCAAACUAAACCCUAAGUAGAUUUCGAUGACACAAACAACCUAAAAAUAAAAUAAACCAUUAAAAAAAUUAAACAAUAGAAAGUAUAAUAAAUCAAAACACAUACGUGAACCACGUUGAUUAAAUCAGUACAAGGUAUGCGAUUAUAAAAUUGAAAGAAGAAAAAAUCACUGCAAGUAAAUAUUAAUGGAGCAGAGCAAGAGAGAAGACGAGCUAGGAGAUUGAUUAGGAUAUAAACUGGAUAGUGGCAGCCCCUAAUUCCUAAUCGUGAAGAAAUCAAUUAAGAAAAAUAAAAGAGAAAGAAAGGGGUGGCUAAGGAUUGAAAGGGUGAUGAUUUUCUUUUAUUGGUUUAUAAUUUUUUUUUACGGCAUAUUUCAAAUGUCCUAGUAUAUUUACAAAUCAACGGCGAAUACAUCCAUGCCAGUAUAAUAUUACAAUUAACGGCAAAAUGAUUUGCGCCAUAAAAAAAUUAAUUUAACGACAUUUAUUUAUUUAUUAUGCCAUUAAACAUUAAGUGACCCCCUUGUUUGAUGCCAAGUAAUAAAAGUCUGCCAUUAAUUAAUAUUAUUCGGGGUCUCCUAUGUUGCCACUUGUAGGUUAGACAGCUUUUGUCUUUUCUGACUUAGUAAUUGUAAAUUUCGUUGAGCUCCUUACUCUCUGUUUUAUUUGAUUGAAACUCUUAGAGUAUCAAAUUCGCUCCCUCACAAUUUUUUAAAUUCCCAAAUACCCUCCAUUUAAUUAAAAAUAUAUAUAUAGCAAAUUUGAAAAAAAAAACAAACAGCAGGCACAACCAACAUUGUAAACCCUUGAAGCCUCCAUCAGAACCAAGAGGAAGAUUUUCCAGUUGUAGCUAAGAGGAAGCACAACAUUGAGAUCGGGAUCGGGAUCGGGAUCGGGAUCUAGUUCGCUUGUCGUCGUGAUCUUCACCGUCCGUUAUUUGGCCCAUUGCAGUAACAAUCUCACCACUAUCUCAUAACCAGCCAUCUUCAUGAUGAUGAUAAUGAUGUCGACACCAUUGAUGAUGAUGCCGCCAUCAAUUCCGAUUUGUUGUUGCCGUUGAUUAUGAUGAUUUUGAUUAUUACUGUUAUUUUUUACUGGAUUAUUAUUAUUAUUAACAAUAAAAAAUAUUAUAAUUAAUUAAUAUAUUAACAAUAAUUAAUAAUAAUUUUGAGUUAAAUUGUUAAUAAUAGUAAUUAACAAUAAUUAUUAAUAAUAAAUAAUUUUUGAACAAUAAUAAUAAUCAUGGUAAUUAAAUUUAGGGGUGGGCAAAAUCGGGUUCGAGUCGGGUUCAGAUCAACCCGAUCGGAUUUUGAGUCAUUCAGGUUUGACAAAAACUAAUCCGAAUACAAUCCAAACUUACAACCUGAUCCGAUUUGAUUAGAUUUAUAUUCAGAUCAGAUUGGGUGAGGUUGUAAAUUCGGGUAGGAUCGGUUUCGGGUUGGCCAAUUUUCUUGAUUUUGUUACUAACAUGUAAAAACACAUAAUUGCAACAAUUAAAUACUAAAUAUUAAUUGUUUAAAUUAACCAUAUAUAUCAUCAAUUUAAAGCUUAAAAAAAAAGCUUCAAAAAAAGCUUCAAAAGUGAAAACUCAAAGUUUCAAAGGGGAUAAACUCGGGUCAGGUAUCGGGUUGAAGGUUGGAGCGGCAAAAUGCAGAUUGGUAGCACCUUGUAGUAUAUCGAUGGUACUUGCAGCAGAUCGGUGGCACUUGCUGCAGAUCAGUGGCACUUGCAGCAGAUAGGUGCCCACGGACGCACAGCAGCAGACUGAUAGACGCGUAGCAGCAAACCGACGGACACGCAACGAAUCGAGCAUGGAGACGCGGGUGAGACUGUGACUUGUGUGGCGGCCUCCAUUGGCAACUUGGCGUUGGGCCAACACCAUUGGGGGUGACUACGCAUGUGUUUUGUGUAGUGAGAUUGGGGAUUGUGUAAUGAGAUUGGGGAUUGAGGAGGGUUGUGAGUGUUUGUGUGUUGUGAAAAUGAGAAUUUAUGAUUUGUGUGUGUGGCUGUGUGCUUUAGAUUUAGGUUUUUUUUUUUUUUUCUAACAACCUGAUCGGGUUUUCUUUAUAACCCAAUCCGAUCCGAACCUGAAAUUUUUCGAGUCUGGUAAUUUGCCCACCCCUAAUUAAAAUGCAAAAUAACAAUUAUGAUAAUAAUUUAUUAAGGAUUUUAUAACAAAUUUGUUACAAUUUAAUUUAUUCCGAUGUUGAUUCUAAAACAAAGUAAACACAUCAAUGACAAUACAACUCAUUCUAAUUACGAUUCGUGUAGUUUAAGUAAAUAUCUUAUUCUGAUUCCAAUUCUUCAUGUCAAUUCCAACCCAUUCUGAUUCUAACUCAUUUUGAUUCUAGUUCAUUUCGAUUCCUAUUUAGUAAAUGUACUUUAAAAUUGUAAACGUUUCAUAUAUUUUUUUUCCGUUUCUUCUUCCUCUCUCUCACUCUCUCUCUGUGAUGAGUCUAAUGGUGGCUUCAAUUGUUGAUAAAGGUUGUUGAUAAAGAGAAAAUGCUAGUGUAGAAGGAUGGAUUCAAAGGGAAUUUGUUUUUUUUUUGUUAUUUCUUUUAUCGUGAAAAUACUAAUUAUUAUGAGAUGAUAUUAUAAAGAAGAUGAAUGGUCAUAUCCUUGAAAAUUUUGCUGAUGAGAAGUUAUGGAAGAUGUGAUAUCGUAAUUCCUUAAGAGAGGAAAACGUUUUUUUUAGUACUAAUUUAAGAAUUUUUUUAUCUUUUUAUUAAUAUUAGGGUGCGUUUGGUACACGUAUUGUAUUAUGUUGUAUUGUAUUAUUUUAAUGCUGGUGUAUUGUAUUAUGCUGUAUUGCAUUAAUACUGUAUUAUAAUAAUAUUGUACAAUGUUUGGUGCUACAUCGUACUGUAUUAAUUUUUAGUUAUACUAUAUUUGGUGUUGCACUGUACUGUAUUAAUUUCUUUUGGUGAUUAAUUUUAAUUAUAUAUUUAGAAAAUAAUAUCUACUAGUACUUAGAAAAAUACUAAAUAUAGAAGCGUUAAAUUUAAGAAUUUUUACAUCAAUUUUUUUGUUUAAAUAAAAGAAUCAUAAUUCUUUAUGUAAAACUAACAAAUUCUAAGAUUUACAAUGAUAAAAAAUUUAUUUUUUCAAGAAUUCAUAAAUAUAUAACCUAUUUAGUAAAAAAAAUAUUUUAUUUAUUUAUUUAUUUUAAUUUCCUCUCUCUCCUCCCUUUGUCUUCUCCAUAUCUUUUUCUUCUUUGUUCAUUUUUGUUCUCUUUUUCUCUUUCUUCGUCUUCAUUUCAUUUUCUUUUUUUCCUCCUUUUCUUCUAUUUUCUUUGUCUUCUUCAAUUUGUUUUCCUUUUUUUCUUUUCCUCUUUUUCUUCUUUCUUCUUCUUCUCUCGGCUUUAUCUUCGUCUUCAUUUCAUUUUCUUUUUUUUUUCUCCUUUUCUUCUAUUUUCUUUUUGUUCUUCAAUUUGUUUUUCCUUUUUCUUUUCCUCUUUUCCUCUUUUUCUCCUUCUUUCUUCUUCUUCUCUGGGCUUUAUCUUCUCCACAGUGAAGGCGUCUUCAUGGAGCAAUGCCUAUGGUGUCGCGCGGCACUGUAAAAGUAUCGGUGAUGGCGUCGAACGAUGAUUGCCAAGUCGAUUUGGUGGUGCUAGAUUGGGUGAUAUGAAUUUCAUCGCGAACAUGCUGUAAAAUUUUCUCAAUUUUAUUUUCUUAAUUUGCUCUAAUACGAUGCGGCGUAAACCCGAACCCCCCCUCAGGUUUGGUUUAUGCGAACUUGACCGCAUUAGUUUCCCAAGUUAAUGCAAUACCACACCAGUUGAAUUUAACGCCAAACAUGAGUUAGUAUUAAGUUAAUACAAAACAGUGUUUUAAUACUAUGUUGUGCGGAAUACCAAACACGCCCUUAGUGUGUUAUGAUUAUUAAUGUGUCAUGGUUGUAAACAGAAACUCUUUUAAUACUUACAAAAAAAUAGUAAAUGAAAAAGAGUAUAAGGAGAUAAAUUGAGUUUUGAUGGUAUAAGUAAGCCGAAUGUGUCAUAAUUCUUAUGAAUAAAUUAUAAAAAAAUAGAGUGUAAGGGUCUCAAUGAAGUGAAAAAAAACAAAAGCUGUUGUAACGUACAGUGGCAACAUAGUAAAGGGAAAAAUGACACGUACAUCCUCAAAGUUUUAGAAAAUGAUCACAACAUCCUUAAGUUAUAAAAAAUGGAAACUAAUAUCCCAUCUUAACCAUUAUACCCUUUUCAUCUAUUAUCCCCAAAAAAAUGGCUUCAAAAUUUUUAAUAAAUACAAAUAUUAUAUAAAUAAUGUAAUCUAUGUAGUAGAUUAAUAAUAUUAAAAUAUUUUAAUAAAUUUAGAUAUCUAAAUUAUUGUAUUUAUUUUAAUUUUUUAAUUUAUUGUAGAGAUUUGAAAUGAACAUUUGCAUUAAAUACAUUCUACAAUUGAAAAAAAAUGACAUACUAAUAAUGUUAAAAUUAUUAUUUUACAUAACAUUCAAAAUAAUUUAAAUUUUAAUACAUUUAUUUUAAUAUUAUGAUUCCAUUUAUAUUAUAUUUUAUUUGAAAUAAAAUAAAAUAAAUUUAAUAAAUUAUAAAAUAUUUCUUAAAUAUUAAAUUAUUUUAAAAUGUAUAUAUCAUUAUAUUUAUUUUAAUAUUAUAUUUUUAUUUAUUAAAAAAUAUUAGAAUCUAUUUUUUGGGAUAUACGGUCAAAAAAAAUUUUGGUGUCUGUUUCAAAAAAUAUGAGGAUGUUGAUGAUUAUUUUUUCAAAUUUUAAGGGAGAUGACCUUUUCCCACAUAUAAACUAUUGGCAUCGAUAUCCUGGCUGCUGCACUGAUACCUUAGUCUUUAGGUGCCGCAAACGUUCCACUGCGAAAAGUGUUCGUACUCAGCCCCACUCUUAUUUGUAUUGACCCACGUGUUAAACAAGACCAUAAAAGUAAAGAAGAAAGAAGAAAAUCUCUGAGAAGAGAAGAAAACAAAUUAAAAAACAGAAGAAAAAUGUUGGGGAAUCGAAGUUCAGAUAAUCACACUAAGCCACUGUUAGGAACCGGUGAUAAUAUUAAUAAUUAUAAUCUUGGAGAAGAAGAAAGGAGGUGGUGGCGGAAUUGGAAAGAAGUUUUGGACGUGGAAGAGGCCAAGAAUCAAGUACUCUUUUCGCUGCCAAUGAUUGUUGCUAAUGUUUCCUAUUAUGCGAUCCCUUUGGUUUCUGUCAUAUUUGCUGGUCACCUUGGUGACCUUGAGCUUGCUGGUGCAACUCUUGCCAACUCUUGGGCCUGUGUCACAGGAUUUGAUUUCACUGUAAGCAUUCAAUAUCUUAUUAACAUCAUCGUAUUAUACAGAAAGCUUCAAUUUUUUAAGUAGUUUAGAUUAUAAUAUACAAUUAAUUUGAAUUUGUAUUCGGUGCUGCGCUGAGCUGAGAGCUGAUCUUUAUGCUGAGAUUUUAUAACUGCGAUUGCCCGAGUAUACCUUAAUGUACACGUGUGAUAGAAGAUUACAAAAAGUUCAGCACCACUUAGUAGUUAGCACUAUCCAAAUCCAAUCAAUCUUUUGAAACGGCUAAGUCAGCGCGUGCGUGGUUCAAUUUUUAAUUUUCAAUAUGUGGUUGAUUCAUUUUCUUCAUUCUCCGUUCUCCUAACAGCAAGGACUAAGUGGAGCACUUGAAACACUCUGUGGUCAAGGAGUUGGCGCAAAACAAUACAGGGUGUUGGGAAUAUACUUGCAAACAUCUUGUAUCAUAUCUUGCUUCUUCUCAAUUAUCAUAUCUUUCCUGUGGUUCUACACAGAACCUAUACUUAUUUUACUUCAUCAAGCUCCGAAUAUUUCAGAACAAGCAGGUCUCUACAUGAAGUAUCUCAUUCCGGGUCUAUUUGCAUUCGGGUUUAUACAGAACUUUCUAAGGUUUCUGCAGACACAAUCCAUUGUCAUGCCAUUGGUCUUCUGCUCAGCUCUCCCAUUGGCAAUCCAUUUUGGCAUUGCAUAUUCUUUAGUUCAUUGGACAUCCCUUGGUUUCAGUGGAGCUCCACUAGCAUGUUCAAUUUCGUUGUGGAUCUCGACACUUUUGCUAGCAAUUUAUAUCCAUUGUUCAAAGAAAACUAAACGUACGUGGGAGGGACUUUCUUUUGAAUCAUUCAGUGUCUUUCUCACCAACUUGAAAGUAGCCCUGUCAUCUGCAGCAAUGGUUUGGUAAGUGUCAUUACUUUUCUUGAUCGUAGGUACAGCUUCAUUUGGUUAGAAACAAAUACAAUCACGGAUGGUCUACAAUGUUUGGAAAAAAAGAGUGUGAUAUGCAAACUGCUUAUUGAUGACAGGGAAGUUAAAACUCUGGACUUUUAAAAAAAUUAGUUAGUCCUCAAUUGAAGACUAUAGGCUUAAAAAGAUAACAGUUGCCUGAGAAAAUAGUUAGUGGUAUCUGAUACUCCUGCUUGCAAAUAAUUAUUACUUUAAUCUACAGGGUUAAAAUCUUGCAAAUUGAUAAUUUGGAGCAACGCGGGAGUGACCCAAUUGAAUUCAAUACAAUAUCAUGACCUUGUUAGCAUAUAUUAUUUGUAUUUUUUCAGCUUGGAGUGCUGGUCUUUUGAUAUCCUUGUGUUCUUAGCCGGGGUGAUGCCAAACUCAGAACGGUCUACUUCAUUGAUCGCAAUGUGGUAAUUAAGCUUCAGCCUUUUGUUAUUAUCAGUUUUUUUUUCUUGUACAUUAAUUUCUUUUGAUGUUAUUUAUCCUUAGACUGAUCAUUUUGACGACUUUGAUAGUUCAAUCUUUUUUAUUUUUGGUCUCAUGAUCUUCAGUGUGAAUACACACGUAAUUACCUUUAACUUCAGUUAUGGUCUCAGUGCUGCUGCAAGGUUAGUGUAGCAUAUGUAACUCCUAGUCCACGUUGUGUGGUUUCUACAAUUUUUGUGUUCAAAACCAGAAAAACUCAUGCUUUCUGACAGCACAAGGUGUCGAAUGAAUUGGGAGCAGGAAUGAUCGAUCGAGCUAAGAAUGCCAUGGCUGUGACUCUCAAGCUUGUUGUCCUCCUCGCUCUUAUAAUUGAUUUGGCUCUUACUUUUGGUCAUAAUAUUUGGGCUGGCUUCUUCGCUGACAGCCAAGAACUAGUACAGGAAUUUGCCUCAAUGACACCCUUUCUUGUAAUCUCAAUAACAUUUGAUACUCUGCAGUGCAUCUUGUCAGGUUUUUCACAUAAAAUUUUUCUGAAGUCACUUAUCUACACACAGCACACAUGUAUAAAUUAACUUUGAUUUGUGACGCAAGUAUGGUAAUUUUGCAGGAGUGGCAAGAGGAUGUGGUUGGCAACAUUUGGCUGUGUGGGUUAAUUUGGCAACAUUCUAUUUCAUUGGCAUGCCGCUUGCAUUACUUUUUGGAUUUAAGUUGAAUCUUCAUGCGAAGGUGAGACAAAAUGGAUUGUGGUUGCAGUAGCUUGUUCAUCACUCGAUACUCUCAGCACGCUAGUUUCUUUUUUCUGUUACAGGGUUUGUGGAUUGGCUUAAUCUGCGGCCUCGCAGCCCAAGCCAGCUCCCUCUUUCUGAUUGUGUUGCGAAGAAAAUUCACUAAAGUCGACAUAGCUGUGAGCAGAGAAAAAGAAGUUCCACUUUCAAUUUAACCAUAUUGAUAUUGAGACCGGAAAGGUUGUGCAUUUUGUUCAAUUCAUAAACUUUAUGCUGGAAAGAAUGCGACUACAUUUAAUGCCACUGGUUUUAACUUAUCAUUGGAAGAGCUACAUAAAUAAUGAUAAUGAUGAUAAUAUUUAAUUAUCACUCAAACAUUUGAAAACUUUAAUCUAUUCCAUUUUUGUUGAAAAGAUAAGGGGAAAUAAUGGGCGUCAAUUGGAGUAAAUUGAUAUUUAUCCACUCAUUGGUGCUGAAAGUUGAGCACACUGAUCAUCUUUACUAACUCCACGCACCCAUGACCAUUCAUAAACACACUCUCUACUAAAAAUAAGUCUCGUCUCUUGGGUGCGCUUACGUUUACUAAAGUUUAUUUAUUUAUUUAUUUUUUAAUUCACUCAAGUUUAUUUUUACAAUUAUUCCCACUACCCCCACAACUUUAAUUUUCUCUCCCACUUCCUUUCUUGUCUUCUUUGUUUUUUCUUGUGCCCCCCUUGACUUUUUUUUUUCAAUUAUUCCCUCUACCCUACAGCUCUAAUUUUCUCUCCCACGUUCUUUCUUUUCUUCUUUGUUUGUUUCUUAACUUUUUAUACCCCCACAAACAGACCCAUAAAAGGCUUUGGAGAUUGCCAAUUUUUUCUUUAAUGUAAUUAAUAUAUAUCAUUUAUCUCCUAUUAUUUUUAUAAUAAUCAAUAAUCCCCUGACAGUAUAAAUUUAUAAUAUUAUUCUUAUUUUCAAAUGUAUUUUUUAAAUUUUAUUAUAGAUAAAAUAAAUCACAUGAAUGAAAAUUAAAAUAAAAAAAUAAGUAUUAAAAAUAAGAAAUAUAUGUUUUGAUGAAAAAAAAUUAAUAAUAAAAUAAUUUUUUAUACUUUUUAGAUUUAAUUUUAAAUAUUAUAAAAUAUUUAUUAUAAGAAAGUGUUUACAAAAAUAAAAAAGAACAAGAAAAAGCUUUAUUAUUAAUUUUUUUUCUUCAUAUCAAAACAUAUAUUUCUUAUUUGUAAUACUUAAUUUUUAAUUUUAACUUCCAUUUAUAUAAUUUAUUUAAUCUAUAAUAAAUAUAAAUAAAAAUGUAUUUGAAAAUAAAGAUAUUAUUAUAAACUUAUACUAUCAGAGAGAUUAUUCACUAUUAUAAAAACAGUAAGAUGAUAAAUGGUAUAUAUUAAUUACAGUAGUAGAGAAAUUAGCAAACCCCCACUUUUUUUCUCAAUUUUUUUUCUAGACUUUUAAGAAACACAUGCACCCCCCAACAAUCUACUUCUCUUAUCCUUCUUCGUCUCCUAAGUGGCUCUCACAAAUAACUACUAAAGGGAGUAUAUAAUUGCAAGAUCAUGCAGUUUCCUAAGCACCAGCUUAGAACUAGCACCGCUGUCAUAUGCAACAAUGGUCUGGUGGGUGUCACAAAAAAUCUUUCUUCCUUCUCCCUGUUAACUAUUUUUCCUUAUCAGAUUCAUAGUCUAAUGGAAGCGCAGCUGCCACCAACAAAGUGUUGGCUCCACUGGCAAUGGAGUCUCCUUAAGUGGCUUGACUGGGUUUGCUCCCCAGUUCGAGUCGCAGGGAAGUCGCCUUUGUUGGGAGAACCUGUGCCUCCCGGUUCGAGCGGGGACUUCUAGUCUGGGUUGUGGUACGGGCUUAAAGGUGCCUCCCACAGUUGGGGCCCUUCCCAGGAUACCUCGUGGAUAAGACCAAAAAAAAAGGAAGCGCAGCUGCCUCACUUAUAUUAAAAGCAAUUUAAAAUCAUGGAUGCUCAAAUUAAAGAAUUCUAGUGGCAUGUGAUAUUCAAGCAUGAAAAUAGCUAUUUACUUUAAUUUUCAGGGUUAAAACAACACAAAUAUGUUGAAAUUAUGGGGCAAUAGGAGAACAAAAUGAAUGGUACAGAGUCUCCAUUUUUAAUAACUAAAGUGAUUAACUAAUUGAGCACAAGAUACUCAAAAGACCAUAGCUCCAAGGUGAAAAUUAAAGUAUAAAUCACAUUAAGGUAUAUUUUGAAAAUUUUUUAAACAUUUCUAAUCACCAUAAUCCUUUGUUAUUGUAUUUGGUUAAACUAAAAACAGGGGAUUCAUUUCCUCUGUUCAUGUCAUGUCCACUUUAGUCCACUUACGGCGCAAUGUAAUCAACAAGAGGGAGCUGGCUUGGCAGAAAAGGCCGCAUAUUAAGCCGAUCCACAAACCCUGAUCCAAAGAAAGGGCAUAGCAUAUGAACGAUUAAAUUGAAAAGUGGAAGUUUUUUUUUUUUUAAUUAUUUUUUUUUUCAAAUAUAUGUUUGCCUCACCUUAACAUAUAGACUCAACUUAAAUCCAAAAAUUGCUGCAAUUGGCAUGCCAAUGAAAUAGAAUGUUGCCAAAUUAGCCCACACAGCCAAGUGCUGCCAACCACAUCCUCUUGCCACCCCUGCGCCAUUAGCUCACUUGCGUCAGCAUCUACAUAUAAUGGUGCUCAGCUUCAGACAUCCGAAAUUUUAUAAAAUUCGGAUUUGAACUAGAAUCAGAGUUGUACAGCUAGUUCAAAUCCGGAGUUUACAAAUCCGAACUUCUGGACCUGAGUAUGACUAUAUAUAUAUAAAUAUAUAAGCACAUAAGUUAGCAUUUCCAUAGAAAAAAUUUGAUGUCACUAACCUGAUAAGACGCCUUGGACAGAAUCAAGCGUUAUUGAGAUAGCAAGAAGUGGUGUUAAAGAGGCAAACUCCUUUAUGAUUUCAGGGCUGUUACUAAAGAAGCCAGCCCAGAUGUUAUGACCAAAACCUAGAGCCAAAACAACCACGAGUGCAAGCAGUACAGAGAGCUUGACAGUCACGGCCAUGGCAUUCUUGGCUUGGUCGGGAUUCCCUGCUCCCAAUUCAUUUGACACCCUUGUGCUGUGAAGAGUUAAAGGUUUUUCAGUUUCCCGAACAAAAAAUGCAUAAACUGAAGAACUAGAAGUUAUACACAUAUAGUACUGACCUUGCAGCAGCACUAAGACCAUAAGUAAUCAUGUAGGCAACAGAUUCGGUAUUUACACUGUGAGAUCAUUCAAUCAGAAAAGAAAGAAACUCAAGUCAAGGCUGAAGCAAUUUAGGAUAAAUAUUAUCAAAAAGAACAAUAAACUUACCACAUUGCGAUCAAUGAAGUAGUCAGUUCUGAGUUAGGCAUCAAUCCUGCUAGGAACACUAGAAUCUCAAAAGCCCAGUACUCGAGGCUGAAAAAGUAUGAAACAAAAAUGAGUCGCAAGAUUUAAAAUGCUAUGAUGACUGAAAAUUCGGUUACACUUGGGACUUACCAUACCAUUGCUGCAGAGGGCAGGGCUAGUUUUAAGAUGGUGAGGAUGAAACUGAAUGAUUCAAAAGAAAAUCCUUCCCACGUAUGCUCAAACUUCUUUGCACAAAGGACAUAAGUUACCAGCAUAAGCAUCGAUAUCCAUAACGAAACUGAAGCUGCUAGUGAAGCUCCCUUAAAACCAAGGGAUGUCAAAUAUACAAAAACAUAUGCAAUGCCAAAAUGAAUUGCCAUUGGGAGAGCUGAGAAGAAGACCAAUGGAAUGACUAUGGAUUGUGUCUGAAGAAACCUUAGGAUGUUCUGUAUAACCCCGUAUGCAACUAGACCGGGAAUGAGAUACUUCAUGUAGAGAGCUGCUUGUUUUGAUAUGCUGGGAUCUUGAUGAAGUAAAAUAAGUAUUGGUUCUGUGUAGAUCCACAAGAAAGAUAUGAUGAUUGAGAAAAAUAAUGAUGUAAUCCAAGAUGCUUGCAGAUAUAUUCCCAACAUCCUGUAAUGUUUUGCACCAAAUCCUUGACCGCAAAGUGUUUCAAGUGCUCCACUUAAUCCUAUCUUUGGACAAGAACAGAGAUGAAAAUGUUCAAGUUCAAGAAAAGAGCCCGGCGAAAAUUGAGUCCAAACAGAAUCUAGUCACACACUUAUUUCAGUUCUCAGAAAAACAAGUCAUUUGUCCCAUCUUGCGGAAAAAAAAAAAAAUUAAGACCCUGUUAACCAGCACAAAUGCACAAUCAAUCAAGCAUUCAAUCUUCAUUAAAACCAGCACAAUCCCUGGGGGCAAACUUAGUAGAAGUUCAAGCUUCAUCUAAGGGAUUUUCAACAGCAAGAAUUUCUCCCCAAAAUCACUCGUGUUGGUUUUGGUCAAUGAUCAUGUGCCAUACAAAUUGUAUUUUUUGUGAUUGCUUAAGUUUAAAACUUUAAAUUAGAUCAAUGAGUCAUCCUCAGGUCUGGAUUUCUGGAUUUGAACUAAAUCAAUGGUGCUGUAGUUACACUCUGAUUCUAUUUCAAGUCUGGAUUUUAGACGUCUGGACCUGAGCAUUAUUAUCAACUUACUCUUUUCAUUUUAUGCACGAUUAAUUUAGUUUAUAAAUAUCCCUCCUGCACAUUACUUCAAAUGCUCGAAACAAUCAUAUUCCAUCACAAUUUUUUUUUUUUGGGGGUAAAAUAAUCUCCAUUGUAAUUAACAACAAAUAAUAUAAGCACUUUAUUAAAAGAAAAAAAAAUUAAGCACUCGACAGGCCACAUGUCACGAUUUCAUUUGUCCAGAACUUUGAGACACCAGUCAAUGAAAUAAAUGACAUGUAGCUAAUCACGCGAACAAUAAUAUGUCUGCACGCAGCUGAUCAGAUAGAUUUCUGGCAUAAAAAUACUCUUUCUAAUGAUUUAAUUUGUUGUAUUAAUCUGUAGAAGCUUGAUGAGCUAUCAGCGGCAGAUUCAAAAGAUAUAAAGAGAAAGUGUGGUUACCAUGAAAGCGAAUCCUGUGACGGUGGCCCAAGAGUUGGCAAGUGUGGCACCAGCAAGCUCAAGCUGGCCAAGGUGGCCAGCAGACAUGACAGAAACCAAAGGAAUUGCAUAAUAAAAAACAUUAGCAAGAAUCAUGGGUAGCGAAAACACCACUUGAUUCUUGGCCUCUUGCAAGUCCAAAACUCGUUUCCACCACCGUCUCCUGCUGCUGGUUGCUUCUUCUUCUCCGUGAUCAUCAUCACCACCAGCCUCUAACAAAGGCGACGUCGUAUUGUCUAAAUCGGUGUUUGCCGACAUCGUUUAGCCAAAUGCUUAGAAGAGUUAGAAGAGUCAAACUCUUGUGUGUUGUUAUUCUUUGAUGGCGAAAGAACGUGGAGGCGGUCUGCAGAAGAGUAUAUAUACAGCAAAAUAUUAUCUAAUGAUAUCAAUACUAUAACCUUUUUUUUUUUUUUUAUAAACAAAGGGCUCUAAAAGAGAAGAGCUAGAGGGGCACAAACCGGGGGUGUGCCACCCCAUACAUAUCCGAAUAUAAAAUAGAUCUCAACCCUAAAGGUGCAGAACGAAGAAAAUGUACUCCAACAGGUAAACUCAGAGCAUGCGUAGAAAGGAAAUCAGCUGCCGAGUUUGCUUCGCGGUAGAUAUGACCAAUUCGAAUCCUCCAAUCCCUCCUCAUGAGUUCUCUAAUUAUCUCGAUUAUAUUCGAAGUUUCGUUGACAUGGGCAUUAUUUUCCUUUAUAAUUUGCACCACACUACAGUUGUCUACUCCAACUUGGAUAUGUCUAUAGCCAAGAUCCCAUGCCAUUCUUAGCCCAUGCAAGACACCCCAAAGCUCAGCCUUUAGAACUGAACAAACUCCAAGAUGUGCGCUAAAGCCAUGAAUAAAAUUACCAUGACAGUCCCGCAGCAGCCCACCUGCACUCGCCUCUCCAUUUCCUUUCCUUGCACCAUCCGUAUUUAAGCACAAGAAAGGCCAUGGUGGAGGAGCCCAGUGAAUCCAUUUCUGAAUCCUUUCAUUUCUUCGAUAGCCUACGCUUGAAAGAGUAGAACAAAUACUCUCAGCCCUUGCCUUAAUAUCCCGGACUAUCAAAUCACCAUUCCAGCUCUUGUUGUUGAAAAUCACCUGAUUCCUCCAAUGCCAAAUUCUCCAAGCCGCAAUACCAAACAUAAUCGGCCAAAAUAAACUCCCCAUAUCACAGACUCUUCUCCUAAGAUUUGUCAUGAUCCAUUGCCGAAGAGGAUAACUAAAGAAGUCAUGUUGUCUAAGCGCUGGAACAAGCUUCCGCCAAACACCUCUCGAAUAAUCACAAUCUCGAAUUGCAUGCAAAGAAUUCUCAACGUCUGCAUGGCACCUCCCACAUACAGCCUCGACGUCCAGAUGCCUUCUAGCAAGCUCACAUCCCGUCUUCAAACGAUCAUGGCAUAAUAACCAAAGAAAAAUUCUUACGCUUUGAGGCCCCUUCCAUUUCCACACAUGCUGCCAGUCAUGACAGUCUUCAGCAGGGCAAAAAUUCGUAAGCACUUGGUAGGCUGAUUGGACAGUAAAAUUUCCAGUAUUUGAUGCACCCCAAUACAUCCUAUCCUCGCCUCUCAUUGCCGACGGAGGAGCCAUGGAAGCAAUCCUUAAAACAGCAUGGUUAUUCAAAAAAGAGUUGAAUUUGUUCCACAACCAAUUCCCAUUUUGAUCCACACAAUCCGCCACCAACAUAUUUCGCAUGCUAUCCGGAAUUGGAGCCACCGUAUAGUUAAUUAAGGGAUCACCAUUCGUAGCCCAAAUAUCAUCCCAAAACUUCACCCGUUGGCCACUUCCAAUACUCCACCGCAAACCCUUCUGGAAGUCUUUCCAAAUCUUACCCAUAGAGCGCCAUAAAUAGGAACCAUUUUUUAAUGAAAUAUCAGUAGUACUCAUGUCACAAGGCGCAGCAUAUUUAGAAAUUAAAACCUGGGAGCACAGCUUGCUAGGCUUUAUGAAUAAAUUCCAAGCCACUUUCAUUAGUAAGGCUUUGUUCAUAAGUUCCAUAUCCUUGAAACCGAGACCUCCAUUGCUUUUAGGCCUACAAAUGUUAUCCCAGCUAAUCAGACUUAACUUGCGUUGAGAAUCAGCCCCACUCCAAAUGAAUCUUCUACAUAAUUGAUCAAUUUUACCUCUGACACUAGAUGAGAGGUAUGUGGUUUGCAUAGCGUAAAUCGGGAUUGCCUGAAGCACCGAUUGAGUGAGAGUAACUCUCCCUGCCAGAGACAAUUGCUUUGCUGCCCAUCCUGAUAGCCGCUGAUCAAUUUUGUCAAUGAUACUCUGAUACGUUUUCUUAGAAACCCGAUCGUGUAGCAGAGGCAUGCCAAGAUAUCUUCCCAAAUUAUUAGUAACCGAGAAGCCCAAAGCCUUGCCAAUUCCACUGGCUAAAGUGACCGGGACAUUUUUGGAGAAGAAGACUUGGGUCUUUUGAUUACUAACUCUAGCGCCCGAACUCCUACAGAAAUUCUCCACCACUUCAUUCAAUACAUCAACUUGGCCGUAACUUGCUUCCAAAAAGAGAAGCAGAUCAUCCGCAAAAAAUAAAUGACUUAGAGGAGUGCCAGUUCGAGUCAGUCGAAUGGGUUUCCAUCUACCUUGAUUAACCGCCUGGAUAAUCCCAUGACUUAAUCUUUCAAUACAAAGCACAAAAAUAUAAGGCGAAAGAGGGUCUCCUUGUCGAAUUCCUCUCCCUGGCCGAAAAUCUUCAGUCAUUUCCCCAUUCCACAAAACAUUCAUUUGGGCUGUGGACAAACACUCCAUUAUGAGGUGAAUAAAUCGCUCCGGUAGCCCAACUUCCUGUAAAGUUUCCUGAACAAAACGCCAACUCAACCGGUCAUAAGCCUUUUCUAAGUCCACUUUAACCGCCAUCAUUCUUUUACCCCCCACCUUUUUCUUCAUUGUAUGGAUUACCUCUUGAGCAAUAAUAACAUUUUCUGUAAUAUGCCGACUCGGCACAAAACUGGUUUGUUGAGGUCCAAUGAGAUCUGGAAGAAAAGCCUGUAGCCUAUUUGCAAUAAUUUUCGUCACCGUUUUAUACAGAACUGUGCAGAGGCUGAUCGGCCGAAACAUCUUAAGAUUUGUUGGAUGAUCCACUUUGGGAAUGAGCACCAGCAAAGUUCUGUUGAUCUCUGCAGGGAUAUGAUUAGAAUUAAAAAUAUUUUUGAUUAAAGAACUCAAAGACAUACCAACUGUAUUCCAUUGCGCUUGGUAAAAACCAGCAUGAAAGCCAUCAACUCCAGGAGCUUUAAAAGGACUCAUACUGAAAAUAGUCCGUCUGAUUUCCUCAUCUGUUACCGCAGACAUCAAACUUAAACAGAUAUCAUCUGACAAAUCAGGGAAACACCCCCUGACAUUAUAUGGUCUAUGCACCCCUUGUUCAGGCGUGUACAAUUCCGAAAAGAAAUUGACUGCACGUUGCUUAAUGAUCUCGACAUCGUGUAUCCACUGCCCAGUAUCAUUUUGAAUUGCAGUAAUCCGAUUCUGGCGACGCCUAGUUAGCGUUUUUUGAUGGAAAUAAGUAGUGUUGCGGUCACCAUACAAAGUCUAAUCUCUCCUGGAUUUCUGAAGCCACAAUAAUUCUUCCUGAGUGAGAACCUCUUCGAGCUCCUUCUGAAGCUUAACUUCAAGUCUAGUAAGGCUAUGGUUAGGCUUGGUUUCCAAAAUUCGUUGGAUCCCACCUAUUCUAGCCAACAAUUUCCGCUUCCGAUAAAUGAUAUUUCCAAAACUUUCCUUAUUCCACCGCCUUGUUUGUUGAGUAAAAUCGGCCACCGCCUCAAGAAAAUUCACUCCCUUAUUCCAGCUAUCAUUCACAAAACUCCCAAAUCUCUCAUCCGUGAGCCAUGCAGCCAAAAAUCUAAAUGGCCUCGGGCCCCCAUGCUUGGAAUCCAUGUUUUGGAACUUGACUAGAAUAGGCCGAUGAUCGGAAUCAAUUUUUGGAAGAUGCAUGACACUACUAUUUGCAUGUUUUAUGAGCCAUCCAUCAUUGCAAACCGCUCUGUCCAGUCGUUUAGAAAGGUUUCCCCUAGACCAAGUAAAGCGAGGGCCGGAGAACUUUAGAUCAAGCAUCCUACAAGAAUGAAACCAAUGAUUAAAUAAAUUGCAAGUGCCACUUAUUCGGUUUGAGCCCCCUUUCUUCUCAUGUGCGUAUAAGAUAGCAUUGAAGUCUCCACCCACCAACCACGGAUCCGACAUUUGGGAAGCAAUACUUGCAAGGUGAUACCAUAAAUCCCGCCGGACUGUUGGAAUAGGGCUAGCAUACACUGCCGUGACCCAACUCUCCAAUCCAUUGCUAGAAACAAUCUUGAAAUGAACAAACUGCCUAUGGUUUAAGGCUACCUCGACUGUGAUAAAAUCCUUCCAUAAAAGCCAAAUUCCUCCAGAAAAACCCACCGCCUCUAUCCUGUGGGAUCUCUCAAAACCACAGCCCCGAAUGAAAUUGUCAGCUUUUUGGCCACUAAUUCUUGGUUCCAAAAUUACCACCAUAGACGGAUUAUAGCAUUGAAUAAUUACAGCAAAAGAAAGUCUAAAAUCUGAGGCUCCCGCCCCUUGAACGUUCCAAAACAUAACUGAAAUUGACAUAACCAUAAUAAAAGAAUAACUGGUUAGAGCUUCCUUACUGGCUGGAUCCAUGGAUCUUAUCCUCCUUACUCAUUGGCGUAUCCUCCACAAAGGAGUCCUCACCCUCUGUUGUAUCUUCAUCCUCCUCAUCCUCCACAUAAUUCGGAUCAGCCUCCAUUUCAAGAUCCAUAUCACCACUAUGUAAAUCUGGAGGGUCUCCCAAGCAAGGUAGGGAACGACCCUUAGUCCCCCGGUUCAUUUGUAUUACGGCAUCAUCCAGCUCAUGAGUAUCUAUAGGCUUAUUGUUUGGGUUAUGGAAGAUAAUUGUCGUAUGCCUUAGAGGGUCAAGGGUUGUAGGUGCAUGCUGAGGGAUCAUCAUGGGGCUGGUUUGGGUAUCGAGUGGCAUGGCUGACGUAGCAGCCACAUUGGGAUUCACCACAUGGUUUUGUGUGUCGGUUUUGGGAUGCAUGGCUAGCUUACUGUUUCUGGUGUCUUUGGCUGCAAUAGGAUACUUGCCCUUGUCUGUAAACUUUGAUGGAAUUCUUGUGGAGUGUCUGCGUUUGAAUUCAGAUGCAUGAGGUUGCAGGACAUAAUUCUUACGUGGCUGUUUCGGGUCUGCAUGGCUGAUCUCUUGUCCCUGAGAGUCCGUAGCCACAUGUUCAUUCUCAUUGUCCCCUUUAUCUUGCGAUGCAAGCACUGCAAAGCGAGAAUUACUUUGAUGUACAAUCGACUGCUCCUCAUCCGUGCCAUGAGCAAAAGUCUUGCCAGCAUAAUUUCUUGGUUUGCCUUUGCGUGAUACAACCAUCCAAGGACCAAACUUGCUCACUCCCGUUUCAGCUACUCUAAUAUUCUUCUCGUUGGCCACCACUGGUGCGUUAUUUGCCACUGUCUUAGCUGUACCAGUCUCCUUCAGAUUCUUCUCCUCACAAUCCUCCGUAAAAUGUCCAUAUUUUCCACAAGAGAAACAUAUCAUAGGGAGUCCCUCAUACUCCACCAGUUGGAUUUGCCCAUUCACCUUAAUUUGCGAGACUAAAGGUUUCACAAGUGAAACCCUUACCGCCAGCCUUGCAAAUUUCCCUCUCUUCGAGUCCUCUGUAUUAUAGUCAAUUUUAAUAACGUCUCCAAUUUUACUGCCGAGUCGUCGCAAGCUGCGUUUAUCAUAAUAUUGGAUUGCCAUGCCGGGCAGUCGUACCCAUACCACAGUCGAUGUUAGCUCAUUAGAGAAGCAAUCAAAAUUCGGCGUCCAAGGUUGAACAAAAAGAUUUCUACCCAUAACAGUCCAUGGUCCUUCAGUUAGGGCACGUUCUGCAUCAAUAGCAGUUUGAAACUUGACCAAAAAAUAAUUAUUUUCUAGAUCAAUGAUGGAGAAGCCAGCUACCAUCGACCGCCAUAGGAUCUCCAAUCUAUUGCAUAAAACCCUAUAGCCUAUCUGUCGUCCCAACAAUUUGACUAUUAUAGAAUAACGCCAUGGCUGCUGCAGUUUCUCUUGUACCCUGUUAGAGAAAUAUAUCGCAGGAAUCCCUUCCUCUAUUCUCUCAACCACAUCUUCAUCUUCAAUAUCCCAAUCUUCCUCUGCACUUCCUGGCUGACCUGCCAUCACCGUUACUGCCUCCAUAGCCUUAUCUCUCCAAGAGGGUUUAUGAGGAUUAUCAGCAUCAGUUCCCUCAGCUCGAAACCGGGCCUUCUUAGUCGUCCUGUCCUCUUGCAGUGGUGGCGGGUUAGAGUUCUCAAACCCUAGCCCUAAGUUUUCGUCCCUUCCAAUAUUUUCGGAGCUCAUGCCCUAUUUUUUUCUUCAAUACUAUAACCUUUUAAUUGUAUGAUAAGCAAUAAUUAAGUUACGUUUCGGAUUAAGGUUGAAAUGUCAUAAACUGCUUAUUUGAUAAGUUUUGGUAAAAAUAUUCUACAAAUUUUUUUAUUUUGACAGUGAUUCUUAAAAGCACGUAGGAGAUGUUAUUUAUAACUUACUAAAUAAACCGCCACAUCUUUUUUAAAUUCAUACUAUAACUUUAAUAUUUUAAUAAAAUGAUUAUUGUACAUGUUCAUUUGUUUAUAAAUCUCAAUAUAUAAAUAAAAAUAAAUUUUGUCUUUUUGGCCAUUAUAUAAUAAAAUAUUAUUUUCGUGAUAAAAUUUAUUGAAAAUAUGUAUUUUUCUUUUCAAACUCACAAUAACUUUAACAACAAAAUAUAUCAAAUACUAAGUUGCUUUUUCAAUCACACUUUAUAUCAACACUUUAUUUCAUUCAUAUAGCAUAAUUGUAGGGUAAAAUUUCUUUUAUUUAUUAUAUUUUGAGGUUAGUGCCCGUAUAAUUUAUGUAUUUUAAAAAAUACCUCAAAAUAUUCUUAUUAUUAAAUUAUUGACAUCCCUGUCAUUACUUUUUAUUCAUUUUGAAUUACUUUUAUAAUAUUAUCCUCUUCCAAUUAUGUUUCUUUUUUUGGACAUUAAUAAAAAAAAAUUACCAACUUAACCCCAAAAAAUAAAAUAGAAACAAAAGGAAUAUAAAUUAAUUUUUGUGGAACACUCUGUUGAGAAGUUAAUAUAUUAUUUUUUAUUAAUUUCUGAAAAACUGGUAAUUUAAUUUUUUUAGACAUAUGUGAGCUUCCACAAAAAUUAAUAUGUAUGUUUUUAAUUUUUUGGGUGCUAAAUUGGUACUUUAAUUUUUCUCAUAUUAGUGUCCCAAAAAAAUUACUAUAAGAAGGUAAUAUUGUAAAAGGAAGGAAAAAAAAAUAAUAACAGUAGGGAUGUCAAUAGUUUAAUGGUUGGGAUGUUUUGAGCUAUUUCAAAAAUAUAUGGACUAAACAAACACUAAUUUCAUAAUAUGGAGACUAAACAAACUUUUAUCCAAAACUGUAAAAACAACUUAUUUAAUCAAUUGUUGCAAUCCUAAAUUAGCCCAAGCAAUACUAGUAUACACAAUGAGUGUUUCAAACUUCCAAGGGGUUUAUGUGAUGACAUCUAAAGGGCUAUAGCAAAGUUUUGGUAGGAAUCAAAAUAAACAUGGCAAUGACAUUCACUGAAUAAGAUGGGACAAGCUCAGCCAUACAAAAAGCGGAGGAGGAUUGGGGUUUAGAGAUUUUACUAGCUUCAAUCAAGCUUUGGUGCCCAAGCAAAGAUGAAGUUUCUAUCAGUUUCCCAACUCUCUAGUAUCUAAAGCAUUGCGGGCAAGAUACUAUGGAAACUCUAAUUUCUUGAGUGCAAAUGCAAGCUCCAAUCCAUCUUUUAUAUGGAGAAAGCAUUCUAUAGGAUAGAUAACUGAUCAAGAAAAGAAUUAAAUGGCUUAUAGGAAAUGGAAAAAAGAUUUUAGUGUGUAAGGAUAAUUGUUUACCAAGGCCAGACACAUUCAAACCAAUAUCUCCACCAACUUUAUCUGUAGAUACUUUUGUGGCAGAUCUAAUCAAUUUUGAAAAUCAAUGGGAUGAGGACAAGCUAAACCAUUCAUGCAUGAACAUACAGAAGUAAUUCUCAAGCUUCCAUCACCAAACAAACAAUCAGAAGAUGAAGUGUUGUGGCAUUUUGAUAAAAGGAGAGAACACUUAAUGAAAAGUGGGUACCAACUAGCACUUAAAAUCAAGCUUCCAAAUGCUACCAACAGCUUAGAAAAUAACUCAAAACAAUGGAAUCCAUUAUGGUCUCUUGACCUACCUAGAAAGAUCAAGAUUUUCAUGUGGAGGGUAACAAAAACCCUACUACCAUCUGAUGAAAAUCUAUGGAAAAGAAAGAUUUUGCAAGAGCCAACAUGUCAAAGAUGUAGAAGGAGUGUGGAAACCAUAAGUCAUGCUCUUUUGGAUUGUAAAGGAGAGCAAAAAAGAUCUGGAUUCAAGCUCCUUUCAUAGUUUAAAUCUUUAAUGUUCAAUCUCAGGACAUUCUCAGCAUUAUUCAAGAAAUGGGAAAAAAUUAAAAGGAAAUUAAGCUGAUUUUGAACUCAUGGUAGCAUAUUGGUAGGUUGUGUGGUAUUCAAGAAACAAAUUUUUUUUUUAAGGAAAGAUAAUAGACCCAAGUAUCUCGGCAACUAAGGCAAAAUCAAUUUUGGAAGCCUAUCAAAGAGUAAGAAAAAUAAGAUAUCACACAUUGAUAACACAUAAAUGAGAAGCUGCAAAGUGGACUCCUACCCCUGAAAAUGUAUUCAAAAUCAAUGUUGAUGCAGUCAUUAGCAGCAACGAUCAAAUGAUAAGGUUGAGAGUUGUGAUAAGAGACUCAAAUGGCAAGGUGACAGCUGCUGGUAUCAAUCAGGCUCAUCUAAGGGGAAACAUUAGCUUUGCAGAAGCUGAAGCUAUACAGUGGGGACUUCAAGUGGCAAAAGCAGUCUUAACUUUACUGAGCAUAGAGACAGAUUGCUUAGAAGUGGUUGAGCUAGUUACCAAUACAAAGGGCAGUAGAACAUAAAUUUGUUGGACAAUUUCAAAGAUAUGAAAACAAAGAAGAGAUUUCCAAAAAGUUACAGUCCAAUAUGCUCCUAGACACUUUGAUGCUUAUGCCUAUUUCUUAGCCAAAUUUGCUUUAGGAAGAAAUACAAAUGCUAUCUAGUUAGAAACAAUACCAACAAAGGCUUAAAAUGCAUUUGAUGCGUUGUGAUUAAAUGAAAGGUUUACUUUCUUAUAAAAAAGAGUCUCCUAGAAUUAGUUAAGGCGGCAGUAUUCUAAUACACACCAGUGCAUUAAUUUGUGCAUGCUUGGUGGCAUUUAUCAUGUUAUCAAGUAGUACUGUACUAUUGCCAAAUAUUAAAAAAAUAAAAUCAAUUUUCUUACCAUAUUAUGUAUUAGACUGUGUCUAUUAAGUUUGUCCAUUAAAAAAAGUGUUGACUUAUAAUUUCAUAGUGUAAUAACAUAUCUUUUGACGUUCGGGGAUAUUUAUUUAGACAAUGCAUUUUUUAGUACUCUAUAUCUCAUGAUUCUAUGAGAUAGAUAUUGUUACAUCAUUUGCCAAAUCAGUUGGGAUAAAAAAUUUGUAUCUCAACUGUAAGAUUAUUAUUACUGUUAAAAUUUAAUGAGUAUAUAUAAUAUUUAAUAAUUAUAUGCAGUUUAAAUACUAAUUCCUAAGAAAAAACAACAACAAUUUUUACAUAGUCCAAUUACCCUAUUCAAAAUACAAGGUUUUAUUGAAAACAAGAAGAGUAAUGAUCGAGCAACAAGUUCUUAAUAAAAAUUUAUUUUGCGCAAACUAAUGUAACUUUGUUAUAUUACUCAAAUAAAAAUGACAUGAUUAUAAAGGGUUGAGUUCUGGACACUCGUUUCAUAAUCCCUAAUUGAGUUUAAAUUUAGAAUUUCCAACUUCUGAAUAUAUUUAUUACGUGAAUAAUUAUUCAAUUAAUCAGCUCUGAAUUAUAUUUUGGUUGAUUUAUUUCGUGAAGCAUAUGAUGUCUCAAUCUAUAUAUUUUGUUAGAUUUUUUAAGUUCUGAAUUAAUGAACUAUAGUAUUAACAAAAUCAGUUAGGAUAUACUAGUAAUAACUUAAUAUUAAAAAUAAUUUACAUGACAUAUAAUGUUAUUUUUAUUAAUUAUGUUUAUAAUGGUUUAUUUAUACUUCUAUGCUAUUUUAUUUAUUAUUUUUAUCGUAGUCUUUUAUUUAUAUUUAUUAUAAAAGAUUUGAUUAUAAUUAAAGGAUGUAAUAAAAAAAAAAGAGAUACGUGUUAUCAUUUCUGGAAGUAAAAGGGGUGUGUGUAUAAAUAUAUAUAAUGAUGACCACAAUGAUGAUGAUGACGACUACGACCAUAAUGAUAUGAUUAAUAAAGGAAUUGGAUUGGUAUUUAAAAUUUUUAAAACGAAUAAUAAACGGACGUGUUGACUGAAGACAUUACGUGUUUAACUCAAAUUAUUACCACUUUCAAAUCGACCAAAUUAAUAUUUAUCCCAGCCAAGGUACAUAAUUCUUGUGAUAAUGAAAUCCACUCGGCCACUUGACUAAGAAGUCAUUUGAAGUAUUCUUAAAAUAUUACAAUGAGUGGUUCACAGUUCAUUUUUUUCAUGCAACGAUUAGAUUAUGAUAAAAUCAUUUGUUUGCGUAUCGAAAUGUCAGAAUUGUCCUGGCAUUGUACGUGGAGAUGAAACACGAUCUGAAUAUAGAAUGUGAUUGAAAUUUAAAACUAUGCAUUUUGAGGGUGGCUAGAGAAAAUUAAAGUUCGCUCGCAGUGAAUAAAUAAAUAAAUAACAACUAAACCUAUAUAAAAAAAAAAAGGUUCAAGGAAAUUAAGAUGGUGUUAUUAAAAUUAUUGAGUACUAUAAUUUCAGAAGCGUACCUGAAUCCAUUGUUGUUGUACAAAGAUUUCUUUAUUUUAGUGAUGGUCUUCUAAUCUAAUCUCUUCUCUUUGAUUAAGAAUUUUUGUUGAGAGGUUUUUUAGAAUUAUUAAGAAUUAAGAGAGAUUGGGGACCAUAAACUCCUUUUUAAAAUAACAUAACUGAAAGUUUUAAUAAAAACCGUUAACAGUUCUCAUGUGUUUAUUAUCACUUCAGCCCCUCAUUAAAGUGAUAAUUAAAACUCUAGUAUCUAUGCAUUUAACCCACAACAAUUAUACCCUUAGCCGUUUAAUUAUAUUAAUUAGAUCACUGAAUUAUUGGCUAACUAAAUAAUAGCACACACAUUUUAUUUGUUUCAUGUGUGGCCCCAAAUAUUAGAUUAAUUAAAAAAUAAUCUAACAAUCUCCCACUGGGCCACAAAUGAAAACCAAAUGUGUUUAACUUAAUAAGCUCAUAAAAUUGGUAUUAUGUCCUUAGAGUAUAUCUGGGCAAUCUCCUCCAUUAACCAUAUCAAUAUAGGAUCAUAGCGGCCUUUGUUACAUUAGUCAUAACUCAACCCAUCCAUAGUCACAUAUAUCAAUACAGUUAAAUGACAUAGAUCGAUUGUGGAUAUAUAGCAUGGAAAUUACAUGGAAUGUGAUCUAAACAUGUCUAUUUCCAAAUGGUCCUACUUUACUUUAUUGAGAUCGAAACUUAAAUUAUCCUAACAGAGUGUAAAGAACUGAAAUACUUUAUUUCUACAGAAAAUAAUCUGAAUUAUAUAAUUAAAAUCCAAAAGUCACACAUAGUAAAUAAUACAAACUCUCAAUAAAUCUAAAUAUUCUCAAGUAAAAUCACAACCAUGAAAGACUUUAGGUGGCAAUCCUUUAGUGAGCGGAUCCGCUAUCAUGGAGUUUGUCCCAAUAUGCUCUAUAGAUAUUUUUCCACUUGCACUCUUUCCUUCACAACAAGGAACUUGAUUUCAAUAUGUUUUGACUUUGUAGAGCUCCUGUUGUUGUUAGAAUAUAAAAAUGCUGACUUAUUGUCACAAUUUAUCUUGAGUGGUCUUUCUACACCCUCUAGAAUGCGUAGUCCAAUGACAAAAUUACACAGCCAUAUUCCUUGAUUGGAUGUGUCAUAACAUGCUACAAACUCUGCUGCCAUAGUCGAUGAAGCUAUGAGUGUCUGCUUGGCAGAUCUCCAAGAAAUUGCUCCACCAGCCAAUGGGUAAAUAUAGCUUGAAGUGGAUCUUCUACUGUCUUUGCAUCUAGCAAAAUCAGAGUCAGAAUAUCCAAUGAUCUCUAAUUGAUCCGAUCUCCUGUAUGUGAGCAUGUACAUUUUUGUCCUCUGUAAGUACCUCAUAACUUGCUUGGUUGCUUUCCAAUGAUCCAUGCCAGGAUUGCUCAAAUAUCUACCUAACAUGUCAACUAUGAACGUAAUAUCUGGACGCGUACAUAUUUGAGCAUACAUAAGACUCCCUAUAGCUGAAGAAUAAGGAAUCUUUUGCAUUUCCUUGAUUUCAAGAUUGGUCUUAGGGCAUUGACUAAGGUUGAAUUUAUCUCUUUUGACGACAGGAGUGUCACUUGGUUUACUGUUUUGCAUGUCAAACCUCUUCAAAAAUUUAUCGAUAGAGUUCCUUUGUGAUAAUUCCAGAAUACCUCGAGAACGAUCAUGAUGUAUCUUGAUUCCUAAAACAAAUGAGGCAUCACCAAGAUAUUUCAUCUCAAAAUGUUUUGAUAGAAAACUCUUAGUGUCGUGUAGUAUGCCUAUAUCAUUUGUGGCAAGCAAUAUGUCAUCAACAUAUAAAAUCAGGAAUAUAUGUUUACUCUCACUGAACUUGUGAUACACACAUUCAUUGAUAACAUUUGCCUCAAAAUCAUAUGAGAUAAUUAUUUGAUGAAACUUAAAGUACCACUGACGAGAAGCUUGUUUGAGCCUAUAUAUGGAUUUGGUUAACUUACAAACCAUAUUCUUUGGAUCUCCUAACACAAAGUUUUCUAGUUGUACCAUAUAAAUUGUUUCAUCAAUGUCACCAUUAAGGAAUGUUGUCUUAAUAUCCAUCUGAUAUAACUCAAGAUCAAAAUGUGCAAUAAUUGCCAUAAUUGUCCUAAAAGAGUCUUUCGUAGAAACCGGAGAGAAAGUCUCUUUAUAGUCAAUUCCUUCCUUUUGAGUAAAGCCUUUAGCUAUAAGACGUGCUUUAUAUCACUCCAGAUACCAUUUGAAUCCCUUUUGGUUUUAAAUAUCCAUUUACAACUAAUGGGCUUCGCAAGAAGGUAAUGCGACAAGUUCCCAAACUUUAUUUUCUUGCAUCGACUUGUACUCUUCAUUCAUGGCUUCAAUCCAUUUGUGAUAGUUGGAACCUUGCAUAGCUUGAUGGAAAUUGAUUGGAUCGUCUUCCAUCACUCUAGUUUUAUCCUCAUAUUCCUGAAGAAAUACUAUGUAAUCAUUUGGAAUUGCAUUUCUCAUUUCUCUCAUGGAUCGUCUUAAUUGCACAGGCUCUUGAGGUUGUUGAGUUUGAUUCUCAUGAACAAUUAUCUCAUUUUGAAUGAGGGGUUGAAUAAUAUUAUCUGAUGAUUGAGGAUCCAAAUUUACUUCUUGCUCAAUGACAAGUAUUGAAACAUGUACAUUGUUAAAAGCAACAGUGGAUCUCUCUUCCUCUUCAAAGACAAUUGUCCUCACUGGAUUUCUCUCCCCAAACUCAACAUCUUCAAAAAAUACUGCAGUUCCCGUCUAAAAAAUUAACUGUGCACUAGGAUCAUAAAACUUAAACCCCCAUGAUCGCUCCGCAAUGCCAACAAAGUAGUUGCUUACAGUUUUGGAGUCCAAUUUCUUUUCAUGAGGCCUAUAAGGCCUCGCUUCAACUGGACAUCCCCAAAUAUGUAAAUGCUUUAGACUAGGCUUUUGACCUAUCCAAAGCUCAUAUGGCGUUUUAGCAGUCGCUUUAGUUAGCACUUGAUUUAAAAUAUAAGCUGUUGUUUUGAGUGCUUUACCCUAGAGUCAUUUUGGUAAAGUAGAAUGAUCAAUCAUACUCAUCACCAUAUCCUUAAGAGUUCAGUUUCGUCUCUCAGAUACACCAUUCAUGCUAGGCGAUCCUGGCAUGGUAUAUUGAGGGACAAUUCCACAUUCUUCUAGGUAUUUAGCAAACGGUUCUGGACGUUGUUCACCUGAACUAUCAUAUCUACCGUAGUAUUCACCACCACGGUCAGACCUGACACUUUUAAUCCUUUUGUUGAGUUGUAACUCAACUUCGGCUUUAAACGUUUUGAACACAUCCAAAGACUGUGAUUUUCAUGAAUCAGGAAUAUAUAGCCAUAUCUCGAAUAGUCGUCUAUGAAGAUAAUGAAAUAUUGUUGAUCAUUCUAAGUUGCCGUGGGGAAUGGUCUACAUAUGUCUGUAUGAAUUAAUUCUAAGAUGCUUGAAGUUUUGUAGGCACCUAAUUUUUUACUUUUGGUUUGUUUUCCCUUGAUACACUCAAUACAAACAUCAAGGUCUAUAAAAUCAAGAGAUCUUAAAAUCCCAUCAAAUACUAAUCGCUCAAUUCUAACUUUAGAGAUUUGACCUAAGUGUUUGUGCCAUAAUGAGGCCAAAUUUUCUUUCUUUAAUUUACGCUUUGUACCUCUGGAACUAAAAUGCAUGUUUUCAUUAUAACUUAAAACAGUUUCUAGAAAAUAUAGAUUGUCAUUAGCAUUAAGCAAACUGGUUCUAAUAACAUUAGAAUUGAUAGAUAAACUAAAUUGUAUGUUUACAAAUGAAUAAGAAUAACCAGAUUUGUCCAAAACCGAAACUGAAAUCAAAUUCCGUGUAAAAGACUGAACAACAAAAGUAUCUAACAAAUCCAAAUAACAACCAGUUUUCAUAAGUAAUCUAAAAUGCCCAAUUGUUUCAACUUCUACCAUCUUGCCAUCUCCUACAUAAAUGCAUUUUUUAGCAUCACUUGGCGGCCGGUAGCUCAAGCAACCCUGUAGUGAAACACAAAUGUAAGUAGUAGCACCCGAAUUUAUCCACCAUGUGUUUCUUGGCACUGAAGCUAAAUUAGUUUCAGAACAAACCAAAGUAAGAAAUGUACCUUUCUUUAUGCGCCGUGCGUAAUAUUUUUUACAUUCCUUCUUUACAUGUCCAAGCUUGCCGCAGAAGAAACAACCAUGCUCGGCCUUUGGUUUCUUUGGAUCUGGACCCUUAGAAGUAGCAGCUUUACCCUUUUUCUUUCUUUUGCCCUUAUCUUUAGAAGUGCUUACCACAUGUGCAUAUUCGGUUUUCUCUUGCUUCAAUCUCUAUUCUUCUUGCACACAAAAGGAAAUCAGUUCAUUGAGAUUCCACUUCUCUUUCUGAUAGUUGUAACUGACUUUGAACUGAUUAAAUUGUGCUGAGAAAGAGAUAAGGACCAAAUGCACAACCAAAUCAUCAGAUAGGUCGAGCCCUAAUGCCUUAAGCUUAGAAGCAAGAUGAGACAUCUCCAUGAUGUACUCCCGAAUGUUUCCCUUGCCUUUAUACUUCAUUGAAAUCAAGCUCGCUAAAUGUGUACUUGUUUCAGCCUAAGCAUUUUUUGUAAAACAUUUCUGAAUUUCGGCAAGAAACUUACUAGCACUUGUAACCUCAUCGGUUAGAACACUCCUAAAUACGUCUGGAACACUGCGCUUCAUGAUCAUAAGACUCAUCCUGUUAGAUUGAUCACACUUCUCAUAGUACAAUACAUCCUCAGAUGUACUAUUAUCAGUGAGUUCGUUCGGCUUAGGGUAUCUGAAUGAUAAAUCUAGAUCCAUGCAGCCUAAGAGAAUCAUUAUAUUCUCUCUCCAGUUCUUAAAAUUAGUCCAAUUUAGAACCGAGACACUAUUCAUAUUUGCAUAUAUAGAAGCAGCAGACAAAAAAGCUGAAUAGAGAACAAAAAUAAAUAAAAUAUAAAUAAAUAAAUAAUGGUAACAUUAAACAUCUCAAUUAAUAAUCUUUAAAAAUUUAAAAGCAAAUUAUAACAAUUCAAGAUACCUAGCACAACAUUAGUAACAAGUCUUUGGAUUAUAAUACUAACUGUAAAUGGUACUCUUGUUGCAAUGAUCAAAUUUUGACAAUAAGUUAUGUCAAAUAAUGAAUCUAUGUUUGGAUUAUUACAUUACUCACAUUAAAUUAUCCUAAUAAUCGUCACAAAUUUACCAUCACAAGUGUGUGUGCAAUUAGGCCAAAUAUUAACCUUCCUUUGGGUCGAUUAACAUCCGCAGGAAUUACACAAACACAAACAUCUAACAUCCCAAAUAAACUAAUCUACACAAGAGACAUUACUUUAGUGACUUCCUGCUUUAAUUAGUAUAUUUUCAAUGUUAUACCAAUAAUUAACAUAAAUGUUACGAAGCAUUUUAAUUUUAAAAUUAUAAAACCGGAAAUGUACAAAUUAAAUUGAUUUGAUUUCAUUAGCAUAUUAUAUAUUUGCCCAGUUUGAAACCAAUUAUAAUGCACUUAAAACAUGGCCACGGAAAGAAAUAAAAAACUCAAUUCAUGUGGUUGAAUUUGAAAUCAUUAUUAAACCCGAAACCGUGACAUACAUGGCCACUGCAUCUUUAUUGAUUUGAUUUAAUUUAAAAUUAUAAUUAAACCGAAGCCGAAAUUAGAACAUGGCCAAUUUAAAUUCAAAGUAAACUGAUAUUAUUAUUAUAUCAAAACUGAAACAAGCCACUUCAAAUUUAAUUUAUUUGAUUUGAAUUACAUAUUAUCAUUAAAACUAAAACCAAAACCGUGGCCAAUUAAACUCCAAGCAAUUUAUGAUUAUUAUUAAAUCAAAACUGAAACUUGCCAACUCAAUCAAAUCUAUUUCAUUUAAAUCACGGCCAAUAAAUCUUAAUUGAAGUGGUUUAAUUUAAAAACACUAUUAAACCGAAAUUGUAGCAUACUUGACCACCGAACUUGGAAAUCUAAAUGUUCACAAGAAUAAAAACAAAUAUGCAAUUAAGACAAUUAAGUGGUUUAAUUUAAUCUUGAACUUUGCACAUGAUUUCACGUGUGCAACACCAGUAGUUUCGUUUCGUCAUGAGGCCAACAAAACCAAUUUCAACUUUUCCCAAUAACUAAGUUAGGAUAAACAAUUUCAUUCGAAUAUAACCAUUAAUCAAAAAUUGCAACUCAAUAAUUUAAUCAUGGAUGAGGUUCUGAUACCACUUAUUAUUCCCUAAAUCUUUAUAAAAAUUCAGAUUAAAAUUAUUGAGUACUAUAAUUUCGGAAGCGUACCUGAAUCCAUUGUUGUUGUACAAAAAAUUCUUGAUUUUGGUGAUGGUCUUCCAAUCUAAUCUCUUCUCUUUAAUUAAGAAUUCUUGUUGAGAGGUUUUUUAGAAUUACUAAGAGUUAAGAGAGAUUAGGCACCACAACCUCCUUUUUAAAAUAAUGAUGGUUUUAAUAAAAACCGUUUAACAGUUCUCAUGUGUUUAUUAUCACUUCAGCCCCUCAUUAAAAUGAUAAUUAAAACUCUGGUAUCUAUAUAUUUAACCCAUAACAAUUAUACCCUUAGCCAUUUAAUUAUAUUAAUUAGAUCAUUUAAUUAUUGGCUAACUAAAUAAUAGCGCACACAUUUUAUUUGUUUCAUGUGUGGCCCCAAAUAUUAGAUUAAUUAAAAAAUAAUCUAACAUAUCGAUGUUACCUUCUAAAGCUCUGAUCAUUUGUUUGCAAAACGUGUGUAAAAGGAGAGAGACACGUGGAAGCACUUUGAAAUUAUUUUUUGCGAUUGUAUACUAAAGCUGAUCUUGUGGCUAAGUGCCUAUUUGGUAUAAUUUAUCAAAUAAUUAUAAAUAUUUAUUUAAUUAAAUAAGCUCUUUAUAUUUUUAUUUUUUAUUUUUUUGUUAUUGUACACGGUAUUUUACUUCUAACUUUUAAGAGUACAAAUUGAAUUUUUUUUUAAAUGUUCAAAUUUCGAAAAUAUCAUUCACUAGUUUAAUAAUCUUAUUUCAUUCAUUUCAUAACAUUACUUUAACAAGCCUUAACUAUUUAAGUAAUUUUAUAAUUUUUAAUAAAAACUCUUAUGGACAACCAAAUAAAUAAUUUCUUUUUACUAAAACUUUAUUUAUAAAAUCUCUGCUAAUAAAAAUUCUAUUUAUAGAAGUUGUAUUUGAAAAACUAUAACAAACGAAGUUUAAAUAUAGGACACAAGCACUAGUUUUGUAUGUGCCAACCCUAAUUUGAAAUGAGGAAGUUGAAAGCCAUUAAUUAUUAUUAAGAGAAGAGAAUCAUUCAAUAAUUGUUAUUGUUGGGGCAACACAAUAUAGGAAAAGUACUAGAGACAACAAAAAAGGUCCGAGCCCAAUCUGGCUCAGAUCCGUUAGGCCGACCCUCGCUAAGGAUUAAAGAGGCUUCACGAUUAGGAACUCAAGCUUUCAACAAAUCUGGACCUAGAGCCAGAAAAGGUUGAAAAGAAUUUCUUUUCUUUAAAACCACCAACAUGAUUGGGGGUUAGGCCGGACCUUUACCUAUAGUAUAGAUCAAAGAAUGGAGGAAAACAUAAGGAGGGGGAUAAGAAUCAAAAUCUUUAGUCACAAAGAAAAAUACAUAAUAGAGGCAUGUAAGCACAGCAAUAAACCAAAAAAGAUACGCAACACUAUUGUCUAACAUGAGGGACUUCCUGUGCAUCCAAAUGAAUAAUACUAGAUAAACUAGGUGGAAUACCCCAAGGACCCAAAAAGCAUUGAUAAACCCAAUGAGCGCAAGCCCAAUUGCUAUAAAAUUAGUAGCAAAUGUAACACCCGUUAUUUUUCUGUUUUAUUAUUAUUAUUAUAUAUCUAUUUUAGAGAAAAAAGUAUUUUAGGCAAAUAAUUCUAAGGGUUUUUUAAUUUUUCUUUAUUUAUUUGUAUUUAUUUGAUUUACCCAUUUAUUAAUUACCUUAUGAAAAAAUGAAAUAUAUUUCUUAAUAGGUAAGAGUGCUAAAAAGCUUGGCUUUAUAAAAAUUCCUCUUACGUUGCUUUGUUUCUCAAAACCCUAAAAGCUAUAUAUAUAUAUACGUUUUUUAUUUUGACAUUGAAUUCAUUAAAGGAGAUACAAAUUCUAUCCCUGAUUUUCUAACCAGAGAAUUUCUUCAAAACAGAUAAUGCCGCCCAAACGAAGAGACAAGAGCAAAGGUAUUCUUAAAGACCCUGAACCACAAACACUCUCUAAAGAAACCCAGACAACCCCUUCUAAAGACAAAUUACUCAGAAGGGAAAGCGGAUCGAAGGAUGGAUGUGAUUAGCAAAAUACAUAAAUUAAACUUCAAUUUACAGUUAAAGUGUUCUUAAUAAUUUUAAAAUUGGUACGUGGCAUUGUUACCAAAACGAUGCAGUUCAUAGAAUGCCUUUGGAACCAGAUCUGGCUUAGAACAGAUCAAUAUUCCGCACGUUCGGGUUUCCAGCUGAUAUACCUAGAAAAAGUUAAGUCUUUUAAAUAUCUUUAGGCAAACCUAAGCAACGCAAAGGCUCAUAGAUAGUAUUAGAUCUGGAUCCCAGAAAUAAUACUCUGAUUGAAUGGAGGGAGAAAAGAAAUACGACUAAGGGGAGAGAUCAGGUCUCUGUGCCUUAGAAGAAUGUAGCAGUUUAAAUAAUGCUUAUAAAUUUAAAUUGCAAAAUUUAAACAUACAUUCAAAACUUUAAAUAAAUUACAAAUUCUUUAAAGAAACUUUAAAUGCUUACAAGAAAUGCUUACAUGAGUUGCUUGAAUCCGAAAGCUUUCAGAAAUUAUUUUACAGAAAGAGAUAAAAGGAAAAAUCAGAAGACAGGAAAAUUUCGUCUAUGUCUUCAGUUCAUUUUUUCCCCAGAGAAGAUAGAGAGGAGAAAAGAGAAAUCUAAAAAAAGUGCCGAGUAAAAGAAGUGAUGAGUCUCAGUCUUCAUUCACUCUUUUAUACAAGAAUUGCUUUACAAAAGAAAAUGCUACAGCUGGUCUUCACAUGCGUUGGUAGAGAAUGGGGCCAAAAGGUAGUAUGUGCUUUUGGAACGUGGGAGACAGCAUCAUUUGAGGCAUCUUCUGCUUUGUAGACUUUUAGGAAAGCUUCACGUGAGUGGGUCCUUGAACUUUGUCAAAAGGUUUUCAUGUGGAGACAGCAGAAUGAGCUUUUGACUUGCUGGUAGAGAAGAGAAAUGUCUUCACAGUUUUUCCCAUAAAGGGUAGUGAGUAAAGGAAGACAAAAUCUCAAGAAAUACAAAUAAAAAAAGAAAUGUAUAUUAAUACAAACAAGAAAUGGAAAAUUACCUUUUUUUUUUACAUUAUUUUAUUUACAAUGCUUUAUCGGGGGCAGGAUCCCGAAGCAAUCGUCUUAGUUAUCAUUUCCAAGGGAAAUGAACGACUCAUCUUCAUCCUCCUCUUCAUCAGAAGGACUGGCAGCGGACGGUUCAGAUCUAGAAGGACUGGCAAGGAGCUACUGCAUUACUUUAAAAUAUUCAUCUUCAAUCUUUGCAUUGGCCAAAAGGGAUUGGGCCUUUGUUCUUUGAGCGAGGAAUGUGCUUUGGGCUUUAACCUCUUGAAUGCUUGGGGUAAGGAGGCCUCUUGAGGAAAGCUAAGCUUGAAUUGUGGCUUCUGACAGUUUGGAUUGUUCAUCAAACUUAGACCACCAUUUAACUUUAAAGGUUCUUUGUAAAAUAAGUUGGGCUUCUUGAGAGUGGUAAUUGAAGUUCCACAUCUAGACCCAAGGAAGAAAGAAAUUUGUAUAGAAGUAGAGAAAAUGAGGAAACUGUUAAUAUAUAUGUUUUCAUAAUGUUGAUUUUGAUGAUAACAAACAAAAUUAAGAAUGAUAAAUCUUUUAAGUUCAAAUUAUUUUUUAUCUAUUUUAAAUAAAUCAUUAUUUUUACAUUAUAAAUGUUUUAUAUUUAAUGGAAAAAUGAUUUUAUGAAAUUGAUUGUUUUUAUUCUUUUUAAAUAAAUCAUUAUUUUCACAUUAUAAAUGUUUCAUAUUUAAUGAAAAAAUGAUUUUAUGAAAUUGGUUGUUUUUCAAAGUUUAUGGUUUAAUUGAAAGAAUUUUGAAAACUUUGAAAUAAACAAGUAUUGCUUGAAAUUUUGGAGAAUAGCUUAUUUGAAAAGUGUCAUAGCAUUUUGGGCUAUACUAUAAUUUCAAAAAGUUUUGGGAUUAACAAUGCAUUACUUAGAAAUUCUGAAAUUGGACCUAUUUGUAAAAUUUUAUAACGUUUUGGGCCGUAAUACAGUUUUAUAAAGUUUUAGGGUCAAACUAUAAAUUUAGAAAAUAAUUUCACUGUAGCAAACGGCUAACCGUUUAUUUAAAACGGCUAACCGAUAAUUCCAGAAAAUAUGUUCUACAAAGAAUUGUUAAAAUGAUGAUUCUGGAACAUAAUGGUGAACCGUUUACUGAAAACGGUUAACCGAUUAUUUUUAUAUUGCUAACCUUAAACUGUUUAGUAAGAACGGUUAAACUAAAUUUGUUUUGCAGGUCUCUGAAAUUUAACGGCAAAAGGGUAAUCCUAAACGGUAAACCGUUUAUUUAAAAAUUUGCCCAACGGUAACUUUGACCGGCCUAAACGGUUAACCGUUAAUGGUUAACGAUGAACCGUUUUCGAGCAGACAGUCUAUAACGGCUAAUUUUUCAGCUCCAACUAUAAAUAUGCUCAAUCCAAUUCAAACAAGAAGAAUUCUAACGAUCAUCAUUGAGCAAAAUAUUGAGAAUACAACUUUCAUUGAGCUUUAAAUCCUUGUAUUCAUCUUAUUCAUUCACACAUUGAGCUUUCAUUUGUGAUCAAACAUAUUGUGCGAGAGAGAUUCAUUUGUAAUCCUUUUUGUAAAAUCAAGUUAAAAGAUUGUAAGUGUUUGGAUACACUUGGGUUAAGAAAUUGGGGAUAAUCUCUUGUUGUAAAGGUCCAUUGACACCUUGAAAGUCAAUUGUAAGCAUUUGAAGCCUUGGGAGGCUAGCUUAGUGAAAUCCUCAAGCCCGGUGAGCUUGGAGGCGUAAACGUAGGCGGGGAUUGUCGAACCACGUAAAAAUCAUUGUGUUUGUUUUCUAUUCCCUUACUCUUUUAUAUUGUGAUUGAUUUAUUUGUUAUUGCUUUAAAUUAGUUUUGGAUUUGCAUUGAGUUUUGUUUUAGAAUUGAAUAAUUUUUAAUAUCCCAAUUCACCCCCCUCUUGGGUUGCCUAGUUAGUAUUUCAUUUAGUAUCAGAGCGAGGUGCUCUUGUGUAGACUUAACCGUCUAAAGUUAAAGAUUCAUGGCAACCUAUAAUGACUCAACCUUUAGGGAAGGACAAUCCAUAAUUAGACCAUCGUUCUUUGACGGUAAUGACUACCCAUAUUAGAAAACUAGGAUGAGAAUUUAUUUACAAGCUUUAGAUUAUGAAAUUUGAGAAAUUGUUUGUGAUGGUCUAUUUAUUCCUUUGCCUAAAAACGAAGUUGGGGAAGAUAUUCCAAAACCUUCACGGGAAUGGAAUGAAUUGGAAAAGAGAAAAGCUUUUCUAAAUUCCAAAGCCACGAAUGCCUUGUUUUGUGCACUUGAUAAGAAAGAGUUUCAUAAAGUGUCUAGUUGUGAAAGUGCUAAUGAAAUUUGGCACAAACUUGAAGUUGUUUAUGAAGGCACGAAUCAAGUGAAAGUUGAUUAUGACUACCCAUAUUGGAAAACUAGGAUGAGAAUUUAUUUACAAGCUUUAGAUUAUGAAAUUUGAGAAAUUGUUUGUGAUGGUCCAUUUAUGCCUUUGCCUAAAAACGAAGUUGGGGAAGAUAUUCCAAAACCUUCACGGGAAUGGAAUGAAUUGGAAAAGAGAAAAGCUUUUCUAAAUUCCAAAGCCAUGAAUGCCUUGUUUUGUGCACUUGAUAAGAAAGAGUUUCAUAAAGUGUCUAGUUGUGAAAGUGCUAAUGAAAUUUGGCACAAACUUGAAGUUGUUUAUGAAGGCACGAAUCAAGUGAAAGAGUCUAAAAUUAGUAGGUACACUCGGCAAUAUGAAUUGUUCCAAAUGGAACAAAAUGAGAGUGUGUAUUCUAUGUAUACUAAAUUUACGGACAUAGUGAACACUCUAGGAGCCCUAGGAAAGACCUUUUCAAAUAGCGAGAAAGUUAAGAAAAUCAUUAGGUCGUUACCUAAAGAAUGGAGACCAAAAAGGACUGUCAUCGAGGAAGCUAAAGAUUUGAAUAUCUUAUCUAUUGAGGAUUUAAUUGGUUCUCUUAUUUCUUAUGAGGAAGACAUGGCAGCCGAAAGAGGCAAUGAGGAGAAGAAGAAAAGCAUUGCUCUCAAAGCCUCGAAACAUGAGAGUGAUGAGGAAAGCGAGCUGGAUGAGGAGGAGAUGGAUAUGCUGGCUAGGAGGUUCAGAAAACUUUUUAAGAAAUCCGGUGAGCAAAGAAAAUUUAGAGACCUCAAGAACCGAAAGGAGAAGAAGGAAGUAAUCAAAUAUUAUGAGUGCCAGAAGCCUGGCCAUAUAAGAACGGAAUGUCCUAUUCUCAACAAGCUCAAGAAGAAAGCAAUGGUAGCCACAUGGGAUGAUAGCGAUGAGGAAACAAGUGAUGAUGAAGAGCAUCAAGAAAUGACAAAUCUAGCUCUCAUGGCAAUUGGAGAUGAAUCAGAUGAUGAACUUGAUGAGGUAAAUGAUCUUUUUACUUAUGAUGAAUUAUAUGAUGCUUUUAAAGAAUUGCAUGAUAAUUGGAUAAAAAUUGGUAAAAAGAAUGCAUGUCUUAAAAAGAAAAUGGUAAAGCUCACAAAUGAAAAUGAAUCUCUAUGUGCAAAGAUUACAUGCCUAGAAUUAGAGAAUAAAACAUUGCAUGAUAGAGUUGCAUUAUCAAAUGAGAAACCUAGCACGUCACAUGAGCAUUUAGAAUCAUAUGUAGAUGACUUGAAUAAUGAAAAAGAUGCUUUACAAAAAUGCAAUAAUUCAUUAAACGAAAAGAUUAAAGGACUAGAGUUAGAUAAUAAAAUGUUGCAUGAUGGAAUUGCAUCAUUUAAAUGCAAACAAAGUACUUCAUAUGAGCAUGAGAAAUCACGUGUUGAUGAAUUAAUGAAAGAAAAUGAAGUGCUUAAGAAAAAGAGUAAUGAACUCAACGAAAUUGUGUUAAAAUUCACAAGUGGUCAAAAGAACUUAGAAAAAUUACUAAGCACUCAAAAAUGUGUGUUUGAGAAAGGAGGACUUGGGUAUAAGCCUUAUUUGAAACAAAAAUAUUAUAAGAAUUAUUUUAUUAAGGCUACCUCCACAAGUGAUCAUAAGAUUAUUUGUCAUUAUUGUAAUGGAAAUGGUCAUAUGAGUUUUACAUGUCCAGUUAAGAGAAAUGCGUAUUAUGGAGCAAAAUGUAUUUGGGUUCCAAAAGGAACUAAAUCUAACGUUCAAGGACCCAAGAGUAUUUGGGUACCAAAGCACACAACUUGAAUUUGUUUUGUAGGUACCACAAUCAAGGAAUGGUGGAAAAGUUGCUUGAUGAAAGCUUGUAAGGAUAAUCAUUUGAGCAUGAUCUAGGAGAAAAAGAUGAGGCAAGAUGAUUUAAUUAUUUUGGUAACAAUUCUUGCCAUAUUAAUUUUGUUGAAUGAAUCAUGAUAAAUGAAAUUGUGAAAGUAUGCUUGUAUGUUUACAUGAUGGAAUUAUCAUUGUGUAUAAUAGUGAGUGAUUUAUCAUGAUGCCUUUGUUUGAUUUUGAUGAUUGUAUAGUCUAUGAUUUCAUCUUCUUAAUUGUCUAUCAUCAUUGUCCAUCUCUUAUAUAUGUGUGAAUUCAUAUGCCAUUAAUUGUGUUAUAUCAUCAUUCAUUUAUAAAAUUGACAUUAUUGUUUGAUACGAUUUCAUAUGCUUGGUCUUGUAUGCAUUUAUGUCUCAUGUAUUAAUUGGCUUAUUGAAAAGUUUUAAAUCUCAAAAUGAUUUAAAAUUAAUCAAUUUUUAAGGCCAAAAAUGAAAUGGUGUGUGUAGUACAAGUCUAAGAGCUUACAAAAUUUCAAAAAUAUUUUCAAAAGAUUAACCGGUAUAUCACAUUGAUUAGACAUCAUCUCAAUAAUACUCUCUAUGAGCUUUGGAAAUAUAGAAAACCCAACAUUAGUUAUUGCAAAAUUUUUGGAUGCAAAUGUCAUAUUUUGAAUACAAAAGAUAAUCUUGGCAAAUUUGAUCCAAAAUUUGAUGUUGGUAUUUUUCUUGGCUAUUCAAUCACAAGCAAAACUUAUAGAGUGUAUAACAAAAGAACUUUGAUUGUGGAAGAAUUUAUACAUGUUAUAUUUGAUGAAUCUAAUUCUUCCUCUAUGGAGAAAGUUGUGGUUGAUGAUAAUGUAGAUGAAAAGUUACAAGAAGAUUAUCAAAGGAUAGCCAAAAGAAUGCCCCACUUGAAAAUCAAAAGGAGCAACAUGAAGAAAUAAAUGCGGAGUAAAAUGAAGGUACUUUCUCAUACAUUCCCAAAGAGUGGAGGUAUAUUUCUUCUCACCUUAAGAACUUAAUUUUGAAAGAUCCAUCACAAGGUGUAACUACUAUAUCAUCACUUAAAAAUAUAUGUGAGCAUUUGUAAUAACGGAUUUGAUCACUCGUUCUUUAACUCAUAAUUAUGGUUUUUCUUAAUAGUUAUGUUGAUUUUGAUGAUCUAUAUAUUGGCAUAUGUUGAUUUUGAUGAUUUAUAUAUUGUCAUUAUGUACUUAUGUUUUUACUUAAGUUUUGAUGAUAAAGAAUGUGCAUUGAUGAUUACAUUGUAUUUGAUGAAGCUUUGAUCUUAUGCAAUCUAUGAUUGGUGAAUGAAUGCAUUUUUUGUACUUUAUCGAUGUAUUGUUGAAUAUGUCUUACUUGUUUUAAAUGAUAUCGAAAAAGGGAGAAAUACAUAUACUUCGAGAAUUUUAAGCAUAUGAGAUUUUUUUUGUUAUAUUGAAAUGUCACAUUAGAUAUUUGAUGAGUUUAGUUGUCUUUAUUUAUAAAAUGUGAUUGAUAAUUAUGGAGCUUGAAUAUUUGAUAAUAUGUAUGCCAAUUUGGUAAAUAAAUCAAAACCUCUUUGCGAAGAAGAAUUUUCAAAAAUUCGGCAUAAACUUGGAAUGAUUUGAUUUCUUGAUGAUUUUGGUAAUUGAUGAUUAUAUGUGCGUUGCUUGAUGAAUUGAAGGAGUUGUUGGUUGGUUAUUUUUGUUUAAGCUUAUAUGGAAGUGUUUUUAACCAUGUUGUGUAUUUGAGAAUUUGUUCAUUUUCAAGGAGGAGACAAAUAUAAUAUAUUUUUGGAUAAAAUCAUUUCGGUUAAAUUUUUAAAUUGGCCAUAUAUUUAGGGAGAGCAUAUAAUAUGAUUUUGGAUAAUAUGCAUUUUGAAUUUUUUUGUUGUCCAAAGGGGGAGACAAAAUAAUAUAUCAUUUCGAUGUUAUCAAAAGGAGGAGAAUAAUAUGCAUUUUGAGUAAUUGUUUUGAUAAUUGGUAUUUGAUUAUAUGAUGAUGAUAAUUUGUGAGUAAUAUUACUAAAUUUGUAUUUGAGGUGAUGAUUGUUGUUAUGAGGAGAUUCUUUCAAAAUUUCUACUUAAACAUCAUGUGUAACAAAUUUGCUACCUUUAUUCUUUUCCUUUAUGUUUUUUUUUUUAUGAUGAAGGGGGAGAAGAAUACAUGUUUUCAAAUUUAUAAAAAUUUGCUACUUUUUUCUUUGCCAAUUAAGUUUUUCUUUUUGAUGAUGAGGUGGAGAAAAAUCCAUGUCUUUAAAUAUGUUAAUUUAGCUAAUUGGCAAAUUGUAAAAGAAGAUUAUAUUUAGAGGGAGCAAUUUGUGGAAUCAUUAUUUAAAUACAUGAAAUGUUUGUCAUCAUCAAAAAGGGGGAGAUUGUUAACAUAUAUGUUUUCAUAAUGUUGAUUUUGAUGAUAACAAACAAGAUUAAGAAUGAUAAAUCUUUUAAGCUCAAAUUAUUUUUUAUACAUUUUAAAUAAAUCAUUAUUUUUACAUUAUAAAUGUUUUAUAUUUAAUGGAAAAAUGAUUUUAUGAAAUUGAUUGUUUUUAUUCUUUUUAAAUAAAUCAUUAUUUUCACAUUAUAAAUGUUUCAUAUUUAAUGAAAAAAUGAUUUUAUGAAAUUGGUUGUUUUUCAAAGUUUAUGGUUUAAUUGAAAGAAUUUUGAAAACUUUGAAAUAAACAAGUAUUGCUUGAAAUUUUGGAGAAUGACUUAUUUGAAAAGUGUCAUAGCAUUUUGGGCUAUACUAUAAUUUCAAAAAGUUUUGGGAUUAACAAAGCAUUACUUAGAAAUUCUGAAAUUGGACCUAUUUAUAAAAUUUUAUAACGUUUUGGGCCGUAAUACAGUUUUAUAAAGUUUUGUGGUCAAACUAUAAAUUUAAAAAAUAAUUUCAUUGUAGCAAUCACUGUAGCAAACGGCUAACUGUUUAUUUAAAACGGCUAACCGAUAAUUUCCAGAAAGUAUGUUCUACAAAGAAUUGUUAAAAUGAUGAUUCUGGAACAUAAUAGUGAACCGUUUAUUGAAAACGGUUAACCGAUUAUUUCCAGGUUGCUAACCUUGAACCGUUUAGUAAGAACGGUUAAACUAAAUUUGUUUUGUAGGUCUCUGGAAUUUAACGGCGAAAGGGUAAUCCUAAACGGUAAACCGUUUAUUUAAAAAUUUGCCCAACGGUAACUUUAACCGGCCUAAACGGUUAACCGUUAAUGGUCAACGAUGAACCAUUUUCGAGCAGAUAGUCUAUAACGGCUAGUUUUUCAGCUCCAACUAUAAAUAUGCUCAAUCCAAUUCAAACAAGAAGAAUUCCAACAAUCAUCAUUGAGCAAAAUAUUGAGAAUACAACUUUCAUUGAGCUUUAAAUCCUUGUAUUCAUCUCAUUCAUUCACAUAUUGAGCUUUCAUUUGUGAUCAAACACAUUGUGGGAGAGAGAUUCAUUUGUAAUCCUUUUUGUAAAAUCAAGUUAAAAGAUUGUAAGUGUUGGGAUACACUUGGGUUAAGAGAUUGGGGAUGAUCUCUUGUUGUAAAGGUCCAUUGACACCUUGGAAAUUAAUUGUAAGCGUUUGAAGCCUUGGGAGGCUAGCUUAAUAAAAUCAUCAAGCCCGGUAAGCUUGGAGGCGUGGACGUAGUCGGAGAUUGUCGAACCACAUAAAAAUCAUUGUGUUUGUUUUCUCUUCCCUUACUCUUUUAUAUUGUGAUUGAUUUAUUUGUUAUUGUUUUAAAUUAGUUUUGGAUUUGCAUUGAGUUUUGUUUUAGAAUUGAAUAAUUUUUAAUAUCCCAAUUCACCCCCCCUCUUGGGUUGCCUAGUUAGUAUUUUAGAAACCUCUUCUCAGACUCAGAAUGAACAUAAUGGGUUUUAAAAAGAUUUAAACAAUUUAUGGCAUUUAGGGUUAGGAUGUCUAGGCUCGGCCCAAAGUAGUUUCAUCAUUGUUGGAACCAAUUUGGAAGGCUUUGUACGGUUAUUUUUGAGUUAAAGAAAAAUAACCAAGAAUGGGUCUUUUUGGGGUUUUGAAUAAAAAAUGUGUUAAACCAAGCCUGCUGGUAAUCCCAGUAAGAAAAAGAUAGGCAAUGAUUUAAACGCAUUUGGAAAUUGGCGGGAAAGGUUUUUUGUUUGUGGAGUUGAUCACCCCAUUAUUUUGGGCUCAAGACUUUUAAGAUGGUGGCUGUAGAGUAAGCCGGCUCAUGGUGAGACUCACUAAGAAAAAAAUGUUUGAAUUUUACAGACUCAGUGAACUCAAGAAUGAUUUGGUAAAAAGACUGGGGUUUUGACAAAUCCCAUGGUUUGAAAAACCAGCCUUUCGGGAAAAUCUUUGUAAUGGCUUGAAAUGGAUCAGAGUGAUAAAACCCAUCUUCCAUAGAUAAAACAAUUUGAUGAUAGGUUUUAUUAAUCCAAUCCGAAGAUUUUUGUGAAAGCUUUGAUUGAGAAACAAUAAUUUGUGAAGAGAAGCUUUCACAAGAAAUAACUUCUUUAGAAGAAGAAGGUUUUGAAGUUGCUUUAGAAACAGAUUUUUCUUUCUUAGGAAUUUGAGAAAGAGUUUUAUUUUGGAAAAUAUUUUGUAAGGCGAGCAUAACCUCUGGGGACUUUGUAAUGGAACUCAUCCAUUCUUUUACAUGUUCUUCAGAGUAAUGCCUUAGAAUUGGGCUCAUGUUCUGACAGUAUCAUGAAUUUAUAGGCAUGCAGAAAGAAAGUAACUGUCCUUAGAAGGGGUUGUCUGGGUUUCUUUAGAGAGUGUUUGUGGUUCAGGGUCUUUAAGAAUACCUUUGCCAUGUCUCUUCGUUUGGGCGGCAUUAUCUGUUUUGAAGAAAUUCUCUUGUUAGAAAAUCAGGGAUAGAAUUUGUAUCUCCUUUAAUGAAUUCAAUGUCAAAAUAAAAAACGCUUAAAAUGGCUUGCCAUAUUGCAAAAAUAUAUUUUGAUGCAAUGUUUUGAACAUCCUUUUCUAAAACAUGUUUUGCAGUUUUGCAAUCAAUUCUAAGUAAAAAUUUUUUAUUUAACAAAUCACUUUGGAAUUUAGAAAUGCAUAAAACAAUAGAAAGAAUUUCUUUUUUAAUAGUAGAGUAAUUUCUUUGACAUUCAUUCCAAUGAGCAGAAACAUAUUGUACUAUUUAUUCUUUAUUAUUCUCUUUUUGCUUUAAUAUUCCUCCAUAUCCUAAGUCUAAAGCAUCAGUCUCAACAAUUUUAGGCAACGCAGGAUUAGCAAGAAAUAAACAUGGAAUAUUUUGAACAAAAUUUUUUAUGAGCUUAACAACUUUAGUGUGUUCAUCAGUCCACACAACAAGGUUUUUCUUUAAUCUAUCAUGCAAAGGUUUUGAAAUCCUAUUGAUAUUAGGACAAAAAUCAAGAACAUAAUUUAAACUACCUAAAAAUCUCUGCAAUUGAGUUUUGUCAAGGAUUUUAUCAGGAAAUUUGUUAGCAAAUACAAGAGAUCGCUCAAUAGGUGUAAUGGUUUCUUUGGAAAUGUAAUAACCAAGGAACCUGAUUCUUGUUUGAAACAAGGAAACUUUAGAACUAGAAAUGGCUAAACCAGCCUUUCUAGUGGCAAGGUAAAACAUCUUUAGAUGUUUGAAAUGUUGAUCGAUUGUUUGAGAAAAGAUCAACACAUCAUCAAUAUAGACAAUGCAAAAUUCAGAGAAAGGAUUAUAAAUAUCAUUCAUAAUGGUCUCUAAAAUUCUGAUGGUGUAUUCUUUAAUCCGAAUGGCAUUACAGUCCAUUCAUACUGUCCAAAAGGAACAGUAAAUGCAGUUUUAUAACGGUCUUUUAGAUGAAUUUGAAUUUGCCAAAAUCCUGAUUUCAUAUCAAACUUAGAAAAUAUGAAAGCAUAAUGCAGUUUUUGGAGUAAAUCCUUUUUAUUAGGUAUGGGAUACCUAAUCCAUUUUAAUGCUUUAUUUAGGGGUUUGUAAUUUAUUACAAGUCUAGGUGUUCCUCUUUCUAUUUCAGAGUUCUUAUUGAUAUAGAAAGCGGCACAAGACCAUGGAGACCUAGAUUUCACAAUGAGUCCUUUUGACUCUAAGUCUUUGAUUUCACUUUUACAGUGUUGUUCUAAAUCCAUGUUCAUUUGGAUAGGGCGGGCUUUAGUAGGUAUUUGUCUUUCAUCAAAAGAAUUUUCAUAAGGCAAAUCUACCAAAUGUUGUUUUCGGUUCCAAAAGGCAGAUGGUAAAUCAACACAUAUUUAUUUCUCAAUUAGGGUUUUAAAAUCAGAGAUUUUUCUUUGUAUAAAAUCAUUUUGUAAUUGGUUUUCAAUUCUUUGUAAACUCAAAUCCUUUUUUAAACAAACCAAGUCAUUUUGUUUAGAUUUGAGAAGGGCAUUGAUUUGGUUCUGGUAAACAGAACAAGUUUUAACAAUAUUCAAAUUUCUAGUUUUAGGCUUUUCAAUGAAGGGAAAAAUAAGUUUUCUGUUCUUUGCUUUAAAAGAUAUACUAUCAUAAUUGACAGUAUAUGGAGUAAUGAGAUUGAUAAAGGGGGUUCCUAAAAUGACAGUAUGGUGUAUGUCAUUUGUAAGAAUAAAAGAAGUCUGAAAUUCAAAACCAUUGUUAUGAAUAGAGGCGUCUACUUUAGAUUUGACAUUAAGUUUUGAAUUAUUAGCGGCAGAAAGUCUUUCCUUCGUUUUCUCAUGAAACUUUCUCGGGACAAUAUCUUCUUUAAUCCAAUUUAAAUCAGCACCAGUGUCAAAGAGGGCAAUGGUGUCAAUUUCAAAAUCUUUAGAAAAUAUUAAGGUAAUUUUAAUCAAGUACUUUCUUGUGGUGAUUUGUUUUAAAACAAACAGAAAAUUAUUGGGUAUAGAUUCAAUGUUUUCGAGACUUUAUUCUCCGUUAUCACCAUCAGAUUCUGAUUCUUUAUCAGAAUAAUCCUGUAAUUGUCUUUGUAAGAGGAGUUGGAUAGUAUUAGAAUCAUUAUUUUGUUUUUCUUUUAAUUCUUUUAUCUCGAGUUUGAUAUCUUUUAUUUCUCUUUGAAGGUAUUGGAUAUUGGGAAUUGUUUUCUUUGUUUUCUUUUUAUCCAAGAUUUCAGUUAGAUCGUAAGUAUUCUUUUUUAUCAUUGGGGUUUUAGAAGUUUCUGUUUUAUCACCUACUUCUGAGGUUUUUAGAAGUUUAUCAAGGUAUUCUCUUUGAAGAGUAGGGUCAGAAAUGUGUUUGACUAAUUCUAGAAAAGUUUCUUGAUCUUUAGUCAAUACAUUGAUUUUCUUUAAACGAAAUUCUAUGUCAGAAUCACUACUGCUUGAUUCUGAAGUAUCAGAAUCCAUCAAUUCAUCAAUUUAUAGAGGGUCACUGUCUCCUGUCAUGGAAGACUCAGAGUCGGAAGACUCAGAGUCGGAAGACUCUACAAGUAAAGAGGCAACUUUAGAAAGUAUUUCUUCGUCAAGGCCAAGCUCAUGGAGCUUUUUGUUCAUCCUGCAAAAUUUUGCAAUAUGGCAUUUCUUUCCACAUUUGUAACAUGUGGCUUCUUUGUAGUUAAAAGGGGUUUUUUGUUUAGCCUUAAAAUCCUUCUUUUUAGAGAAGUUGAGCUUCUUAUAAGGCCUUAAAGGUUUCUUAUAAGAACGUUCUCUAAAAUCUUGAAAGAGUUUUUUAUGACCUUUUGAUUUGUAAUGUUUCUUGUAAGGUUUUGAAGAACACUUACCAUUACAAUCUUUAGAGGUGGAAGUUUUAAGGGGAUCGUAAUUGAAUUGCUUACAGAAACUGCUUAAUUCUUACUUAGAUUGUCUAAGCUCCCAUUUUAGACGUUUCUGAAGUUUCAAGUCUUGACAAAUCUUUAAACAUUCCUUAUUAAUAAAGCUAACUAAUUCACCAUAGGUGAGUUCGUCAUAAGGAAUACGGUUGUCAUACAAGGUUUUAAUAGAAUUCCUAACCUUUCUCCUAAUAAGGUAGGUAAACCUGCAAGGAAUUUUUCCUUCCAAGUUAUAUGAUUUGCAUCAUCCCUAAAGAAGAGUCUGGUAAAGAAUGUGGUUUUGUAGCUUUGGAAUUCACUAAACUUCCUACAUCUCAGGUUGUGUAGUAAGUCAGCAUUCUUGUCUCUAAGGUGUGAAGGAUCACCUAUGAAAUGAAGGGAUAUAGUCAUAAUCAGGGUAGCAACUGCAUCCUGAAUUGGACUAUUGAACUUGUCACAGAUGGGGGCUCCAUUCUCAUCUGUUUAAAUUGAAUUAAGGAUAUCUAAUUAUUGUUGUUUGGUGAGAAGAUGAUCCCACCAACCUUUAAGUUGACAAGUAAAACCAGCAAUGAGAAUUUCUGCAAUAGCUUUGUCAGAAGUUCCCGACUGAGUUUUAUAUGCAUUUGCUGCCAUGGUCAUUUGUUGUAACAAUCCUAGAAUGUUGUAUUCCGACAUCCCAUCAAUGUUCCACUCAUAGACAGAGGAUGCAUUAAAUCGUGAUUAGUUUAAUGCGCUAGGUCUAUUGUCUAUGGCUAAGUCAGGUGGAGACUUGACAAUAGGUAGGGCUAACUCACAAUGCAUUUUAUUGGCUUUAGAAACAGGUUCUUCAUUAAAGGCUUCUAUAUCAAAAGAGGCUAUAGACAUCUUCUCUUGUUCUAGUACAUAAAUUUUACUAGAUUGGGCACUAUCAGGGGCUAUUUGGACCUUACUAGACGAGGAAGAAGCUUCUAUUUUAUCCAAUUGGUCUCUAAUGGCUUUAGGAAAAUCUGAUUUUGACUCUUGAACAAGCUUUUGACUAGUUUUCGAAACUUGAAAAGGUUUGAAAAUAGGCUCUUUAAGCUUUUUGUCAGAAUCUGAUUUUGAUGUAACAGGAGAAACAGCUAUGGUUGACUUCUGGAAUUGGCUUUCUAUCCUAGUCAACUGUUUUCCUAAUGUAUUUAGGUUAGCAUUACAGAAAUUAUUCUGUUGAAUAAUACUGCCUAAAUUUGUCUCGGGAUCAUUUGGUUUAUGGAUUUUAUAGGGUGAGGCUUUUAUCUGAACAUGAGGUUCACCAUGAUCAAUGGUUAGACUCCUAAAUGGAGGAUGUUCAGAUUCUAUAAUCCUAUCACUAUCAGAAAGAUUCCAUUAAGUGAUUUUCUUCCUAACAGUAAUGGGAUUUGAUUCUUUAAAAGGAUAAGUAAUUUUGUUAUCCGAAGCAUACAUCUCAAACCAAUCAAAAAAUAAUAUAUGAAUUUUAUGUAAAUUUACAAAUUCAUAAUAGACUUGUUGGAUCUCUUUCCUUUGGUUUAAGAAAUGUUUGAAAAACCAAAGUCUUUUUUCUUUAUUAGUGUCAGAAUAAAAAUCAUUGUGAAGAAGAGUUUUAUUUAAUUCAAAAUCUUUUUCUAUGACACUAAUUACAUUUUUUGUGACAGCUGAAAAUGUAGGAGAAGUUGAAGGAGAAUGUUCCUUCUCUUCCUGGCUUUGUUCAUGUUGACGGCUAGUGUAAAUGGGAUGUGGAACACUAGUAGUAUAGUCAACAGAAUGUAUAGAAGAACUAGGUAUAUCCGAUGUGGAAAACCUAGGUUGGCUUUUUACUGGUUAGAAAGGGAGAUUUAUAACGGAAUGAAUCUUUAAAAAUUUCCUUUCUAAUGAAGGAAUACUUGAGCAUGAAUCUUUAUCAGAGAAUCUAGAUGAUGUAGAUCUCCUAAAGGAUAGUUUGACUUUACUAUCAGAAUACUAAGUCACAUUUUGUAACUCUGUAUUUGGCUCAAGUUGUUUAGGAAUCAUUGGUUUAGUGGCUCCUUUUAAGAUCCAUUCUUCAAGGAGGUUGACAUCCUUCCAUUGAAUUGGUCUAGAAAUAACAGUAUUGGCUUUAGACAAGUCAGUCUGCAAGAGAAGAGUUUCAUCUCUUUUUUACUGAUAUAGAUGUUUUGUAUUGGUAAACGCAGAUAUCAUGGCUUUGUAAGAUAUUCUGAAAAUUAGGGCAAUCGGAACAGAUCCUUCAAUCAUGUUGUAAUUAUGGGUUUUGAUCUGUAAAAUCAUGCUUUUCAGAAUGUUUUUAUCUUUAAGGGAAACUGUUAUAUUUGGAUAACAGCUAAAAGAUAUUGGUCCUUUACAAAGGCUUGAUUCUAUACUACUUAGUAAAUAAUCAUCAAAAGAGAUGAAUCGUCCAUCUCUUAGGACGGCAAGGAUAGAAGUCUUUAAACAUUCUUUAGUAAGGGGUUUUAUGCCGACUUGUAUUAAGCCGAUGUGAACAUAAUUAAAAUUCUUUUCUUUUAAUUUCUUUAAUGAAUGUUCUGUAAAUAAUUGAAUUGUUUCAAAAGGCUUUGAAAUGAUUAUGUCACGUUCUUCAGUUUUUAUGACAUAAUCAUUUUUUAGAAAGUCAAGCUUUUUUGUUUUGUAAAUCAUUUCUUUAGAAACCUUAGGAAGUUCCCAACAAUCAAUUGUUUUAUUGAAGUCUUCAAUUACGAAUUCUUCUGAAUUCAUAACAUUCUUUGAAGCACUAGUUCUUCUAGAGGAGGAGCUAGAAAAAGACGAUGCUCUACAGAGUAGAGAAUCCAUGAGUAAAAACCUAUAUUCUAGUUUUAGUUCUGUAGGUAUGGCUACAAUCCAAGGCUAAGAAUUGGUUUUACUGCCCUUCAACCAAAUCGGGACUUACGACCAAAUGCUACCAAGGCACCCAGAGGUAGCACUCACCACACAAACAAUGUUCAACUAAAACACAAGUCUUUAAUCACGAAGUCUCUAUCCUAUAUUACACUAUCCUUCCUGUGGCUCUGAUAUUGUUGUUUCAAAAAAAAAGAAAAAAAGAAAAAAAAUUGUUGUUUCAAAAAUCAAAAUAACAAUAAUAGGUGAAAUCCACCUUACAACUUCAAAAAAAAAAAAUUCUCUACAUUUUUCUCAAACAUACACUUUGUUUUCCUUAUUUCCCUUCUUUAUUAGCCAUGUCCCUAGCCUAUGUUACGUUCUAAUAAAAAUCUUUCUUGAUUUUAGGGAACUAUAGUCUGAAGUAGAAGCUAGUUAUAUGGGCUAAAAAGAUGUAGUGGUGCAUAAAAAAAUAAUAAUAAUAAAUAAAUAAAUUAGGUUGACUAGCAUUUUUUAUUUGACUUGAGAUCGUAUUAUUUCUAAACUGAGGGCAUAUUUCUUUCAUCUUGUUGAGAGCAUGUGAUAUCACUUCUUUAUUAUUUUUCUCUCUCAAUUACCAUUCAUUGUAGUGACUAUUUUUAUUAGGUUUAAUUUCUUUGUGAGAGUGUCACUAUUUCCAGUGAGAUUUUGGGGUUUGACAUCUCAUUCUUGAAAGUAGCUAUGACAAAGUCUACUGGGCUGAUUCAUGUGGAUAGUUGAUGUGGGUGUGAUGUUUCUUUAGACUGGAGAUAAUGCUUAUACUUUUAUUUGAUUGCUAUCAUUAAUCUGAUUGAAUAAAAACGUAUUUCUAAAAAAAAAAAUCAUUUUGGAUUUGAAUUUUGUUUUCGCUUUAUUUGCUAGGGACUAAAUAUAAGAUGGUUGGGGGGGUGUGUGUUAGAAAAUAUAUAUUUAUAAAGGAGAAAAUCUUCAUUUUACAUUUCAAGUCUUACUAACAACCCUUACUUUUAUGUAUUUAAGGUUAUUGUAAUUUAAUUAUGUGUAUUUUAUUUUAAUUAAGUAUUUUGUAUAUUUUAGGGGCAUCAUAGUCAUUUCACAAUAAACGAGAGAUCAAACGGCAAAACGGACAUCACUUUUGAACUCAGGACGGUCGAAAACCUUAGGAGGAGUAUAAAAGGAAAAAUGGCAUUGUUCACAUAUACAGUACUGUCUACGUUACUGUUCACAUAGACGGAUCAAUGACGUGGCAUUGACCGAUGAUAUGGCAUUGACUGAUGAGGUGUCAUAAUCCUGUUGGUCUAAAAUUCUUAUGUACUGUUGAUGGUGACGUGGCAGCAUAUUAGUGGACUAAAAAAAACGCGCGUACGGUACAUGCAACACAUGGGAUUAUUUUCAACCAAACUUCAUUACUGUUCAAACCGUGUCACUGUUCACACCGCGUGGUCAAAUCGCGUACUGUUCACGCGUACUGUUGACGCAUACUGUUGACUGAUGACAUGGCGCAAUCCUGAGCGUCCAAACUAUUUUUAAUCUGAUGGUCAUGAUUUACUCAGUGUAUCUAUAAAAAGGAGACCCCUGCCCCAUAAUUUGGCAUCUCUGAAUCCAUUUUUGGACUUCAUUUUAUGUAAUUCCUUCUCUAUCUUGUAUUUUCUAUGUAUUUUAAUAAAUUUCCAUUUUGCCCCUAGUUCAAUUAUGAGUGGCUAAUUUUCUUUCAUGGGCUUUAUUUGGUAAAUUUAUUUUCUCUUCUCCUCUAAUUUUUGUGAAUGUUUUGACUUUUCAUUGACAAAUAAUAAUAAUCUUGUCUAGUACCGCCCUGGUUUCACCGGCUCUCUAGUAUAAUGUUAUUAUUAUUUGACACAAUAAGACUUUAGCACCAUAUUGAUCAGAGCGUGUUUCAUGAGGUGUGGAUUCCCCCCUCAUGAUUUAAUUGACAUUAAUAAGGAAUAUUUAGCCCAUGGUGCAUGUUGAUACGGAUCUAGGUAUCCAAGUAUGUCAUUUCAAUAGAAUUCUCUUCAAUUUAUUCUCGUCAUUUCAAUUUCAAUUUUAAGAUAAUAUAAAUCACUUUCACCACAAAUCCAACCACCCUCAUACAAAAUUAAUUCUACACACAAUUAAAAUCCACCUCCUCGUGGGAUCGACACUCGUCACCAUUAAUCUAUACUACAAUAAAUUUGUGCACUUACGAGUUCAAUAAAAUUUGCACAACACAUGGGUCCAAGAGGAUGUAGAUGGCAGCACAUAAAUGCGUUGGCUAAUUUGGCAACAUUCUAUUUAAUUGGCAUGCCACUUUCAGCUGUUCUUACAUUUAAGUUGAAGCUUUAUGUUAAGGUUAGAUCAACUAAUUACUUUUUCAAACUUUCACUAAUUGUUUCACUUCCGAUUCAAUGACUUUAUUAGCUUUAUCAUGUUUUGAAAUGGGUUUGUGGAUUGGCGUAACCUGUGGCCUCUGCUGCCAAGCCAUCACCUCUUAGAACUCAUUGCAUCGUGUAGAAGUUGGACUAAAUUGAGUAUUCUUGUAAACAGAGAGAUAGAAAUGUCUAUUUUUGUUUAACCAAGUUUCUUUGUGAACUAAGAAACAAAAACGUAUAAAAACACAUUACAUAUUAAAUGCCUAACUAGGGGAUUUAGAAAUUUAGAGAUAUGUGUUAAUCUCAAGUGGACCUAUUGGAUGCUGAAACUUCAAUUUAUUCAUUCAUAUGAAAUAAUGCUUGAAAGAAUUUUUUAUCUAUAAGAGAGUUCAGUAAGUUCAGUAUACUAUGUUUUUGUUUCCGAAAUGUUCCAUAUAGGGCAUGUUUGGUACAUUGUAUUAUAUGAUAUUAAAAUAUUAUUUACAUUAAAAUAAUAUCAAACCCAUGUUUGGAACAAAAUUGCAAGGAAUUAAGGUGGGGGGCUAAUGCGUCGGUUGACGCAUUAGCUUUGCUUCUUUUUUUUUUUUCGUUUUGCUUUUGCUUUUAACUUUUGCUUUUUGCUUUAUUAUUAUUAUAAUACUAAAAUAAUAAAUAAAUAUAGUUUUUAAUUUAAUAUAAUAUUUUUAUUUUAUUUGCUUUUACAUUAUAAUUAUUAAUAUAAAUUAAUAAAUAAAUAAUUUAUCAUUCAAUAAUAGUAUUUUUUUAUUUUUACAUUAUAAUUUAUUAAUAAAUUUAUAACUUAUUAUAACUAAUAAAAAUAUUUAAAUUUGAAUAAAUUUGAAUAAUAUUAAUUUAAAAUUAAUAAUAAUAUAAAUAAUAACAUAAACUAUUAAUGCAAUUUAAAUAUAUUAAUAUAAUAUAAAACAUUAAUAUAAUAUAAUAUUUAAUUUAAAUUAAUUAAAAAAAUAAUACAGUACAGUGUAGCACCAAACAUUAUACAACAUUAUUAUAAUACAGUGCUAAUGCAAUACAGCAUAAUACAAUACACCAGUAUUAAAAUAAUGCAUACAGCAUAAUACAAUGCAGUGUGCCAAACGCACCCAUAAGGUAGUCAAAUUGUAAAUUAUGGACAUCUUCUCUCUACCUAGAUGAAUUUAUUUAGUUUUGAGAAAACUUUAAAUAUAUUACAAUCGAGGGUCUAGGAACCUAAAUUUAUACACUUAGGGUGCGUUUGACACAUUGUAUUAUAUUAUGUUAUAUUGCAUUAUUUUAAUGUUGGUGUGUUGUAUUAUGUUAUAUUGCAUUAGUACUGUAUUAUAAUAAUGAUGUACAAUAUUUAGUAUUACACUAUAUUGUAUUAAUUUUUAAUUAUAAAAUAUUUGGUAUUGUACUGUAUUGUAUUAAUUUUUUUGUGAUUAAUUUAAAUUAUAUAUUCAAAAAUAAUAUUUAGUAGUACUUAGAAAUAUAUUAAAUAUAAAAAUUUUAAAUUUUAGAAAUUUAAUAUUUAGAAAAAUAUUAAAUAUUAAAUAUUUAAAUUUUAGAAAUUUAAUAUUUUUAAUAUUUAUUAUUAGUUAUAUUAAAUUAUAAAUCUGCUAAUAAAGUAUAAUGUAAAUAUAAAAAAUAUAAUAAUGUAAAAUUAAAAAUAUCAUAUAAUAUUAUUGAAUAAUAUUUUAGCUUAUGGGAUUACAUUCAAUCCAUUUUCUUCCGCAUAUUCCUUCACAAGAUCCCAUAAGAAAUGUUCAGCACCAUAAAAUUACGGCAAUUUUUUUUUUUUUUUUUUUUUGGUCUAAGAGGCUAUUGACUUUUCUAGUAAAACUUUGUUAUUCAUCAACUUAGCAGUUGCUUUGCCUGAAGACUUGCUUCUACCCACACAUGAAUCCAUCGAAGAUCUAAACCAAUAAAUCUAUACAAACCAUUAAAUAAUUCCACUCUCACUUCGUUAAACUAUAUCUUGAACCAAUGCUUGAAUAGAAAUUCUAAAGUACGAGUAUCUAAACGCGAAUUUCAUUCAGGCUAUUACAUUUUAUGGCAUAAAAGUUAAUUGAACAGAAACACUAACGCUAUAUGGUGUGAUAAUAUAUCUGGAUGAAAUUUAUUAGCUACACUAUGACAAGUAAUAGUAUCUUUUAGGGCUAUUAAAAAUACCUAAAGUAAAUUUAAUUUAAAUAAAAAAAAGAAUCAGAAGACUUAAAGAAGAGAUUGUAAAUUAAUUUGGAUGGGCGAUUUAGGUGCUAAGAUAAAGAAAAUGCAAGGCCUAAGUUUGAGAGGAGCUUAUUAAUUUAUACAUAAAACCUGAAGAAGAAUUAGGGUUGGCAAAAUUUUCAUAUCCGGAUGUGGACAGAUAUUCCGGAUAUCCGGAUCCGCAAAAACUUAAAAUUAAAUAAUUUAAAAUAUAAUUUAAAAAUUCAACAGUUUAAUUAAUAAUAUCAAAUAAAAUUUAAUUAUAAUCCAACAAUUAACAAUUUAACAUAAAUAACAUAUAACAUCAACAUAAAUCCACAAAUAAAAAUAUCACAACAUAAGUCAAAUAUAAAAAAUUACUGACAAAUUAAUUCCAAUCAGGCGAGGCUUACACGGCCAGGGUUGAACGAUAGCGAGGCUUCUUCAACGAGUACCGCAAGGCUUGGACAACAAGGCUUCAACGACAAAUCAAGCAAGGCGAUAGAAGACAACGACCAGUUGAGAGCGAGAUUUGAGGGAUACGACUUAUGGCUGCUGGUGAGGUGAGUGUGUGUGUAUGAAAGUUGAAUGAAGGAAGCGAGUGACACUGACAGCUAGGGAUUAGAUUUUUUUUUAAAUUUAAGUUAAUAUAUUUUAAUUUAAAACAAAAACCAACCGGAUCUGGAUAUCCAGUUUUCCAAAUGCAAAUGCAUCUGGAUUCAUAUUCAGAUAUGUGCGGGUUUUAGUUUUUCAAAUCCAGAUCCGCAUUUUCAAAAAUAUAAAUUUGGAUUUUUCCAGAUCCAUAUUUUAUGGAUCCUUACGGAUGCAGGCCGAAUCCAAAUUUUAUUACCAUUCCUAAGGAGAAUGAACAUAUUAAACCAUAAACAUUGCUUCUUGGAUGAAUAUAUGGAAGUCAGGGUAUGUUUGAGAUUGCUUUUGCUUCCCAAAUAAUCUAUUUUAGGCUAGAUUUUGAAAUAAUCAACUUUGCUAAUAAUUUGGUUGCUUGUUUGGUAAAUUUAGAUUACAAAAUAAUUACUUCCCAAUAAAUUUGCUAUACAUGUUUGGUAAAUUGAUCUUAAAUAUAAGGUGUCUAUGUAAAAUGAUUAAAAUAUCCACAUUUUGUUAAGAAACUGGUAUUUUUAUUCAAAUUUCAAACUAAUUAUUAAAUAAUUACUGAAAUUAUAACAACUCAUCUUUUAUCAACAAAUAAAGCACAUAUGCAAUAGAUAAAAAUUGUUUUUUAAUUAAAUAAGUAUAUUAUUAUUAUUAUCAUCAUCAUCUAAUAAUUACAAAAUAUUUUUUGUUGCCAACCUUACCACCAUUGCCAACACCGGAGACAGUAAUCGUUCAUGUUCAUUCACUAUAGGUAUCAUUGGAUCGCAAAUUAAUUUUGCGAUCUACUCAAUAGUGGAACUUAAGUCAGUAUCGAAGGCUUUGUAGCGAAGCACAUACUGCCCAAGUGUAUAUGAAAACUGUGUGGCAACCGCUCAAAGGCAGUGGUAAAGAGCACAAUCCCGCCUGAUUCUUGACUAGCGUUUAUCAACCCAUCAGAUGAUAGUGGCAGGCAGCUUACCUUUAUUUGUCUCCUUUUCAUGGCAACAUUAUAGUAGCCAUUUUAUUUAAGGAACACACGAGGCACCAUCAUUUCUUCUCCGCUAACGACGGCAUAACAGAUUGUGUACGGAAGAUAGUUUGAAGUCUAAUAGGGUUUGUGGUGUCACACUAGGAAUACUUCCACUAGACGCUGAUGAUGGUGACAGAGACAUUGCUGGCACCGGCGAUGGCUUAGGUAUUUUGUUGUUUUUGAAAAAUUAAAUUUCUAAAUAUUAAUAAAUUACGUAAUUUAGUGCAUGGGUAUUUUUGGACAUAUGUUUCUAAGAUAAGGAUAAAAAUGGUAUUGCAGAUUCUAAUAUCAGAUUUUUUUUUUAAAUGUGAUAUUCCAAAGCUAAUCCUAGUAACUUUUAAUGUUUAGUACAAAAAUAAAUUAUUUGAGAAUCAAAUUUUUAAAUAAUUUAUUUUUUAAAAGUGUUUUUGGGUGCUAAAUUAUCAAAGAAUGAUAUUGAUAUGUGUAUGUAUGUAUGUAGAGAACAUGAUACAUCAUAUGCAUAAUAAAUUGCCAAAAAAAAAUAAAGUAAAAUAAUCAUCCUGAAGAACAAACUAAUUCUUGUUGGGAAUGACAAUGAGCCGGGCGGAACUCGGUUUACAAGUUCCGACUCAGGUCCGUCAUGUGGCGACGGGCUGGUGAUCCCGAUUUUUAUUGAGAAAAGAUAUUUGAUCCUUUUAAUAAAGAUUUUACCUAUUAAAAUUAUAUUUACAUAAGUUUUAAGGGCAAUUAAAGUUAGAAAUAUUUUUAAGUGCAGUAAAUGUAUUCAUGUAUAACGAAUAGUAGAAAAAUUUGUGUGUGUGUAUACAUUAUAUGAAAUCAACGUAGGUAUUGAUGGAAACAAAUAAUGUCUUAAGUAAAACUAUAUGGAAAAGUAUAUUAAUCAUUUAUACAAAUUAUGGAAAUAAAUUUGUGCGAUUCCAUAUACAUAUGUGUAUUUGUUGAAACAAAAUAAUAGAAACGUAUGAGAUUUUUGCAGUUAUCGUAUCAUUAUCACUAAUAUAUUGUAUCAGUUAUAAUAAGGCACUUGGUUUAAUUAUAAUUAAACAUUAAAAAUUGGUACAAUUUUUUAAAAAUUUUUAACACCAGUCUUACGUCGGGCUUGGGCUAUUUCUGUAAAGCCCUAGCCUGACCCCCUCAUAUGGUGCCCGGCGGCGGCCCAAGCUAUAGCAUCAUUUUAAAAUAUAUUUAUUUAUUUUGUGAUUUUAUGGGAAAGUUUUAGAAAUUUGAAGUUACUUGAUCACAUAAUUUUCAUUGUUUCUCAGAACCGGAUUAUGAUCUGAUGGAAUUUGAGAUGUGUUUGAUUGAUCUUAAUUUUUUUUUUAAAAAAAAUGAAAAUAGACAUUUCGAAUAAGUCAAAGUGUCAAACUAAAAUAUAUUAGUAGGGAAGGCUGAGAUUUUUGUCAUUCGAAGAUAGUGAGGGAAUAAUUUUAUAUGAGGAAGGGCAUGGACCAUUUUAUAUCUAAUAUUUUAUUCGAGAAAGAAAUGGGAAUUAGAUGAAUGUCAUCCCCUGUCAAUUUCUCCUUUAUCAUUUUUAAUUUUUAAUUUUUAAUUUUUUGAAAUUGUUGGUGAAUAUAUUUAAAUUUAAAUUAAAUUUUAAAAUAUGAGUGUAAUAACAAAUAUCAUAAUAUUUAUUAAAAAAAAUAUAGGUUUUAUUUAAUAUCAAGACUUUGACGUAACUUGCCACUAUUAUUUAAUGAAGAUCGAGGAGGUCAUUUUGUCAUGAUUUGAAUUGUGUGAUUUUUGUAACAGAUAAUGCAAGAAAUAUUAUCACGCUUUGUUUUUUGGGGAUAAGUUUAAAAGAUGGGAGCCCCUAUGUUACAAUUAAUAUAACAUACACACUCAACAACAACCACACAAAUAAUGGACCCACACAAUUUGUGUGGUUGUUGUUGAGUGUGUAUGUUACAUUAAUUGUAACAUAGCAUUUGCCUUAAAAGAUUGACUUGUAAUAUUGACAGCAUUGACUUAGUUUAAUAGUGAAGUAAUUUUAUAUUUAUUAUUAUUAUUUUUUUAAUAUAGUUAAAUUAUGUUAAAAAAUUAAAGAUAUAAUAGUCAUUCAGGAAUUGUGUACUCUUUAGAGACUUCUAUUCCUUUCUCUCGUGUAAUUCCAAUGGAAACGGAAGGAUAUAAGGACAAAUAGUCUCCCCUUCCCAUUACCAUCAGCAAGCAUGUAGUUAGACGAAUCAAGGUUAAUAUCGUCAUUUCAUUGUCAUUUUGUAUUAGGUUUCAUAGUUUCAUACUGCUUCUAUGACAUUAUUAAUAACACAAGCAAAGAGUAUUUAUUUAAUCAAAACCAUCAUGGAAGGCUUGAAGCUCGGUAGCCGUAACCAGAUCUCGUGUCAACUGUCAAGUGCACAGUUUCUGUAGCCAUCAACGUUUUUUUUUUUGCCCCUGUAUCUGGGUGAGUAUUUUCUUGCCCGAACUUUGUUCAUUCAAGUUAAACUUUUAGAGCUCUUGCAUUAUUCAAUCUAAAUUUUCAGUUUUGUAGGAAAUUGCUCAUGAGUAUCGCGAAUUUAUAAAACUGAGAACCAGAAAAUUACUUUUUAUGAACUGGGUAUUUACUUUUAAUAGCUAUAAUAAUGCGAUUGAAAGCAAAAUUUGAUCUUGCACUUGCUUCACCUGCAUUUUGUCUGUGAUAAUGGUAUUAUGUAUAUAUUAGCAGUAGGAUCGGUGUAGAAUUAGAUUCCUCCGUGAUUUUCAGCUUAAUUUGAGUUGCUGUUUUGUUCUUCUUUAAGCUUUGAUGGUUUAUAUGAGCAUUAUGUUAUAGAGUUUUGUUCAUUUGGUUUUGCUGUAGAGGUACUAGAGUGUUGGCACUCGAAGGAAACAUACUGUGCAUUUUAUGCUUUUUCUCAAUUCAAUUUGUGCUGGAGAUGAUCUUUGAGUCAGUUGGUCCAUUGAAAGGAAGCUUAGGCAUGAGAGCAUGUGGUGGAUGGCGCCGUUUCCUUUUCUUUCUCCCUUUGGUCUUCUUCCUCCCUUAUCUGUUAUCAGGUAAUAGUUUUGGUCUACUUCUAAUUAUUCCGUUUACAGCAUUUCAAUGUUGUAUUUAUUUAUAAAGGGAAUUUUUGCUUGAAUAAUGAUUGGUGUCCAUCUUCAGUUCUGGAAUUGCAUGAAAAGUCGGUUGUAGAAGAUCUUCCCAGGAAAAAUAGACAGAAGUUUGAUCAUCUGAUUCUUGGUCCAGCUGCUGGCCAAGGGUUGCCUAACCGUUUGCAAUGCCAAGGUAGGUUCAUUGUCCUUGUAAAUAAUAUGCUAGUAUUUCCUGCUAAUAUAGACUUACUAUUUCUAUUUUGGAUUUCUAAAAUGAAAUCCUUCUUAAUCCAUUAUUAUCUGUUGAUCAUCUACUUUAAAUUUGAAAAUAGUGGUUUCAACAUAUUUGAAAUUGAUUGGCUAAUUAGCUCCAUGGUAUUUUUCUCCCAAUUGAAACUGGCCCUGCAGUUCCGUAGCCUUUUUCCGCCAAUAAACACGUAUGUGAAUGCUCAAAUUAUGAAUUGGAUCAUAUUGUGUAUGUUUAGAGUUUAUUUAUUGAGAAGUUUCCAUAUUUUUGGAUGUGAAGGCCUUUUAAAUCUCACAUUGUAAUUUAUACUCUCACUCAUUUGGUGGUCAUAUGACAUAAUCUAUGGAAACAUCCUCUUUAAUUGUACUUGUCAAAACUUGUCUUUAACACAAUUAUCAGGCUCUUGCCUACCAAUUUAAGCUUUUGGGUCAAGUGGUUUUACUACCAAUACUAAUGCUGAAGGUUUUAUUCCAUGUUUUCUGUCUCAGGAUUAAAAGCUCUCAACAAGACCUCUUUCCAAGCCUCUAGCAUUGGAAAUAGCAUUUCCUUUGUCACUGUUUUCACAAUUUAUAACACAUCACUUGAUGUUCAUGUAGAUAGCAGAGCAUCAAACAUGGUUACAGUUGGAAAUGCUUCAUAUGGUAAGACAGAGAGGUCAAUGGCGAUACUGAAUGUCUUCAUUAACUUUAUUCAGGCAAGUCUUUGACAAAUCCAUCAGAAACUGGGGUAGAGUUCAUGUUUCUUAUCCAAAAAAAAAAAUCUGAGAAUAACGUUCAUUGAUUUUACAUGGUAAUUCAGAUAUUAACUUUGAGCUUUACUAUUUUUAGCAUCUAUUGUUGCAACUUUGGGAUGACUCAUCUAAAACUUAAGAGCGAUCUUUAUGUUGGUGUAUUUGGGAACUCUUAUCAUUGAUAAUUAUAUUUACAUUUACUUAUUGUCAUAACUACCUUUGUCUAACAUAGUAGAAUUGAGAGCUAUUUCAUCUAUUAAUGGACCUGUAUGGUUUGCAGCUUUCAAAUUUUACUAAUUCAUGACUUCAAACAUAAAAUUAUUGCAGGUGACAAUGCCCAAGAGUGAUGUUUUCAUUCUGACUGAUCCAGCUUCAGACCUCUCAAUGCCCAGAAAAGGGGUCACCAUAUAUCCCAUUCAUGGUGAAUAUUCACGAGACAAAUUGAUGCUUCAAAGAAUCAGGUCUUACAUUGUAAGAGCAAAUCGCACUGAUAAAUAGGUAGAAUGUUUUUGUUUUUCAUUCAUAUUUCUGAGAAAUAAAAAUCAUUUGCAGAAAUUGUCUAUAAUGUCUUAAUUUAUCUAUGUAUAUUUCUGCAGCUUUCUUACCAGCUUUUCAUUUGUAUUUUAUGUUCCCUUUCAAGAUUUUUUUUUUUUUUCUUGUUCUUUCUACUUAUUUUCCCCCUAGCAAUCCUUCAUUGUAGUUUUUCUUUUGCCCCCUCACCAAACUCUUGUGCAGACUCACAAAUAAAUUCAUUUUGCUUUUGGUCUCAUUUCUUGCGAGAAGAACAUUCUAUGCCCUAGUUGCAUUUGCCACAAAGAGUUAAUAGUUACUUAUUCAUAUCAGAAGAUAUCGUUGAAAAUUGUCUUAUUUUGCUUAACGAUUAAGAUUGCAAUGAUAAAAUAAUUAGUCAAGAAUUUUGCUUCUUGAACUAUGAGGGCACUGUUUUGAAUUUUAUGUUUCAAUGUUAUUCUGUUUAUGCAGACUUUUCUAGAAAGAAGAAUUCGGGAGCAUUCUCAGGGGCAAGGGCAUAUAAAUCAUUAUGUCUUCACUGACUCAGAUAUAGCCGUGGUUGACGACUUAGGACAUAUAUUUCACGAUUACCAAAACUUUCAUCUGGCUCUGACUUUCAGAAACAAUAAAGAUCAACCUCUGAAUUCUGGAUUUAUUGCUGUCAGGGGCACCCCAGAUGGGAUUUCAAGGUGCCUAAUUUUCUCCUUCUGUGCAAGGCUUUUUCUACUAGAAUAAAAUUAGGUGGUGGAAAAAAGUUUGAAAUGUUUCUAUUGUCCGUUACGGAGACUUUGAAAUUGAAAUCUAUAUCUUGCAAAUCUUUGUGGGUCAUUGGUUGGAGUUAUUGGUCCAUUAGUUCGUUACAGAUUAUAAGAUACAUGAACCAAUCUUGUCUUUUUCCUAUUUCCUUCUUUUUUUUUUGGGGUCCUUCCUUCACAAUUUCCUGGUGCAUGAAAGGCUGUAUGAAUAAUGACAAUAAAAUUCACUUGAGAAAAUUACAACCUGAAAUUGAUUUCAGGGCGAAGAUAUUUCUUGAGGAAGUAUUAAGGGUUUACAGUUCCAAAUACAUGAAUGCCUCCAGAAUGCUCGGUGACCAGUUAGCUCUUGCCUGGGUUGUAAAAUCGCACCCUUCUUUUGAUGCAAGGAGAUUUACCAAAGCACAGCCCUUUGUUGAAGACAUUAUUGGAGCUUCUGUGCUAUUUCUACCAUGCGCUACGUACAAUUGGACACCACCUGAGGGUGCAGGCCAAUUUCAUGGAAUGCCUUUGGAUGUUAAGGUAUGCUUGAAUAUCUAAAUUCAAUUGCUUAGUUUAAAUAUUUUGUUUUUUUCAUAUGACUUCCUCUUGCUGUCACAUAAAAGUUUUCAAGUGUGCAUUAUUUUAAAAUAUUGAUUUUAUUAUUGUAUAGGUUGUUCAUUUCAAGGGAUCAAGGAAACGCCUAAUGCUCGAGUCUUGGAACUUCUUCAGUUCUUCUUCUGACAUUUCAGAUAUGCUGUGUCUCAUCUUGAUGAGUGGGAGAACAAAGUAUGACUUUUGAAGAGACCUUUUUGUUUUCCCUUUUUUUUUUAAUUUUAUGAUAUUACACAUUCUCUUGAGGGAAUGGCUGAUUUCAUUCAUAUGAACUGGGUGGGGAAUUCUUGGUGCAUCAUGUGAAUUCCAUUUGAGUGAAAAAAGUUGUUUGUUUGCGGGGUAUUUGGUUCACACAAGCCCUCGACACCACCCUUUUCCCACCUAUAAUGUACAUUUCAUAUGAGUAGUGACAGAGGUAGCUGAAUACACACACAGAAACUCAAAAUUAUGGCUCUUGUUAUAGUUCUUGGAUUCCUUUACUCGAGGGUUGAAGAUUGUUUGACCAUAUUCAUUCAUUUCCUGCAGAUUACACUUUUUUUCCUUUUCCACACUUUUGUUGUUGAAUUUUCAAAAUUAGCGGACAAUUUUUAUAUACACACACACACAUGCAUGCAUGUUAUGACUUCAGUAGAUAUGGAUAGGUACAUGAAUGUCAUAGCGCACCCGUUGAUCCUAGACUCUACUAAACAGUAGAUGAGAGUAGGUACCAUUCGUCUACUCCUGUGUUCUAUGUAAGAGAACCACAGCCACUUAAUUCAGGAUGAAAGUCAUAAAAACUUGGAGGGUCAUCCUUCAUUUUAACCCAAAGGCUAUGAGACUCAGUAAACUUUCCCUACACCAAAGCAUGGUUUAAUUAUUUAUGGUGAAAGGACUAAUGGUGGCCAUGAACAGACUAUCUGUCUACUCCUGGGGCCAAGCACUGGAUAUAUGAGCCCUUCGACUUGAGCUGGUCCAAUCUUGCAUAACUGUGAAGUCAACACCAACGGACAAAGAGGCAUUAAUAGUUCAACGGGAAGAACAAGUCUUAUAAUCAAUUUUGGCCGACUAAAAUGUAUUGAUGAUCAUAAAGAUUAACAUUUUAGCCUCCAAAUUUAGCUCGGCUAAUUGUGAGUGCAAUCACAUGAGUUUUAGUGCUAAUAGGAAAGGAGUUGUGAUAAGUGUGUGCUUAGUGAGUGAAGUUUUUCAUCUCAUCCAAGCCCCUAAAUAUUAAGAGUUAAUAGCUCGAGUGAAAUACGUACCGUAUGAUUAUGAACAAAUUUAAGAUACAAUUGAAACGUGUAUCACACGGUUGUGCGAAGAGACACAUGGGAGGCUCCAAUCUACCCCACAAUUGACACUACAUUAAUUUCAAUUGCAUGAUCAACGUUCACGUUCUCUGAUUUUGCCACCUGUAAAAAGAAACAGAAGACCAAAUACUAGGCGUAGACUAAUAAGCAGACAAACAAUAACUUCACCUGGCUCGACUCUAAUAAAGUUUUGGGAUUCAUUGAUUGAUUGCUAUUACUAUUCAAACGGUAAUCUGAAUCUCUCUUUAUAUAUCAACGCCACUGCCUCUAUCUUCACUUUCCUUCUUAUCUCUGAUUUUCCUUCUCCAAUCAAAUCUCCAAAAUCUUUUACUUCCAAGUAAAAAAGCAAUACCAAUAAAAACUUCCAAUUGGCAGAUUUUCUGUGAAGCUUCUGGGUCAUCGUACAUAUCUAUAUCACUUUCAUCGCUAUAUAAAAACAGAAAACACACAAUUCUAGAGCACAUUUCUGUUCAAUGGAGUUUCAGAAAUCUCUUUGCCUUUCCUUGGCUCUCUUUGCAUUUUUCAUCUCUUCCUCUCACGCACUCAAAUUCAACGUGGGUGGCAAACACGGCUGGGUUACAAACCCUGGAGAAAAUUACAACAAAUGGUCUGGGAGAAACAGGUUCCUCGUCAAUGAUACCCUCUGUAAGUCUUAAGGUUUACUCUGUUUCUGUCAGCGUUCUUUGAGGAUUUUCUGUUUGAAUAUCACUGCUUAACCUGUGUUUGGGGGUGACGAUCUAAUGAAAGAAUGCUGAUUUCGAUUUUUUUUUUUUUUUAAUUUAUGGCAGUUUUCAAGUACAAGAAAGGAUCAGACUCGGUGUUGUUAGUGAACAAAGAUGAUUACGACAGCUGCAACACGAAGAAGCCUUUGCUGAAACUGGAUUCGGGUGACUCAGAGUUCAAGCUUGAUCGUUCGGGUCCUUUCUAUUUCAUAAGUGGAAACCAUGAUCAUUGCCAAAAGGGACAGAAAUUAAUCGUCGUCGUUUUGCAUGAAAGGCCCCCCCCUCCCUCAACUGGACCCCCCACCACGAAACCUCCACCGCAUGCCCCGUCUCCUAAGUCUCCUUCUCCGGCCACACAGCCGCCGGCGACUUCCCCCUCCACCUCACCAACAUCUCAUGCACCUUCGGCUAAUCCUCCUAAAGGGUCCUCUCCGACGCCGGCAACUUCACCUUCCACGUCUUCGCCUUAUCCUCCAAAAGGAUACUCUCCAGUGCCGGCGACUUCACCUUCCACGUCACCAUCAUCUCAUGCGCCUUCGCCUUAUCCUCCAAAAGGGUACUCUCCGGUGCCGGCAACUUCACCUUCUACGUCACCAUCAUCAUCCCAAUCACCUGCGGCUAAUGCUCCAACUGGGCUGUCACCGGCUCCGGGAACUUCCCCCUCCACGUCACCGUCAUCGCAACCACCUGCGGCUAAUGCUCCAACUGGGCUGUCACCGGCUCCGGGAACUUCCCCCUCCACGUCACCGUCAUCGCAGCCACCUGCGGCUAAUGCUCCAACAGGAGUAUCUCCCCCGCCGGGAACCUCCCCUUCCACGUCACCGCCGGCGGUUCCAUCGUCACCUGGUAAUGCGCCAUCAUUGGCGCCGUCGAACUCAAGUAAUCCGGCUGGUGGGACGCCACCGCCGUCGCCGUCGGGGUCGCAGACGUCGGGGUCGCAGACGUCAUCAGCAGUGUCUACUCCUUUGAGUUUGGGGUUGUUGGGAGUUUCUCUUGUGUUGGGUUUGGUUUCGGGUAUUAUAUUUGUUGGGGUCUAAUUAGAGAUAUUAUAUGAUUUAGGUUUAAAUUUGUAAUUUUUGGAUCCUAUUGUGGUUCGUUUGUGAAUUAUUGAUUUGUUUGUUUAUUAUUUUCGGAGAAAUAAGUUAGUUUAAUUUUUAUGUGGUCGGAGUUUGUUUUAUUGAAAAUAAUAUUGAUUUAUAUAAAUUGGAUGUUGAAAGUUAUGGAUAUCAUUGUCAUAACCAAACAUUAUUUCUUUCGAUAUAUGAUUUCUAUUAUAUAUCAUCUUAAUUGCUUAAGGCAUGAAAUUUUGAUCACUUCUUGAUAAGGUUAUCCGGUAAUUCUUGUCAAUUUUUUCCAGCUUCAAUCCAUCAAAAUAGUUGAUAGGUGUGUGAUCGUGCACAUGAUAUAACUUGACCUCAUUUGACUUUAUUGUUUCUAGUUAGACUUGUCAUUAUAUACUAUAAUUAUUUAGUUGAGAUUCAUAAUUUAUAGCUCAAAUGAGACUGAUAUUACACUUUUAAAGUAUUAUUUCAAUUUUACAAUGGUAAGUGUGGUCACAUUCAUCCCAUUUGGGUGAUGAGAUGGAAUAUAAAUUAAGUAAUUUUAUAAAUUAUAAAAUUAAUUAUUUAAUUAAUGAUUGUCGCAUCAACUCUGGGGAUCAAAAUAUUACUUGAAAAGUCUUAGUAUAAUUCUUAUGUAUAAGACAUAUGGUUGACUAACACAUUACAUAUGGAAGUCAAUGAUGAAUAUGUAUCAAUUCAAACACAAAAUAUGUAUAAUUACAGAGAGAUAGCGCAAUGAAUAUUAAUUGGAAAGUGGGUUAUAAGAAAAUUAGAAUAUCUUUACCAUUAAGGAAGUGUAUAUAAUACUAGACACUAUGAGUUGGAAAAUUUAAAGGACAGCUUGCAGCAUUAUUAAGUAUUUUAAUGCAUAAAUGGGUGAGGAUUAUUUCAAUUGAUUUGCUACCAAUUUUUUUUCUUUCUUUUUGGGUAUAGGAACGAGACAGAUUCUAAAAAAGAGCAUUUUACACAUGGGGCUUUCUUAAAAUAAUUGAUUUGCUGUCUGUAGUAUCACAGAUUCACAGUGGAUGAUGAUAUCUGGACAUACCGACAUAGAUUUAAAUUUGUAAGUUUUGGAUUUUUAUAGGGGUUUGUUUGUAAAAAUCUUGAAUUGUUUAUCUUUUUCCUCAAAAGUUUAAUCAAAUUAAAAUAUUGGAAUAUUACUUGAUAAUUAUAGUAAUAUUUGCAAGUGAUAAAUAUGCUUCUAUACACGUCAAAUUAUAAAGAAUAAAUAAAUAAAAAUAAAAGCAUUAAUAAACAUAUCUUGGCUAUAGUGAGAAUAUUCGUCCAUUUUAUAAUCCUUUUGUAAACAAACUAUAAUUGGAGGAUACAGAAAGAAAAGGGCAAGGUGAUGAUGAUAAACUUUUGAUUGUAGUUUCAAUUAUCAAAACAAGAACUAUUAAGCUUAUUGAUGAAGCCCCCCAUCUUUUUUGUGCUUUUUAAUGCAUGUUUAGUCAAAUUUUAUCAAUGCGUGAUGGUGGGGCCUAUAAUAUUUUUCCAAUAAAAAGAUUAUGAAAUUAGGGUGUGUUUGGUACAUAGAUUACAGGGUAUUAAAAUACUGUUUAUAUUAAUUUAAUACUAAUAUUUUUUUUUCUUUUUUUAAUAAUAAUAAAUAAUAUAAUUUUUUAAUUUAAUAUAAUAUUAAUUUUUAUUUCUUUUAUUUUUACAUCAUAAUUAUUAAUAAAUUAUUAUUCAUAUUUUAAUUUUUAUUAUAUUAAAAAUAUUACUAAAUAAUGUAUUAUUUAAUUAUAUAAUAAUUAAUAUAUAAAAUUGAUUAAUAAGUACUUAAAUAAUAUAUAAAAAUAAGAAUAUAACUUGAUAUUACAUUUUUUAAUUAUAUUAUAGUAAUUAAUAUAUAAAAAUUAAUAUAACUAAUAAAAAUAUUUAUAUAUGAAUAAAUUUAAAUAAUAUUAAUUUAAAAUUAAUACUAAUAAAAUAAUAAUAUAAAAUAUCAUUACGUUAUGAUAUUAUUUAGAGAUUAUUUGAUUAAAUUAUUUACUUUGAUCUUUAUUUCACAUGUUAUAUAUUUAGAAAAUACCAAAAAAUAAAUGUUAUGUUGUCGAUUAUAAGGCUAUAAACUUCAAUCUUUAUAGAAAAAUUAUUUUUUAAUAUUUAAACUAAAAAAUAAUGCUAAAUUUCUAAAAUUUAAGACUUCUAGAUUUUGUAUUUUUCUAGGUACUAAUAAAUAUUAUUUUGUAAAUAUAUAAUUUAAGUUAAUCAUAAAAAAAUUAAUACAGUACAGUGUAGCACUAAAUAUUGUACAGUAUUGUUAUAAUAUGAUGCUGAUACAAUACAUAUAAUACAUAUAUUAAUAUUAAUAUAUACAAUAUAUAUACCAAACACACCCUUAAAUGAUAAACUAUAUCAGAACGUUCAAGAAUAUCAAAUUAAAGAGAAGGUAUGCGUAGCAUCCUAUCGUUGUCUCAUUAUGAUCAAUUCUUCCAACUUAACAACAUUUGAUGCGUUGGCCGAAAGGGGAGGGUAAAAAAAAAAAAAAGGAACCCUUGGUUUUUUUAAAUAGGCAAAAAGGGGGGGCAGAAAAUCACCCCCCCCCCCCCCCCCCCCUUAUAUUAAACGUUGAUUCUAUGUUUAAGACAAAAAAAACAAUGAGGGCGGCCCUUAUCCCGAAUACUCUAAAUGCAACGGCUGUGGUUUUUUUUUUAUUUUUUAAAAAAGACAACAUUAGUUUAAAGUUUAAACCUUUUUAAUAAUAAAAGAUGAAGAGUUUAUAUUAUUUUAUCGUGCGUCAAGUUUUUUGGCCUUUUAUUUAUCGUCAGGUAUUAUAGUCAGAGUUUUAUGAUUGCCACCGACACACCUGAAAACAUCUAAUCUAUCUAUUUAUACGGAUGUGUGUGUGAGUGUGUGUGUAUUUAGCGACCUCAAGUCAUCUUAUAAAUUUGACGACAUAAAUUAAAUAAAUCUUAGACUAAUUAUUUUUGGUUAAUUUACCUCCAUUCACAUAAAUCUUUAUAAUCAUGCACCACAUAUUUCAUUCAAAAUUUCAAAGUGGAGUUCCCACGAAUGUAUGCAAACCUUUAGUUAAUGUUAUCUUUUUAGCAAAUUCACAUGGAAUUUUGGAGGAUCAAUCAUCUUUUAUAUUCUUCUUUAUCUCAUUAUCUGUCUCUCCAUUAAAAUUUUUGAACCGCUUGUUCAAAAGUGAGACUUUUUCCUAUUGAGUAGAGACACCUUACUCGCUCGUCACAAGGCGAAAACGACACCCAAAUAAGAAAAAGCCACGUAUGUGGGGUACAAAAUUGACAAAAAAGGGUGUCCCAAACAUGUUACCAUCACUCGUUUCUCCACGUAAUCCCCUCCCACGUCAAUCACAGGACAAAAUCUUAGAUUGUUACUUGCAACUCCCCCAACUGAGCUUAUAAUCACAUGCAAACGCACCUAUGUUAAUGUUCCCACCCGUAUUCUUUUUUUGAUGGGGCCCCAACCAUAUUCAAUCAUCCAUCCAUUUUUUGAAGGCUUAACUUUUCCCUGAACUACAGUUCAAAAAAAAUAUAUAUAUAUAUAUAAACUCUCCCUGAACUAACCAAUGGGCCUUUACCAUAUUCAAUCAUCCACCCGUGUUGUCUUUUUGUCACCACCCGUAUUCUUUUUUUGAUGGGGCCCUAACCAUAUUCAAUCAUCCAAUUUUGAAGGUUUAACUUUUCCUGAACGGUCUUACUUCCAUGGGAGAAUCAUUACAUUUAUAAUGGUGAAUAUAAGGGUUCGAGCUUCUAUAAGAAUUUUAUAAAGAUUAAUUUCAGUACUCUCUUAAUUAUUAGUUAAUUGAGUAAAGAUAGUCUCUUCCUUACUUAUAGUGUGAGUAGAGUAGACACCCCUCGAAUAUUAGAGAGUGUUUAAAGAAUUUGAACAAGUGCUUAAUAUUAGUAACAAUCUGUGUAUAACAGAAUUCAAAAAAAAAAUUUCACUGACUUAGCUAAUAAGCUUCAGGAUUAAGGCUAGUUUGGUAAUAUUAUAAUAUUUAAAAUAAUUGUCAUUAUUUGUAUUUUAAAAAUAAUUAACUAGAAGGGAAUCAAUUAAAUAUUUAAUAGAAUUUAUUUUAAAAGUGUUGCGAGUCUUAUUGUUAAACUGUUGUAAGAAUAUAAAUAACUGAAUUCGACAAAAUAUUGAAUAAAAUCUACUUAGACAUUUAUAAGCAUGUAUAUAAAAUAUUUUUGUGUUGUGUAUAUAUAACAAUUAAUAACUAAAAUAAAUAUUUUAUGUUAUUAAUUUUAUUUGUUUAUUUUGUUAUCUCUAGAUAAUUGGUUAUAACAAUAAUCUUUUACUAUUAAUGAUUUUAUUUCUUAAUUAAUAAGAUAAUUUUAGAUUUUUAUAAUAUACCUGAGGAUAUAUAUGAAAUUGUAUUAAGUAUACAAUAAAUUCUCAAAGUUAAAUUUUUCAAAAACUACUCAUUCCCUAUUUUUUAAAAUCUCAUAUAGGAUAAAAUAAUUUUACCAAGAGUGAUUUCUAAAAGAGUUUACUAAAUUAAAUUUACUUUUAGAUUUUCAAAAUCAAUUUUAAACUUUCCAAAAAUAAUCUUAAACAGACUCUAAGUCGAGUGAUUUUCAAAUAAUUUUUUUUAAUUAAUUAUUGGAGAUAGAAUAAGUAGUUAAAAUCUCCUGAAUUUGAUUAUUUGAUAGGACUCGAUCAGGCAUGUGCUCUCGCAACAUGUGUAAUGUAUAGAAGUUUAAAAAAUAUAUUUGAGAUGUUUAAAUUUAGACUAAUAGGAAAUUAACACUUAUUGGGAUGUCGAUCUAUUCAUUGCGUUUGUACAUGGAGUGUCGUUUUGGAGGACAAGCAGGGAAUGCCUUGGUCAAAUCAAUAAAUAAAAAGUGCCGUUUGCUUUCAUCUUCAAGACAAGAAGCUGGAUGGUCGCUUGACAGGAAGAGUUAUUUUCGGUCCAUCAGUAUGUGUCGGCAAGGGAAGGGGGUUGCAAUUUCCAGCUUUGAUUUUUCCAUCUUUGAUUUGGACAUUUCGAGGUGGCAGUCCAUCACCUUUUUAAGUCAAUGGCGUGACUGAAUGAAUGCAAAGACCAAAACAAACAUUUGCCGUCUUGAGUGUGCGCAAAAGACUUAUGAAACCGUACAAGAAAAAAGUUCUGCAAGUGUACAUCAUUAACAGUCUGCAUUUCCAAGUGCUCUGGAACUAGAAGAAAAAUGAAUAUCCUCAAAACAAGUAUUAGAUAUAAAUCCCGGCAUAUCGCAGGGGAACAAACCUUUUUGGACAGCCGGGAAGUGAAAAAUAAGGGCUCAGGGCAUUAUUGAACACCGAGUAAUAUUAAUAACUUGGAAGGCUAAAAUUCUCUAGAGAGAAAGGACACUCAUUGCAUCGUCAAAAAAUACUUUUCUGCAAGUGAGAAGAGUACUAUCACGCGGAUUACAAAUUAUACAACAUGAGGCAAAAAAUGAUACAGAAAAGAUAGAAGUAUGGCCAUGGCACUGACCGUAUGAAAAACUUGGCUGAAAUAGCCUAGCUAGAAGAACCACCAUCUCUUUUGCCGAGCCUUCUGCAACAAAAUAUAAGCAAGCACUGUUUAAGAAUGCAUAAAUAGAAAGGAGAUGAAAGUGCAAGUGUACUUUUCAUGUAGUAAUUUUUCCGAAACAUUAAAGCAAGAUCUAAAAAUUCCUAGUUACACCCAGCUGAGAAGAGACAAAUCAAUUCAAGGUAACACCCUGCCAUACUGCUUAGUGCUUACCCACCCCCAACUUAAAAGUUUAAAAAUAUAUAUAUAUAAUUGCUAAGAAGGGCAGAGAAACCUUCUGAUUCUUAUUCUUAUUUUCAUUCUGUGGAUGCAUUAGAAUAGGCCGAGAAAGGACAGCGUUGUCAAUGUUCUGCACGAAUGGCCGCACCUUCUCCUCCAACAUCUCAUUCAACUGAUAAUAACAAAAUAAUCAUACCCUACUUCAGAAUGCAACAAAAACGUAUUGACAACACUGCAAAUUAGCCCACAGAAAAUGCAGGAUAGUAUUUAGGAAAUGCAAAUCGAUGUAUAUGUAUGAUUGUAUAUGCCAUGUAACAUGCGUGCAUGAGUUCUAAAUGUCAUUCCAUCUUCUGGUAAGCUUCAUGAUUCUUCCUCUUUCAGUUCACAACAGCCAAACUUAUGAACAAGAAUGAAUGCAUAACUGAGUGCAACUGUGUGAAAAGCAAAAUAAUCAGAAAAAAGGCUAAGCUUAUCAACUUUCUGCAGCAAUCAAAUUAAAGAAAAAGUUUUUAACAUUUCUUUUUCUUUUCUAGGUUCUCUUGAUUAACAAAUCAUAGUUACCCAAAAAGACAGAUGUGCAAAAAAUUUUGCCCUGAUUUUGACAAAGAUUUGAAAUCUGAUCUCUUAAAUAAACAGAAAGCUUUUCAGUCAAGUCUUUAUAAAAUCCAUCAUGUUAUAAGCCAUAGUAAAUCUUGUCAGCAAAGCCGUAAUCUCACCCAAAAGGGAAAAAGGAAAAUAAUAUACUGAGCGUUCAAUCAGGGAGAAUAAACAUUAAGUUUUCCAAACCUUUUCUUGCCGCCAUUUAGUUUCCCACUGAGCAUCCAACAUUUUAUCAGCAAUUUCUCUUUGAGCAUUAAGAAGAACAGUCUUCUCAUAUAACUUUUUUGGGUCUUUGAGAUCAUCCUCACUCCAAGAAGAGGCAUUUAGUGGAAGGUCCAGGUCCUGCAAGUGCUCAACAGUUGGCUCCAAUAAUAUUUCCUUAAUUCUAUUUAGCACUACCAACAUGUAAUAAAAAUUCAAGCAAAUACUGGAUAUCUAAACUACAGUGUAUAGAUUAGCAAUAUAGGGUACGCACACCCCAGUUUUCAGGCCGCAGUGGAGGAUCAAGCUUCAUGACUUCUGUCUCUAGAGCCUUCUUGGCCUUGUAGUAAGGGAUGUUUUUCACUAUAACAGGGUCUUCCCUAGCACGGACAGGAUCUAUGGAGAUCAAGGCCUGCAAAUGAUAAAUGAUUUCAUAUUAGUGACUUUGAGCAAUAGUGCACAAGUAGGUAGAGUCCUGCUCUUGGAAUCCUCAAAGAGAAGGAUUGGCGAGAGCCAUUUCCCAGUAGUGGAGUGGACCGAGGAGCAUAGCAUUCGAAGGUCAGCAUAAGGAGCGUAGCGUUUGAGGGUCAGUAUCUAUCUUCUAGUUUUUUUCAUUAUUUAUUUUAUAAUCAUUAUGUUGAUUUCCGGUUGCAUUGUGCAGAAGUUCAAUUAUCAAUACACAGAUAGGAAUAGGAACAGAAAGUGUUUGCAUACAUACACACAGACAAACAAUGGAGUCAUCAACUGAUUGAAAGAUAUCAAUAUAUGUCAUUAAUCAUGAUCCUCACCAAAUAGAAAAAGGUAAAUCAGUUACAUUUCUAAACAGUAUAAAAUCCAGACAAUUAGAACAUCUUGAAUAUUGAAAUCUUUUUCACUCUUUCAUAUUCAUUCCAGGAUAAACAAAUAACUUCGUACAAUCAUGUUUGAUACAUCAAAAUUGGAAAGGGAUUCUGGAAAUGAAAUAGAAAAGGGGUGGAAAAUUAGAGCAUUAAGAAUGGAAUUUCAGUUAUUCAAUAAUAUGAAAAUAUUGCAUAAUUCAUGUGUCCUUUAGAAAGAGAUAGGCCAUAGGGGGGAGUUUCUGUCAUGUCAAGUAAUCCCCACAAACUCACAAGUUCAUCAUGUGUAAGUACUAAGGUCAAUAUUCAAAAUGUGAUAAAACUUCAGGAAAAGGAAACAAAACUGAAACCAGAACUUAAGGACUGGUUAGAUAAAUCAGGACUUGAAAAUUCAUCGGAAGUCUUUUUGUUUUAAACAGAAAAAAAUUUAAAUUAAAGUGCUUAAACUUUUUAUUCAAUAUGAAUCUCUGCAAAAAGGGAACACACUAGAUGGAAACAUAGUUUAAUAAAGACAAAUUUAUAUAAUACUGGGAAGUACUUGGAAAGUAUGAAAAGAAAUAAGAAAUAACAUAAAGUAAAUGAAAUCUUUCACAACUUCCCACAGAAUCCAAGUAUUAACCACAUUGCUUUUCAACAUCCAUCCCAUGGAAACAUCCAAUUGGCCAUGACCAUAUCAUUAUCAUUCUUUUACAGGACAUUACACAGCAGACUGCCAACUUUUUCUUUUUUGUAGAAAAGUCACAUUUGUGAACUGAAAGAGUCAGUGAAUUUCGGAAGAAGAGAUAUUUGCAGUAAGAAGAUUAUCUUACUUCCUGCAAGUGCUCCCAACCGGGACUUCUCUUGGCCACCAACUCACGAAGUUGAUCGUACCUCAUAGAUUCCUAACCAUGCAAAGACCAAAAAAAUACAAUCACCCACCAUUAGCAGCAGUAAUUUCAAAGAUCAAAAUACUGAAUAACCAUAAUAACAAUAUCAAUUCAAUUGUUAGCCUGAAUAUGAGAUGUUCAGCUCUAAGCAUACUGUUAGAGAGUUCAUAUUAUUUUUAUGUUCUUCUUUCAGCUUGCGUGGAAUAAGCAAAAUGGUGAAGCCACAACUUUAGGUAAAAUAAAUAAGAAUUAAAACAUGUGGCAUUUCAUAAAUGGAAGUUCAAGAAUUAGCUGGAACCAUAUAUCCAGUUACUGUUGGGAUGAAAAUAAAAGGUCAAUGACUCUGUGCAGCUAAUGCAUGGAUUAAAAAGAGCAUUAUCAUUAUGCUUUCAAGCUCAGGCUAAGUACUGGUGCCAAGUUUUAGCAUGCUUUUUUACAGACACGGUUUUAACCAAAACUUCCACACACUGAGCAGGUAAUAUGGAAUAUGGGAUGUCAGACUCUAAUUUCUAAAGUAUACAGCAAAAUCAAUAAUCUAGCCAAAACCUUUUAUUAGACAACGCUUAAAGAAAAUGAACAAUUUUAUAAAAUUUUAUGCAUGCAAUGACAUUUUUUAUAACAGCGGCAGAAUCUUGACUUUGAAAAAAUAAAUUUGCAAUCCAUAGUACAUAAGGUGUAGAGAGAGAAAGAGACAGAGAGACAGAGAAAGAGAGAGAGGAUGGAAAAUUGCAAAAUAAAUAGUAACCAAAUAAUAAUAGGGGGAGAAAGAAAAAAUCAUUCUGGAACCUUGUAUUGCCACCAAAUUUUCUGCUUGACCUCAUCAUCAAAGUCAAAUCCACCCACAAUUUGAGGAAAGGUCAUCAACCAGAAUGCUGCAAUACUGGGGUCUCUCAUGCUUUCAACUAUAUGCUGAAACAGUAAACAAAGUCAAAAAACAUAGUAUGAAUUAGAACAAAAUGUUGUUCUAAGGCACUAACUCUGAAAUCUGCAUUAGCUAUAUUUUUAUGUAAAAAGAAUUUAUAGACAGUAAUCAUAUUUAUACAUAAAAAGAACGAUGAUUUAAAAAGCAUUGCAUACCGGGAAAGGAAUAUAGUAACAACAAAGUAGACAAUAAAAUUGACCUUCAAGAAUGACUAUCCCAUGAAUAACAGCAAACUAUAUAUAUCCAUUCGAAAGAAUGUUACAACCCUAAUUGAACGUUUUCCCAAAUCCUGUAAUUCCUUUCCUACAUGGAGCUCCACUGAACAAUUUGAGCAUUUCUUCAGUCAGGGUAAUGCCCAUUGAGGACCAACAAAAGGAAGCCUCAAACAACGUCUUUACAAACUUUAAAAAUUCUUUUGGAGGACUGAAAGUGGAUUGUCCAAUGUUGGAAUGUUUCAAAGAACUUAAAGAAGAUUGCCCAAUGUUGAUAACUACGAUGAUUUCUAAAAUUUUUACAAUUUGUUGUUAAGUAAUCAAGAUAUGUCCUUCAAUUGUACAUUACUUCCAAAGUGUGAAUAUUAACAAAGUUGUGUGAUGAAGCUGUACAAAUAUUAUCAAAUCACCAAAAAGUUUUCCAAUCAAAACUAGAAUAUUGCAAAGAACAAGAAAAUUUGAAAAGAAUUAGAAGAGACUCCAUCAUUUUGAUAAUUACAAACUGCAGCUUCCAUUAGUACAUGAAUCCAAGAUAUGAAGCAACAAGGCUUUUUAAAUAUUCAUAACAGUGAAAGAUUUAAAACUACUGCUAACAAUAAAAUUUUUUUUGAAACGGAUAUGAUACUGACCUCAUACGGGUAAUCCAUCUUUCUCAGUACAUUGUAGGCUUUCCAUGGAGGUUCCAUGAUCUGCAGAAAGAAAACAAGGAUAAAACUGCAUCAAUUCAAAUUUAUAGCAAAUAGACAUCAGUGUAACUAAGUACAGCUCUUUUAGCAGUGUCACAAAUAUCUACAAUUUGUCGGACAUUUCUACAGUAGAAUAUUUGGCGUGUCAAAGAAUUAGUAACACAUCAAGCGUGUCCACCUUCUCCAACAUCUAUGUAGAUGGUUACAGCAUAAUGAGAUUCAUUUUUCGUAGAUUAUAGGUAAUAUUUUGAGGUACUAUGUAAACUUUGUUAUGGAACUCCUACAUACUCACAAGCUUGAUUGUUGUUUUAUUUUCUAUGAUCCUUCUAAACAAACAAAACACGAAACUUUAUGAGUGCACAAACAUAGAAGUACAGACGUACUGUAUCUAAAUUUCUGUAAGCUGCCAUGUCUGGCACUGCAUGUAUGUAUUAAACAAAAAACUCAUUUUUGUAUCCACAGACCAUAUCAUAACAUUGAAGUAUCAAAAAAUUCAUAGAACAACUCACAUCGUCGGCAGAGAUCGUGACUUGUAGCUUGUUUUUGCAUUCAGGACAGCCCAUUACGCCCUGCAAACACAUUUAGUUAUUUCAAUCAGAGAUCAAAAUAAAAAGAAUACAAGUCAAAUAUCUGUCCAGUCUCUUGGCUAUAACUUUCAUUCUUUUUGACCCAAACAAAAUAAUAAUAUGGUUGAAAUAUCUCUUUCUAAAAUGCUGCAUGGGAAUAUAUUCAAAGCAGCAAACUAUCUGUGAGACAAGAAACAUGAAUGAAGGGUGGGAAGAACUUGUUAACUUAGUCACAUGUGCUAGGAAAUAACAGCCUCACCGUUCCAUCACAAGUUGGGCAGUCUUUAGAUGGCAAUGGUGUGUUAAGAUCAAUUGUUGAAGGAAGGUGCACCAACUCAGCUCGAUUGUCAGCAAUGGCAUCUGCAACGUGUUCUGCUGUUGCCUUCUCCCCACUACAAGAAAAUUUACCAUAAACAUCAAAUUACUACGGUUGGAUUGACACUUCAUACUUAUAAUAAGAUAACUAAGAUGAUAAAUCAAUAAGACCAACAGUACUAGCUUCUGAUUCUAAGCGCACGAAACCCUACACAAUUUGCAAGCUAAAAGAAAUCAGACCUCAAGGACACCUGCAUGGAAUCCUCAUGCAUUCAUGAAACUGAUAAAGAUCACAGGAGGCAAAGCAGAGUCUUCACACCUUAGGGAUUCCUAUGCUAAUGUUGAAACCAGUAAUUACAUGAUUUAACUACAAUGUGGUAGAUAUAGUGACCAAGAAGUCAUAUUACAUCACUAUUAAACUAUAUCAGCGAAGACAUAGUAGAAAGCCAAUUAUAGUAAUUCUAAGAGAUACUUAAGAGGCGGAUGAGAAAUCAUAUGCAACAUGUCCGCUAAAAAAUGGUUCAAGAGAACAAAUGAGAGUAAUAACCAAUCUGUGAUCAUACACAUGCUUAGAAGUUAACAUACUGAAACUCUCUAGCUAAACUGACUCCCACAAACCAAUUAUUGAACCUUCCAUCUUUGUCUUAGAUGAAGAGAAUAAUAAUCCAGUAUGCUUAAAAAUAUCAAACUGAUUGGAGACCAGUCUCUACCUUCUCAAGGUGUAACCUUUUACUUGAUACUGCACCUGACCUGAUCCUCGGCACAUGGUACACCGCAAUGCCUGCCAUCCGUUGCAUGUCCGACAAUGCCUGCACUUUUUAGACCAAGUUCUUGUAAGAAACCAGGUAAUUCUUUAAACAAAAUGCAUAUAUGUACUCCCCUUCAAUUGUGAAAAGCUUGAUACAGAAAAUUCUAUCUUGAUGAAAGAACUAAAGCGAAGACAAACUAAAAUGACAAACAGAAAACGAUCAACGAUGAUAACAGAGCGCCAGAAUAAAAAAUUCAAGAAGAUAUCGAAAAGCACCUCUGACAAAUCACCUUCUUCCCCAGCUCAAAUGCAAUAUCAUAGGUCCCAAUUGCAGCAACAGCCUGCACUCAUACCCGUCCAAAAAAAGACAACAACAAUUCAUUUUAAAAUGUUCCCAAUAAUUUAGCAACCAUCCAAAUGAGAAGAGAGAAAAAAAAUAAUUUUGAAGGCAUUAAAUAUGAAAUUUCACAAAUUCUAUAAAUAGUUGUCAAUUACAAACUGUUUUAUCUUUCUAUAAACACACUGAGAAUCGAUUGAAUUUCGAGAAAAGCUAGAGAAAGAGAAGGCGCUUACGAAGACAGAAACAUAAGAGAGCUUGGAGAUGAGCUCGGGGACACCGAAGCCGCGAGGGGCGGAGCCAGCGAUGUCAAAAGCGAGUGUAAAAGGAGACAAGACGAGCUUAAUUGGGAACUCGAAUAUGUCAAUGAGUUGCUGACCGUGUCGAGUCGUGAACUGCUUGUAAUGAAAGUCCGUGAACUGCUUCACGCUCUUCAUAAAACGGUCGGAGCCUCUCGACAUUUUUCAGAAUCAUUUAAUAAGCGUAUCAAAUGAGAGUCAGUGAGGGAGAAAAUGUAGAAGAUAGGCAAAGUGUUUAUGUUGGGGACUUGGUGGGUUUAUCUUCUGGGUUUUGGAUAAGCUGAGUUCAGGGGUAAUGUAUCACUGUAACCAAACUGCAGCGUAUCAAUUCCUUGACGUGUCUUUAAGGGUAAACUGGACUUUUUGUAAUUUAUAUGGGCAUAUACCUCAAGAAGGUGAAAUUAACAAGAUAAAAAUGCCUACGAAAAAGAAUAUCCAGUUGAGUGGAAUCAUUUCUUGAUUGCUUUAUGCAAUGUUCUGUAUAAGAUCAUAUCCAAAAUGUUAGCUAACUGCAUAAAAUCAAUUCUUGAUUUGGUUAUUUUAGAUUCUCAAAGUGCUUUUGUCCCAGGUCGAGCUAUCACUGAUAAUAUAAUCAUUUUCGGCUGAAAUUAUGCACCUCUUAAAGUGAAAGCGGCAAAGAAAAAAUGGUGUAGCUGCUCUGAAAAUUGAUAUGUCUAAGGCGUAUGACAAGAUUGAGUGAAAUUUUCUUCAAGCUAUGAUGCUUAAGUUGGGGUUUGAUGCCAAGUGGGUGGAGUUAAUUAUGCUUCGUGUAUCAACUAUCUGAUAUAGUGUGCUACGGGAGGGGAAGGAAGUUGGUCCGAUUGUUCCUUGUAGGGUUCUUCGUCAAGGAGACCCAUUAUCUCCGUAUUUAUUCAUUAUUUGUGCAGAAGGAUUAAGCUCUUUAAUUCGAAGGCAAGAAAGGAAUGGCUUGCUUCAUGGUGUUAGAAUUGCGAGAGGUGCUCCAUCGGUGUCUCACUUGUUCUUUGCCGAUGAUAGCUUCCUUUUCUUUAGGGCAAAUAACAAUGAACCUUCCUUAAUCAAGUAGUUACUGGCAGUAUAUGGUCGAGCCUCUAGUCAAGAGGUUAAUUUCAAUAAGUCUUCAAUUUCAUUUAAUGCUAAUGUGCUUGACUCUGUAACUCGGCAGGUAUGUGAUGUUAUUGCGGUUAACACGACCACUAAUCAUGGAGCCUACCUUGGUCUUCCAUCAUAUAUUGGCAGAAAAAAGAAAGAAGUUUUCAGGCAUAUUCGGGACAGGCUCUGGCAAAGGCUUCAGGGUUGGAGUACGAGGAUGCUCUCUCGGGUUGGAAAUGAGAUUUUAUUAAAGACAAUGGCCCUCACUAUGCCUAAUUAUGCUAUGAGUAUUUAUUUGCUGCCAAAGGAUAUGUGUAGAGAAUUAGAAGUGAUGAUGAAUUCAUUCUGGUGGCGUAGCAAUCGUAGUGGAGGGAAAGGAAUUAAUUGGCUUAAAUGGGAGAAUCUAUGCAAACUAAAGGGGUGCGGUGGCCUUGGCUUUAAACAACUUCAUUUAUUCAAUAUAACGAUGCUAGGAAAACAAUUGUGGAAAUUGUUAACUUGUCCUGAUUCUCUUGUAGCUAAGAUUAUUAAAGCUCGCUACUAUCUGCGAACCUCUGUCCUUCAAGCUUCUGUGGGGCAUAAUCUUAACUAUGUGUGGCGCUCUAUUUUGGUUGCAAAGGAUGUGGUGAUUCAAGAGAGUCGACUGCAAGUUGGAUGUAGGCAUACGAUCUCCAUUAGUAAGGAUCCAUGGCUUCCCGAUCUCAAUGAUGGUUUUGUUUCUUUUAAUUUUAAUGCAGAGCUUGCUACAACACUUGUUAGUAGUUUAAUGGUGUCUAAUCAACAAGCCUAGGAUUAUGAUAUUGUUUAGGAUAUGUUCAACACAAGAGACAAGGAGAUGAUUCUUCAAAUUCCCCUUAGUUCCCGUUGAGACAAUGAUGUAUGGUAUUAGCUAGCUGAUCCUUGAGGCUGUUAUUCGGUUCGUAGCUGUUACAAGUUAUUUCACUCUAUUACCCUUGGCUCUUUCACACGUGUGUGGCGAAAACUAUAGAACUUGAAUGUGCCGAGUAAGGUUAAGAAUUUUGUUAGGCAAGCAGCAACAAAUGUACUGCCUACUGCAGUUAAUUUAAUUUCGAAAAAGGGUGAAUCUUAUCUCUACUUGUGUUGUGUGCCAUGCUUUUGACGAAACUGUUCUACAUUCUUUGCUUAAGUGUUGUUUUGCUAACUCUUAUUGGUUUUUUUUCCUAUGUGGGUUUUGUUGGCCAUUGCUCUUCUUUCUUAGAGUGGCUUGAUCACAUUUUUACACGAUGCAGUAAAGAAGAGUGCCAUGUUGCCAUGAUGAUUUGCUGGAGAAUUUAGGUUAAUCGUAAUGACAAAGUAUGGAAUAAUAAAGCUAGUUUAGUGUAUCAGGUUCUUAACUCUGCUGGGCAGCUUCUCUAUCAGUGGCAAGAAGCAAAGAAGCAACAUUUUUAUGUUGAUGCUGAUGUUCAAAAACUGGUUCAUGGGGCAAUGUGUUGGGAGAAGCCAAAGUUUGGUUGGGUUAAGUGUAAUGUAGUUGUUGCUAUUUUUUCAUCCCAGGGAAAGAUUGAGUUUGGUUGUGUGCUUCAAAACUCAGAGGGCGUUUUCUUGGCAGCAAGAUGUGCUGGUAUGGUUGGAAAUUUUGGAGUAAGGGAGGCUGAAGCUCUUGGCAUCCAAGAGGCCCUUAGUUGGCUUAAAGGAUUGCAGUUUCCUUGCAUUAUUCUAUAGAUGGAUUGCUUACAAGUGUUCCAAGCUUUAUUUGAGGAGUUUUCAGGGCCUAAUGGUUUUGGUUUAAUAAUUGACGAAUGUCAAGCUUUAGCUAUAUCUAUAGGAGAAGUGUAAUUCUCGUUUGUGCGUUGGUCUAUGAAUCUAGCUGCUCACUCUGUUGCGAGGCAGGAAGUUCUAUGUCAGGUUCCCAAGAGUGGAAUUUUGUUCCACCUUUGUGGUUAUUAAACAGUUUGUAAUUCGUUUUGUUUAAUGAAAUUGUUUUCCUUUAAAAAAAAAAAAGAAUAUCUAGUUGAGAAUUAUCAAACUUCAUUCUUAACUUUCAAGUAUCAAGUCGGGUACAUUUAAGUAGGUGGAAAAAAAUCAAGUCGAAUGGUAAAUAAGUCAAGUAAAAAGUUAAGUAGUAAGUUGAGAAAUAGAUCAAAUUAAUAUAUUUAAUUUUUAAAUAAUUAUAAUAUUAUAUAUCUUUAUCUAAAUGAGUAUAAGAUUUUUUUAGGGGAAAGGACCGUGAGACCCUAACGUUUAAGUAAAGAAAUAUAAAGCAUUUUAACAUUUCAAAAUAGACAUAUAUUCCCUUUCUGCUAGUAAGUUCUGUUUGUUUUAAGAGUAAAUUUAUUUUUAAUUUAUAAUUACUAUUAUAUUCUUGAAAUAAGUAAAUUGAUAUAUUAACAAAAUAUAUUUGAUUAAAUUCAAUCAUCAACUGGGCUACCACAACUCCUGACGCCAUGCGCUUUGAUAAUGAGAUCAGAGCCAAAUACACGUAGCAAAUAAUGACAGCUGCCAUAAACUUCAUAUGGAGGCUAUUCCAGCAAAACACUUAUGCCAAUGGUAGAAAUAUACCUCAAGUUGCCUUAUUCAUUGAUGACUUGAAACUCAAGGAACUUGCUUUCACAUACAAUAAUAGAAUCCAUUUCGGUGACGAUUUUAUUCAAAACAUUCAUGCUGAUUCGACAAGCAAGAGUCUAAUGGAGUUAUGUAUCAUGAUACGAUGCAUGUGUGGCUGUGAAAUGACAUGCCCUUAAUGUUGGAUGUAUGGAUGGAAAUAAAAUCCGAAUCUGACCCGCAUCUACAAGGAUCCGGAUCUGAAAAUGAAAAUUCGCAUGGAUUCAAAUGUACUUGCAUCCGAAAAACAAAUAUCCGGAUCCAUAUGAAUUUUGUUUUAAAUUAAAAAAUGUAUAUAAUAUAUUAACUUAAAUAAAAAAAAUCUAAUCCCUAAACUUAAGUCAAUAUUGCAUUCAACUUUCACACACACUCACUUACUCAUGUUGUUGUUGCCAAUGCCCAAAACCGAAGUAGCUCACCACCAAUAGUUGUAACCGGUAAUCCUCAAAUCCCUAACGCCCAAAAUCAAAGGGUUUGUAAUGCUAUCGACCAGUCGUUGUCUUCCUCGCAAUCUCACCCGAGCCUCGCGUCAAAGCUCGCCUGAGCACGUUGUUGUCACUAUGCACUACACGCCUUGCUGUCAUCUAAGCCUCACCUAUGUUGGAGCCUCGUCAUGCCACUGUUGCAGCAUUUAUCACCACCGUGCAAUCCUUGCCUGAUUGGAUCGUUCUUGCCUAUAAUUUGCUCUUUUGUUUCUAUUAAUUUUAUGUUCUUCCUAUUAAUUUCAUGGCUUUUUUUUGUUAAUAUUUUGGUAUUAUGGUUAAUUGUUUGAUUGUAUUUAAUGAGUUCAAUCUAAUAUAAAUCUAUUUAAACUUGAAAAUGUUGCUGGCUUAAUUUAAAAUUCCUUGCCGAUUCAAUUAAAUUUAUUUUUUAUUAAUUGUCUUUGUUGUUUUGUUUAAUUAUUUUAAUUAAAUGCAUUAAGUUUCAAUAUAAUGUAAAUGCUUAAUCUCAUUUUUUUUUUCAGUAUGCUAACUCAUUUUACGAAGUACUUUAAUUAGGUUUUAGGAUUAGUUGAACAUGGCCGAAGAGGAACAAGAAAGUAAUUUUUCAUUCUCUCCAAAUAGCGUUAAUAAUGCGGAUGUUAGAUUGGAGGAUGUUCACAAACUUGAAAAUGACAAUGUUGUUGAAGUUGAAUCGAUGGUAGAAAGUAGUAGUGGUCGUGGUCGUGGUCGUGGUCGUGGCGAUGCGCGUGGUGUCGAACAAAAAGGAGGUAAUGAUAGUGGAGGUGUAGCGGAAGGGUCUACAUCAGCACAAUCUAGUAGUGGUGUGCUAAUUUCUGAUGUAUGGAAUCAUUUCAAGAGGUACAAAGACGCAGAUGGGGAGUAUCAAGCAGUUUGCAACUAUUGUAGUAAAGUAUUGACUAGACAUUAUUCUAGUGGGACUACACACUUAAAAAAUCAUUUUACUAGUUGUUUAAGAAAGAAUUUCAAGGAUGUUGGCCAAAUGCCUCUUGCCAAGAACAAUGAUAGAACCGUCAUAGUUGAGAGUUGUUCUGAAGUAAAAUGUGAUAUGGUGGAUGAUCAUUUUACACGAGCUUACAUUUUCAUUUGUUGGAUAUCAAGGGUUUCGUGGUUUGAUGAAGUUGGUUUAACCAUCACUUGAUAUAAUAAGUAGAAACACUAUCAAGAAUGAAGUUUUGAAGCUUUAUGAUGUUGAGAGGUCGAAGACAAUAAAUUUGUUAGAUGCUUGUGAAAGUAGAAUUGUAAUUACUACGGACAUGUGGAAAGAUAGUAACAAAAAAAAGUUUGUAUAGUUAUUACGACCCAUUAUAUUGACAACUUCUAGGUGCUACAGAGUCACAUUAUAAGGUAACACUUAAUAUUUAUAUUAUGUUUAUUUCAAUAUUAACGCAUUUUAAUGAUUUCAAUUACAUUAUUCUUUGUUUUUUUUGUAUUAUUAGGUUUAUAUAUAUGACAACUCCACAUAGUGGUGAAGUGAUAUGUAAUGUUUUGUAUGAUUGUUUGAUGGAUUAAAAUAUUGAUAGGAAAGUGUCAAUUGUGAUUAUGGAUAAUUGCGCUGCUAAUGAUGCGAUGAUUAAUAUAUUGUUGGAUAAAUUUUCAUCAAGCUCAUUGAUUUUAGGCGGGACAAUUUUUCACACGUGUUGUUGUGGCCAAUAAUAUUUAACAUCCAAAAAACUCCCAAAUAAAAUGCGCCCCAAGCCGAAAUAUCAACUAUUCCUUAUUCCUGGUCCAACCCACCCAACUAGAAGAAAGCGGAUGGGUGGGGCAAAUAAGAAUAAAGUAGAAGCUUGCUAAUAGAAACGUAGUGAAGUAGAUUUGUCUUGUCUUUUUUAUUGAUCAAAAAGAUCCUUUACUCUCAUUGAGCACAGAUGUUUCAAUACUCUGUAGCUUGGUCGACAAUGACCAGGCCACGAAGUUUAUAAAGCCUCCUCGUAGAUACACCCACCCUCUAAGUUAGUCGACAGCCACACCAACAUAUAAAGUGUAAGUGUGAAAGUAGGCCAAGAGUUGUAGAACUCGAGCGGCUACCCAUGGGUAAACCAUACUAUGUUCGCCUUCUUCUCGCUUCCCAAACCUGAAUCACUGAAAGGGGCUUGUAUUAGUAACCACACCCAUGACUCAGUCAAGUCGUUACUUAACAAGCCUUUACAGCUCAGAUCUUUAUGCCAACCAUAAUACAAAAGAAAAAUCAGUCAAAGUUAUUUUUAAACUAAAUGAAUCAAUGCCAAAGCUUCUAAACUAAAUGAAUCAAUCUACUAAAGCUUUCAAGAUAAGAAGUCACAAGAUGUAACAACACACAAUUUUCAGUAUUUUAGAUUUUUAAGUAAUAACACAAGCUCAAACUAUAACGACUUUGUUAGCCAAGAUAAUGAAGUAGCUAAAUGUAAUCACAUUUAUGCAAUACUAACUAGGCAACCUAAGAGGGGGGUGAAUUGAGAUAUUAAAAAUUAAUCAAUUCUAAAACAAAACUCAAUGCAAAUAAAAAACUAAUUUAAAGCAAUAACAAAUAAAUAAAUCACAAUAUAAAAAGAUAAGGGAAGAGAGAGCAAACACAAUGAUUUUUACAUGGUUCGGCAAUCCCCGUCUACGUCCACGCCUCCAAGCUCACCGGGCUUGAGAAUUUCACUAAGCAAGCCUCCAAGGCUUCAAAUGCUUACAAUUGACUUCCAAGGUGUCAAUGUACCUUCACAAUAAUAGAUUAUCCUCAAUCUCUAAACCCAAGUGUAUCUCAACACUUACAAUCUCUUAACUUGAUUUUACAAAAAGGAUUACAAAUGAAUUUCUCUCACACAAUGUGUUUGAUCACAAAUGAAAGCUCAAUGUGUGAAUGAAUGAGAUGAAUACAAAGAUUUAAAGCUCAAUGAUAAUUGUUGGAAUUCUUCUUGUUUGAAUUGGAUUGAACUUUCUGCUCACUGUCAGAUCGCCGCUAAUUAGAUGUCGGAUCGCCGUUUGACUGGUCAAUAUGACCGUUGGGCUGAAUUUUCAAAUUGUCGGAUCGCCGUUUUAUAGAUGUCAGAUCGUCGUUAGCGUCCAGAGGCUAAUCUUUCAAUUAUGUGCAAUGUCGGUUAACCGUUAUCUAGAUGUCAGAUCGCUGUUAGUGUCUAGAGACUAAUCUUCAAUUCUGUUAGAUGUCGGCGAGCCGUUAUCAAGAUGUCGGAUCGCCGUUUUCUACAGUGAACUGCUACAGUGAAUUAUUUUAUAAAAUAACAGUUUGAUCCCAAAACUUUAUAUAACUGUACUAUGACCCAAAACGUUAUAAAUUUUACAAAUAGGUCCAAUUUCAGAAUUUCUAAAUAAUGCUUAAUAUUCCUAAAACUUUUGAAAAUUAUGAUAUGGCCCAAAAUGCUAUGAAUACUUUUCAAAUAAAUCCUUCUCCAAAAUUUCAAGCAAUACUUGUUGAUUUCAAAGUUUUCAAAACUCUUUCAAUUAAACCAUAAACUUGAAAAACAACUAAUUUCAUAAAAUCAUUUUUCCAUUAAAUAUAAAACCUUUAAAAUGUGAAAAUAAUGAUUUAUUUAAAAUGUAUAAAAAUAAUUUGAGCUUUUAAAAACUGAAUCAUUCUUAAUUUUGUUUGUUAUAAUCAAAAUCAACAUUAUGAAUACAUAAAUGUUAACAAUUUAUUCAUUAAUCGAAGACAAAUUAUAUAUAAAAAAAGUUCAUAAGAAAGCUUUUCAUCUAAUAAACUAUAUUCAUCAAUUCAACAAAAAUUAAACCCUAAUCUACUAAUCCCAACACCAAAAAAAAUAAUUAAGAAAAAAAAACUAAAGAACAAUAAAUAAGAAAAUAAAUUCAACACAACUCAUCUUCACGGACGUGGCAACAAUGACUGAGAGAGGCUUCAACAGGAACGAUUAGUGAUAAUGACUGAGGCGACGAGCUUAGGUGACGGAUACAAUCACAGUCACGAGAAGAUACAUGAAAUAGUGUGGCUGACUGAGUAGAAGAUGACGACUAUGAAACGAAAAGUGGAAGAGAUGGCAAGCUAGUGACGGUGGUAGAUGGGGAUUGCAAUGCAUCAACAUUGGCAUGAAUGAGAGUGAGAGUGAGAGUGAGAGAGAAUAAGUAGAGAGUUAGGGUUUAGAAAUUAGAAAAUAUUAAUUUUAGUUUUUAUGUUUCUUUACUCAUUUAUUUUUUUAGUUUUAAUUGAAAGAUCCAAUCGGUUUUUCGCUGAUGAAGAUGAUCAUAGUCGUGAGAAGUUCUAUAAAAAUUGUGUGUCUGGCUAAGUUGAAGAUGACAACAACGAGACGAACAGUAGAAGGGAUGGCAAACAAUUAAUGGCGAUAGAUAGGGAUUGGGGUGUGUCAGUGUUAGCAUGAGUGAAAGUGGAAAUGGAAGGGGGGGGGGGGAAGAGAGAGAGAGAGAAAGAGAGAAUCGCGAGUUAGGUUUAGAAAUUAGAAAAGGGAAAAAGUCAUUUUCAUCCCUAGAGUUUCAUGCAAUAGCUCAUUUCAUCCAUAAUUUUUAAAUCAUAACCCAAAACAUCAUUCCGCUAAUUCACUGUUAGUUUAAUGCCGUUAACUAGUAAUUCAUUGAGGGCAAAAUAUGAUUUUUUUUUAUUAAAGUGGUACAAACUAUAUUAAAAUAAUUUUUUUACACAACUAAAUAACACUACAAAAUAUGCAAAAUUCAUUAAUUUUUUCUUAAAUGAAAUGAACAAUGAAGUGGUUUGAUAUAGCCACUGAAUAAUUGUCAUAAGCAAAAAAUUGUAAUUAGCACAAUAUCUUUAAAUUAUUGGAAGAAAAACUCAAAAAUACAACCAAUUUUUAUGUGCUUGCAUGUGCUGAAAAUCUUCUUAAUCUUCAACCAAUUUUUAUUUUGAGUUUUACCACCACUCUUCUUUGACCAUUAUUGUCUCCCCAAGUCCUAACCACUAUCUCCCAAGUCGGCUCACAGUGUAAUUAGAGAGUAUAUUUAUACGAAUAUGAAAAUUGUGAUUAUUUUUUGUACUUCAAUCUAGGACUUCCAUGCCGCCAAAAUAUAGAGAAGUGCAAAAUAAUUGCUUAAAAUAUAAGUUUUUAUUUUUUUUCGGUAUUUCCUGUUCAGUGCGAUUAGAUAAACAUCUUUUUUAGUUAUAUGUCAACAUUUAUUUAUUUUUUCUAAUUUUCUCUUUAAUGAAAAAUCCUUUUUACCUUCAAUGAAUAACUAACAAAUGACAUUUAACUAAUAGUGGGUUAAUAAAAGGAUGUUUUGAGUUAUUGUUUAAAAAAUAGGGAUGAAAUUGGCUAUUGCAUAAAACUCUAAGAAUGAAAAGAGAUUUUUCUCAUUAGAAAAUAGAAAUUUUAUUUUUUAUGUUUCUUUACUUACUCAUUUUUUUAUUUUAAUUAAAAGAACCGAUCGGUUUGUUGGUUUGGUUUAGUUUUUAGUCAAACCUAACAUAAACCAAUCGGUUACUCAAUUUAUGGCCUUUUCGAUUUUUGGCCUUGGAACUUAACUAAGAAAUUUUGGUUUCUUUUGGUUUGGUAGUCACCCUAGGAAUAAUGGGAAUAGGUAGUGAAUGGAUUUGAUUUUUUUUUUUUUUUGGGUUUAUUGUUAGUGUUUGUGAUAGACAUGUGUUGAUAAAAUUGCUCCAAAUGUUUAAAAUUAUGAAAAAAAUAUAUAAACGAAGCGGCUUGAAAAUUGAAAAACACAAAAUAGGCCCAAUAGCCUUAUAACCAUAUAAUCGAUGAACAAAACUAGAACCGAAUGGUUGGGUUCUUUCUCUUACUUGGUUCAUGUUCAAUUAAAAAAAAAAAACUUAUUUGAUUCAGCUUGAUUUAGCACUGAAUCGCACCAUGCCUAGGAUUGACAUUUCUCAACAAACUAAUCAAUCAUUCAAGAAUAACAAUCUCUAAGAAUAAAAAGAACUAAUCUGCAAAAAGGGAAAAAAAAGAUUGUUCUCAAUUUGCGCAAACCAAUUGAAUGGACGAGAGCCACAAAUUUAAAAAAGUUAAGAAAUUGGAUUGAUGAUUGAUAUAAAUAGUUUGUAGAAAAAAUAAAAACAAAAAUAAAAAGCAUGCUUAUGCGAGUAAAAUGCUUUGAAGAGAGAGAAAAUAUAAGUUGGAUUAAUAAGAUUUUUAUUUGUUCUUACGUGUAAUUGAAAGUUCGAAACAGAAGUGGGGUUUUAUGAGAAUAAUAAACGGGUGCUAAUAGCACGACUUUUAAGCGUUCUUAAAUGCAAUUGAAAUAGUGGUUCAGUUUUAUGAGAACAACGCGGGCGCCGGGGGGGGGUUGGGGGGGGGGGGGGGGUGGGGUUGGUGGUUAUGAGGAAUCAGAAGUUCUCAGUUGGGCCCAACAAGGCUCUCUAACCCAACUAUUACAAUUGAUUCAAUCAUUUUAUCGGGUAGGAUUCCCGUAACUUACGAAAUUACCCUUUGACUGUAACAGUCAAACAAAAGAAAUGUUUGGUGCGGAAGAGUCAGCGCCAAUUUGGACAUAAAAUUCAUUUACGUGUAAAUUGAAUUUAAUCGAGGGGAGGAUAAUGAAAAAUAGCCAGCAUUGAGUGAAAAAUUGAUAAUAUUAAUAUUACUUUAGAUUUAAUUUAAUUUUUUUUAAUUUCUAGCCAUUCGUAUGGGAUCUACCUUGAAUCAACAAAUUUCAUCAAAUUGACUAACUUCGAUUCAAUUGUUAAGUAUAGGAUAGUGUGAUGCAAGAAUUUUGUGAUUCCCCAUUUCCAUGAAUAAAAUUAGAGUUUAAUUUUCAUUCAUACAAUAUUUAAUGGGAAAAAAAAUCGGAUUGUAUAAAUUAAAGUUGAUUUGUUUAAUUGUUUCCCAGGUUGAUACCUCAACAACAUAAAUCAUGGAACCUUGAACGACCAAUUGUUGAUGAUGUGUUGGUGUUGGCAUUUCCCAUGCCGCUAAAAUAAAUUAUUCCAAUUUCGAAGAAAACAACAUCGCUUUUGUAAGUGUAGAUUUAUUGAGAUUUGUUUUUUUAGGGUGUCAAUUUUUCCCUACAAUAAUUAAUAUAUAUAAUUUUCCUCUUUUCAUUUUUAUAAUGACUAAAAAUCUUCAUGACAGCAUAAGUUUAUAAUAUUACUUUUAUUUUUAAUUACUCUUUUAUUUAUAUUUAUUAUAAAUUAAAUAAAUCUCAUGAAUAGAAAAUAAAUAAAAAAUUAAGCAUUAAAAAAAUAUAUGUUUUGAUAUGAGUAAAAAAAUUAAUAAUAAUUUUUUUUUGUACUUAUUUAUUUUGUAAAAAUUUUCUUAUAAUAAAUAUAUAAGAAAAUUAUUAUAAAAUGAUAAAAAAUUAUUAUAAGAAAACUUGAAUGACAAAUAAAAAUUUAUUAUAAGAUAAAUAAUAAAAUAUUUUGCCUAUACUUUUUCCAUUUAAUUUUAAAAUAUUACAAAAUGUUUAUUAUAAGAAAAUGUUCACAAAAUAAAUAAUUACAAGAAAAAAAUUUAUUAUUAAUUUUUUUGCUCAUAUCAAAACAUAUAUUUCUUGUUUUUAAUACUUAGUUUUUUUAUUUAGAUUCUAUUAAUGUAAUUUAUUUAAUUUAUAAUAAAUGUAAAUAAAGGAGUAGUUGAAAAUAAGGAUAAUAUUAUAAAUUUAUACUGUCAAAGAAAUUUUUUGCCAUUAUAAAAAUAAUAAGGGGGUAAAUGGUAUAUGUUGAUUACUGUAGAGGAAAAUUAGCAAUCCCUUUUUUUUUUCUCCUUUUGGUUCAUAGAAACUUAUAGUGUUUGCAAAUAUAUUUUUUAUUUUGUUCAUAAAUACCACAUUAUUUUAGGUUUAAAUCUUAAAUCUUAUUCUAUAUAUUGUAUUGUAUUUGAAUUCGAUGCAGUCUUAUUUAGUUAUUAUUAGUUUCUGAAUGAAACACAUUCCUUUCAGGAAAAAAGAAAAAAGAAAAAAUAGAUUGAUUUUUUUUUAUAGUUAAAAUUCCAAACACUAUGAUUAAUAGAUAAUGAUUAAUUUGUACUUAUUCAUCUUUUUUCUGUCAUCUUUUUUCAGUCAUUUAAUUUUAGAACAGAAGUUGUUAUUAAAAAAACGUAAAAUAGAUAAGAAAUUUAAAUGACAUAUACCUACAAAUAAAAAUGGAAUUUACUUAAAGCCUUUGAUUGCAACAACUCCACAAUUAAAGCAAUGUCAAAUCUAACUACCACAUUAAUCACCCAUUUACCCAAACUUAAUUCUUGAAACGAAAUCCCAACAACAGCAAAUCUAAUUAUAAGAAUAAGAAAAUCACAUGAAAAUCCACAGAGCAGACGUGGUCAACUUUUGACAAAAAUCACAAACAGGAAUAACAUGUGACCCCUUGAGUUUUUAUAUUUUUCAUAUUUAAGGACUUAGGUUGCGAUUGUUUUUUUAUCUGAAAUCUGAAUAUAUCUGAAUUUAUCUGAAGUCUGAAUAAGUCUGAAUGACAUGUUUGUUUUUUCUUUUUCAACAUCUGAAGAGAAAAAAAAAACUUAAAAACUAGUAGUUUAACAUAAAUAUCCUUUUAAGUGAUACAUAUAUUUGUUCUUUAUAAUUUAUAAUUUUCACAAAUUAAUUAGUUUGGUGGCAUUAAAAAAGAUACUAUCAUUGUUGAUCUUAAUUUAAUUUUUUAAUAAAAGAUGUAAUGAUAACAUCAAAUUUUAUUAUAAAGUCAAUAUUGUAAUUAUAUUUUUUAUUCAUCACAAUAGAUAUAAUUUGAUUUGUUCAAUAUUUUAGUUUUGUUAAUGUUAUCAUGUGAAUCAAAAUUUAAAGCAAUUAAAAAAAAUAACUUCAAGAAUAAUACAAAAAUUAAUGUUUAUAUAUAAUGUUGGAAAUACAUAAAUUGUUAAAGGUAUUUUUGAGAUUUGAAAUUGAAAAUUUUCAUUUAAACUUCAGACUUCAGAUAAAAGUGAAAAUUUUCUACUUUUUCUAUUCAGAUAAAAUUAUCUGACAAUAAGUGAUAAGUUAAAAAAAAAACCUAAAAUAAACAAAUGUCUGAAAAAAAUUAAAUUCACAUUUCAAACUAAAAAUCAAUCAGCACCUUAGAGCAUCACCAAAAGGCUCUUCAAAUAAGAUUUUAUUACUUAUUUAAAGAGCCACAUCAAUAUUUAAAGCUCCAAAAGACACUCCAAUAAAAUUCUUAAAUAAGAAUCNNNNNNNNNNNNNNNNNNNNNNNNNNNNNNNNNNNNNNNNNNNNNNNNNNNNNNNNNNNNNNNNNNNNNNNNNNNNNNNNNNNNNNNNNNNNNNNNNNNNNNNNNNNNNNNNNNNNNNNNNNNNNNNNNNNNNNNNNNNNNNNNNNNNNNNNNNNNNNNNNNNNNNNNNNNNNNNNNNNNNNNNNNNNNNNNNNNNNNNNNNNNNNNNNNNNNNNNNNNNNNNNNNNNNNNNNNNNNNNNNNNNNNNNNNNNNNNNNNNNNNNNNNNNNNNNNNNNNNNNNNNNNNNNNNNNNNNNNNNNNNNNNNNNNNNNNNNNNNNNNNNNNNNNNNNNNNNNNNNNNNNNNNNNNNNNNNNNNNNNNNNNNNNNNNNNNNNNNNNNNNNNNNNNNNNNNNNNNNNNNNNNNNNNNNNNNNNNNNNNNNNNNNNNNNNNNNNNNNNNNNNNNNNNNNNNNNNNNNNNNNNNNNNNNNNNNNNNNNNNNNNNNNNNNNNNNNNNNNNNNNNNNNNNNNNNUAAUCGUCAAAAAUAUAUUGGAAUCCUCGUCAGCUAAAUUUUGUACAACUGUACAAGUGAUAGUCAUUUCAAUUUGUUAAGAAAUCGCAAAAAGAAAAAAAAAUUGCCCACUAUAAUAUUACUGUUUAAAAUAGAAGGCAAGUUUCAUCAUGAUUGCCUUUAAAGCCAAUCCAUCAAAUUUUUCGGUGGAAUUUAUAUGGGUCAUUCUAUAAAUGCCGUUACCUAAAUUUACCGGCAUUGAUGCCGUAAAUGGAUAUGGACCGUUAGAUUUGAAUAAAAAAAUCUCUACCAUUAAAUUUUAAAAUAAAAUAGGUAACUUGUUACCUAAGUAGCAGGUAAUUACUCUUUUUUGUUCAAGUUUCAGGUUACAUUUACUAAUUUUAUGUGUGAUUUACAAGUUUUAUGAAAUUUUUACAAGUUAAUGUUGAUUUACAAGUUUUAUGUAACAUUUACAAGUUUUUGUUUUGUUUACAAGUUCUUCUUAUAAUUUACAACUCUAACAUUAAUUUACCUAUUUUUCCAUUAAUUUACUAGUUUUAUGUGUGAUUUAUAAAUUUUUUGUUCAAUUUCACACUUAAUGUCAAUUUACAAGUUCUAUGUCAUUUUUCUAAGUUUUUGUUUUGUUUACAAGUUCUUCUUACAAUUUACAACUCCAACAUUAAUUUACUCAUUUUUCCAUCAAUUUACUAGUUUUAUGUGUGAUUUAUACAUUUUUUGGUUUAUUUCACACUUAAUGUCAAUUUACAAGUUCUAUGUAUUUUUUCUAAGUUUUUGUUUUGUUUACAAGUUCUUCUUUCAAUUUACAACUCCAACAUUAAUUUACCAAUUUUUCCAUUAAUUUACUAGUUUUAUGUGUGAUUUACAUAUUUUUUGUUUCAUUUCACACUUAAUGUCAAUUUACAAGUUCUAUGUCAUUUUUCUAAGUUUUUGUUUUGUUUACAAGUUCUUCUUACAAUUUACAACUCUAACAUUAAUUUACCAAUUUUUUCAUUAAUUUACUAGUUUUAUGUGCGACUUACAUAUUUUUUGUUUUAUUUCACACUUAAUGUCAAUUUACAAGUUCUAUGUCAUUUUUCUAAGUUUUUGUUUUGUUUACAAAUUCUUUUUACAAUUUACAACUCCAACAUUAAUUUACUCAUUUUUCCAUCAAUUUACUAGUUUUAUGUGUGAUUUACACAUUUUUUGUUUUAUUUCACACUUAAUGUAAAUUUACAAGUUCUAUGUCAUUUUUCUAAAUUUUUAUUUUGUUUACAAGUUCUUCUUACAAUUUACAACUCCAACAUUAAUUUACUCAUUUUUCCAUCAAUUUACUAGUUUUAUGUGUGAUUUACACAUUUUUUGUUUUAUUUCACACUUAAUGGUAAUUUACAAGUUCUAUGUCAUUUUUCUAAGUUUUUGUUUNNNNNNNNNNNNNNNNNNNNNNNNNNNNNNNNNNNNNNNNNNNNNNNNNNNNNNNNNNNNNNNNNNNNNNNNNNNNNNNNNNNNNNNNNNNNNNNNNNNNNNNNNNNNNNNNNNNNNNNNNNNNNNNNNNNNNNNNNNNNNNNNNNNNNNNNNNNNNNNNNNNNNNNNNNNNNNNNNNNNNNNNNNNNNNNNNNNNNNNNNNNNNNNNNNNNNNNNNNNNNNNNNNNNNNNNNNNNNNNNNNNNNNNNNNNNNNNNNNNNNNNNNNNNNNNNNNNNNNNNNNNNNNNNNNNNNNNNNNNNNNNNNNNNNNNNNNNNNNNNNNNNNNNNNNNNNNNNNNNNNNNNNNNNNNNNNNNNNNNNNNNNNNNNNNNNNNNNNNNNNNNNNNNNNNNNNNNNNNNNNNNNNNNNNNNNNNNNNNNNNNNNNNNNNNNNNNNNNNNNNNNNNNNNNNNNNNNNNNNNNNNNNNNNNNNNNNNNNNNNNNNNNNNNNNNNNNNNNNNNNNNNNNNNNNNNNNNNNNNNNNNNNNNNNNNNNNNNNNNNNNNNNNNNNNNNNNNNNNNNNNNNNNNNNNNNNNNNNNNNNNNNNNNNNNNNNNNNNNNNNNNNNNNNNNNNNNNNNNNNNNNNNNNNNNNNNNNNNNNNNNNNNNNNNNNNNNNNNNNNNNNNNNNNNNNNNNNNNNNNNNNNNNNNNNNNNNNNNNNNNNNNNNNNNNNNNNNNNNNNNNNNNNNNNNNNNNNNNNNNNNNNNNNNNNNNUUCGGGUCAAGUCAAUCUGACUAAAAAGUCAGGCCAAGUGUUUCUUGCAUGUAUAUAUGUUUGCAUCUUAAUUUUAAUUUUUAUUUAUCAUAUAAACUAUUUUAUAAAUUUGUUUUCUACAAACUGAUGUAACAUAAUUCAUUUAGUUAAGUUAUGCCAUCAAAAGUAUCUAAUUUCAAAAUAUAUGAUCUCUUUUCAAUUUUUUUUGAACCCAAGAAAUUAGAAAAAUACGCAAUCAUAGUUCAAUAUAAAUAAAGUAUGAAUAUAAAUGUCUUAGGAGUAAGGUAAAAGAUUGUAUAAUUUUUAGAUAAAGAUCAAGUAAUUAACAAUUACAGAAUUUUUAGAUAAAGAUCAAGUAAUUAACAAUUACAAGUUCGGUAGUUAUUAGCCAAGAAUUGGUAAUGGUUGGGUAAAGAGAGAUGGGUAAUGAGCAGGUAAAAUGGAGAAUAAAUAUCAUCUUUUAAGGAUGUUUACGACUUAUUUUUAAUGAAUUGUUAUAUUACUAGAAUUACUCAGUGUGAUGUCAUAUUUAUAGAAUUAAGUCACUUUUAUGGCAUAAACAAUAUAAUUUCCUCAGCGUGCAAGAGCAUGUUAAUCUGAACAAUAGAAAUGAAACCAUCCUCAUUACAAACCAACCGAAAAGAAAAUAUUUUAGUACUAUUAUAUCUUGUUAACCAAUGAGGACCAUUAUUGUUAACCAUUCAAUCAAGCCACCCUCCCUCUUUUACAAUUUUUUUUCUUAAAAAAGGGAAAAUAGCAUUUAAAAAUAAUGGCAAAAAUACUCAAAUCAUGGAGUUAAGCCACUAUUAUGCUUGUAAUUAUGGAAACAUUACUCAAUAUGAUGUCAUAUCUGUAAAAUUAAGCCACUUUCUUGAGAUAAAUAGUGCAAUUUCCUUAGAAUUUUAAUAAUUUCUAUUAAAAUAUGGAAACAAAAUCAUAAUAUUGAAGAAAAAAGAAAAGAAUAAAUCAUUCACCAAAAUAAUAGCUAUAUCAAAAUUUGUAGAAAAAUUCCUCAAAGAGCGACAAAAAGUUCACUCAUACUGCAUCAUUUAUCAGCUCCAAGCUUCUUUUGUAACAUAAAUUUUGUCCAUUUCCUUUCAUGCAAUCAAACAAAGCCCAGUUCUCUAAGCUCCUUGUGCACAUUUUAAAUACUGCGGCCGUGGCAUGGUUUUCACGAUAAUUUCUCUUUAACUUGUAGUUGUAGGCAAAGUUGAAGUACCUUAAGCUUGCGAGGAGGAAAGCUUUUGAAUAAAUUUACCUAUUUAGCUAAAUUACAAAGGUAAAUUUGGAAGUUAGUCUAAAGUUAAAUGGUUUCUUCUCAAAGAAAAGAAAAAAAGAAUGCAAUGGUAAUAACUUAUUAAAGUGUUAUAAAAGAUCUUUCACCUAAAUUAAUUAAUAAUAUGUUCAAAGUUUUACAGCCAUUCGAGUUUUGACACUUUCUUGAAUGAUAAGUCUAAAGUAGAAGAUCCAGAAAGAUGAACUUAAAUCUUUCCCACCAACUGCCGAAGGGUAAUCUCCUUUUAAUCAGUUUCAACUAAUGAAAUAGGAUCUUAACAACCAGUUCUUUGUGAAAAAAUACAAAAUAAAAAAAAAAACAUAUGAGAGAAAAUUUGUACCUCAAAUAGAGGAUUUACACAUUUUCUUAGGCCAAUGGCUUAUAACAUUGUUAUCAUUUGCAUUUUUCAAGAUCUAAUCAUAUGGAAGUUUAUGUAGAAUACAGUUAGAAUUGCCUACAACAAACCAGAAAAGCUAUUAUAAUAGGCACCUAAUUAAAUCAAAUUAACUUGCUCACUCUGGAAGUCCAACAAAUAGAUUAUUUACAAUACAAAAUUAAUUAGCAGGAAAUAAUAAAGAUAACAUGUGAAAACAGUAAAUUUUGAUGAAGAAAACCAAAGAAUACAAAAGAGUGAAAGAAAGAAAAUCAAGCAGAUAUAAAAAAAUUCAAAAGAAAAUCAAGGUGAAAAAAGGAAUUCCCCAAAAAUCAAUACUAAAAGACAAAAUUAGUACCAAGAAUUGGCUAACUUGGUGGGCAGUCUGGCUCGAAAAACAGGAAAAAAAAGCACAAUUCAAAGAUAGCCUUUGCCCGUUCUAGUUUGCAAGGAUUAUGUGUUUUGGAAUUUAACGAGCUUUAGCCUCUUCGAGUUGGCCACUGGGAAACAACCUCUGCCCUUUCCCAACACAUGAUGAAACAAAACGGCGGAACGGCGAUGACGUGGAGUUGGUAGUGGAGAAAGACUCAGUUGCUCUUUUCCUCUCAAUAUGAAUCGGCUGAAGUUUUACUUCGGUCCUAUCAUAAUCCCUAAUUAACGUGAAUGAGUGAUUUUAAAAUAAAUCAGUUAUAAUAAUUUUCUAAAAAAAUAUAAUAAUUCUUUUUAAUUUUAAUCGGUUAACUUUUACUUAUAAAAAAAUGUUAACCAGCCUGUUGAAAAAAUAAAAUUUAUAUGAUUAUAAUUAUUAUGUGCCGUUGAUCUAAUCUAACGGUACAUAAUAACUACGACAUUGAUACCGUAAUUUUAAUCACAGCAUCAUAAAAUUUUUCGGUGGAAUUUAUAUAGAUAUAUAUAUAUUAGAAAUGAAAGUUUUGGUGGUAUAAAAAAUGAUUCCAAUAGAUUUGGAUAAUCAAUGGUUAACGGAAAAUAAAUAUUAAUUUUAAAGGGGAUUUGCAGGUUAUUUCGAUAUUGGACUGAGCCUAUUGUGGCACUGACGUAACCAAAAAUUCAUAUUAGUAGAGGGAAAAUGGGUCCGCCUAAGUUACAGUUAACGCAACGUACUGCCUUAUAAAAUUUCGUUCAGCCUCUUAUACUCUACAUUAUUUAUCAUUAAUUUAUAAGUAUUACAAAACUUUCUUGAUUAUAAACUUUCGUUCAAUCCCUUGUACUCUAUUUUAUUUCAUUGAAACUCCUAAAGUACCAAUUCACCCCCUAUAAUUUUAAAUUUUCAAAACAAUCUCCAUUUAAUUAAAAAAUAUAAUUAUUAUUAAAUGAAUUAUAAUUUUUAAAUAGAUUAUUAUUAUUAUUAUUAACAAGAAUCAAAGUAUUAUAAUUAAUUAAUCUAUUAACAAUAAUUAAUAAUAAUUUUUUGUUAAAUUGUUAAUGAUAAUAAUUAAGGAUAAUUAUUAUUAAUAAUUUAUUUUUGAAUAAUAAUAACAAUAAAAAUAACUAAAAUAUAUAAUAAUAAUUAUGAUAAAAUUAAUUAAGGAUUUUAUAGUAAUUUGUUACAAUUUAACUCACUCUGAUUUUUAUUCUAAGACAAAGUAAACACAUAAAUUAUAAUAUAGUUCAUUUUAAUUUCAAUUUAUACAAUUCAAGUAAAUAAAUUAUUAUGAUUCAAAUUUCUCAUUUCGAUUCUAGCUAUUUCGAUUCUAACUCAUUAUGUUUCUAGUUAGUUUUUAUUCCUUUUUAGUGAACGCACUAUAAAAUUGUAAACAACUCUAUAUUCAAUUAGGCAACUCUAUAUUAUUUACAAUUUAUUCAUAAGUAUUAUGAAUUUUAUAGUGAUUUACUAAAAAUGAAUCGAAAUUAUCUAGAAACAUAAUGGGUUAGAAUUAAAAUAGUUAGAAUCAAAAUGAGGAAUUGAAAUCAUAAUAAUUUAUUUACUUGAACUGCAUGAAUCAAAAUUAGAAUGAAUUAUAUUAUAAUUUAUGUGUUUAUUUUAUCUUAGAAUAAAAAUCAGAGUGAGUUAAAUUGUAACAAAUUACUAUAAAAUCUUUAAUUGAUUUUUAUCAUAGUUAUUAUUUUUUUAUUUUAUUAAUAAUUAAUUUUUGAAUAAUAAUAACAAUAAAAAUAAUUAAUUGAUUUUUAUCAUAGUUAUUAUUUUUUUAUUUUAAUUAUUUUUAUUGUUAUUAUUAUUCAAAAAUUAAUUAUUAAUAAUAAUUAUCGUUAAUUAUUAUCAUUAACAAUUUAACAAAAAAUUAUAUUUAUAUUUAUAAUUAUAAUAAAAUUAUUAUUUUAUUAUAAUUAUAAUUCAUUUAAUAAUUAUUAUAUUUUUUAAUUAAAUAGAGGUUGUUUUGGGAAUUUAAAAUUAUAGGGGGUGAAUUAGUACUCUGGAGUUUCAAUAAAAUAAAACAGAGUACAAGGGGUGUUACGAAAUUUUAAAAUUCAAAAAGUUUUAUAAUACUUAUGAAUAAAUUGUAAAUAAUAUAGAGUAUAGGGGGCUCAAAAUAAAUUUACAGGGCAGCUAUGUAACUUAGGCAGGCCCGGGCAAAAUUUAUGAUUGCACCUUGAGAAACCAAAUUUUUAAAAAACACUGAAAUCUUAUAUAUUGAAGAGCAAAUACAUAAUUUUGGAUAUUUUCUAUUUUAAUUUUUAGUGAUAAAUUUAAUUUAAAUCAAUUUUUAAUAUUGAGUUACACAUUUGGACUAAACUAGAUCAAAUUUUAAAUUAGAUAUUAGGCCUUAUUUUAAUGGAUUCCGAGUCAAGCAACUAGGCUUAUAAAUUAUAAAUGAAAGAAAUAUGUGUGUGAUUUUAAAAUUAAUUUUGAACUUGAAUUUAUACAUUUAAUUAAUUCAAAGAGGUUUGGAAUAUAUCAUCUGAAAUUUUUGGAUGGGACUUGGUUAAUGGUUGUUGGUUAGGGACCUAUUUGACACAUAUGGACAGCAUUUAUCAUAAUUUGGUAAAUCAUAAAGAUUAAGGAUUGGACGUUGUUACCGCAAUCAGAAAAUAACUUUCAUCGCAAUAAAUGUGCAUUUUUGUUUUAUUUUUUUAAACCUUAACAGAAUCAAACAAACAGUUUCAGUCAAAAAAAUCACCAGUGUCUCUUUUCUAACAAAAAGAUAUUUUUACAGAACAGAAACAGAAUUAGAUUCAUCAUCAAUCACUUGCCAUUAGUAGUCAUUACAAUUGGAAAAGCUCUCAAAGAGAACAGCUUCCUAUCAAGAGCAAAGCAAAUGGCAACGUUGGCAGUGAACGGAGGAGGAGGAGCAGCAGCAGCAACGCAUACGCAGGCUUAUUUGGAGGGCAGAGCAGUGAAGGAGACGAGGGUGUUGAUAUCAGAGCUCUGCCGUCAUUUCUACACCCUUGGAUGGGUUUCUGGGACAGGUGGCAGCAUCACCAUCAAGGUCCAUGAUGACUCCAUCCCUAAACCUCAACAGCUCAUCCUCAUGUCACCUUCUGGUCUCUACUCUCUACCCUUUACUCACUCUUUUCAUACCCUUUUACUUGUAUUGCUUUCUGGGUAUAUUUUUAUUUGAUGCAUCAAUUUUGUGUUUUUAGAGUUGGGUUGGUGAAAGUUUGUAUUUUGAUUUACUUUAGCUAGUCAAAGUUUUUUUUUUUUUUUAAUUAACUUCAGUUGGUCAAGUUUAUAUUUUUGAUUUACUUUGUAUUGCUUAGCGAUGUUCAUUUGGUUAUUUGUCUGUUACUAUGUAUUUCUUGUAUUCAUUUGAGCUAUUUGAUUGGUUUCUUGGGUAUUUCUUUUGAGCCAUUUUACUUGUGCAUGCUUCAUUCCUCGUUAUCUUAUUUUUUUUGUUUUUCCUUUUCUUGACUUAAUACCUGGGUAGGUCUUUGAUAUCUGGGUAUGCUUUAUUUUUAGCCCAGCUGUGUGAUUCUGACAUUCUGUGUUCUUGAUAAGUUAAAUCCUAUAGCUCAAUUCUUACUUUUGCCAUUUGGUCUAUUCAGCUCUAUGUGUAUUUCCUCUUUUUUUAAAUCUUUUGUUACACAAUUUAAUCCCACUGUGUGUUGGGAUUGGCAUGUGAAUAGGUGUGCAGAAGGAGAGAAUGGAACCAGAGGACAUGUAUGUGUUAUCUGGAAAUGGGACUACGUUGUCUUCACCAUCUCCAAAACCGUACCCACAUAAGCCUCCCAAGUGUUCAGAUUGUGCUCCUCUUUUCAUGAAGGUAUUAGUUAAUCUUCGUCUUCAUUUCAAUAUUAAUAGGCCAGUACGAAGCUUGAUUUGCUGUGAAAGCAAUUUAAACUUGAAUAGGGCCAUUCUAUUGGUGUAAUUUGAUGCGCACACAUUAGUGUUUCCUAUUUGUAUUUGAUUAUUGUGAUAAUAAUGGGAGCAUAAGCUAUUGUUUAAGCCUUUUGCUCCUCCUUCACUUGAAGUGUGAAAAUUUAUGGUAAAUGAGCACUGAUUUUAUCUGAUGUUUGAUGAACACGUCAUCAUCAUGAUCCUAGAGUGAAAAAUAGUUUAUGCUAAAUGGUCGUACACAAUCCUCUAAUCUGCAGUUUCUUUGCGCUCCAAUUAACGAAUGAUUGCUUGACUUACUUGAAUAGUUAAGAAACCUAGUAACUUUAAGUUGUUGUCUCGUUUGAGGCAUUUGAAAUAUCCUCGUUUACCUUCCAUGCAUUUGUAUUGGUGAUUCAGUGAGGAAAAAGAAGAAAAAGAACAUGCAGACUAAACCAUAGGUAUUUGUCCUGGUUUAGUUAAAACAAUCAUUUAAUGCCCAGUUUGUGUAUGACUUUUUCUCAAUCUUUAUAAAGACCUUAGUUAUGGGAAGUAUGCUUAGUAAAUAUGUAUUUCGUCAAUUAUAGUUGCUUUAUUUUCAUUAGGAUAGCCUUUCUUCAUAUUUCUGUUUGGGUUAUUUAAUUUCCUUAUAAAGUGGCAAUAGCACUUGUUUUCUUUGUCAUCCAGGCAUACGAGAAACGUGAUGCAGGGGCUGUUAUCCACAGCCAUGGCAUAGAAUCUUGCCUUGUGACAAUGAUCAAUCCAAUGUCAAAAGAAUUUCGUGUAAGUCUGUACAAUUUUCUAUUUUCUUUUUCUGCAUUUUUUCCCCUCAUGUUCCUUUCUUCAUUGUAGCAUCUUUAUGUUCUCUUUUCCUACAAUCCAUGCCCCCCCCAACUCUUCCCUUCUGAUGUUGUUUGGCAAGGUUUGUUUUUGAUGAUGAACUGUCUUGUUGAGGAACUUGUGGAAUCCUUUGUGAAAGGGUUAGAAAGCAUGAGUUAUCCACAUAUGUGAGGACAUUGUCCAGAAUAUGGUACUUUUGACACGCAUAUUUUACUUUCUCAGUAGUACACUGAUUAAUCUCAAUGAUAUCAGCUCAGGUUUAUGCCAUCACUGUAUUUCCAAAGAAUCAACUAAUGGUUCUGAUAAAGUACUUAAAAAGAUGGUGAUGUUAAGCGUCUUAAGAAGGAGCUGUUCCUGUGCUAGGAGAGACCAGAUCAUAAAUUGAUGUGUGAUUACACUCUUUAGCAUACAUAAAUGCAUUCAUCAAUUCAUAAUGUUGCCUCUUUUAUGUUUUGAUUUGCUUGUGCCUUUUGCAACCUACAGAUAACUCACAUGGAGAUGAUAAAAGGAAUCAAAGGGCAUGGUUACUAUGAUGAACUCGUUGUUCCAAUUAUAGAGAACACAGCUUAUGAAAAUGAGCUCACUGAUUCUCUUGCUAAAGCGGUAUGCUUAGUUUGUUACAUUUAGUCCUGCACCGUGAUUAUAACAAUAAUCUCUCAUCUUAUAUAUUGAGUUUACAUGACACUGCAAAUAGGGACGUUUAGUUUUCCUAUGGAUUGGAACCUGUCAGUGGCCCUAUCCUAUGAUGGCUUCUUAGGCAAUUGGUUUUACAAUAAAUGGUUACCUUAGUAACCUUUCUGACAUUUCUUUCUCAUUGUACUUGAUAUGUGUGGGCAAAUAUCAAUAUAUAUAGUCUGCGCAUCUCACUGGUCAAUAAGAUUGUUUCUUCUGUGAGAAUAUCUUUAGUUGAUCGCAGAGAAACCUGCCCUCACUAUGAGUUGGUUUGCUUUUAAUUAUUUUUCCAACAAUAUUCUUCAUUUCCAUGUAAAACUUUGCAUAGACUGAUCGGAUUUCCCUUUCUGGUUUUCCAGAUAGAUGCCUAUCCAAAAGCAACAGCUGUGCUUGUUCGUAAUCAUGGCAUAUAUGUUUGGGGAGACUCCUGGAUCAAUGCUAAAACUCAGGUUUCCAAUAUUUAUGAAUGGAUUUGAAGCAAAUUGAUCUUUUGUGCUAAAUUUUACCAGGAUUUUAUUUGUUCAUUUUUCUUUUUCCCUUCUGUCAGUUUUUCUAUGAAGUUUACUUUCAUCUAUAGAUGACAAAGUUAGGCCAUCAACCUUUUCCUGUGUUAAUAAUCACAUUAAACUUUUCGUUGAGUGUGUCCAAAAACUGAGAAGAUUCCUUUGAGUAUUAUAAUUACCCACUUCUUGCCUCUGUACUUUUAACUUGUUCAACUCUAUACUCUAAUACUUCCCUUCUAGAAGGAACAUUGGCUGUAACAGCUUUGUUUGCGUACAUGAAACAUCAAUUUCUUAAAAAGUGUAGGCAUUUAAUGUUCAGAAUGAUCAAGGCUUUCUUUAUUGCUAAUGGUAGGUGUUUUGACUUCCUCAUAAGCAGUCCAUCCCUCUUACCUUCUUGAGCAUAUUUAUUGAUGUAUUCUUUAUGGUGAAAGUAGUAACUUGAUUUCCCAUGUCCAUAAAAAAUUUAUAGAAAUAUAACAUGUGUAUUCUUUCUUUCUCUUACUUGGUUGCAUAUUCUUCAGGCUGAAUGUUAUCACUAUCUCUUUGAUGCUGCUAUCAAACUCCAUCAACUGGGCCUGGACUGGUCUACUCCAAACCAUGGUCCAACUCGUAAUUUUAAGUUAGGUUUAGGAAGCAAUGGCAAUGUAAAUACAUCUGCAAAAGCAGUGACUGAAGGCUCAGAUUAUGGUUCUGGCCUAUUCCCAGUAAGAAUUUUACCUUCUCUAACUUUUAAGAGGCCUCUCGAGGUUUUGGACUCAUCGAUAACUCUUCUUCUCUUCUAGAAGUAAAAAUCAGACUGGCUCUGAAGACUGUCCAUGUCUUUGGGGUUGGCCAAUUCAAGAAAUUUAGAAUUAUACUUUACAUUGCCAGAAAUACUUUUUAAUUCUUGAUAUGGUUGCAGCGUUGCAUUGUACUUGACAUUGAAGGGACUACCACUCCCAUAUCAUUUGUUUCUGAGGUUCUCUUUCCAUAUGCUCGUGACAAUGUUGGGAAGCAUUUGUCUGUGACAUAUGAUACUCCAGAAACUCAAGAUGAUAUCAAGUUGUUGCGCUCUCAAGUAAGUUCUUCCCCCCACCCCCACCAAAAACACCAAAUUCAGUGGAUUAUAGUACUUGUGAAACAUCCAUAUCUGGAUUCUCUUUUGGAAUAUCCAUAUCUUUUCUGCCUCAUCAUUUCAAAAUGCUUGUUGCAGGUUGAAGAUGACCUGAAACAAGGAGUCGCUGGUGCUGUACCUAUCCCUCCCGGUGAUGCUGGGAAAGAGGAGGUAAUAGCAGCUUUAGUUGCUAAUGUGGAUGCAAUGAUAAAGGCAGAUCGAAAAAUCACUGCUCUAAAACAAUUGCAAGUAAGCAAAAUAUGAUUCAGAGAAAAAAUAUUUUUGCUGUGGAGCUUGGCUUUCAUAUAUGGUAAUUAUUUAUGCAGGGUCAUAUAUGGAGAACUGGAUUUGAGAGUAAUGAAUUGGAGGGAGAAGUUUUUGAUGAUGUACCAGAAGCCCUUGAAAAGUGGCAUUCUUUGGGAACAAAGGUUUUUAGUUUUUCUUUCUCAUUUUCUUGCAGAUAUGGCUCUCAAUUUUGUGUUUACCAUCUCUUUGUGUGUGCUAUCAUGUUAUUUCUGUUGAAUGUUGUGUGAUAUAUACUACCAGAAGGCUUCUGGUAUUUUUUUUACUAACAUAACCAUGUCAAUGUUUGUGUUACAUGUACGAUAUACCAAUAUCAUAAAUACAACUAACUGUCAGUUCUAGACUGUUUAGACCACUUUCAGUAAAACUUUUCUUGAUAUGAUCAAGCUAAAAGCUUUAGCUUUUAGGUCGUGAAGCAGUCAUCAUUCUUCUUGCCAUAGAGUUAUACGAUUCCAUGAAUACAUUUUAAAUUCUAUUGGCAAGAUAGUGCUUAGUGUUUGAGCAUGCAUAGAAGCUUCACCAGCAAUGUUAUUCUCUACUUGGUGACAGGUGUACAUAUAUUCCAGUGGUAGCAGGCUGGCACAAAGGCUUAUUUUUGGAAAUUCAAAUUAUGGGGAUUUAAGAAAAUAUUUAUCUGGCUUUUUCGACACUGCAGUGGGGUUGGCACUUCUUUCUCUUAACUUUCUUGCUGUCUCCUAAUUUUUGAGCAAAACUAAAUCCUCCUUAUCUUGGUUGCAGGAACAAAAGAGAAACACGCAGUUAUGUCGAAAUCACAAACUCAUUGGGAGUUGAUAAGCCAUCCGAGAUCUUAUUUGUGACAGAUGUAUAUCAAGAAGCUACAGCUGCAAAAGCUGCGGGUAAGGAGUUAUUUGUUAUUUUAGAUGGUUGGAUGCAGGUGCACAGUCAUUGAAAGGUUUGCACUGUACGCAUACCUAAGCAACUUAAAUAAUUAAGAAGUCAAGAUGCACUGUUUUUAAUUUAUCCUCCUUUUGAAUUUUGAGUCAUGAUAUUAAUUAAACUUUAUCAAAAGUCGUUCCUAUCAUGUAAGCAACCAUUUUGAAAACAGUCUUACAUAAUGCUGUCAUGAAAGCAGCCUUUCUUUUCCACUUUAGGGUACUUUUGCAAUCCCUAUGAACUUCUAGCUUUAGUCCUCAGAGAGAAGGUAGUUUCAUGUUCAUUUUAUCACUCAGAUGUUGAUAUUUAUUUCGGUUUUGUUCGAUCAUUUAGGUUUGGAGGUGGUAAUUUCUAUCCGGCCAGGAAAUGGACCUCUUCCAGAGAACCAUGGCUUCAAGACAAUCAAUUCUUUCGCGGAAAUCUAAAAGCAGAAAUCUUCCAUAAUCAUUUCAAAUGAGAUAUGUGUAGUUAAACUAUAAGAAGAUAUAAUGUGAUUACUCUUGUUGUGAACUCUCUCUUUUAGUCUCAUAAGAUAUUUUAAAAGAGUCAAGGGUUCCUCGAAUAUGUUUUGUGCGGAUCAGGGUCCUCUCCUGAUCUGAUCAUAUAUCAGGAGAGGAUCCUAUUCCGUUUUGUGCAUAUUGGGUGGAAAUAUCUUUUGCUGAUACCUUGAGUGUGUGAAUUUCUCUUAAACUUUAGCAAGUGUUACUCCCAUGAAAUAUGAAUCCUAUUAAUUGCUUUUCUAGAAUUCAACAUUUUUCAGAAAAACAAUUUUGAGAUUCAGAAGUAGUGGGUAUGAGGUAGAGACUUCGGCAGCCAAUCAAUUGUGACAAGAAAAACCCACGUCUUUGCUUGUCUAUUUAAGACUUUGGCAGCAAAAUACAAAAAAAAAUGUACAAACACAGCUUUUGUAUUACUUUUAUAAGUUAAGAUAAUAUCAAUAAUCUGCUAAUUACCUGCAGUGUGUCAGUGUUUCAUUUGGCGAGCUUGGGGCCUGCUAUGUAAUCUUGAAAAGUUUGGGACACAAAAGUGUCUUUGAGUUUCUUAUCACCCAGAACCUGUAGCCAAUAUGACCAAAUCUGUCUGUAGAAGUGUACUACUAGUCUCACCAUUAAGUGUAGCCAAAAUGCCUUUGAUCACAAAAGCAGAAGCUUUUGGCUUUCAUAACAAUGCCACCCUCUUCAACUUUGUUGUAGAACUUUUUCGGCAAUGUUGAGACUAAACAUGAAUUCAACUGUUGGAGGAAACUAUGUUUUGGUACCAUUCCUUAGUUGCCAAAGGAAGCUUCUGCCUAAAACAGUUUCCACAAAUUUUGAAAUAAUUUUAACUUUGGAAGCUUAAUGUCAAAAUAUAAAAGAUGUCAUUGCUAAUGCUUGGAACAUCACCGAAUCUCCUCACCCAGAGAGUUACGAAUUCCACUUGGUGAACCUCAUGAAUUGAAUGGUGGUUUUCUUUUUUUUGGUGUGUAUCCUCUACUACAAUCUUCAGUUUACCCUAAAAGUAAGAGUGACUCCUGAAUCCAAAAGCACCAAUUGAGGACUAAGAAAUUACCGGACCCCAGACAGUUGUCGCAGUCACAAUUGUGUUGUUAAAAACUUACUUGAACAUGAAUAAUGCUCUUUGGUAUUCGAAAUCCACUUUUUACGUUAACUAAUUCAUCCUGGCCUAUAUAAACUACUUCGUACUGGAGAUUUUACCAUAUUUGAUCAUUAUUUAUUUUACCAUAUUAAAUCAUUUCAUAAGUCAGAGAUAUAUAAAUAUAUCCAUUUCAUGUUAAAACCGAUCUUUUAUUUUGAUUACCACACCAAAACCUCCAUGACUUAGAGAGUCUUCAUCAGAAAUUAACAAGCUAAUUGGUAUUGAAUAUAAUGCACUUAAUCAGUUGAAAAUGACUUGCAUAUAUAAGAUUGAUGAAUAUAUUCCAACACUAUUUGAAAAUUGUAGCUUUGUAAUCUUUAUAGCUUUUAUCUAUACUCCAACGCUACUUCAACCAUCGUGAACUAUAUAUAGGAUCACUUCACACGCAAGAAGCCCACUAAUAGCAGCUCCAACAACGGCUGUCAUGAUCCAAGUCAGACGUGACAAGAUAUUGUCCGCUUUAAACCUUAAUAAGACUUGCACCAUUUUGUAGCUGUUAUGAUCCAAGCUAGAUGUGCCAAAUUUGUCUGCUUUGAGACUUAACAAGACCUGCACGGUUUUUGUUUCUGGAGUGACCACACACUCCCAAACACGUCUUUGUCAAUUAAAGUGUGGAUUAUCUCUCACAAACCAAACAUCUAUCUCGUGCGGAUCAUCCCUUACAAACAUAGCAUCUCUCGACAUGUGAUUUGCUCAGGGUGCUACAUACACUCCCCUUAGGGACUCAACAUCCUUGUUGAGGUUUGCCUCACCAUCGUUCAAGAGAGAGUCAUUGCUGAGGUUUGUCUCACCAUCGUUUAAGAGGACACACGAAGCCGCUCUGAUACCGUCUAUUAUGACCUAACUCAGACCUGACAAGAUGUUAUCCUCUUUAGGCCUUAACAAGACCCACAUAAUUUUGUUUUUGGGGCGUCAAUACACCUUAAAAUGCAUCUGGCCAAUUAAGGUGUUGAUCACCCCUUACAAACUCAGUAUUUCUCUUGUACUUUGUUGACGUAAGAUUUGUCUAGAGUAUUACCGUGGUUAUUUGUUUUUCUCCAUUGCGCAGUUUGCACCCUUUUUACUGUUUUAUUUUGACUCGAUUAAUAAACAUUACAUUUGCUAGCUACAAGCUAGUCAUUAAUAAGACGAUACAUACUACUUGAUCAAGAAAUUGUCAAAUUGACCUCUUCACUAUUAUAUUCUUUCAUUCGAAUUAAAUUAUAUAAACUAAGAUAUAAUAUGUUAACUUAAAUAUAUUGGAGCUUUAUACCCUUUAUUAAUUAUAUCUCGAACUUCAAUCAUUUUGUUUUUUCGAGUUAUCAUGGCACAAGAUUUUUAGAAGAGCACAGGAGAUCUUAAAAUAGAUCAGGAAAGAAUUUUAAUUUUUUUACUUCACCUUAAUUUAAUUUCUCUUUAUAAACUAUCCUCUGAAAAAAUAAAAAUAAAUUGUACCCUAUGAAGUCAUGAUUUGUGACAUCCCAUUUAAAAUAUAAGUUUCUUAAACGCAUGGUUACUCUUUAUUAAAACUUAAUUUAUGUAAUAAAGUGUUUUCAAAAGCUCUUCUUGAAAUAAUUAUAUUCUAAUAAAGAUUAGACAAAAGAAUCAAAAUUAGAAUUUUCUUAUACUCUGUUCUCUUCUUAAGUAAAAUUACUUACGGAUAAUUAAUGGUUAAUGUAAUUACACAGACUAGGAUGAAUAAUUUAUGUAUGUUUUAUUGAUGAGAAUUACUCCUGUUUAAAUAUAUUACAGGGGAAUAAAUCAAAUCCCACAAAAUCAUAGCUAUAACAGCUAGAAAUCUAAUUCUAAGGAAACAAAUCAGUAAACCUAUUUAAGGAAACAAAUCUUGCUAAAUAAUAUAGAUCCUAAUAUAUACAAUUCUAAUUAUGUAUAAUUAUGAUUUCAUCCACCCUCCCCCUCAAGCUUGGCUAUCGAUGUUGAUGAGACCAACCUUGCCUUUAGGAAACUCAUGAGUUUGUUCUGAGAGUCCUUUUGUGAGGAUAUCAGCGAGUUGGUGAGAUGUAGGCACAUAUUCAAGCUUGAUAAUGUUUCCAUCAAGCUUUUCUUUAAUGAAAUGUCGAUCAACCUCCACAUGUUUGGUCCUAUCAUGAUGAACAUGAUUGUGAGCUAUACUAAUUGCUAACUUAUUAUCACAAUAGAGUAGCAUAUGUUCUUCAAAUCCAAUCUUUAAUUCCUUCAACACCCUUCUUAUCCAGAUAAGCUCACAAACUCCAUGUGCCAUAGCUCUAAACUCGGCUUCCGCACUACUUCUAGCAACCACUGAUUGUUUUUUGCUACGCCAAGUCACCAGAUUUCCCCAUAGCAAUGUGCAAUAACCAGAUGUUGAUUUACGAUCAUUAAUUGAUCCAGACCAAUCAACAUCUGUGAAUGCCUUCACUUUUCAAUCAUUGGUCUUUGCAAAAAACAAGCAUUUUCUAGGUGUUCGCUUCAAGUAUCUCAGGAUUCUAUAUACUGCAUACAAAUGACCUUGGCAUGGUCUGUGCAUAUGUUGACUUACUAAACUCACUGCAAAGGCAAUAUUCGGUCUUGUAUGUGAGAGAUAGAUGAGCUUUCCAACUAGGCGUUGAUAUUGUCCUUUAUCGACCGGACCUCUUUCAAGCAUUUUUCCUUUGUUACCAAGUUCAACUGGAGUCUUACUCGGCUUGCAUCCCACCAUGCCAGUUUCUUCCAACAAAUUUAAAGUAUAUUUUCUUUGAGAGACAAAGAUCCCCUUCUUACUCCUUACAACUUCCAUUCCUAGAAAAUAUCUUAGUGUUCCAAAGUCUUUAACUUCAAAUUCCUUUGCCAUCAUCUGCUUGACUUUUUCUACUUCUUUGUUAUCAUUUCCAGUGACAAUGAUAUCAUCAACAUACACUAUAAGAAUAGUAAUUUUUUUCUUUUUCAACAUGCUUAACAAACAAUGUGUGAUCAGCUUGUCCCUGGCCAUAGCCAAAUUCCUUGAUAACUUUGGAGAAUCUGUCGAACCAAGCCCGUGGAUACUGCUUCAGACCAUAAAGGGACUUGUUGAGUUUAUAAACACUGUGACUCCCUAGGUUUUCUUCAAAUCCUGGAGGUUGACACAUAAAAACUUCCUCCUCAAACUCACCAUUUAGAAAAGCAUUUUUUAUAUCAAGUUGAUGUAGAGGUCAAUCAGAGUUUACAGCCAAAGAUAGAAGAAUUCGGAUAGUGUUGAGUUUGGCAACAGGAGCAAAGGUCUCAGUGUAGUAAAUCUUGUAUGUUUGAAUAAAGCCCUUGGCCACUAGAUGUGCUUUGUGUCUUUCAAUUGAACCAUCAACCUUAUAUUUGACUGUGAAUACCCAUUUACAACCCACUGUAUUUUUUCCUUGUGGCAACUCCACCAGGCUCCACGUAUUAUUCUGUCUAAAGGCGUGCAUUUCUUCAAGACCAGCAGCUUUCUACUAGGGAAUAGUUAGGGCCUCUUCAAUUGAUCUAGGAAUCAAAACACUAGACAAACUCAAGGUCAAAUCAUAGAGUGAAGGAGACAGAUUUGAGUAAGAUAUGAAUUUAGAAAUGGGGUGAUGAGUGCAAGAUUUAACAUUUUUUCUUAAUGUUAUUGGCAUAUCUAGAUCAGGAAUAAGACUGAAUUUACCUGACUCGUUUGGUGAAUGAGACUCUACCAUCGGUUCAUCCUCGUGACUGUGAGUAGGAUUCAUGAUUUCUUUAUUUGCUUGAGAUUUUUUCCUUCUAGAGUAGACUUGCAAUUCCGGCUGUUUAGAUAUUGAAAGUGUUGAAUCUCCUCUUGUUUCCAAUACUAGUGAAAUUGGAUCAAUUACAAAAAACUUAUUUUAGUUGACUCAGGAAUAGAGACAACGGUAUCCAACUUACUAUCAAGUAAAGGCAGGUCAUGGAUAUCCCAAGAACAGCAAGUUUCAUCCCAUUUCUCCCCCUGAAGCGAAGUUGGAGAAAAAUAUGGUGUAUUUUCAAAGACUGUGACAUCACAAGAAAUCUAUGUUUGUUUUAGUUUUUGGAUAGUAACACCGAUAUCCUUUUUGGGUUGGAGAAUAACCAAUGAAAACAGUUUUGAUUGCCCGAGGGUCAAGUUUACUUUUAUUAUGGUCAUGAAUAUGGACAAAUGCUGUGCAACCAAAAAUUCUUAAUGGAAGUGUAUUCGACUUAGAGACAUGUGCGUAGUUUUUUGAAAGAACAAACAAUGGGGUUUCAAAAUUGAUAGGAUGACUGGCCAUACGAUUUAUGAGGUAGGUAGUAGUGAGGAUAUCAUCCCCCCACGAGUACUUUGGGAUAUGCAUGGUAAACAUGAGAGUCCUACCCUAACAAAUGAUGAUUUUUUCUUUUCGAUACUCCAUUUUGUUGUGGAGUAUCAACACAAGAGCUUUGAUGUUGAAUUCCAUUUUCUAACAAAUAAUCACCAAGAAUGGAACUAAAAUAUUAUUUUCCGUUGUUAGUUCUUAGAACAUGAAUUUGGGUUUGAAAUUGAGUUUGAAUCAUCUUGUGAAAAACUUUGAAUAUGCGACUGGCUUCAAAUUUGUUAUGUAGGAGAUAAACCCAUGUAAUCUGGGUGUGAUCGUCAAUAAAUGUAAAAAACCAUCUUUUGCCAUGGCAAGUUGUAAUUUUUGAAGGUCCCCAUAUGUCACUGUGGAUCAAAGAGAACGGAGUGGAAGGAAUGUAAACCUUUGGAGGAAAGGACAUGCGAGUAUGUUUACCUAAUUGGAAAAUUUUACACUCAAAAGAAACAAGAUUUUUAUUAUCAAACAAAGACGGAAAUAGACGUUUUAGAUAUAAAAAAUUGGGAUGGCCAAACCUAUGAUGCCAUAACAUUAUUUCAUUAGUACUAUAAGCAAAUGUAAAAGCAACACCAAACAAAAAAAAAUUGUUAACUCUUUGAGUGAUCAUCGUCAAAGUAAUAAAGACCAUCAUGAAUCCUAGCACUGCCAAUCGUCUUCCCUGAUGAUAAGUCCUGAAAUUAAUAAGAAGAAGACAAGAAAUUAGCAACACAAUGAUUAUCACGUGUGAUUUUGCUAACAGAAAUCAGGUUGCAUUUUAGGGCAGGGACAUGGAAGACAUAUUUGAGGAUUAAAUUUAGAGAUAGUUUUAUGUCACCAAUUCCAACUACUAGUGUAAAAGAUCUAUCGGCAAUUUUAGCAGUGAUAUGUUUAUAACAAGGGAUAUAAAAGUGAAAAAAAUUAGAACUACCUGUCAUAUGAUCAGAGGCCCCAAAAUCAAUUAUCCAAGGGUCCGUAGAUUGAAUCAUAGAUUGGGAAUUUAGGACAGAGUAGAGUUUACCAGAUUUGGCAACAGAACAUGAUCCACUGGUGGAGUUUGCAUAGUUGGGUAGAUGGGUAUGAGAGGCAUUGACAGAAGAUAAAUUAAGGAGUUUGCAUAGUUGGUCAAUUUGUUCCUUGCUGAAUGGAAUAGAUGCACCAGAGUGGACUUGAUUGGAUUGGGUAUAGUGUGCACGUCCUUCAUUUUUUUUCCGAGGCUGCCAAUUUGUUGGUUUCCUAUGAAUCUCUCAGUACUUGUCCCGAGUAUGUCCAGGUCGAUUACAAUGAUCACACCAUGGUCGCUUGCUCGAACGAUGAUCAGGAUGUUGCAGUCUAUUUGAGUGAGUUUUAGUAGUCAUUAAGGUAGAUACUUCUGGUGCGGGAGGAGGUACAGAUUUGUCAUCUGAGAGCAUCACCUUUUGCCGGGCUUUCUCAUGUCGUACUUCUGCGAAGGCUUCGUCAAUAGAAGGGAAAGGCUUUUGAGCCAUCACUCGACCCCCUACCUCAUCUAGAUUUUUAUUAAGAUCAGCAAGGAAAUCAAAUACUCUUUCCUUUUCAAGGUUAUGCUUUUUCUUGACACUGCACUUAGCACAAAAUGAGUCAUCUCCAAAAAACAUAUCUAGUUCUUGCUAAAGAUCUUGGAGAUCAGAAAAAUAUUGGGUGACAGAGUUGGAACCUUGUUUCAUCUCCUUCAGUUUUGAACGAAUCUCAAAAAUCUGAGAAGCAUUCCCAAGAUCAGAGUACAUCCGUCGAGCUGCAUCCGACACAUAUUUGGUUGUCUUGAACCAGAGAUAACGACGACUAAUCUGUGGUUCCAUCGAAUUGAUGAGCCAUGCAAGAACAAUAGAACAAUUAGUCCUAAGGCUCUGAUACCAUGUAAAUACAUAGAUUAGAAUGAAUAAUUUCUGUAUGUUUUAUUGAUGAGAAUUACUCCUCUUUAAAUAGAUUACAGGGGAAUAAAUCAAAUCCCACAAAAUCAGAGUUAUAAUAUAUAGAAAUCUAAUUCUAAGGAAAAUCAGUAAACCUAUUUAAGGAAACAAAUCUUGUUAAAUAACAUAGAUCCUAAUAUAUACAAUUCUAAUUAUGUAUAAUUCUGAUUUCAUCCACAGAUAAUAAAUAAAGAAAAUAAAAAAAAAUCCCAUCCAUACGUUAGAGCAUCUAAAAGCUUUAACUUUUCUGUGAUUUUAUUUUUUGUCUUAUUAUUUAUUUUGUUUACUCCUUGGUAAGCUAUUAAUUUUAGGCAAGUGCUAAGUUACAUUCAAUGUAACUUACACAAUUCAUCUCAACCACAUAAAAUUAUAGGACCCACAAUUUAUGUAGUUGAGAUGAAUUAUGUAUGUUACAUUAAAUGUAACUUAGAGACUCCCUUAAUUUUAACAUAACAAAGUUGAAAAAAAAAAAAGUCAAAAAGUAAAAUGCCCAGUACAACUCAAUCAAAGUAUCAAACCAUAAAAUUUGGCUUAUGAAAUCUAUGAUUCAUGCACAUAGUCCAUAGUCCAUCCACUUAACCAUAUGCCAUGUCUUGUAUUCAUAUAAGCUGUGUGAUUCGAUUCAGUAUCUGGGUAAUCUCUUUAUGUCAAAUUUGCUGGCUCCAUUACGCAUUGUUUGAUUUCUGAUUAUGUUAAAUUUACUGACUCCAUUAACUGUAUGUUUGCGUUGGUAUGUGUGGAGGUGUGCAGAAGGAGAGAAUGGAACCAGAGAACACGUGUGUGUUAUCUGGAGAUGGGACUAUUUUGUCUUUGCCAUCUCGGAAGCCAUACCCACAUAAGCCUGUACGCCUCUUUUCUUGAUGUUAUCAAUUACUCUUUAUCACCAUUUCGAUAUCAAUAAGUCAGUAUGGAUAUCAAGUAGCUAUACAGCACAUUUGAAUUUGAAUAAGGUUGUCUAUUGUUGCCAGUGAAUACUCGCGCAUCGAUCUGUUUUAUUGCUGUUUGAAUAUUAUGACAGUAAUGGGAGCUUAUGUUGUUGCUUUUAGUUUCAGCAUUUGAUUGUAAAUGCACAUGUACGUAGAAUUUACUGUGGAAUUCAAGUGAUGUUAUCAGAUGUUUGAAUGAACAGGUUCGCGAUAAUCCUGUGAUUCGUAGUUUCUGUGUGCUCCUAUUAAUUGAUCAUUAUUCAAGUAAUUUACAAGUUUACUAACGAUUAUCUUGUUUCUGGUAUUAUUUUGCACCUUCUUGUAUUAACGAGAGCAUGACUCAGAAUAAGACAUGUGAUUAUCAAUUAUUAUUUUGUUUAUCAUGAUUGGUUUUAAUUUUUUUUCUAAUUUCUGUGUUGAAUUUUUUUCUUUUUCUAAUUUAUUCAUAAAGUUGCAUUAACAGUUGUUUUCCUCAUCUCAUGAUCCAGACAUAUGAGACGAGUAAUGCUGGAGCUGGUAUCCACAGCCAUGGAAUAGAAUAUUUUCUUGUGACAAUGAUCAAUCUAAUGUCAAAAGAAUUUCAAGUAAGUUUUUAACUGUUGACAAACUGUAAAUGUUUCCAAUUUGUUCUUUUCUGCUAUUUUUCCUCGUGUUCCUUUCUUCACUACAGCUUCUUUGUGUUCUCUUGUUCUACACCCCUUACCUUUCGUUUUCCCACUGAAGUGGUUUUGUGAGGCUUUGUAAUGGUGAACUAUCUGGUUGAGAAAUGUGUGAUCCUUUGGGAAUGAUCUAAGCAUGAUUUGUUACAUAUGGGAGGACAAAGUUUGGGCUAUGGUACUGGUAACAACCAAUGAAUUCAGGCUGAUGCCUUCACCCUAUUUCUGGCUAAUAGAGGAUCAAUUACAUACUCUAUUAAAUUAUAUGAAUGGUGGGGAUUCCUAAAGUUUCUUUAAAAAGCUUUUCAUCUGCUGGAAGAUACCAUGAUAUAAGUUCCUACGUGAUUAUACUUUUUAGCAUGUAUAAAUUCUUUCGUCCACUCAGAGUUGUUACCUGUUUUAGGUUUUGAUUUUCUUCUGCUUCUUGCUCACUUAUAUACAAAUGAUAAAAGGAAUAGAAGGGCAUGGUUACCGUGAUGAACUUGUGGUCCAUUAUAGAGAACACGGCCUACAACAUGAGCUUAUUGAUUCUCUUGCAAAAGCAUAUGAUUAGUGUUCUUACGUUUAGUUUUGUAUAGUGAUUAUAAUGCUAACUUUUUGUGUUACAUAUUACACUUUCGUGAUACUGCAAAGGAUGGUAUGAUAAGUUUUCCAAUUGAUUGGAACCUAACAACGGUACUAAUAUGCGGGCUCCUUAGACAAUUAGAUUCCCGAUAAAUGGUUACCCCAAGUAAAAUUUUUGACUUUUCCUUUCUUGUAGUACUUACCUUAAUAUAUGGACUCGUAUUAGUAUUCAUCAUCAGCAUGUCCUGUUCUGGUCAAUCAAACAUUUUCUACUGUAUCUUUGGUUGAUCUCAGAGAUACUUGCCUUCUCUAUAAAUUCAUUCAUAGUUAAUUCUUAUCCCAAGAUUUCUUCAUUUCCAUGUAGAAAAUUUGCAUAGGCUGAUUGGAUUUUCCUUUUUGGUUAUUCAGAUCAAGGCCUAUCCAAAAACAACAGCUGUUCUUGUUCCUAAUCAUGUUUGGAGGGCCGGGGAGGUGAUCAGCAGGCAGCUUAAUGGCCUUCACAUCCGCUUCUGCCGUGAGGCUCUAGCAAGACCUCUGCGCAUUCUAUGAGAUUCUUCAUGGCAUAUAUGUUUGGAAAGAUUCAUGGAUUAGCGCUAAAACUUGGAUUUCUUCUAUUUAUGAAAGGAUUCGAAUAAAGUUGAGAAGCAUUUGUUUGCGACACAUGAAACUGCAGGAACUAAAGAUGAUAUCAAAAUUUUGCACUCUCAAGUAAGUUUUUUAUAUGUUUUCAGUAGAUAAUGGUACUUAUGGAAUAUCCAUAUCUUUUCUGCCUCAACAUUUCAAAAUGCUUGUUGCAGGUUGAAGAUGACCCGAAACAAGGAGUUGCUGGUGCUGUACCUAUCCCUCCCAGUGAUGCUGGGAAAGAGGAGGUAAUAGCAGCUUUAGUUGCUAAUGUGGAUGCAAUGAUAAAGGCAGAUAGAAAAAUCACUGCUCUAAAACAAUUGCAAGUAAGCAAAAUACUAUUCAGAGAAAAAAUAUUUUUGCUAUGGAGCUUGGCUUUCACAUAUGAUAAUUAUUUAUGCAGGGUCAUAUAUGGAGAACUGGAUUUGAGAGUAAUGAAUUGGAGGGAGAAGUUUUUGAUGAUGUACCAGAAGCCCUUGAAAAGUGGCAUUCUUUGGGAACAAAGGUUUUCAGCUUUUCUUUCCCAUUUUCUUUUGAAUUUUCUUGUCGAUGUGACUCUUUAACUUUUGUAUUUUUCCAUCUAUAACUUUGUGGGUGCUAUCAUGAUGUUACUGUACCACAUCAUAUGUGUGGCACAAAUAAUUGAUAUAUCAAUAUCAACAAUACAACUACUGCAAUUGAGUUUCUAUUUAGACCAUGCAGGAUCAUUAGAAUUGUUCUUGAUACAGUCAAGCUAAAGCUCUUAGGUGCUGAAGCUGUUAUUUUCGUCCCCUUCCAAUGCAACUGUCUGGCUUCCUGAAUUUAUUUGAAGUUUCAUUCUCUUGGCAAUAUUUUGCCCAAUUGUGAGUAUGCAUAGGAGGUUCAUCAGCAAUAUUAAUUACUAAUUCUGUAUCCGGUGCAGGUUUACAUAUAAUCUAGUGGCAGCAGGUUGUCACAAAGGCUUAUCUUUGGAAAUUCAAAAUAUGGGGACUUAAGAAAAUAUUUGUCUAGAUUUUUUGACAGUGCAAUGGGGUAAGUUCUUUAACUUUCACUUUUAUCUCUCUUGCUGCCUCCUACUUCUUGAGCAAAGAGGUAAAUCCUUGUUUGUCCUCUUGCUUGCAGGAAAAAGAGAAAAACACGAAGUUAUGUUGAAAUCACAGUGUUGGUGGGAGUUAAUUAGCCAUCUGAAAUUUUACUCAUUACAGAUGCUACCUAGAAGCCACAGCCGCAAAAGCUGCAGGUAACAAGCGGUUUGUAAUCUUUUAUUUUUAAAUGGUUGGAUGCUCGACUGUUAUUGAAAUGGUUCAUUUGCAAUUCAUAUGUCCAUAAGCAAGUUAAAGAAAUUAAGGUGCCCAUAUUCACUCUUUUAAUUUUUUUAACUUUCUGAAUAUUCAGUAACAAUAUUCAAAUUUAUGAUGUGCCCCUGUACCAUCCCUUUGAACUCUUACUGGUAUUCCUGAGAGAAAAGGUGGUUCCGUGUUCAUAUUCUAUGUCGAGAUUGAUGUUUAUUUCGGUUUGAUUUAUCGUUUUGGUUUGGAUGCGAUAAUUUCUGUCCAGCCAGGAAAUGGACCUCUUCCAGAGAGUCGUGGCUUCAAGACGAUCAAUUCUUUUGCAGGAAUCUGAAGGCAAAUAUAAUUCUAUGAGCAUAUAGAAUGUGACAGUUGUAGUUGAACCGUAAACAGAAAUAAUGUGAUCACUCUUCUGUAAUGAGCCUUCUCUAUUUGUGUGAUGCAUGCACUUAAUGCUUGUGUUCUUGGAUUAGAAGCCAGUAGUUGCUUGUUCUAAAGGGUGUGCUUCUUCUUCAUACUCAAUUUAUAUAUGGGGCUGAGGAAAUAUCGAUUGUUAUUUUAUGAGCAAGAUAAGUUUUGUUCUUAUCAACCACCGAUGGGUGGAUUUGAAAAAGACAAGCCGAAGGCGAGAUGAGUAAAGAAUUUGAAUCCUUAAAUGUGCCACACCGAAUGUGGCAAGCCCAUAUGUUAGAUUUGGGUAACUUUCAAGCAGAGAACUUUAAUCUUAGACUUAUUAUAGAGUAAACAUUAUUUUCCCAAAAAAAAUAAUGCACAGAGCCAAAUAAAAAUCUCAUCCAUGAAUUUUUUUUGGAUAGCCAAAAUUUAAAUUUAAAAGCUAAGACAUGGUCAUUACGCUAUCCUUUUAAUAUUUAUCUCACUGUCUGAUAGAUGAAUUUAAUGUUUCAAAUGUUUUUAUUUAUAUCAUUGUUGUUGAAUUCAAAACAGAAGAUUGGUAAUUGAUCCCACGGUCCCCAUAUUGAACAUGUUUUAUGAUAACAUUGACAAAUAUAUCUUCUAUAGGUGGACUAGUCUUCAAAACUUGCCCAAUCAAACUCCAAAUUUGGGCUAUAUAUUUAAUUUUAAAUGAUAGAUGAUAAUUUAAAGUAGGAAGAACAGUCAUAUAGUUGAUUGGUAAGUUCGGGCAAGAAUUGACCAAGUCCUUGAUAAUUUGAUCCAAAACUUUUGUUUUCUUCUAUUAACGAUAAUUUUUUCUGGGUCUCACAUUGGUUGAGCUCAAAAUUAGUAUCCAAAACUUUCUUGGGUUCGCAUUUUCCAGGAAAAUUAAUUAGAGAAUCUAUAUAUAAGAUACUGACCACAGAUAGAGACCAGCAUAUACAGGGAGGAGGCAGGUGACAAAGUGAGUUGCAAAAGGUAUCCCAAUUGCAUCUAAAGUGAUAUAAAAGAGACUUUGGCAGUUUUUGUCCGAUGUUUGGGUCCAGUCCAAAGAUACUCUCACAGGCGGUCAUCAAUCACACUGACACAAAAGUAGAACCCCAAAGCCAAGCAAAGGCAGAAUUUAAAAAGGCCUCUCACAUUUUCUCUGCUUUUCUAAUUUAAUUACUUAGACCAUACUCUCUCUCUCUUUUUCUUUCUUUUUCAAUCAUCAUCAUAGCAAUUUUCCCACUUUUGUUUUAACUUUUUACAAACUGUGAUGAUCAUCUCUUUCUCUUUCAAGUCAAAAAGGAAAAUAAAAGGACGACAAAGAAUUGCAUACCAUAGCUGAACAGAAACAACAUUACAUAACCUAGGACGGUGACUUCCCUUUCAAUGAGAAAAAAACUUAUUGAGAUACACCAUUUUUUUUAAAAAAAUUUUAAACCUUCACGGUUCUAAGUUUCUUACCAACUCUACCAAUUGUUGUUAGACAUCUGAAAUGUUCUAACAAAGACAGCCCAAAUUGUUGAACAUGAAGAUUAGGAUUAGGAAAUUGCUUUAAUUGAAAAAAUGGCUAUUGGUUUUCAAUUCUUUGAGGGCAUAGGGAGGGUUGGCAUAAAUUGCUGUAGCUAAGUCAACAUAAUAGAUAACACUGUCUUGUCUCUUUGUCGAGUUUUGGUCCGCAUAGUCUUUUCGGCUAGGUCAUUUUCAUACGGAAAAUUUGGAAAAUAAUGUCUUCCUAGAAAAUUCCAUGAUACUUCUACGCUGAAAAAUUUCACUUGAUAUAUAGAUCCAAAUCUGUGAUGAUUUAAUAUCAUGACUUGUAAUUACUAAAAAGAAAUUAAAAAUCUUAACUAUUCAUUAAGAGAGGUAAGAUGAGUAGAGGAUCAGAAUUUUAUAGGACAACAAAGUUAACACCCAUUCUAGCACAGCAUUAAUCUUGAAUGCUAGUGCAAACAAGUUGGGUAAAAUCUAUUGAGGAAUAUUCAAAGCGUAUUGGUGCUCUAUACACAACUUAUGAGCUUGGUCACAUUUCAUAGAGCCAUAAAUAUAGCAGAAACUUUCUUUUCAAGGCCCAGACAGUCAAGACCAUCGAAACAUAUUGUUGAAAUAAUUUAUUAUAACAAAAUUAAAUUAAACCAAACACUAAAUGGUAAUGAAUUUUACAUUCAAUUUUUUGAGUUCAAAUUUAGAUAGAAGAACAAGAGAGAAACAUAGAAAGAUUAUAUAGCUGAUCAUUUCUUUUGAGACCAUGCAAAUUAAUCCAUAUAUAUAUAUAUAUAUAUAUAUGAAUGACAGAUAUAUGAAGAAAGACCAGUACCUCAGCAUCAAGAAAUUCAUUUUUUUUAUUUAUAAUUUUAAAUGUCAGACUAAUACCCAAAUUAAGAAAGAAAAAAGAAAAGAAAAAUAACAAGCUAUUACCAUAAUAUGAAAAAGAGAUGAAAUUGUACAAUUGAAACAAGAUUCUUCUUCUACCCGUGAUCAGUACUCAGCAGUAGCCUUGCUCAUACAAUACACAUAAUACAGAACCAGUAGUACCGCAGUCUUCGUAUACGGUUCUUCAAGAAGAUGAGCCAGAGACUCUAGGUGAAGUCAAAGGAAAGAGAGUCAAAAGCUGUGGCUCAUGGUCUCUAGGAGUUGACAUUGGAGAUGGAUGCAAAUAAAAACCCUUCUCAGCAAUUGCUCUCUCUUCCUCUGAUGAUGACGACGAUGAUGAAUUUCCUCCUAAAGAAUAAGGAGAUGAUUUGUUAAAAGGGUCUUCGUUUAGCGGUGUAACAGGACUACUGAGUGCAAGUUUUGGAAAGUCAAGCAAGCUUGGUGACAAAAUCUCUGGCUUGUUAUUUCCAUUCCUUGGAGAGAAGGCACAAUUAUUAGCCAAAGUGUUGAUCAUGAGACUGUUCUUGAAGUUGUUGGCUCUUCUUUCAUAGAGCUUGAAAUUUUGCUUCUUUGGAGUGGUGGUUUUGAUUGGUGGGAUAACAAAAGAUUUGUUGUUGUUGUUGUUGGUGUUGGUGUUGGAUGGAUCUGUUGUUGUUGAUGUAGAGGCUUGUUUGGCAGCCGUCUCAGAGGAGCCAGUGAGCAGUUGAACAACUUGUUUGAAGCUGUUGGUGUCAGCUUGCACAAAAGUCGUUGGGUAAGGAUUGGCUUCAGUAGAUCUGGAGAUUGGAAUCGGUGUGAGUGGUGGGGUGUGAUUGUUGUUACUGUGAUGGAUUUGGAGUUGCACUUGGACCACCCCAUUGUUGUUAUUGUCGUUGUUGUUGCUGCUGGAAGCACCUCUUGGUGAAUUUAUGGGAGAUGGAUGGUUCCUUGUUGAUGUAUUAUUCUUCUCCAUUGAAGCAAAACAAGAAGUCCUUCUGAAAAAAAGGUGCUUUUGGGGUUGUGAACAACUGAAGAAAGGAGGAGGAGGAGGAGAAGAAAGAAAGAGUGAAAAACAAGGUUUGAUGAGAGAAAGAAGCUUUGGCUUUGCUAUUACUUUAGUUUUGUUUUGUUGUGCCACCAAGCAAUUUUAUUGUUGACUCUUAAUUUACCUUUUCUCUCUCCUUGAUGUGUUUAGUGAGAAACAUUGGGGGCGUUUCAGCUUGAGACUUAAAAGCUUAAAAAUGGGUUUAGGUUAUACGGCAUUGGGAUUAUAAAGAUUAAGGAAAAUUAGGGUAUUGGUUGUAAAUGGAAUUUGUUUGGCCAUUUAGCAUAUGUGCUGCUGCCACCACCACCAUUGUCAUUUGUCAAGUCUUUGGACAAAAGAAUAUCAAUUUAUAGAUUUUAUGGCAUGGACUUCAGAGCCCUGAUUGAAGACACUUUGUUUGAUUUCAUUGGAAAUUAUAUUGAUGAUGAUGAUGGCAACAAAUUGUAUUAUAUCACAACUUUUGCCACUCUUAAUUAAGCAUCUUUAUCUGGCGCGUGUACUCCAAGCGCGAGAGAUUAUUUUUGUGAACAACAGAAGCGCUUCUAUAAGAAAAUGUGAUUUGUAACAAAAGCAGUUUUCUAUAAAGAGUAUUAUCAAGUGUUUUUCCUGUUAACACUUAAUAAGUAAGUAAUAGGGUUCUAAUCGCCUACUCUUUACUCUUAUGAAACACUUUCUCUUUUUAGAAAAAUAUAUUAUUUUUUAUUUUUAAAUUAAUAUAUCAUUAAAAAUUUCAUAUUUAAAUUCAAUACUGAACUAAUAUUAUAAGAAAUGAAUUCAAAGAUAUUGAUAUUUUUAUACAUAUUUUCACUCUUACUUUCACUUUAGAAUUUCGGUAAACGUAUACUUUUGUACCCAUACAAAUUAUGUUGGUCCUCAUUUUAUAGAUUUCAUCUAAUAGAAUAAUUAGGGUUGGCAAAAUGAGUCACCGGGUCGUGUUCUUGUCGUGUCAGUUUCGUGUAGUGUUCAAUUUAAGUCAAUCCAAACACAACCCAUUUAAUAAUCGUGUCAAAAUAUUGAGACCCAAACCCGACACAAAAAAUAAACGAGCUACCUAAUAACUCAUUUAAUAUCUAUAUAUUUAAAAAUAUAUUACACACACCCCAAACUAUCACACAUUUACACUAUUAAAUUCUAAAUUUAUAUAAAAUUUUAUAAAUAAACAUUGUGCAUAUGUCAGUCUUCCAAAGAAAAUUAAAAAGAGAGAAUGAUAUCUAAUAUUUGAGUUUUAAUGACAAAAAUCUAAAAAUUAAUUUAAAAUAAAAAAUAUAAUCAUAUCAUUGUUCGGAUAAAUGGGUCGAGAAUUUUAACUCCAGCUCAACAUGGAAAAAAAAAUUGUGUUAAUCCGAACCCGGCCCAUUUAAUAAUAAUGUAAAAUUUGACAAUUCAUACCAAUUUAUUCGUGUCCUGUUCGUAUCAAGUAAUCGUGUCGUGUUAAAUUUUGCCAACUCUAAUUAGUAAUAAUUAAGAAAUGCAAACUUCAUGAGUGUUGGUUUAUUCAACCUCUAAGAUCGCUUGAAAUAUUCAUACGACUUAAAGUCUAAAUUUCGCUAGUAUGCGGAUUGAAAAAGAGUUUAGUAGAAUAAAAGAAGUCAUCAAUCCAUUAUUAUACCUUUUAUGCUCCACAUCACUCAAAUUACUCAUAAUCUCUCCUAAGUGGUGUAAGACUAUCGAGAAGAUGCCAUUAUGACAUCAUUUUGAUGGUGAUAUUACAUUCAAAGACCUAUCAGAAACCAUUAGAAUACCCAUGGUAAAUUCAUAACAAACUAUACGCGAAAUAAUUUCUUUAGAAUUACCCUAAAGAUCAACAUUUUUUUUAUACCAAGCAUUUUAAUGUGAAUUUGUUCUGUUCCUAAAUUAAUGUCAAUGAAACUAACAAAAGCAACGGGUCAUUGGAUGGAUUAUAUAUAUAUUAUAGACGAAUCUAAUUUUUAAAAUAUUGUUCUAUACCGCAUUAACAAAAAAGAGUUCUUAGUUGUAAGAAAAUAAGAGAAAAGAAAAGAAGAAAAGAAUCAAAUUCUCAUUUUAUUUUUAGAAAGAUUAACAAAAAAUUUCGAGAAAAGGUGAUGGGGGGGGGGGGGGGGGGGACCAAUUGUCCAUUAACAGAGGCCAUUGUUGCUGCUAAAGGGAUCAUAUGCUUUCAUAAACCAAAAGCAUUAUUGUCUAGAUUGUGGAGUGCUUAACAAAAGUCUAACUACUAAUUUUAUAUUAAGCAUAAAGCAAAAUGAUUAAUUAACUAGCUCCAGUCGUACAAACAUUUGAUUAAAGCACAAGCAAAUUUGGAGGGAGAAAAAAAGAAGCUACAAUUGGUGAGUGAUCCAUCAUAUAAUAUCAUGAAGACAUGAUAUUGUAAUUGAGGACUUAGAGAUCUUCAAUUAUACCCAAUAGUCCAAAAAAUUAAUUGAUUAGAUAUUCCAAAUAUUUAUAAUAUUUUACUUCAAGUAUGUUACAUAAAAACAAAAUAUGUAAGCAUGGAUUAUUACAUUACUCUCUUAAUCAGCUAUGAUAAAGUCUCUGUUUGUUUUAUUGUUUGGUUAUAUUAUGAUUUGUUUUUUUUUAAAUUAAUUAAUGAAUUUAGUUUUAAAAAAGUCAAAACUAGCGCGCAAUAUAAAUUCAUAUUUUCUUAAUAAUUGUAGGAUACCAACCUAUAUGGACCACUUUAUGAUUUAACCUAUUUAGUUUUGAAAAUAAAAAUAUAUCUUUGAGUGUUUUCAUAUGCACUUAAUAAUAACUUGGUCUUAAAUACUUACAAAAAUUUCUAACUUUUCCAUUGUUUCUUAUGAGUUACUAUUGAUUUGAUCCGCUUAUGUGAUGUGCUAAAUAAUUCCAAUGAUUUUUCCUUCAGAAAUUUUUUUUUUUUCUUCAAAAUAGGACCACUAGGGGGGGGGGGGAUUAAAAAAUUUAAUUUUUUUUUUAAAAAAACCCAUCAUGCAUGCAUGUGUUGAAAUUCUUAGGAAUUACAUUCAGUGAAAAAUUUUUUGCAUGGUUAAUUUAGAAAGAAUUGUAGUAAUUCUCAAGUAAAAGAUUAAUUGGCCGGCUUGACUAAAGGCUAAAAAAAUGGGAGUAUUAGGUGUCGUUUAGCUAAUAAUCCUUUUUAAAAUUAUUUGUUUAAUUGGAUUUUGCUGACUUUUUGAUAUAGUAGGGUCCGCCAAACGGGGUCUUUAUUUAUUGUUUGAGCUGCUCAAAGUCACAGGUUCCGGCUACAGCUAGCAAGCUGCUUGUGUUGUGCACAACAUUAGUCUAAGAAACCGGCUGUUUUAUUCCAUUUCUAAAUAAUUUUCCUGGAAAGUGAUAGAAAAUGAAACUCAACAAUCGAACUUUACCUUAGUCAGGGGUGUGGUUAGAUCGAAUUUCACUUUUUUUUUCUAUUUUAUAUUUUCUUUCUAAAUAAGAGUGAUACUCGAAUAUCACAACAUAUUGAUUGACAUGGCUAAAAAUAUAUAUUUGUAAAAUUGUGUAAAAAAAAAAAUAUUUACCAAAACAGAAGAAAAAAAUUAUAUUUACACGUAUGAAAUUGAGAUGAAAUAGAAAAUUCAUUUCAUAAAUCAUGUGGCAGAUGAUGUGACAUUUAGACAAAACUAUGCGAAUGCAUAAAUAUGAGUAAAUCACUCCCUAAUAUAUGGUGCUACAAGCUUGAUUGUGUCACAUAAUUUGCUAUAUUAUUUGAAAUUGAAAAUAGAAAUAAAAACUUUAUCACUCAAAUUUAGUGUAUCGUAUUAUUUAUUUUAAAAUUAAAAUCUGAUUGAAAAUGAAGUUAGAAAGUAAUUUUCAUAUAUUACAAUUGUGAUAUUUUUAAUAUUAUUUUUAUUUACUUUUUAAGUUAGAUAGUGUCGAUCUUAUUUAGAAUCCUACAUUUUAUUAAAGUCCAAGAAAGUUAUAUAUAUAUAUAUAUAUAAACAAACAAAAUCUGGAUGACGGGCUUAUCCUAGAAAUAUUUUUUAUUUUCAUUCACGACUUUUGUAACAAUUUCUGUUGGCAUUUGUUUUGAUUCUAUUUCAAGUCAUUGUUAUAAAAUUUAGAUCAUGAACAAUAUGGUAAAUGAUGUAAAGCUCGAACAAAAUAAGCACGAUGAAUGUGGGAAUAAUAAAUUUAAAUCCAUCUACGUCGUUUAAGGCUAUACCCUGCUUGGACAGAAUCAUGUGAUUUGUCAUAUUAAUUCAAAUACAAAGAACCCUAUCGUCAAUUUUCAUAGAUAUACAGAAGUUAUUAAUCUUAACUUUGAUAUGGGAUUGAUACGAUGCUCUGAAGCAAUCUUGCAUGCUAGAAAUUGUAGAUCUAACUUCAUUUCUUUUUGUUAUUUGCUUUCCGAAAUUGUCGCUGACGCGUGAUGANNNNNNNNNNNNNNNNNNNNNNNNNNNNNNNNNNNNNNNNNNNNNNNNNNNNNNNNNNNNNNNNNNNNNNNNNNNNNNNNNNNNNNNNNNNNNNNNNNNNNNNNNNNNNNNNNNNNNNNNNNNNNNNNNNNNNNNNNNNNNNNNNNNNNNNNNNNNNNNNNNNNNNNNNNNNNNNNNNNNNNNNNNNNNNNNNNNNNNNNNNNNNNNNNNNNNNNNNNNNNNNNNNNNNNNNNNNNNNNNNNNNNNNNNNNNNNNNNNNNNNNNNNNNNNNNNNNNNNNNNNNNNNNNNNNNNNNNNNNNNNNNNNNNNNNNNNNNNNNNNNNNNNNNNNNNNNNNNNNNNNNNNNNNNNNNNNNNNNNNNNNNNNNNNNNNNNNNNNNNNNNNNNNNNNNNNNNNNNNNNNNNNNNNNNNNNNNNNNNNNNNNNNNNNNNNNNNNNNNNNNNNNNNNNNNNNNNNNNNNNNNNNNNNNNNNNNNNNNNNNNNNNNNNNNNNNNNNNNNNNNNNNNNNNNNNNNNNNNNNNNNNNNNNNNNNNNNNNNNNNNNNNNNNNNNNNNNNNNNNNNNNNNNNNNNNNNNNNNNNNNNNNNNNNNNNNNNNNNNNNNNNNNNNNNNNNNNNNNNNNNNNNNNNNNNNNNNNNNNNNNNNNNNNNNNNNNNNNNNNNNNNNNNNNNNNNNNNUUAUCACGUGAAUGUGGAAUAAUAAGUUAAAUCAACUACAUAAUAUAUGGCAAUACGUACUUGAUAGUAUCAUGUGAUUUGUCAUAUUAAUUAAAAUAUAAAAAUACUAUCUCAAUUUUAUAAAUAUACAGUAUUAUUAAUCUUUAAAUUGAUAUUUGAUUGAAUAUGAAGCUUGAAGCAAUUUUCAUGCAAGAAAUUGUAGAUCUAAUUCAUUCUUUUUUAUUUGCAUUCCAAAUGUCACUGACGCGUGAUGACAAUAACAUAUCAAAUGACUCAAUCAAAAAGUAUAUUUAUAAAAUAGUAGAAGAAAAUUUUGUUUGAUGAAAAAAUAAUAUUCCAACUAAUAUGAUAAAUAGGUAAACUACCAGUCAUCUAGAAUCUUUACAUGAAGGUGAACUGAUUAAAUAAAUAAUUCAUGAGUGCUAGUUAUUUGUCUUGUUAAUUGAGAUGUAACUUUUCUCUCGACUUUAUAAGUACUGAAUUAUUAAUCUUGAAAUUAAGAUGGGUGGCAAGAAAAUUUUCACUAGGGAGAACGAGAAAAAAAAAAAAGAAAAAGAAAAAAUCGUGGGUAGAAGAGAACAAAGAGGCAAGUUCCUGGCGGGUGAGUGUUUUGGUUGGAGAUUAACAUUUUGAUUGAGAAAUGAGAAUGGGAAAAGGAACUUGACUUUUAUUCCUUCAUGAUUAUAUCAAGAAGGGAAAAAAAAAUUUGUCUGUAGGUUGUAAAUGAAAAAAUUGGUAGAGAAAAAAAGAGAGUUGUUUCUUUACAACUUGUUUGGUUACAAGUCAAAGUUGCUUGGCCCUACAAUUGUUUCUUUGGUUGCCCUCAUCAAUGAUGAUGAUAUGUAUAAUGCCUUAUUUCAUCAAUAACAGUUGACUAUGAAUAUAUAUUUUGAAAGAAAAGGGAAAACUACAGAAACCUUUGAAUAUUUAUAAAUCAUUUUGAUGGAAGAAAAUUGUUUCAGAAAUGUUGUAUGCUGUUGUUUUCUCUGCACAUUUUUCUGUUAUUUUCUUAAUAAUGACAUCAAAUACAUCAUGUCGCACAGCAAUGCUACAGGUGUUAAUAAUUGAUGAGAUGGGUCAUAUUUGAUUAUAAUUGAUUAUAAGCCGUUUAUUUUAGUUGAUUAAUUCGGAUCAGAAUUCUCCCAUGAUAUGAUAUUUUAUUUGAGUAAAUAUGAUUGUAUGAUUAGUAGCUAAUAAAUGAGAAAAUAAUAAAUAAGUAAAUUUGUCAACGCAAAAACAUAAAAAUAUUGAUAACUAAGGGAAAUGAAGUUUUUUGAAUAAUGUGAUCUUGAUUGAAAAUUUUGAGUGAACAACAUUAGGGUUUUGGAGUCCUUUUAUACUAACCCUAAAUUUUGUGAAUUUACUAAAAUAGGCAAAUCUAAAAUAUUAUUUCAUAAUAAUAUUCUCUUAAUCUAAAUAAGAAAAACAAAAUAAAUGGCAUCCAGAUCCGAUAUCUAAAGAAAAAAGAUAAAAAUCCUGAAAGCAAUAGGAAAAAUAGAAAAACAACUUAAAACUAUAAAAUGAUUAGAAAAAAAAUGAAACUUUUGGCUCGACCAUGGAGUAAAACGAAGUUGCUUUUCUAGGUUUAGUUUGUCUCAGUUUAAGUUUCAAAAUUGUAUAUUAUACGCCGAAAACAGACACCUAUAGCCCGAAUUAUGACCUCUAAUUUAUACUUUACUCAUCCUACGCAAUCGUCCUACAUCAAAAAUCUUGAACAUACACAAAUAAAAGUAUAUAUAUAUAUAUAUAUAUAUAUAUCAAAAGAUCCUUCAAAGUUUAGAUAUAAUCACUAUAUCCUUAUCCUUACAACUCAUGUUUUAUCGAAUUUGUUGAUUGUGAGUGUGGAAUUUGAUUCUAAUAUUCUCCACGUGUUAUUCCAAAUUAAAAUGUUUUAUUUUGUGUUGAAUUGGUAUAUAGUGCAUCAACUACACCUUGCAUCCACCAGUACUAGUCUGCUAUCCGUAAUAAAUAUUGCAAAUACGAAAACAUAAAUUGUAUAUAUAAUAAAAAAGUUGUUAUCAAUAAUUUUAAAAAAAUAUAUAAUCAAAUAUGAAAAAUAGUUACACCCCUUAAUUAAAUUGAGAACAUGUGCUUAAUUGAUGAGUUUUGUUAUAUUUAGGUCAACUAGCUAGAUAUAUUGCACGUCAUCAUCGAUUAAGUUUGUGCAUGAAAAAUAUCUACUUCAUAAUUAAACUCAUAAGAAUGAUGUCACAAACAUAUGUGGCAUGGAAUCUUAUCAUGCUUAGAGGUUGAAGAAAGGAAAUAUCAAAAAUAUAAACAAGAAGGUAUCUUGGAUUUGCAAGUGGUACCAACCACACACUCAAAGGAGUCAAGUUCAAGCCAAAAAAUGAAUUUUGUGAUAUGAUUGUUGAGUAGUUUCCAUCAAAACAAUGACAUGAGUUUAUAUAUAUUUGAAAUUCCUCUUAUUCUUGGCAAUGCAAGAAAGGUUUCCACGAUGCAACCCAUUUUGUUAAUAGAAGUGCUAAAGAAAACACAACCCAAAUGGUUGGCCAACUAAAUUGUAUCAAAAUAAAGAAAAUUGAUUUUGGAUCCAUUCGAAAGUUACUCGAAUAGUGUUACAAGUUUUUUUUUUUUUUUUUUUUAUAGAUUAUUGUCAUUUUCCUGCUAUAACAGUGACCAAAUACUAAAUUAUUAUAACAGUUAUUGAAGUUUAAUAGACAUUAACAAUGAAAAGUAACUUUCCACUAAAUUUUUCUUACCAAUGGUAAUAUGUAUACAAAAAGUAAUACAAAAAAAUGCACACUAUCACUACAAUAUUUACAUAUACACACACACACAUACACUACAAGACAAGAUUUUUCUGUCUUUUUGUGGCUUUAAUUCUAAAUUUUGUGCUAUUUUCUAUACAUACAUCAUUAUUCUUCCGUUGCUACUCAUAGAUAAAUUAUGACAUCACAACAUCGAAUUUGUCUUUGGAUCAAAUCCAACUCAAGCUUCUAAUAUGCCAUAAGCAUUCAAGCACAAAACAGUCUUCUUAUCCGCAAAUACUUAUCUACUAAUUUUUAUUUUAUUUAAAAAAAUUGAAAUAUUUAAAAAAAAUCUUUUAUAUAGAUUUUUAAUCUCUUGUUUAUUUAUUGGACAAUAUUGGCAUUUUACAAGUGGGCAAAUGAAAAAGGAAGUAAAAUAUUGCUGUUUCAUAGUUAAAAAUAAUAAAAUGUUAUUUUUUUUUUAUAAGUAACGUGUAAAAAUGUUAUGCCUGUAAGAAUUUGGUUGAAUGAUUUUUAAACAACUUUACGACGACUAAUCCGAACUGAUAAUAAACACAAGAACACUUUAAUAAUUAUUCUAAUAGUUUAUAAUUUCAACGUAGGUGGAAUUUAUUUCUUUUAUAUAUGUGUGUGUGUGUGUAUAGCAUUACCCUCCAUUGAGUACGGUGUGUGUGACAAACGGACAAUUGAUACUAACACAACUCAAAUACUUUUUUAUAUAAAAACUUGCACCAUAUUGAUGGGGGAGACCAUGCACAUGAAUAUUAAUUAUAAUUUUAAUUAUGUAUGACUAGGAGACAUUGAAGAUAGAAAAGGGACCACCUUCGUAGCCAUGUUCUGAGGUUCAUGAAUAGUUGCUCUGUCUCAUACUCAUAUGCUGCUGCUUACAUUAAUAAUCUAAUCCAUAGCUGUCUGUCUUUCUUUAUUUUAUUUACUCUUUUGUCGUUUCAAUUCAAAAAUAUUAUCAUCAGUAGCACAUUAAACAUCUAAGCGUUUAAAAAAAAAUGAAAAAAAAAAUGCACCCAAUUGAAGAUUUUAUAUACUCAACUUUCCUGUGGCAAGUUACAAGCACAACCACUGAAAGAGAAGUGGUUGUUAUUCAAGACCAAAGUAAAAUGGUAACAGAUUGAAGAUUACAUUCACUGGAUGUGAAAUCUGCGGAGGAACCAUCUUCAUUCUUCGUACUGAUGCAUACAGAUACAAAUCAUAAAAUGUGUCACUUGGGGGGAUAGAGUUGUCAUCAAAGUGCCCGAGCAACAUUCUUGAACUCGUUCAAGCAAGAUUGGAGUAUCUUCUGGCGUUUUUCCAGAGACUUUCUUUCGUUUUGUAGCACAUCAAUGGCACCUGGUGCUACAAACAUGUCCAUGAAUUUUUCAUCAUUCACGGCGAACAAAUCCAACCCGAUUGCCACCACAAGCCUCUCCCGGCUGUACAAGGAAGACAGAAAACAAAAUUCUUGCAUCAAUCUAUCAUCCAAAUCCAAAAUAGUAAAACCAAGCACACGAAAAGCACACAUGCAUUAAACAUCUACUCUUGUGCUUCAGUGGUGGAAAAAAAAAGUGUCAAAUGUGAAUGAAAUAUUGGUGCAAAAUGCCAACACUUCCAUUUUAACAUUAAUUUGGAAAUACUAAUAGUGACAGAGGUACUAGUUAGUUCAGAACUUGUAAGGCCUCUUGGGGUGGUACAAAGGUUUGGGGUUUGAAUAUGUAACACCAAUACCGUUCUCAAAGUUUAGUUCAUAUUUUAUGUGAUUGAAUGUGCUAUGAGAAGCCAACUACUUCAAAAAGAUAAGGAAGCUUACCAUGGGGUUAAAAAUCCGGAGUUUAAAGUUGAUGCAACACUUCGCUCUACAAGAACUUCACGUAUUCUUGCAAAAUGCUGUGCAGCUGAUGAACAGAUUUCUGAGAAUGCUGAGCUUGAUCGUCCACCACUAUCACCAUUUCCAAAUAAAAGACCACCAUUUUGAACUCUUAAAAGUUCAGCAUUCUUACCGCCUGCUAUUCUUGAAACCCUUUUUUUGGGUCCAACUUCAUUGUAGUUUCCUAGCUCCUUUUUGACAACACACACCACUUCACAUGGCUGGUCAGGAGAAGGUGUCUCAGGAAUAGUCAAUUGGCAUUCUUGAAGAGCAGCUCUGCCCUCCUCACCUUUCCCCGGAGUGGUUUGCUGCGUGCUCUUUUGUGGGGGUACAUUUUCCUGAUCUCUCAUUGUUUCAUCACGGGAUGCAGCUGUGCCAUCAGAUAGUUCAAAACAAAAUGAACUAACUGAAGCUUGGUUGAAUCUAUAAGAAGUUGCACCUGAACCAAAGCCUCCUUGACAGUCAUUUUCAUAACAAACCAGAGAAUAUGGGCUUGUAACAGAAUCAAGGUGGUGUCGGACUAGUUGCUUGCAAUGCUUUGACAGAUCCUUCACAAAUCUAUUGUAAGCUUGCCUUAAAGAAGCAUGAAAACUUACGUAUCCAUCCAUAUUUCCAGUUUUAUUCCCAUCUGAAAAUCAUAAAACAACAACAUUUUGAAGCUACAAAAAAUGAAGAUCAAAAGAAUGGCAUAAAUUGCACAAGUUGCUCCAAAAUUUUAAAGGUUCAAUUAUCAUUUCCAUCCAACCCAUCUGACAAUCUGGACUCUAAACACCAACCCUUCCCUCCUUUUAGUACUUAAACUUAGGUGACUGCCGGCACAAAGUGCAAUCACAGACAACUAAGAAACAGCAGCUACUGGUUUUCAUAAUAAAGUGGGGUAAAGAAACAACUACAUGACUACAGAUAUCAUGAAUACGUGGAGAACUAGAGGAUUCUUACAUUCAGAAUCUUGGUUGCAAUGUCUUUCAAGAGCAAUAUCAAAGAGGUUUCCUAGGACAAAGGCCAGCCGAUCACAAGCCGUGUCAAGAAGAGGGGCAAACCAUGACCGGGCAGCAGCACGUGCAAUCUCUGCAGCAGCCUCCAUUACUCCUCUACCACCUCCUCGACCAGCAUGGGCAAGUAAUAUAUUUGCUACCUGUUUCAAGAAGAAUAAACAAAUUUACUAGAUCACUGUCAAUCAUAAUCAUAUCCUUUGACCUGCAUGUUCAUGGAUUGUAUUGGCUCUAGAUAUUUGUACCUUCUCCCUUGAUACUUGGGGGCACUCAAUGGAAUAUGCAGCACAACGGAAUUCAUGCAUUACCCUCUCAAAAGCGGCUCCUCCAUAGAGCCGAAGCGUUGCAUUAGGAGGUUUUAUGUCGAUACUAACACCAGGCCAACUCCCAAUACCACUCUCUGACUGUUCCUCCUCUGUUGAUUUUCCCCAUUGCUCAGGGGCAGGAUCUGCUGCUCCAUCAAUCAAAGCUCCCUAAUUUGAUGACAUGCAUAGCAAAGUUUUUAUAUGAUAUUUCAAUUUCAGGAAAGACUUUAUAUUACUAGAGAUGAUUCCAACUAAAGAAUCUAUGAAUCUGGAAAUUAAAAUAAUUGUACAGAUCAGAAAUUUCAAAUAAAGCCAUGAACGAUAAGAUAUGUAUAUGAUGUUGACAGUAACUACAGUCUUGUGUUACGCAAGUGGCUAUAUACACUAACCAAUAACUAAUCUGAAUGACCACUCACCACAUGAGUGCUGAUAGAAGCUGCAUACAUCAUGGCAAACCUGCGAAGCUGAGCAACGUCAGAAGUAGCCUGUAUUUUAGAGUCCAUUCUUGACAUCUCAGUGGUGACUUCAUUGCAACGCUGCUCAAGCAGAGCUAGAGUUGCUGGAGCAGCUUCUUUGUAUCUCUUCUGAAGUUCAGAUUCCAAGUAGUCCCUCAGACAUCCAAAACCAAUAUAUGGCUUGAACUUUUCUUCAUCAUAUCCUCCCUUGAUUCCAUCACGUAGAUGACGUAGAACUUCUACAUCCACCUGAGAAAUUUGCCUGCGGAAUUCAUCAUUUGAAACAGUGUUCCUGUCUUUCGGCAAGGCCACAAAAAAUGGGCGAGUAUUCUCCCCAAGGUAUCCACUGGCACUCAAAUACCGAUCUACUUCCCACCUGUCACUAAAUUCCUACAAUGAUUUACAAUGAAUCAUAAAUAAAAUUCAAGUCUGUCAGGUAGAAAUAUGCCAGACAAUGUGAACAAGGCAUCUCUACUCACUCUGUCAAACAAUGUAGAAGGAAACAAGAUUUUUCAGUCAUUCAUAGACUAAAAUUAUCCCGCAUAUAAUAAUUAAACCACAAUCAACAAUAUUACCAGCGCUAUGCAUCUGAUUGCAAUGAUGUUCAUUUCUUUAAGCCCCAAAUUGGCUUCUAAGAAGGGCAGAAAAAAAAAAAAAAAGCUUUUUACCUUGAGCCGAUUAUCAAACUUGGAGACAACAAUUACUGUUCUUCUAAAGGUUGGAUCAAUUUCACGAAUGGCAUCCAACCACAAUGACGAGCACCAUUCCACACUACUCUGUUGGAGAAACACGAGAAUCCUAUGGGGAGGACUAGCCAACGAUUUAACCAUUGAAAGAAUUUCAUCUGGUGUAUUUUCAGGCUCUCCCUUCUUUGCCUACCAAAAAUUUUUCAAAACAACAUACAUUACAUUCAACUGGCGACUAAUAGUUUUCAAGCUUUAAAAUUAUUUUCCUAGUGUCUAAAAUAUACUACAACCAAUGAAGUACCUUCAGAACAAAGCCUGGGGUAUCUAUUAUGGUAAGAUUUGGACAAUGUGCAUAUUCAGCUCUCAUUACAAUCGGCUUAGGAGAAACCGAUGUUUUCGUCUUCUUCAAAAGUGCCUCAGUUCUUGAUUUUAUGAUAUCUGCAAUCGCUGAUGCCAAAACAACAGGGCUUCCAUACUCUUCAGAGUCUUCUUCCUGUUUUCGACGGUCAGUUUUCAGUAUUGCUUGCAAAUACAAAGUCAUAUAAACAUCCAAACAUAGAGCACUAGUGGUAAAGGCAAUGUUUUUUCUAACAAUCUACCCAUCAAUUCGAACUAACUAUAAAUUAAAAGCCACAGCACCUCAAUCUCAUUUUCAAACGAACCCUUAAUACAUUGGAAUUGUUUUUGACAAACCUAACGUACGCAAAUACUGUAAAGGAAAUAAUUAAAGAACAUGCAACAAAAUUAUAAAAAAAGAAAAUCCCAAACCCUUUGCUUACUUAGCAAAUAGCAGGUGCUUAUCAAACAUUUUAAUUAUUGUGCUUUCAAAAUUAAGCGGAAGUGCUAUUGCUACAAACUUUAUCACAAUGUACAGCAAAUAUUACCAAAAUAAAAAUUAAAGAAAUACUAAAAUAUUAUCAGUAAAUGAUUAACCUGGAAGCGGCAACGGGGGUCGAGGGCCGUGGGAUCGUGAACCAUUUGCAAAAUGAGGGGCCGUCGAGUACCCAUCUCGACUUCACGCACAUUGAAGCGAAACCCGAGAAGGGCUUCGAGGAGAGAGCUUUUGCCGUCGGAUUGGCCGCCGAGGGCGACGAUUUCUGGGAUCGGGAGCUUCUCUCCGAAGGCGACGGCGGCGGCCUGGAGGCGGUUGUAGGCCUCGAACCGGGAGGCGCGAGUGGAGGCGGAGUCUGUGGCGGAGAGCUGGUGGUGGCGCUUUGAGUGUGAUUUUUCCGAGGGGGUCUUUGUGGGUGUUGUUAGAAAUGAGUUUGGUGUCGCCAUUGAUGGAGCAAAAGCGAUGCGACUGCCGUAGAUGCCAAAAGGAGAGGGGGAGAGAGAGAGCGUUUUAGAAGCAAUUUGAAUUUGAAUUUUUUGACCGGUGAAGUUGAAGCCGGGAAAUUCUGGGCCGGGCUUUUCUCUGCUCCAAAAUAUGGGCUGGGCUUUGCCGGUCACAAAACAAUGGACUACGCCUUAUUCCUGUGACUUCUAAAUACACCCAGGAAGUUUUUUCAAUGUUGAACUCUCCUGGUAGCCCAAAAAGCAAGGCAAGGGCCUUUUAAAAUGGACCACUCGCUUGCCACCACUGACCUAAAAUCACACCAGCAAUGGGAAUAAUAAGAUGCAUGUACGAUCUGCCAUUAUUACAAUUCUUUGAGCUUUUGAUGGAGUAAUGAGAAACUCCACGUUCUCAGCAAAGAUGUGGGAGAGGAAUUAAGAUGAUUAGGACAUCUUCAAAAAGAAUAAAGAAUAUGAAAAAUGGAAACCGAUUCAUGUUAUGGAAAAUUUGGACAAUUUAGGGUUUCAAGUCACAUGCAAACGCACGGUGAUGGAUCAUGGAUACACAGUAUUAGACUAUUGAGUAUUAGACUUUCUUGGCUUGCGCCCGCACGGGCUUGUUUGUUUCAUUGGCGAAGCCAGCAUAUGACUUCAAAAAAGUUUGAAGAGUAAUUUUAUGUAGUGUUUAUUUUCUGGAGUGAGAAUAAGAAGUGUAAAUUCCUUUUACUCCACUAUUUACUUAUAAUUUUUAAGGGGGAGUGAGAAUCUCACUCUGUGAGUCCCACUUAAUUUUGGAGUGGGGAGUGGAUCUCUUUUUAGCCUUAUAUUUAAAAUAAAAUAAUUAAUAUUUAAUAAAAUAAAUAAUAUUAUAUUUAUUUAAAUAAUAUUAUUUUAUUAUUUUAUAAAAUAAAACUAUUAAAUCUAUUAAAAAAUAAUAAUAAUAAACAUAUUUAUUUUAUUAAAAUUAAUAAAAUAAAAUAAAUAAUAUUAUAUUUAUUUAAAUAUUAUUAUAUAAAUUAAAUUUAUUAAAAUAAUAUUAUUAAACAUAUUUAAAUAUAAUAUUAUUAUAUUUAAUUAAAUAUAAUAAUUUACAUUGAUUCUAAGUUGAAAUUACUUAAAAAUAAUAUUAUUAUACUCAUAAAGAAUUCAUAAUCUUACUAUAUUAUAUCUUUAUUUGAAAAUAUAAUAUUAUUAUAUUUAUUUAAAAAUAAUAGUAUCAUAUUUAUUUAAUUAAUAAUAAUAAAUAUUUUAUUCUAAGAAAAUAUUAAUUUUGUACUAUUUAUCAAUAAUAAUAUUUCAUUUGUGUUGCUAUUAUUAAUAAUUUUUUAUUUACAUAAUUCACAUUAAAAUUAAUAAAAAAUUAUGAUUUACAUAAUUAAGAAUAUUAAUAAUUAUUAUUAAUUUUGUAAUUAAAAAUUAUAAUUCUUUAAAUAAGGGUAAAAUUAUAAUUAAAACCAUUUACUCAUAAUCUAAAACAAUGUAAACACAUAAAUUGAAUUUUGGUUUUAAUUCCAUUCUCCUAUUCCAGUGUAAGUAACAACCUACUCACACUCCCACUCUUCACUCCUAAUCUCAGGAUUCCCACUCUUCAGGAUUCUCACUCCAAUUCAAAAUGUAAAUGCUACCUAAAUCAGUCUAUAAUUACUUUGAUUUAUUGAAAAUGCCCUAACUUAGUAUUAUAAUUAUUAAAAAUUUCUAGAUAAUUUUGAAGAGUUUGAAAUUUAACUCUCGUUAAAAAAAAUUAAAAAUUUAUUAGUUAUUUCAAUUCUAUAACCAUGAAUUAGCCAUAUCUAAAUGAAGACAAAAAAAAUUUUGAAAAAAGGGUAAUAAAUAAUAAGCAUGAAACUAUAAAAACAUAAGUUUCUCUAUUUUUUCCUCAUUUUCUUCUUCUUCUCUUCUUAGUUGUAUACAUGAAACUGUUGUAUGUUAUCGUAUUUAACAACGAAAUCAUAGCCACUCGGCAUUUGGUCGAGUGGUCAGGGCUGAUGCCCUCCAAGUUGGAGGGCAGCAGUUCGAACCCCCACAAUGCAUUGUGGGGUAUUUCCUUCCUCAAUUAAAUUUGAGUGAAGGCAGUCUUCUUCCUUACCCAAGAGUGAGGAGUGGAUAUCUCUCGAAUAGUCGAAUAUUUGAGAGGGUUAAAAUCUGGGCAGCGCUCCAUUAGCAUUGAUGUAAGUUGGUUUCAGUCAUAGUCUGAUUUGUAAAUAUUAGUUAUAUUCUCAUGUAAUAUGAGUUGUAAUCUGAGCAAUAGUCUCAUGUAAUAAAAAAAAAACAACGAAAUCAUCAUACAUCGUUUCCAAAACACAAAACCUUAUAGGGACAAAAGUAAUCAAUAAAAACCUAUCAAUAAAUAAUAAUAUAAUAUAGUUAUAGUGUCAUAUAUAUAUUUUUUUUGAAUAUUUUGAAAUUGUAACGUAUCCUUUUAUUUACAAAAGAAAAAAAAAAUUUGUUAGGAAUGAAAAACUUCACCCGCUAAACAUAAAUUCUUACUCUCUAUUAUAUAUUACUACUGUAUAUUAUUCAGACUCUGCCUAACGUCUUCACGGUCAAUUAAACUGAAUUCGUGGAUAAGCCCCCGUUGAAUCAAUUUUCCGACUACGUCCCGAGGCUUCUUGUUAGACUGCCAAUUGCGUACACUCAAAAUUGGGUGCACAUGUUAGAAUGCCGGUGAGGUAGGAGCUCUCCGGGCGGCGUCAACUGCUAAUCUCAUAAUUUUCAUAUUAUUUAUAGAAUUACACUCCAACAUUUAACCAAAAUGAUAAUCUCAUGAUACAAAAUAUUCGUAUACAUAAUAUAUUGUUAUUUUAAAACUCUUAGAAUUAAUAUGUUGAUUUUUACUAUCAAAAGUUAUUUGAUGAACAUCAAUACAUCGAUAACAUCUUCAUUUUCAAAAUCUUUUUGCUUGUUAUGUUGUUACGUUCAAAGCAUUGUUUUUUUUUUUUUUUCUAAAAUUUAACUUGCAUACUUUGACGUGAAAGUAAUUGAUUAUCAAAUAUGAGUAGUUUUCUGGUAAGGGAUUUUAAAGUGCGGAAAAAUAUGGAAAAAUUUUAAAACCGUAUGACUUUAAAGACUUACAGUUUUAAACUUUUUAAAAUCAUGCAGUUUUAAAACUUUACUGCACUUUCUCGCAUUUUAAAAUUUCGGACCGAAACAUUUCUAUAUCAAAGAUACGUAAAUUCAUAAUUAUUCUAGGGACCUACUCAGGAGACGCAAUAUUAAUUUUAUUUUUUUUGGGUUUAAACAAACAAUGAAAGACUUGUUCAUUUUUUUCUCCGUACUUGCAGGAAGUUGAGGACUCGAGGCAUUGUAUGAACUAAGGUCAUGUUUGGGAGUUAGGAUUAAGCAUGAGAUUGGAUUAACUUUGGGAUUAAAUAUUUUAUCCCAUGUUUAGUACUUUGUUUGGAUUGGAUUAGGGAGGACUAAAUUUAAAUUUAGUCCUUAAAUCAUGGGAUUAACAAUCCCAAUUUAUAAGUGGGUUUAGAUGGGAUUAGGAUAAGAGAAAAAGAUUUAUUCAUAUUUCUUUCAUAAAUAACACUAUUUUUUACUUGUAACCUAAAAUUUAAUUAAUUAAACCUAAAUUUUAAUUAAUUAAUUAAUUAUUUUAUUCAUGAUUUACUUCAAUUUAUUUUUUAUUUUAUUUUUAUAGUCUAAUUAAAUUGGUAUUUUUACUCCAAUAAAAUUAACUAUUUAAUAAUUCGUUAUAAUAAUUGAUUUUAUUAAAUUUAAUAAUCACUAAUGUAAUAUUAAAAAUAAUCAUGAAAAUUAAUAAUACAAGUAAAUAAUUGAUUUUAUAUAUACAUUAUUUGCUAACUUUUUGAUAAAAUAAAAUAUAUCUAAAAUAUCUAAUAAAAAUUAAUUAAAUAGUUUUAUUAAUUUAUAUUUGUUUAUUAUAAUUAUGACUACCCAAUAACUAAUUUACUACAUAUUUAAUGCUCUCACUAAUUACUUUUAAUAUACUCUUAAAUAUUCAUAAAUAUUUUUUGUAUUUAACUAUAAUUUAACAUGUCUAAUCCGAUAUUGUCCCAACAUAAUACAUCACAUAAUAUAAUCCAGCUUAAUCCAAUCCAACUUAAUAUAGCUCAAUCCUAAUAAUUAGUCUAAUCCAAUCCAGCGUACCAAACGCAACCUAAAUGAAAAUGCCAUAAAGAAAACCUAGAAUUACGAAAAUCCAAAAAUUCAAAAAAAAAAUUAAAAAUACUCAUAUAAUAAUUAAGAAAGCGAUUGUUGAGCCAACACGCGGAAUCCCGGUUGGGGGUUGGUGAAAAAUUAGUGGGCAAUUUUUUUUUUUUUGAGAUUAGUGGGCAAUUGAAGCAAUGCAUGUGUGAUAAAUAAUAUCACAAAUUAAUUAAUUAUAACUCACAAAGUCAAGUCAAACAAUAUGCGGUCAUCAAUUCGUGCGUUCUCGAUGUGUUUACUAAGCGAUGUGACUCCCGUAGAUGCCGAAAGGAGAGGGAGAGCGACAGAGCGUUUUAGAAGUAAUUUGAAUUUUUUGACCGAUGAAAAGUUGAAGCCGGGAAAUUAUGGGGCGAGCUUUCCCGGUCUCAAAACAAUGGACCACGCUUUAUUCCGAUAACUUCUAAAUUAAUUAAUUAGCUUGCCUCUUUUUUUUAAAAAAAAAAUUCUUUAUAAUAAUAAUAAUAUAAAAUUUUAAUUUAAUCUAGUAUUAUAUAAUAUUAAUUUUAUUUUUAGUUUUUUACAUUAUAAUUUAUUAGUAAAUUUAUAAUUUAAUAUAAUUAAUAAUAUUAUUAAUUUAAAUAAUGAUAUAAAAUAUUAUUACAUACACUAUAGAACUCUUACUUGGAUUAUUUAGCACAAUUCAUUUUGUUAGUGAAUAUAUUAUAACAUUUGUAUCACUUUAUUAUUUUGUUAUUAUCUUGUGGUAUACUGGUAUGUAUAAAUUUUGAUUCUAUAUCCUAAGAUGACUUUUGAACUAAUGUUGUAGGUUUUAACUAUUUAUUUAUGUUGUUAUAUUAUUAGAGAUUAUUUGAUUAAAUUAUUUGCUUCGAUCUUUAUUUCACGGGUCAUAUAUUUAGAAAAUACUAGGGGUGUUAACUGUUCAAAAUCCAAUCCGAUCUACUCAAUCCAUCUGAUCCGUAGAAAUUUGAUCCGUAAAAAUCUUAUAAAUGGAUUGGUGGAUUAGAUUGAAUUGAAAAUUUGAAAAUCCGCAGUCGGUAGAUUAGAUAUGAAUUUACUUCUGUAAAUCUGCAAAAAUCCGCAAAUACGCCAAAAAAAAUUAUUUAAUAAAAAAAUAAACUUGUAAAUGACAUUAGUAUUUACUAAUAAAUAAAUAAGUUGCAAUAUAGUUACAUUAACAUCAUAUUAUAUCUUAUCCGAUAAUAAUAUAAAAUUAAAAUAAUUAAAUAAAUAGAUAUAGCUUCCUAAGUAAUUAAUUUUCACGUACUAAUCUAAACAAAUGAGAUUUUUUUUUUCUUUUUGGUGUGUUAUAUUAUGAAACUUUGAAUGUAAUUUUCUAGCUUUAUUUAAACAAUUAAUUAAUUUAAAUCUUAUUUAAUCUUGAAUUUAAUUGGUAGGAAAAUUAUUUUUAUAUUAAUUUUUUUGUUUAGUUAAUUCAUGGAUAGGACAUAAUUAAAAAUUUUUAGUCUGCAAACCAAUCCUCAAAAUGGUGGAUUGGAUAUGGAUUGGGUCAAAUCCAUAUCCGAUUUGUAAAUGUAUGGAUUGAAUUUCACCAAUCCAUGGAUUGGAUUAGAUUAAAAAUUUAUAAUCUGCAAAAUCGUGGAUCAGGUAUGGAUUAAUGUCUAAUUUACAAAAUUCGAUCUAUGAACACCCCUAGAAAAUAAUGAAAAAUAAAUGUUAUACUUUUAAAAUUUUAAGGAUAUAGGUUUCGACCUUGAUGAAGAAUUAUGAUAUUUUUUAAUAUUUGCACUAAAAAGUUUUUGUUAAAUUUCUAAAAUUUAAGACUUAUAUAUUUAGUAUUAUUCUAAGUAUUAAUAAAUAUUAUUUUCUAAAUAUAUAAUUUAAAUUAAUCACAAAAAAUUAAUAAAAUACUAUGCAACACCAAUUAUAGUAUAAUUAAAAAUUAAUGCAGUACAACGUUGUACCAAACAUUGUAUAAUAUUAUUAUAAUACAAUACUAAUAUAAUAUAUCAUAAAAUACAAUACACCAGAAUUAAAAUAAUUAAAUACAGUAUAAUACAAUAUAAUGUGUCAAACGCACCCUAAAAUCACAUAAGUUGUGGGAUAAAUAAGGUAUACUUACGAUAUGACAUAAUUACAAUUCUUUGAGCUUUUGAUGGAGUAAUGAGAAACUCCACAUUCUUAGCAAAGAUGUCGGAAAAAAUUUUUCAAAAUAAUUUUAAAUUUUUAGACUUUCUCGCCUUGUUCCUGGCGUGGGCUUGUUUCAUCGGCGAAGACAGUACAGGACUAGUUGGGACACAUGCCCCAACUGACUUCGAAAAAAAAUUUAAAAAUAAUUUUAAAUCAAUUCAUAAUUACUUUGAUUUUAUGAUAAUGCUCCGGCUCUGUAUUAAAUUAUUAAAUUUCUUAGAUAAUUUUAAAGAAUUCCAAAUUUAACUAUCGUUAAAGAAAUAAAUUCUCAAAAUUUAUUAGUUGUUUUGAUUCUAUAAACAUGAAUUAAUCACACCUAAAUGAAGAUAAAAGAAAUUUAACAAAAUUAGGUAAUAAUUAAAAAACAUGAAAUUAUAAAAAUAUAAGAUUCUUAAUUUUUUUUCCCUUGUUUUCUUCUUCUUCGUACCCACUAAACGUCAAUCAUUAGUUUCUAUGGUAUUGAUUAGUAUUAAAAAUUGUUUAAUUAUCAAGCGAUAAUAAUGUUAUUUUAUGCUUAUGUUAUAUUUUAUAUUUGUGUUUAUGUAAUAUAUUAGGAAUGAUUAAUUAUGUUUUAAAUAUAUCUAAUUUUGUGUAUUUUUGCGUGUUUAUUAGGUAAAAUAUUAAUUUCAUAUAAUUCGAGACUCCAAAUAGAUAAACAAAUGUCAAAUUUAGAUUUUGGAGGUUCGAAAACCUUAAGAUGAGUCAAGAUCGGCUUAAAAUUAGGCUUAUGUAAAAUGAGUUGACUUAGCCAGUUGACCGAACACUGAUUGGAUGAUAAAAUAAGCUUACAAUAGAUAUGAGCACAUUAGAUAGUUGGUAAUUUUGACUAAAUCUCAACCGUUCAUGAUUCAAUGCCCAGGAUUGUGCCACGUGGCAAUGGUUGGUGAAGCAAGUUGUAGGAUCCGAAUCUUUGUAUUUGGGUCGACCCGAUCCACCCAUUAACCCGCCAAAUUUCAAUCGUUCUUUGACCGAAUCAGACGAGUCAAAUUAUGCCACGUGUGAUGUUGACUUUUGAAGUUUGACCAGCUAUUGGAUCUUGAUCUAGUGGUUAUGAGGAGCGCAUGCAUAAAGCUUAUGAUGAAUCGCAAAACACUGGAUUAUGAAUUUAUUUUUCUAUAAAUAGAGCCUCAUUUUUAUGUUUUUAAUCAUCUCUCUACAUAUCUCUUCUUCUCAAUUUCUCUCCAUCUACCUGUAAUCUUGAUUUUCAGGUGUGUUUUUAAUAUUUGGUAUAAUAAUUUUUAUAAAUAAAUUUAGUUUUAUUUUCAAUUUUAGUUGUUUUUAUUAUUUUUAAUUAUAAUUAAUUUAAUUUAAAUAAUUCUUUUUAUUUCAAUUAUGCUUAACUAAAUAAUAAUAGUUAAGGUAAGGUGAAACUCUUAGGAAAUAAAUAUGAUUUAAUCAAAUUCUAUUUUUAAUUUUAUAAAUUAAAUUAUUUUCUAUUUAAUUUUAUACAUAUUUUAUAUUUUGAAAUUUUGAUUUAUUGUAGACAAACAAGGGAGUUUGACACAAUAAAUUCUUAAUAUAUAAAUAUAAGGUAUGGUAAAAUGACAUUUUGACUUAUUGUAGACAAAUCAAAUUUUGGCACAAUAAAUACUUAAUCCAUCAUAAAAUUAAAGGGAAAUAAUAAUAAUUUAUAUAAUUAAUCUUUGGGGUAAUAAAUCUAAAAACAAUGGCAAAAAGAAUUUAUUAAAUUUUAUUUACUACUAAGAGUGGAUCCACAACCCUAAUUAGUUCAAUUUCAUAAUUUUAUUUAAAUUAAACUGCUUAUAUUCAAGUUUUAUUUUUAUUUUUAGAUAAAAUAAAAUAAAUAAAUUAAAUCUUUUCUCUAAGGAUCGACCUCGGACUCAUUGAGCUAUAAUAUAAUAAGAUACUCUUAUAUUUGGGAGUUAAAAAUUACUUUUAAUUUAUGUCAAAUUUUUAGCGGCGUUGCCAAGGAAAAGUUUUUAUUUUGCUUUAUUUUUCCGAUUUUGAUUUUUCUUGUUUGUGUAAAGUUUCCUUUAUAUGCCUUUUCCUUUUCCCAAAUUUUGUACGGGCCCCAAAACUGUUCAGAAUCUUCACUUUCAUCCCACAUGGCUCAAUUCUAAACUUCUAACAAUUGCGGUGUAGCCAUACACUUAUAAAUAAUUUGCAAUAAGAUUCACAGAUGAAAUUUCUCAAAAUAAUCGGGCUUGGACUUGCAUCUUGGACUUUUUUUUUAAAGAUACUUACAUCUUCGACCUAUAUAGACUUAUUUGGACUUAAUUUGGACCAAACAAACAAACUACUAACUUUUUUUUUAAUUUCAGUUAUUUAAUUUUCAGUAUUUAUUUAAUUUCGUAUUUAUUUAUUUUUUUGCUUUAUUUUAUUUUGUUAAUUUAUUUGGUGGGUUCAACCACCAAAAUUGUUAUUUAAUUUUCAGUUAUUUUAUUAUUUCACAUUUUAUUUAUUUAUUUAAUUUAUUUGCUUUAUUUUAUAUUAUUCAUUUAUUUGGUGGGUUCAACCACCAAAAUUGUUAUUUAAUUUCAGUUUUUUAAUUUUGCAUUUAUUUUAUGCUUUAUUUUAUAUUUUUAAUUUAUAUGGUGGGUUCAACUACCAAAAUUGUUAUUUAAUUUUAAUCUUAAUUUUUGUACACUUUUAUUAUUUGCAUAUUUAAUUUUCAUUUUUUGGGUGCAAUUUUCAUUUAGUUUUUGUAUUGCUAAUUUGUUUAAAUAUUAUCUUUGUGACAUAACCAUUGCAUGAGACGUUGGUCACAAACUUCAAGUGACAGGUUAAUUCGUAGAUCUCAAUCUCCACCACUAAUCAUGGACGAGAACCAAGAUGAAAAUUUUUUGGGCAAACCUAAUCGUCAGAUUGAUCAGGAAGACAAUCAUUCUCAACAUGGACGUGAUCAAAAUCAACCAAGAACCUUGAGGGACUACAUGAAUCCAACCAGAACCGGAGCACCAUCGUGUAUAGUAUUUCCUCUAGAAGCAUCUCGAUUCAACUUCAAACCAAGUAUUAUCCAGCUUUUACCAACAUUUCAUGGUUUAGAAUCUGAGAUCCAUACUUGCAUCUAAAAGAUUUUAAAGAAGUUUGUAAUACAUACAUAGACCAAAAUUGUCAUAUGAACAUAAGAACUUGGAAUAACAUGUAAGAAUGAAUUUUGAAAAAGUUCUUUCCACCUCAUAGAACCAAUUCUUUUAAAAGACAAAUCACUUAUUUCACUCAAAAAAAUGGAGAAACAUUAUGUUCAUGCUAUAAUUUUGGUCUGUGUAUGUAUUACAAACUUCUUCAAAUCUCUUAGAUGCAAGUAUGGAUUCUCAGAUUAUAAACCAUGAAAUAUUGGUAAAAGUUGGAUAAUACCUGAUUUGAAGUUGAAUCGAGAUGCUUAUGGAGGAAAUAUUAUACACGACGGUGCUCUGGUUCUAGUUCGAUUCAUGUAGUCCUUAAAGGUUCUUGGUUGAUUUUGAUCACGUCCAUGUUGAGAAUGAUUGUCUUCCUGAUCAAUCUAACGAUUAGUUCGCCCAAAAAGUUUCCAUCUUGGUUCUCGUCCAUGAUUGGUGGUGGAGAUUGAGAUCUACGAAUUAACUUGCCACUUGAAGUUUGAGACCAACGCCUCAUGCAAUGGUUAUGUCACAAAGAUAAUAUUCAAACAAAUUAGCAAUACAAAAACUAAAUGAAAAUUGCACCAAAAAAAUGAAAAUUAAAUAUGCAACUAAUAAAAGUGUACAAAAAUUAAAAAAUUAAAAUUAAAUAACAAUUUUGGUGGUUGAACCCACCAUAUAAAUUAAAAAUAUAAAAUACGCAUUAAAAUAAAUGCAAAAUUAAAAAAAACUGAAAUUAAAUAAAGAUUUUGGUGGUUGAACCCACCAAAUAAAUGAAUAAUAUAAAAUAAAGCAAAAAAUAAAAUAAAUAAAUAAAAUGUGAAAUAAUAAAAUAACUUAAAAUUAAAUAACAAUUUUGGUGGUUGAACCCACCAAAUAAAUUAACAAAAUAAAAUAAAGCAAAAAAAACACUGAAAAUUAAAUAAUUGAAAUGAAAAAAAAUUAAAAGUUAAUAGUUAGUUUGUUUGGUCCAAAUUAAGUCCAAAUAAGUCUAAGAUGUAAGUCCAAGCUUGAUUAUUGUGAGCAAUUUCGUCUAGGGACCUUAUGAAAAAUUAUUUAUAAUUUUAUAGCCACACUGCAAUUUCUAGAAGUUUAGAAUUGAGCCAUGUGGGAUGAAAGUGAAGAUUCUGAAAGGUUUUGGGGCCAGAACAAAAUUUAGAGAAACGGAAAAGGGGUAUAAAGGAAACUUUUCACAAACAAGAAAAAUAGAAAAUGGAAAAAUAAAGCAAAAUAAAAACUUUUCCCAAGUAAUGACGCUAAAAAUUUGACACAACUUAAAAGUAAUUUUUAAACCCUAAGUAUAAGAGUGUCUUGUUAUAUUAUAAUUCGGUGAGUCCAAGAUCUAUUCUCAGAGAAAAGAUUUAAUUUGUUUCUUUUUAUUUUAUCUAAAAAUAAAAAUAAAACUUGAAUAUAAACAACUUAAUUUAAAUGAAACUAUGAAAUUGAACUACUUAGGGUUGUGGAUCCACUCUUAGCAGUAAAGAAAAUUUAAUAAAUUCUUUUUGCCAUUUUUUUAGAUUUAUUGCCCAAAUAUUAAUUAUAUAAAUUAUUAUUAUUUUUUCUUUAAUUUUAUGAUGGAUUAAGUAUUUAUUGUGCCAAAAUUUAAUUUGUCUACAAUAAGUCAAAAUACCAUUUUACCAUACCUUAUAUUAAGAUAUUAACAAUUUAUUGUGCCAAACUCCCUUGUUUGUCUACAAUAAAUCAAAAUAUAAAAUAUGUAUAAAAUUAAAUAGAAAAUAAUUUAAUUUAUAAAAUUAAAAAUAGAAUUUAAGUAAAUCAUAUUUAUUUUCUAAGAGUUUCACCUUACCCUAACUAUUAUUAUUUAGUUAAGCAUAAUUGAAAUAAAAAGAAUUAUUAAAAUUAAAUUGCUUAUAAUUAAAAGUAAUAAAAACAAUUAAAAUUGAAAAUAAAACUAAAUUUAUUUAUAAAAGUAAUUAUACAAAUAUUAAAAACACACUUGAAAAUCAAGAUUACAGGGAGAUGGAGAGAAAUUGAGAAGAAGAGAAAUGUAGAGAGAUGAUUAAAAAUAUAAAAAUGAGGCUCUAUUUUUAGAAAAAUAAAUUCAUAAUCCAAUGUUUUGGGGUCUAUUAUUGAUGAAGAGUAGGAAUCCAUAUUAUACUAGGAUUAGUUUCCUUAUUAACUAAAGUUUAAGACUUUUAAAUUCCUUUCUAAUUUAGAAUUUUGUUUCCCUUUCAAUUUAGGAUUUUGUUUUACUUCAUGAAUUAGGAUAAUUACUACUACUAUAAAUAGCUCCCUCUUGUAGCCUUUGAGAGAAAAGAAUUUUGAGUUCAAUAAUAUUUCAAUUUUCAAAUCUCUUUGUGAGUAUUUGAAUAGUUAAUUCUCGGUAUUCUGAAUCAACGAGUCUUAACCCCUAAGUUCGCGGUAUUCUUUUGAAUCAACGUGAAUUUAGUUGUUCUUUUAUUCCGGUAUUCUCUAAAAUCAACGGAAUAUUUUGAACAUUAAACUUCCGCUGCAUCAGCUUGGUAUCAGAGCCAAAACCUGGUAUCACCAAUCUAACUCCAUCUACCACCAAACCUUUCCUUUUUCCCUUUUUGAUUUUUUCCAUUUAGCUUAAAAAAAAAAAAAAACCCCACUUUUUCAGACAAACCACCACCAUCAUCUUACCAACCCAAAAUCUUUCAGAUCCACCCACCCUUACUCGAUUUCCGACCACCAUCAUCGGCAAUCUAAAACGUUUUGCUUAAUUACAGUUUCGGCCUAAAAUUUUAUUUACUUUCAGUUUAACCCCACUACCUUUUUAAACCCGAAUUUGAAAAAAUGCCUCCAAGAAAAGCUCGUGAUGCUCAUACUACAACUUACAAUCAAGAAGAUGUUUCGAAAGAUGAAUCCCUGGCUAGUAUGACAGCCAGAAUUGAUAUGUUAGCUGCACAAAUGGCACGAAUAGCAGAGUUACUUGACGAACGCCAUCGUACUCCAGAACGUGAAGACAAAUCAAGUGUAAGCUUUGCUAACCCAUUCUCUGGGCGUCGACCUAGAACUGAGUCUACUGAUGACAGAAGAUGGGAAUCUGGGUUGAGAAUUGACAUUCCCGAAUUUCAAGGAAGUGGUCGACCUGAAGAAUUAUUAGACUGGAUUAACGCCAUUGAGGAAGUUUUCGAAUACAAAGAAGUUCCUGAAAAUAAACUAGUUUCGCUUGCUGCAACUCGAUUUCGUGGAAGAGCAGCAGCUUGGUGGCAACAAACUAAGCUCACAAGGAUUAGGCAAGGCAAAAAGAAGAUUGAUUCUUGGGAAAAGUUCAAGAAGCACUUGCGUGGAGCAUUCUUGCCUCAUAAUUAUGCCCAACUGUUAUACCAACAGCUACAGAAUUUAAGGCAAGGUAAUCGAUCAGUGGAUGAUUACACUACAGAAUUUCAUUGGUUGGUGGCCCGCAAUGACUUGACAGAGACAGAAGAACAACAGGUUUCCCGCUACAUUGGAGGCCUACGAUCUCAAUUUCAAGACCAAUUAAAUUUACUUGACCCAUACUCUGUUUCAGAGGCACACCAACAAGCCUUGCAGUUGGAGAAGCAAUUUAGUUGACGUACUAAUGACUCAAGCUUUCGGGGUGCUCGAAGUGUUGUUCGUGAUAAUUCAAACCCAACUUCCCAAUUUCGUAAUUUCACUCCUCCAAAUCCUCCAAAUAAAACUAGUAAACCUAGUGAAAUCGGUCAAAGCAGCAAAACUCAAUCAUCGGGUUCGGGAUUACGCUGUUUUAAUUGCGGAGAAAAUGAGCACCGAAUGAGAGAAUGUAAAAAGGGAGGAAAAUAUGGUAAAGGCUUAUUCGUAGGCACAGAGGAAAGUGAAGACUACCAGGAGGAAGAAACUGAAGAGUUCGCUGUAGAGCCAACUUUUGAUAGUAGUGGUAGCGCUCAAUCUGUUGAAGAACAUGGUGAUAGCGGGCCAAUGUUGAUCGUGAACCGCACAUUCUUCACUCCUAAAGGUCAAGACAAAGACAAGUGGCUACGACAGAAUAUCUUUCAGACUACUUGCACAAUCGGGGGUAAAGUAUGUCGUAUGGUCAUAGACUCCGGCAGUUGCGAGAAUGUCAUUUCGGAAGAAGCCAUAACAAAGCUAAAUUUAAAGACAGAACCUCAUCAAACUCCAUACAAGCUCACAUGGCUGAAGAAGGGAAAUCAAGUGACAGUAUCGAAACGUUGCUUAGCUUCCUUAUCCAUUGGUUCAAUUAAUAAAGACAAAAUUUGGUGUGAUGUUGUGGCUAUGGAUGCUUGCCAUCUAUUACUGGGUAGACCUUGGCAAUAUAAUCGAAACGUAGUGCAUGAUGGGAAGAGAAACACCUACAGCUUUAUGUUUAACAACACCAAGAUCGUUCUCCUACCUAACAAAGAGUUUACUCUCCAGCAAGACUUGGGUAAUUAUUUGUUAGGAAAGAAGUAAUUUAUAGAUGUUGUAGCAGAGACAAAGAGAGUCUACAUUUUAUUGGGAAAAGAGAGUAACGGUGAUUUGAAGAUUCCUGAAGCUGUGACACCUAUUCUGGCGGAAUUUCAAGAUUUGUUCCCUAAUGAGCUACCACAGGGUUUACCACCUCUUCGAGAUAUACAACACCAAAUUGAUUUGGUACCAGGUUCUACAUUACCAAAUCGACCUCAUUAUCGUAUGAGUCCUACAGAACAUGAGGAAUUAAGGCGCCAAGUGGAAGAGUUACUAGAAAAGGGAUUUAUCCGUAAAAGUCUUAGUCCCUGUGCAGUCCCUGCUUUAUUGACUCCAAAAAAAUAUGGUUCUUGGAGGAUGUGCGUGGACAGUCGAGCUAUCAAUAAAAUUACAGUUCGAUAUCGUUUUCCAAUCCCUCGAUUAGACGACUUGUUAGAUCAACUCAGUGGAGCAACAAUUUUUACCAAACUUGAUUUGAAAAGUGGCUACCAUCAAAUUCGAAUACGGCCUGGAGAUGAAUGGAAAACAGCUUUUAAAAUUCGCGAAGGGUUAUACGAGUGGUUGGUAAUGCCGUUUGGCUUAUCUAAUGCUCCGAGUACUUUUAUGCGACUCAUGAAUCAAGUUCUUCGCCCUUUCAUUGGAAAGUUUGUGGUUGUUUACUUCGAUGAUAUACAUAUAUAUAGCACCAGUCACGAGUUACAUCUACAACAUUUGAGAGAAGUGCUUUUAGCCUUAAGAGCAACAAGUUUAUACACAGCAGUAAACAAGUGUAUUUUCUUGACCGAGAAAGUAUUAUUUUUGGGAUAUGUGGUGUCGAAGGAUGGUAUAUCUGUUGACCAAUCAAAAGUGGAUGCUAUUCGAGAUUGGCCUCAGCCAACUACUUUAUCCGCCACCAGAAGUUUCCAUGGAUUGGCCUUUUUUUACAGGCGAUUCAUUCCUCAUUUCAGUACUAUUAUCGCACCAAUCACAAAUUGCAUGAAAGGAGGACAAUUCUCUUGGACAGAGGCAGCUACUAAGGCAUUCAAGAUUAUCAAAGAAAAGUUUAUUACUGCCCCAGUGCUUGCCCUACCAGAUUUUUCGCUCACUUUUGAGGUACAUUGUGAUGCUUCUAAGGUCGGCAUUGGAGCUGUUCUUAGCCAACAGGGUAAGCCUAUAGCUUAUUUCAGUGAGAAGUUGAAUGGAGCAAAGGCACACUACAGCACUUAUGACGUGGAAUUUUACGCAGUAGUCCAAGCGUUAAAACAUUGGCGACAUUAUCUAAUUCAUAAAGACUUUGUUUUAUACACUGACCAUGCCGCGUUAAAGUAUCUCAAUAGUCAAGACAAGCUCUCUCACAGACAUGCCACGUGGACAGCAUUCCUUCAACAAUUUACCUUUGUGGUGAAGCAUACCUCUGGUGAAUCCAACCGGGCAGCAGAUGCACUUAGUCGACGAACUUCGUUAUUGACACAGAUGCAUAAUCAAGUUCUUGGAUUUGACACAUUUCGAGAGUUAUAUGCUUCUGAUCCUUACUUUGCUCCUAUAUUAGAAGACGUUGUUGCAGGGUUUCGCUCAGAUUAUCAUUUACAUGACGAAUUCCUUUUCAAGAGUAAUCAGUUGUGUGUUCCUAACUCAAGUUUGAGAUUGAAAAUCAUUUCAGAGUUACAUAAUGAAGGGCACAUGGGUCGUGACAAAACUCUGGCUCUAAUCGCCAACACUUAUUUUUGGCCUACUAUGAGGCGUGAAGUCUAUCACUAUGUUGAGACUUGUCGCAUUUGUCAAGUUUCCAAGGGUGCAACAACUAAUGCUGGGUUAUAUAUGCCGCUGCCAAUUCCAACACAACCUUGGGCUGACAUUAGCAUGGAUUUUGUUUUGGGAUUACCCCGCACUCAGAGGGGUAUGGAUUCAAUAUUUGUUGUUGUUGAUCGAUUCUCGAAAAUAGCUCACUUCAUUGUUUGCAAGAAGACUACAGACGCUUUGACUGUUGCUCGCCUAUUCUUCAAGGAAGUCUAUAGAUUGCACGGUUUACCAAGUUCUAUAGUAUCUGACCGGGAUACACGAUUUCUUAGCCAUUUUUGGAAGACAUUAUGGAAGUUGACUAACACUCGCCUGAAUUUUAGUAGUGCUUACCACCCACAAACAGAUGGUCAAACUGAAGUUGUCAACCGCUCUUUAGGAAACCAUCUACGUAGUCUAGUUGGUGAUAACUUGAAGAUGUGGGAUCAGAAGUUAUAUCAAGUCGAGUUUACUUAUAACCGUGCAGUUAAGCGUAGUACUGGUUUAAGCCCUUUUCAGGUGAAUUACGGAUAUAAUCCACGAGCUCCUAUUGACUUGGCUCCAGUUCCAGAUUUAGUUCACAAAAGCGGUAAAGCAGAAGACUUUAUUGAGCAGCUUCAGCAGAUUCAUGAAACUACGCAAGAGUCUUUGAAGCAGACGACCGAAGGUUAUAAAAAUUAUGGCAGACAAAAAACGUCGAGCUUUAGAAUUUCAAGUAGGAGAUCUUGUUUGGGCUAUCUUAACUAAAGAUAGAUUCUCAGUUGGUGAGUACAACAAGCUUUCUGCCAGGAAAAUUGGCCCUUUGGAGAUUAUCGAGAAGAUAAAUCCUAAUGCAUACCGAUUACAGCUUCCUAGUCAUAUCCGCACCGCAGAUGUCUUUAAUGUCAAGCAUCUUAUUCCUUACAGAGGUGAUCAUGAUGAAGAUGUUAUUGCUGACAAUCUGAAUUCGAGGGCGAAUUCUCUUCACCCUGGGGGGAAUGAUGAAGAGUAGGAAUCCAUAUUAUACUAGGAUUAGUUUCCUUAUUAACUAAAGUUUAAGACUUUUAAAUUCCUUUCUAAUUUAGAAUUUUGUUUCCCUUUCAAUUUAGGAUUUUGUUUUACUUCAUGAAUUAGGAUAAUUACUACUACUAUAAAUAGCUCCCUCUUGUAGCCUUUGAGAGAAAAGAAUUUUGAGUUCAAUAAUAUUUCAAUUUUCAAAUCUCUUUGUGAGUAUUUGAAUAGUUAAUUCUCGGUAUUCUGAAUCAACGAGUCUUAACCCCUAAGUUCGCGGUAUUCUUUUGAAUCAACGUGAAUUUAGUUGUUCUUUUAUUCCGGUAUUCUCUAGAAUCAACGGAAUAUUUUGAACAUUAAACUUCCGCUGCAUCAAUCAUAAGCUUCAUGCAUGCGCUCCUCACAACCAUUAGAUCAGGAUCCAACAGCUGGUCAAACUUUAAAAGUCAACAUCACAUGUGGCAUAAUUUGACUCGUCUGAUUUGGUCAAAGAACGGUUGAGAUUUAGCAUGUUAAUGGGUGGAUCGGGUCGACCUAAAUACAACGAUUCAUAUCCUGCAACUUGCUUCACCAACCAUUGCCACGAGGCAUAAUCAUGGCCAUUGAAUCAUGAACGGUUGAGAUUUAGUCAAAAUUGCCAGCUAUUCCACGUACUCAUAUCUAUUGUAAGCUCAUUUUAUCAUCCAAUCAAUGUUUGGUCAACAGAAAAAGUCAAUUCUUUUUACACAAGCCCAAUUUUAAGCCAAUCUUGACUCAUCUUAAGGUUUUUAGACCUCCGGAAUCCAAAUUUGACAUCCGUUUAUCUGUUUGGAGCUUCGAAUUAUGUGAAAUUAAUAUUUUACCUAAUAAACACACAAAAAUACACAAAAUUAGAUAUAUUUACAACAUAAUUAAUAAUUCAUAAUAUAUUACAUAAAUACAAAUAUAACAUAUAACAUUAGCAUAAAAUAACAUUAUUAUCGCUUGAUAAUUAAACAAUUUUUAAUACUAAUCACAUCCCCCAACCAGCUUAUUGCUAGCCCUUUAGCAAUUAAAGCGUUAUAUUAAAUUAAGAUUUAUAAAAUUCACAUGCAAGUUAAUAGUUGUUCAUCUAUCUUCUAAACUACCAAAUAAAUAAACUCUCCUAAAUUUCUUUACCUCUUUGGUGUUCACUCAUUAUCUAGAAUAUUAUCAAACCUUCUUUUGUGCUUAAGUAAUUAACACAAUACUUAUGGAGCUUUAUUAAAAGAAAAACAACAUUUUUGUUCCAAAAUUCAUUAGAAAUUCUAUCUUUAGGCAGUAGAUUAUUCACACAUGUAAAUUAAAAAUAUUAAAUUUUUAACCCAUGUAGCGAGCUUUAAGCCAGUGACUCCCAGACCAGUUGGCCUUAGGGCACUAGGUUUUGAAAUACCUCUACGGACUUAAUUACUCAGGUUUCUUAUAAGCAAACAAUAUAUCUAUUACCCAUGUAGCGAGCUUUAGGCCAGUGACUCACAGACUAAUUGACCUUAGGACACUAGGUGUUGAAACACCCCUAUAGACUUAAUUGCUCGAGUUCUAGAUAUAGCAAAAUUAAAAACAUUCAUUUUUUUUUUGUUUUUACAAUAUGCAAUUUCUACUACCUUAGAUAUUAUCCCUAAUAAAUCAAAAGAACUAACUAUGCCAAAAUUUUAACUUACAACCCACUAGUAUGUGUCAUAGUGUAUGUGUGAAGAAUGAUUCAACAAUACAUGUUAAAUGAGUAAAUAAUUAAAUGACUUAAUAACCAAUUGGAGAGUUCACAAAUUUGAGUAAUUCAAAGAAAAGGGAACAAAAACAAAUUUCUAUGAAUUUCAAAAUAAAAAUAUAAUACAACAGGACUAUUAGGAUGCGUCUCAAAAGUGGUGACUCUUUACACAGCCAUCCUAGACACAAAAAAAAUUAGAUUUUUUUAAAAGAAAAGAGAAAAACGAAUACACAUAUUUAAAAACACACGUCAACUAUCCCCACCCCUAACCUAAUCUAAACAUUAUCAUUUUAUAAUUUUACCGAUAUGCAUAAAAAAUAAUAAAAGAGAAAAAUAAUAAUGAUAAAAGAAGAAGAAAAUGAGAUCUCACCUAAAAUCGAUGCAGAAGCUUAAAAACAGAUAACAAAGAAUAAGAAAAAUUUAUUUAAAAAAAAAUAAAACUCUAAGAUUAAGAAGAUGCGUUUCUAGAGGUAUUGCACUCUUCAUAUGCAGCCAUCUAGGACUCAAAUUUAGUCCAAAGUUAGUCUUCACAUAAUUUUUUUUUGUAAAAUUAUUAUCAUGACUAAGACAUUCCACAAUUAUCAAUUGUUCCCUCCCCCCCAAAUUCAAAGAGACUUUGUCCUCAAUGUUUUAAAAGGAAAGAUGAAGAGUUUAGAAGACAUCACAUGACCAUUGCAGGGAGAUGGAGAGAAAUUGAGAAGAAAAGAGAUGUAGAGAGCUUGAAGGUAAAAAAUUCUUUUUGCUAUUUUUUUGAAGUCAUAACUAAAUUGUACUAAAACAAUUUACAUAUGAGUGUCUUAGACUUGAUUUAAUUAGAAAAUAAAUUAAUUUUCUUAUUAUGUGACGAAAAUAAUGAAAAAAUAAUGAGGAGCACAUGCAUGAAGAUUAUGAUGGACCGCAAAAUACUGGAUUAUGAAUUUAUUUUUCUAUUAUUACUAUUCGAAUGAUUAUUACUAUUCGACUCAAAUACAAAGAUCAACCCCCAACUUGAAACAAUUUUGAUUCUCAUUAUUUUUGUCACCAAGAUCAUUAUAGUUUUUAUGAUAUAUUAUGUGAACUCUGCAAAUCGCUUUCACAGUUAGUUAAACGGCAUUAUGGUCUCUAUUAUAAGUUGAAACAAUUUUCUGGCCAUGUCCUUCGGCUUUGUCAUUUGUCAAUUGCUAAUCUGCUUUCCUUUUUUCUACAAAUUACGGUGAGAGAAAUUCCUAAUUUCCUAUCCUUAUGCUGAAAAUUGGGUGCACAAGUUAGAUGCCACUGAGCUACGAGGCCUCUUGCCGUCAACUACUAAUCUCAUGAUUUUCAUAUUAUUUAUAGAAUUACACUCCAACGUUUAACAAAAAUGAUAAUCUCAUGAUACAAAAUACUCGUAUACAUAACAUAUUGUUAUUUUAAAACUCAUAGAAUUAAUAUGUUGAUUUUUACUAUCAAAAGUUAUUUGAUGAACAUCAAUACGUCGAUAACAUCUUCAUUUUCAAAAUCUUUUUGCUUGUUAUGUUGUUACGUUCAAAGCAUUGUUUUUUUUUUUUCUAUAAUUUAACUUGCAUACUUUGACGUGAAAGUAAUUUGAUUGUCGAAGAUAUAUAAAUUCAUAACCAUCCCAAGGGCCUAUUGAGGAGACACAACUUUAAUUUUAAUUUUUUUGGGUUUUAAACAAACAAUGAAAGACUUGUUCAUUUUUUUUCUCCGUACUUUCAGGGAGUCAAGGCAUUGUACAAAAAAUGAACAUCCAAAAGAUGAACUGUUCACACAAAUUCAAAAGAAAAUAAGAAAGCGAUUGUUGAGUCAACACUCGUAAUCUCGGUUGGGGAUUGGUGAAAAAUUAGUGGGCAAUUGAAGCAAUGCAUGUGUGAUAAAUAAAAUCACAAGUUAAUUAAUUAAAAUUCACAAAGUAAAGUCAAACAAUAUGCGGUCAUCAAUUCGUGCGUUCUUGAUGAGUUUAUUAAGUAAUAGAAAGGUAAAAACCUCGAAUCAUCCAAUAGGAUUGAGACGCGUGUCAAUUCACGGCCGCCGGCCGGAAUCCAGUGCGGGGACGUGUAAGUCCGCUUUUUGUGGCGGGAAAGAAGAUCCCUCUCGCGUGUAGGCGAUAGUCAAGCAAGCAAAUGUGGGGCAAAUGGGCAUGGUUUUAUAUAAUUAACAUUGUUAUUAAUUAGUAAAAGGGCAUCUCUAGGCAUUUUAAUCUUUAAGUUACAGUUAAGGAUCGUGAGUGAUGCUUAAUCAACUUUGUCAAUAUAUCAAGCUCUACUUGUCUUUUCUAAUUUAUCUCUUAUAUAACAAAUUCUUAUAAAAAAAUAAUUUAUCAAUUAUAAAAAAAUAAGAUAAAAUAUUUUAAUGAAUGUUGUUGAUAAUAAAAAGUGUUUAAAUCGUAAUUUUUGUGAAUGUAGCACUUUCCGAUAAAGUUAUUUCUUAAAGAUCACUCUCAGUAUAACACUUUUUUUUAUGUUGCUUUAAUUAAUAACCUUGAAGAGUCACUCAAACAGACGAUCAACCAAAUGCUCUAGACAUUCAUUAAUUAUUUUUCCUUGAUUAAAACAACUAUCAAGUUUGUUUGUGGAAACAUUAGUAAAUAAUUUAAAAAGCUUGCAAAAUCAGUACUUAUGAAUUAACCUACCUCGAUUCUUUAGCCAAAAAAUUAAUCUACGUGACAAUCGGCAAUAAUAAUCAACAUGAACCAUAUAAAUGAAAUGAAAUUAAUCAUAUAUUACUAGGAUGAACCAUUAACUAAUAUUAAUUGAUCCGAGCUUUAACAAUAUCAAAUAUAAGUUGGUAAUUAGUUAUUAAUAAAAUAAAAAAAAUAAACUUUGAAUAAAUCUCAUUCAUAUAUGUACACGUACUUGUAAGUGGAUAUUCAAAAUUAAGUUUAGGUAAGCUCGGAUUAAGAGAGGGUCAUAAUUUUACUUUUAUGUCAUUCUUCGACUAUAGAUACCAUGAUAAUAAUGUAUACUAAUUUAGUUAUUAAUCAAAUUAAUCAUAUUCUAGAGCUCUAAAAUGCAUUCAUUUAGGAUAUUUUACUAUAGAUACCUUAAAAAUAAUGCGUGCCAAUUUUGUUGUUCUUUUUUUUUUUUUUUUUUUUUUGGUGACAGUAUUACUUUAGCUAUUCAAAGGCAAUAUGUCUAGUAAAUUCGUCAAACUUCAAUUGAAUGAGCUUAUUCAAAGGAAUCUAGAUAAAAAAAUUAUUAAUAAUAAUAAGUACUUAAAAAUAAGCACUUGCGUAGUUGCGUUGUUAUAAAAGGUGGUGACACCAUAUCAGUUUCCCACCCCUUAUAUCAUGGAAUAAUUUAUCAAAACUUAGGAGUUUAAAUUAGCCCUUUUCAUUCUCAUUCAUUCUCCCUUAGCUUGCUCUCUUGAAGCCAAACCACUUUCCGUAGCUUGAGACAGAAUUAAUGGGUACUUCUUCUCGCAAACUCAAAGCCAUUUUCUCCUCUCUGGCCGUAACUCUACUGUUCAUGAUUUCACACUCUCAAGUAGCCUUCUCUUUUGAUUUUGAGGAUGUUGAUGAAGAAGAAGUCUAUGUUCUCGACCGCCCGGUUCCUGAUCAUAGCCCGAGGAGCAGGCUCUUGCUCAGUUCGAUAAGAAAAGGUGCACAGUGCAGUGCCGAUCAUAAAAACAUUUGUAAUGGUGUUUCGGCAAACAAUGGCACAAGCUUGUUGCAUUGUUGCAAGAUGCACUGCCGCAACAUUCUUGGUGACAAGAACAACUGUGGCAAAUGUGGCAGCAAGUGUAAGUUUGGACAGCUUUGUUGCAAUGGGACUUGCACCAAUGUGUUUGACAAUGAAGCUCAUUGUGGCAAGUGCAACAAGAAAUGCCCUCGUGGGGUUCGAUGUGAGUUUGGAAAUUGUGGCUAUGCUUAAAGAAUUUUAAAGGAUUUGUUUGGUAUUGAAAUGUUAUGAUUUGAAAGUGAUAUUUAAUGUAAAAGAAAAGUUUUAUUUUUAAAUAAAAGAAUUAAAAAUGUGUGGAAAAUAUAAAUUUUAAAUAAUAAUUUUUAAUAAAAAUAAUAAAAUUAUUAUAAAUUUUUUAUCAUAUAAAUGUAAGAUCAAUUCAAUCUUAAUUUACAAACAAUAAUUAUAAGCGUAUACUAAAUAUUUUAGUAGCAAAAUCAUAAUUGUUCAAUCAUCUAACCAAACAGAUGUUAGAUUCAUCAACAUUAACUUUAAAAAGAUGAUGGAAGCCAUGAUGAGUUUCAUUGUUAAGCAAUAGGAAAAAUAAAAAACUCUCACACUCUAAAUGCAUGCAUUGCUAUGGAACAUGUGUAAUAUCUUCUUGAUUUUUGUUCUUUUUUUUUUUUUUUUUUGAACUUACCAUGAGUCUCCUUAAAAGUUAGAAUUAAACGUUUUCACGGGUUCUACAAAAAAAUUAAAAAGAAAAAGAAAAAGAAAAAACGCAGCAACAAGUGCAAUUUUGGACAGCUUGCAUGCAAUGGAACUAGAUUUCACAAAUUAAUGUAAUCUAACAAUCAAUGGCAAUCCUCUGCGAAAAGUGCAACAAUUUAAAUAUAUAACACAUCCAGCAAUUUUUUAAAAUCUAAUCCAUUACUUUCUAAAAUUUUAAAUAUAUAUAAAACACAUCCGGUAAUUUUUAUAAAUUUAAUCCAUUAUUUUCCAACAAUUUUAAUAAAAAAAGUUCUAACAAUUUAAAUAUAUAAAACUCAUCUAGAAAGUAAUUAUAUUUGAAUGUAAUAGGAAAGAGAAAAUUACCAAUUAUAUGUUACAAUAUCAUCAACGUUAUUGGCAUGGUCUUUGGCACCAAAUUUAGAUCUCCGAGAUAAUGGCCGCUGGUUUUAUUUCAUUUUUUUUCCUAUUAAUGCAAAUGCAAAUCUGAGUUCGUGUUUGGGGGAUAAUGGCACUUUUUAUCUUUUAUCAUUACUUUCUUAUUUUAAUGUUUCCUUCUCAAUUCUCAUUACUUUUAUGUUAUCGUUUCAUUAUUUUAAUAUUUUCUUUUCAUUAAUUUAAUUUUUUAAAUGAAAAAAGAAAUAAAAGUAAGACCCACAUAAAUAGUAACUCCGUUACCGUUUCUGUCGUCCUUCCUUCGUUCCUUUGUUUGUUUAGCACUAUUGAUAAACAAAUGAUGUUAUCAUAUAAAUUACCAUAACGUAGAUGACAAAAUCAAUCAUGAAAUGGAGUAAAUAUAAUUAAUUAAGUUCAUGCCUUUAUGAAAUUUGAGCUUGAACUAUUGCACGUGUACCUCAAGAAACAAUUAAGUGUGCAACUGUUGAAGGCUUAACAAAGGCUUGCCAUGUGACACCAGCAUACAUGCAAAUUUCACGCCUCUAUAAUCUUAUCUGUAACUUGCAUGCAUCGAGUACUUAUAAUAUUGUCGCACUUUGUUGGUUUAUGUGAUCGACCUAUCACCCACAUAACCUGUAGCUAACACAUACAAUUUUUGCCAAUUUGUCUCAAACAUGUGUCUUCAUCCAAUACUUCUUUCAGUUUUACACAUUAUUCGCGUCGCUGGUUUGUGUGUUUGCAUUUUUUAUGAUCAAAUUGUUAUAUUUUGCUCUCCUGUUAGUUUAGAGACAACCUUAAUUAUUAGUGGGUAAAAACAAAAGUUUUCAUGAAAUAUUGAAGGAAACUAAAUAAAUUUCAUCGAGUAGCAACUUUUAAAAAAAUACUCGAGAAAUAAUAAAAGCCCAUUUAGCUCAAAAAUGAAUAAGAAUGUUGAUAACCUCUACCACAUGAAUCUGCUUACACCGGAAUUGACAAUGGAUGGGAGCUUCAUCUUCAGAUAGUUUCAUCAUGAAGAUGACAAAAAUCAUUAUCUCGAGUGAGGAAGUGGGUAGUACAAUAUUAGCCUGUAUAAUACAAAAGCUUAUAGUCACAAAGAUGGGAAGACAAAGGAAAAGUCAGUAAGUCUUAAAGAGGAGAAAGCUGUGUUACUUUUUUUAAGAAGGAAAGCAAAGUAAUAAACUGUAAUAAAACAUGAGAUUGAUAUAGAUUCACGUUUAAGCAAUCUAACAUGCAAAUUUAAUUGAAAAAUGGUGAUUUCUAAAUGAAUUUUAAAUUUUUAAAAAUAAAUAUUGAAUAUAUUGCUAUAUUCAUUAAAAAAAAAUGUUCUCUAAAUGAAUCAAACUCUUAACACGAUAAUAAUGAAAAUACAGAAAAGAUGGAAUCAUUUCUGACAAGAAAGCAAUUAUAUUUAAUCUUUGAACCAAAGGUUGAUUAAAUGGAGAAACGUAAAGAAAAUUAACUUUAAAUCCAAACCAAUGUCAACCUAAAGCAAGCAAAAUAUAUAACAAGAGGAUUGAGCACUGUAGCAAGGGCAAACAAUGAUCAAAUCUUGCCACGGAAUUCAAAUAGCCACCACAUAUAUGCAAUAACCUCAUAAAUUUAAUCAUGAUGCUUUAUCAUUUUAUUGUGCUUCGAAGUUAUACACAAAAACAAAACAAAGUUUCACAAAUUAAAAUAAAAAUUAGAAUAAAAUAAAAAAGAACACCAAUAUAUUUCUUUCAAGAAUGUCUACGAAGUUCACACUGUUGAACAAAUUACUAUAAGAUUUAACAUAUAAAUCAACAAAUUGAAAAUUGCAUAAAGAGAAAAAGAUAUAGGCAAGAAGGGAAGUGUUAUUAUCAAUUUGAUAACAACAUUAUAAUGGCCACAGUUUGUUUUUCCUUUCCUUCUCUCUCAAAUCUCAUGUCUGAUAGUGGAGCUUGCGAACAACUGUCUCACCAUAAUGCAACUGUAAUCUCAAUUUUCAUAAGAAUUUCCACGUCUUCUGGCAAAGAAAAAUCUAUCUUUAGGUGUAAAAGGACCUACCAUCUUUAAUGGCAAACCCGCUUAGCUCAAUGGUCUUGAAAUAAUACCAAGUUGAGGCUUCUCACAGUCAUAGAUAUUGAAUCAGCUCAACUGCAAACUUUCCUUUCCUUGUAGAGUUUAUUUCUCCUAUCUGAAAUUAAAGGAUAUUUGAUCAUCUUAAAUGCUUAGCUAAAUACUGUUUUAAGGGUAAUUUUUGUUAUAUCAGGGCAGUGGUUCAUUGAAAUCUAAACUUACCUUUAUUCUUCCUUUGCCACUUACCGAGACGAUAUCACCAGUCCUAAGAGUAGUACCAUUUUUUGUAACAGUAGUCCAGUUAACACGAACAUCACCAUUACUAUCAACAAAAUAGAACUUAAGGUCAUGCAUAUGUUUAACUAACUACAGGUCACAUGUCAAAUUAAUAUUAAUAUGACCAUAUUUAUAAUGAUUUUCUUACAAUCAAAUUGCCAUUCCUGAAAGGGAUGCACAAUAUGACUAAAGAAAUGCAUAGUCAGAAAAGAUCUUUCAAUAAAGCUAAAAUAAGUCAUUUUAUAAAGGAAGAAUGGUGCGAUAUGGAAUGAAGAUCCAUUGUACUUAACUGCAGAAAGAUGCGGUCAAAGACAUACGUUUGGGAGAUCUGAGAGAAUCGCCAAACAUGGAUUCAAUUGGAAACUUCGGUAAUUUGAAUAAGACCAUGUGAGUAGCUGUAGAUCUCAGGUCAAAAGGCCAUUAGGAGGACCUAAUGGCAGAUGCUUUAGCAGAGAUUUGAACCAGUGAAGCUAACGAGGAGUAUCUACAAUGUACCCAAGUGGCCAGCCUCUAUUAUUGAUUUAUAGAGCAUGCAUAUUUAGUGUAUCAGUUUUUGACUUCAUUCAUGCAUAUUUAGUGUAUUACUGGAGAUUGUUUCUAUGACAGAUUGCCUCCAUCCUAACCAGGAAAUCUAGAAACAUGCAGUAACUGAUGAAUACCCGGAAUCUACUACCAUAAAAUCAAAAAUAAAUAUUAUGAAAGAAGAGUAGGCUGUACCUGAUCAAAUUAACUAAUUUUGACCGUGAUAACUUAAAUCCUGCACUAGCUAAUGCAUCGACCCUUAGUGAUGCUUCUAUGGUUUUGAAUGACUUAGUCCUGAAAAAGAUCAAAGAUGUCGUACGGUCAUUGACAAAUACCAGAUGAAGAUUAUCACAGAAAUGAAUCAUUAAUAUGAUGGUUCCUACCUUGGUGGUUCGUAUUCAAGAGCAAGCAAUGGUAUCCUUGUACAAGAGACUGAAACAUUACCAACCUUCAAGAAAAAAAAUGCAUUAAAAUGGUGCGGGCAAUGCAGCACUACAUUACAAAUACUGAUUAUUUUGCAUUUUCUCAUCCCCCUAGGAGCCUUUCACUUUUUGCGCAAAAUACUGAGCCAGGUGACACUGUAUUAAAAAUUACUUAACAUAUUGUUAAUGCAGUGGAACAAAGCAGAAUUUAAGCUAAUUACGGCAGUUCUGUUAAUUACAAUGACAUACAAGUGGGAAAGAAAAAUAUUUUCUGCUUUUAUGUGUAACACAAAAGAUGUAGUUAUUUUCAGAAGGGAUAUUAUCAUUUUCCCACUAAAGAUAUUCUGACAUAUCAUGUCAGUACCACGGUUUGGUAAAACCAUCAAUUUACCACCAAACGUUUAAACUAUUAUCAUUUUCCCACCAUUCCGUUAAAACUCAGUUAAUAUGUAACGGAAAAUUCAUAAAAGGUCAAUUUUACCCCUGGAGCGUAAAAGACUAUGUAAUUAACCUUUUGUGAAUUUUGUAAUUAAAUCAUCAUUUAUUGUUCUUCCUUCUUAAAGGGCAAAAAUUGCCCUUUAUGAAUUUUAUAAAAUUGACCGUGUGGUGCUAGGCACUUUAUAAAUUGAUUUAAUUUAUUUAAUUUUUAAAGGACAAAUUUAUUUAUUUAAUUUUUUGUGUAAAAUUAUUAUCAUCAUAUCAAAGAUUAAAUUGCUUCUUUUGCACAUUUUUUUUUCCCUUUCAUAAAUUGAUUUUUAGUAGUAGAAUAAAUUGUCUUUAGCUCGUCAAUUUAAUAAAUAAAUUUGCCCUUUAAAAUUAAAUAAAUUAAAUCAAUUUAUGAAGUACCUAACACCACACGAUUAAUUUUACAAAAUUCAUAAAGGGUAAUUUUUGCCCUUUAGCAAGGAAGAAUAACAAAUGAUGAUUUAAUUACAAAAUUCAUAAAAGGUUAAUCACAUGGUCUUUUACGCUCCAGGGGUAAAAUUGACCUUUUAUGAAUUUUCUGUUACAUAUUAACUGAGUUUUAACUGAAUGGUGGGAAAAUACUAACAGUUUAAACGUUUGGUGGUAAAUUGAUGGUUUUACCAAACCGUGGUACUGACAUGAUGUGUCAGAAUACCUUUGGUGGGAAAAUGAUAAUAUCCCUUUUCAAAAAAACAGUAUAUCAGAAAGUAAAUACAACCUU